rnacentral:lncRNA from 1 species
AAUUCCCAAUGACAUAAGGUUACUUUGUGAUCUUGAAUACCUAUAUUUAGGCAACAAUUCCUUUGAAGGACCGCUUCCACCAAAUAUAUUCAAACUUUCAAAAUUAAAAGAUCUUGUUCUUUGGGGUAAUAAGUUUUCGGGUUCUGUUUCCAAUGAUAUAGGUUUGCUUUAUGAGCUUGAAACCCUCGAUCUUAACUCUAAUUUUUUUGAGGGGCCGCUUCCGCCAAAUUUAUUCAAGCUCUCCAAACUAAAGAUUCUUUCCCUUUAUAAGAAUAACUUUUCAGGUUUUAUUUCUAAGGAUAUAGGUUUGCUUUUCGAACUUGAAAGCCUCUAUCUUGGCUCUAAUUUUUUUGAGGGGCUGCUUCCCCCACAUGUAUUUAGGCUCUCCAAAUUAAGAGAUCUGGGUCUCUCAGACAAUAGAAAUUUAUUUGAAGGAAGUAUUCCUAUUGGACUGGGACUCUUGACUAACCUCAGGUACUUAGAUCUACAUUCCAAUAAUCUCGGUGGCUAUAUUCCAUCUGACAUUGGAAACCUGAAGCUACUAGUACUUCUUGAUCUCAAUUCUAACCAAUUGACUGGACCGCUUUUAAAGAUCGUUUCUAAUCUCACAAAUCUUAUGUUUCUUGAUGUAAGUGAUAAUAGUCUUAGUGGAAAUAUUCAGAGAGACUUGUGGAACUAUAACGAUCAUCCAACUUUGGAAUUCAUCAAUUUAAGUGGGAACCAUUUUACGGGUAUAGUUUUUCUCUAUAGAUCUUUCCUUUUGUCAUAUGUAACUAAGCUAGUAAUCUGAUUAAUUGCAGUUUUACCAAAGUUUCAACAAUCUUGACAGGUGAGCUUCCAACAACAAUUUGCAAUGUCACUUCCCUUUCGGUUCUUGAUUUGUCAAAUAAUGCAUUAAGUGGUGCACUUCCAAACUGUUUCGGGAAUCUUGCUGAUGGAUUGCUUUACAUUAAUCUUGCUAAUAAUCAGUUUCGAGGAACAAUACCAACUACUUUCUCCAGGAGUUGUCAGCUGACAUAUCUGAACAUGGAUGAUAAUCAGUUUGAAGGAUUGUUACCCCCAUCUUUAGCGAACUGUAAGCACUUGAGAAUCCUUGAUAUGGGCAACAAUAAAAUAGGUGAUACAUUUCCGUCAUGGCUUUAUGUACUUGGAGCGCUAGAAGUCCUUGUCUUGCGAUCAAAUAAACUCUAUGGUACAAUAAGGGCAAGGAGCAUAGAAGAUCCCUUCCCCAAGUUGCGGAUUGUGGAUCUGUCCAACAAUCAAUUCAUGGGCCAUUUGCCAAUUCAAUACUUUAAGAAUAUGAAAUCAAAUGAUAAUUUGUAUCGUUAUCUGAAUUCCACAGGAGAAAUAGAUAUCUCUUAUGAAGCAGCAGUCUCAUUAACUGUGAAGGGAACAGAGUAUGAAGUAGCAAAUAACCUUCAUAUUUACACAGCCAUUGAUCUGUCGUGCAACAAAUUUCAGGGAGAAAUUCCAAAGGUUGCCGGAGAGCUUAGAUGGCUUGCAUUGCUCAAUUUAUCUCAUAAUAGUCUAACAGGACCUAUCCCAUCAUUGCUGAGAAAUAUGAAAGAACUCCAAUCUUUAGAUUUGUCCUCAAAUCAACUGACAGGGGCUAUUCCACCUCAGUUAACUGCAUUGACAUUUCUAGAGGUCUUAAAUCUCUCGAACAACGAUCUCAGUGGAGAGAUUCCUCAGAAAGGACAGUUCAGCACAUUCAACAAUGAUUCUUAUCUAGGAAACUCCGCGUUAUGUGGAUCACCAUUGACGAAGAAAUGCGCAAACACAGCAUCACCUCCACAAGAAGUCAGAAAUGGUGAUGAAGAUGAUGCUGGUGAUGAAUGGACAUGGGAAGCAAUCGUGAUGGGAUAUGGAUGUGGACUGAUAUGUGGAUUGUCAUCUGCGUACAUUGUUCUCAAACUAGGAAGGCCUUGGUGGUUUGUGAGAUAUGUCGAAGUAUUGCAACUGAAGUUGAUGAAAAGAUAUGCUUGAAGAAUGGUAUUUGGUCUUGUACUAGCUGCAUAAGUAUUUGGCAUUGUGUAGUAUUCUGUUUGGUCUUGAAUUAUAAUGAUUUUUCUUGCUUCAGGGGUAUUAAUAUAAACCUUGCUAUCUUGCUCAGUGUUAAUGCAAAUUAAGAUGAAUGAAUAAACAAAAAAUAUGCAUCAAAUUAAGAAUUCAGAAAUGGUGAUACUCAUGCAGUGUCACCAACUCAAGAAUUCAGAAAUGGUGAUACUCAUGAAGAUGACGAUGCUGAUGAUGAACUUUGAUGUGGGACUUGGGUUGACCACUUGUUGGGCCGCACAACACCUGUUAAGCAUUAGUAUGACGUUGUCCGCUCUGGAUCGUGACCAAGCCCGCACGGAUUUGUUUUCGAGCUCCUCUCAAAAGGUCUAAAACUAAUGGAGUUGUUUGGCUGCUUAUAUUCAAGAUAAAUCUUUUUGAUGUGGGAUUUGGGUUGACACCCACACAACAAGACGUGAGGAAAUAUUGUUGUCUUGAGAUGACAUAUGUUCUGAAUUAUUAUUAUGCUUUCAACAAUAUUUUCAAACAUUUUUCAAUAUGUAUUUUUAAAGAAUUCUCAAGCACUCGUGACCCCUAUAAUUUUUUCUCAGGCAACGCCUAUAGUUUCAAAGAAUUCCCAGGCACUUAAACAUUUGGACCGGUUCUUUGGAAGCCAAGAUGCCCAGGUUAUCAUGGCCAUGCACAAAAUGCAGUACCAAAGAAAAAAAAUAAUAAAUUAAGAGAGAUUGCUCUGGGUCACCCCAAGCCUUCGAGGACUCAUUCCAAGCCUCGCCCUUUCAAAGAAGUGAUAGUAGCCGGAAAGUGAUAUAAAUUAUUCUCCGGACACUAAAACUAAAUAAUCAGAUCAAAUUAAUCAAUAAUAAAUUAAAGAUAUGAAAUCAAAAUUAAUCCUAAAUUUUGAUAAUAUACAAAAAUUAUAAUUAUAAAUUUUAUUAUCAAAUCAAGAUUAAAUUAACUUACAUGGCCGUUAAAAUUGAUAAACGCAAUAUAAUAGGGUUAAAAAUGGGGCGGGUUCGGGACGGGUACUUCAUUUCCCAGCCUCGUCCCAUAUAUAUUUUUCCUGCCCCGUCUCCGCCCCAUUCUCCACGAAGAUUUAUUUUUAAUCCCCAUUGCCGCCCGCCCCACCGGGGAUUGAAUAUAAUUUCGCCCCGCCCCGCUGCUAUAAUAUUACACUUUAAUUAAUUACCUUAAAAUUUAAUAAUCAGAAUUUAAUAAAAAUAUACGAGACAUGUAUAUUAAAAGCAAAAAACUAAAUAUAAUAGAAAUCAAAGAGACAUGUUAUACAUUGUAAAAUUAUAGUUUUAUGUAUUAUAUAAUAGAUAAUAUUAAAUAUAUUAUAUUAAAUAUAAUUAUUUAUUUUUAUUAAAUAUAUGCGGGGCGGGGUGGGGAAUCCCCGCGGGAAUUCAACAAAUACCAUGCUUGCCCCAUAUUUUAGCGGGGCAGAUAAUCAUUCUCCGUCACUACCCCAUUCCCCAUAGAGUAGUGCUAGAUGCACAAAAUUGGAUACAUAAUUUUACACAAAAUGACAUGGCAAUCUAGGUGGAGAGCUUUAAUUGGUAUUAUUAAUGCAUGUGCAGGGGCUCAUUCCAAUCACAAAUUGACACAUACUCAUUCUGUGAAUAUUUCUGUACUCAAUUCUGUGCAGGUAGCAUUUUUCUUCCCCAUAUUAGCGGGGCGCAUCGGCUCCAUUCGGGGCGGGUUCCCCAUUUUCCCCACCCAAUUUUUAACCCUACAAUAGUAAUCAAAUUGAUGAAAAGUCAAAGUCCUCUAAUAAAUCCAUAAAGAAUAUGAUAAUCAAAACUACAAAAAUUAUAAUUGAAAAAUCAAAAUCAUCCUAAUAAGUUCAUAGAAUAUAUAUGAUCAGUAGAGCAUUAGAAUAGUGUUCACACACUUAUAUGUCAAAAUUUGUGGUCCAAAGACUAUGACACAAUAUCCUAAAUACACCCCCAUUGAAUAGUAGUUCAAAAUAUUUAAUAUAUAAUUGUUUUCAUUCAUAAUUUUGUUAUUAUUUAAAAAAUAAUAAUUUAAUUGCUGUUAACCUUUAUUUUAAUAUAUAAUCAUAUCGUUUCCUUACAAUUUAAUUAUCUAGAAACAAUAUUUUUGUUAUAAUCAUUACAUUAAUUAUAUUAAAAAAUAUAAUUUUGUUAAAACAUUGAAUGAAAUUAAGAGUAUUAAUCUACGUCUCUCCAAGUCUACAGGACUCAUUCCAAGUCUGCGUGAGACCACUGCCACCACCUUUGAGAGAUGUGGAAGUGGAAGUAGCUUCAGAUUGACCUAAAUUAUUUCCUGACAAUAAAUUUAAUAUCCGAAAUAAAUUAAAUUAAACUAGUUUUUUGAAACAAUUAAAUUAAACUAGUUAAUAAUAAAUUAAGAAUAUAUAAAAUCAAAACUAAUCAUGAAUUAUGAUAAUAAUUAAAUAAAUUAUAAUUAAGCUAUAUAAAUCAACUCCAAAUGACACCAACAGCACCAAACCUUAGUUACUUUAAUAUUGGUAAAUAAAUAUAAUAUAAUAAUCAAUUGAUGAAAAAUCAAAUCAUCUAAUAAAUUCACAAAAAAUAUAUGAUCAUUAGUAUAUUAUAUUAGUAUCCACACACUUAUAUUUCAAAAUCUAUCCUCCAAAAUUAUCAUCUCGAUAAACUAGCCACAUAAAAUAAAAAUUUAAAGAUAUUAGAUAUUUAGUUAUUUUCAUUAUAUAAUUUUUCCACACUAAAUAACAAAAUAUUUUUAUCAAAUUAUUAUUUAUGAGUUAAAUAUUCAAGUUAUAAAUCCAGCAUGCAGCGUAUAAAUAGAAGUGUGCAGUAUGAUAUCAGAAUCAUAACCCAGUUGAUCAGGAGAAACAUGGCAUACUCUGCAAAGCCUUCUCACCUUCUUCUCUUUGUUUUCUUUCUCUCAUCACUUGAAUCCAUUCUAACAACACGAGAGGGAGAAGCUCUUGUGAAGUGGAAGAAUAGCCUAGCCCCGUCUUCUUUUCUCGACUCUUGGUCACUCACCAAUCUCGAUAAUCUUUGUAACUGGACUGGCAUUACUUGUAACUCUGCAGGUUCAGUUUCUGAGAUUAACCUCUGUGAGAAACAACUUGAUGGAAUGCUGUCCGAGUUCGGUUUCACUUCAUUUCCAAAUCUCAAGAAUCUCACCCUGGCAGACAACUUCUUCUCGGGUCCAAUACCACCAGCCAUUGAGAAUUUAACACAGCUUCAAUAUCUUGAUUUAAGCAUGAAUAGUCUUAAUGGUCCCAUUCCGUUCCAGGUUAGCCAUCUUCAGAGUUUGCUCAUAUUAAACCUGUCACAGAAUGCAUUGCAAGCUCCAAAUUGGUCCCAUUUCUCUCCCAUGCCUGUUUUGCGCUUCCUCAAGCUCAGUAGAAAUCCUCUUGUGUCGAAAUUCCCAAAUUUUAUAUCCAAUUCUCAUAGCCUGACUUAUCUCAACCUUUCACAUAACAAGUUUAGUGGUGAUCUUGUACGUGAAUCAGUAUUUAUACCAAUCUGCAUCAUCUUGAAGUCCUCAGUUUUUCACCGAAGAGUUGUGUGAGCCUAUUUUAGACAAUGGAUUCUCUUACAAUGGUAUAACCUCUGUAACAGUUGUGUCAUUUUUAAUGACACAACAUAUGUGCGUAUAAAAACCGUUGUCUAUUAGACACUACAGGACAAAAUUUACCUUUUUACAAUAAGACAAAAUUUACCUUUGACUGUUAUUGUUAAAAAAACAUACAUAAUAAACGUAAAAAAUUUUGAAUUUUUUUAUGUAUGAUUAAUAUUGUUAAUUCUCGAGAUCCGUACGGUCAGAUCAUCGAAAAAAAUAUUUAUAAAUUAAUACAGAGUUAAUCGUAUACAUAACAAAGAUUCUAUUGAGUACUUUCUAAAUUGUAACCAUAAAACAAAUACUAAUAUCCACAUCCGAACUACAAAAUUAUCUUCAUUGUACAAAUGAACAAUAUAUAUUUGCAUAUAUGCAUAAUAUAAAUAUAUGUUUUAAGAUAAACUGUGCAAAAAUUAGAAUUUAUCAAGGAAUAGAGAAUUUUUAACUUUUAAAAAGAAAAAUUAAUCAUAAAACAGUUUCAUUGCCAUAAAUAAUUAAUAAUUAAUUCAAUUGUAACCCCUAAAAUAAUUACUAAUUAAUAAUUAAUACAGUGCUAAUCGUAUAUAUAACAAAAAUUCUAUUAUGUACUUCCUAAAUUAUAACUUUAAACACAUACUAAUACUAUUAUAUAAUAUUUUUCAAUUAUUAAUAUUAUAAUAUAUAUUAUAAUACAACUAAUUCUUUUAAAUUUUCAAUUAAAUUUUAAUAUUCUAUAAUAUAUAGAUAUAUGAAUUUAAGUAAUAUAACUUUUAAUUAUAUUACACAUAUUUCUUCUUGUUUUUAAUAAAUUAUUUAAAUUAAGAUAAUAUUAAUUAUUUUCUUGACGCAAAAACAAUUUUAAUUAUUAAUUAAAGAAUUAAAAGGAAAAAAAAGUAGAUCUGCCCAAUGUACAGGUGAAAGUGAGAAGCGGCAAAGUUCCCCCCAAAACUAAAAACCACUGCCGAGUAAAAACCCCUAACCUGUACUCUCAAAAAACUUCUCACUCACAAACACUCUCCCUGGAUCUAUGUAUCUAUCAACACUCGGGGGGUUUGUUAUGUUUAAAUGGAAGCAAAACAAUGCUAUAGUCAUUUUCAGUAUCCAUGUGGUCCUCUUGCAUCUCGGUUUGCUCUGCUUUUCACAUGUUUGUGGCCAACAUGAAUCUUAUAUCUUGUUUAUGAGUUUAAUUUUGUUUAUUUGUAUUUGAGUGGCUUGAUUUUGUAUUUCUUCACUACUAAUUGUUAUUUUCUAAAUUAUCCAUGUGAUUAGGGCUCAUUUUUAGGGGAACUUUGAAUUAGGUCAUUAAAUUACAGUUUUGGUGAAUUGGGGCUUUCAUUGUAUAUAUUUGAUUACAUACAACUGUUAAUAUUUGAGCAGCCAAGGCUCAAGAGCUCAAAAGAUGACAUAUCGAUGGGGUGACAUGUAUGGCUAACAAUCGGAGUAAUUUGAAAGGAUUAUUUUUUCGUUGGGCUGACAGAGGUAUAUUGUUCUUGACACUGGUUUUUAACUUGCUGUCUUUAGUUUAGUUGUGAAUAAUGAGAUGGUUGGAUAUUCUAUUUCGUAUUGUUGUAUGUGGUCGUUAGCAGAAGCUCAUUAAGUCUGCUAUGGUUUAUAGAUUUUAUAACAUUGAUAAGUAUGGUUUGGGUGUCUAGGCUAGUUUUGUUUGUGUGUGUAAUGGAUGUGUUUUGAUUUUUCUGAUUUUUCUGAUUUUUCGAUCAUCUACUUCUUUUUUGUUGCGGGGUUGUUAUUUGUUUACUCUUGUUCCCUGCAAAGAAAUAAGUGUGGAUAGUUAUGCAUUGGAAUCAUAAGUAGCAAUUAAGUGUUAAUUUCCAAUUCAACGAGUUCAAUGCACGCCUGUCUUCAACUAGAUCCGUUUCUUAAUGAAUUUACAAGCAUGUUUGAGCACAAUACUGAGCAGGGUUGUGUGUAGGUCACUUUAUAUAUUUUAGUAUCAAGAGACGUAUUAUGUUGAUAUGUGCUGUAUAAAAUAUUUAAUUGAAGCUAGGUUUAUGUGUAACUGUUACUCAUCUGGCUAUGGAAUACAUUCCCAGAUUAAAAAAUUUGAUAAUGAUUGAUACUGUCUUGUCACUCCAUUAAACAUGACGUAACAUCUGUAUUCAACUUUGGACUUCAUUAAUUGGUGUUAGUCGUGCAAUAUGUUUAAAUUAAAAAAGUUAUGUUUCUUUUAUAUGUUCGAAUUUACUCCAAAUUGCAUGUGGGCGUUUCACUUCUUAUGAGCAGGCUGUGCUUUGGGAAGUUUAGGCAUGCUUUGAGAAUAGAUAUUUUAAUCAAACUGUGCACUUUAGAUAUAAAAAAUCUUGCUGUUCUGAUGGAUUGUAUGGUGUGGAACAAGAGCUGUGUUCCAAGUUAUGCUCAAGACUGUGGGUUUUUUUUGUUUUUAACACCCUUCCAUAACUUCUCCAUCUUAGUUAUUAAACUCUUUCAUUCUGUAUUCCUAACUAUACCAUUCUUUUUUCCACAUAAACCAAGCCAUAAUAAGAAACUGACUUUCUCAAGGAACAAAGGACUAUCACCACAUGGCAGGAUUGUGCAUAGGCGUGCAUAUGCUUGAGUAAGUACACUUUUGGACUUAUGUUGUGAAGUAUUAUUUUUACAAAUGUCAUCCUUCUGGUCAUAUGACAAAUCUUUUCCCUAUCAUUUCUGUAAUUUGUUUUAAAGGUUAGAGCAAGAGUGGAGAUGUCCCAAAUUGAUGCAGUUGCUUACAACAUUGGCAUGGCUUUGUGGAAAGUUUUUGGUGGAGCUUCUAGCACAAUAAAACAGAUAUAAUAGUUUAGUUUCCGAGCUACACCAUUUCCCGGCUCAUUUUGUCGGCUUCUAUCGACUCUAUACAGGCUCUUGCCAGUUGUGUGAAACAUUACAAGAUUUUACAUUUUUAUAUGUGGUUGUACGUUGAUACUAUAGUUGGUAAUGAAAAUUUUUGUUACUAAUUUAUGGCUUGUUAAUUAUAUUCUCCAGCAUAGUUUAAUUAGAUUAUGUAAAACCAUUGUCUGACAUAACUAAACACAAAAGGAAAAGAAAAAGAAAACAGUUGUCCCAAGACUUACAAACAACACAAUUUUAAAAAUAAAAUCGUUGUCUAAGACAUAUACAAAUAAGUAAAUAGUAGUAACAAACCAUUGUCUAAAUCAGUAUUAUUCAAGCAUUUUGAACAAAAACUGUUGUAGAAGAGCUUUCACACAAUUGUUUCAUUAUAUAAACUAUUGUUAUACGGAGCUUCACAGAAGUGACCACUGCUCUAAGCCCGUUGUACAAGGUAGUAAAACACGAGCCUCUAAAACGCAAACAAUCUUGUCUGAUACUCUUAUUAACAAGUAAAUAUAUCCACAAACUGUUGUGGAUAGUCCUAAUAACAACACAAAUUCCAAAUAUGACUGUUGUUAUAAAAUGUUUAUAACAACACUUUGUUAAACUAAUCUGUUGUUGUUUGUGGGUGUAACACAACACGCUGUUAAAUAUAAACCGUUGUGUUUCUUGAUCUCACACAACGGUACGUACCGUUGUCUGAGGCGCGUAUCAGACGGCAUCGCAAUAGACCACGGUUUUCUUGGGUAUCAGACAACGGGCAAAAACCGUUGUCUGAUGCUGUUUUUGUUGUAGUGACAAUUCCUUUGAAGGACCGCUUCCACCAGGUAUAUUCAAGCUUUCAAAAUUAAAACAUCUUUUUCUUUGGGGUAAUAAGUUUUCAGGUUCUGUUUCCAAUGAUAUAUGUUUGCUUUCUGAGCUUGAAAGCCUCGAUCUUAACUCUAAUUUUUUUGAGGGGCCGCUUCCGCCAAAUGUAUUCAAGCUCUCCAAAUUAAAGUUACUUUCCCUUCAGAAGAAUAACUUUUCAGGUUUUGUUUCCAAUGAUAUAGGUUUGCUUUCUGAGGUUGAAACUCUCGAUCUUCACUCUAAUUUUUUUGAGGGGCAGCUUCCGCCAAAUAUAUUCAAGCUCUCGAAACUAAGAUUUCUUGCCCUUUGGCAGAAUAACUUUUCAGGUUCUGUUUCCAAUGAUAUAGGUUUGCUUUCUAAGCUUGAAACCCUCGAACUUGACUCCAAUUUUUUUGAGGGGCCGCUUCCGCCAAAUAUAUUCAAGCUUUCCAAAUUAAGAGUUCUUUCCCUUGACAAUAAUAACUUUUCAGGUUGUGUUUCCAAUGAUAUAGGUUUGCUUUCUGAGCUUGAAACCCUCCGUCUUGGCUUCAAUUCUUUUGAAGGACCGGUUCCACCAAAUAUAUUCAAGUUUUCCAAAUUAACAGGUCUUGACCUCUCAGGCUAUAGAAAUUUAUUUGAAGGUAGUAUCCCUAUUGGACUGGGACUCUUGACUAACCUCAGCUACUUAGAUCUAAGUUCCAAUAAUCUCAGUGGCUAUAUUCCAUCUGAACUUGGAAACCUUAAGCUACUAGUAUUUCUUGAUCUCAGUUCUAACCAAUUGACUGGACCGCUUUUAAAGAUCGUUUCUAAUCUCACAAAUCUUAUAUAUCUCCAUGUACAAGAUAAUAGUCUUAGUGGGAAUAUUCGCAGUGACUUGUGGAAAAACUCUUUAUCCUUACGUUACAUUGAUCUUGAAAAUAAUUAUUUGUCUGGGAACAUUCCUAAGGAAUAUAACGAUCAUCCAACUUUGGAAUACAUCAAUUUAGGUGGGAACCAUUUUACAGGUAUAUUUUUCUCUAUAUAUCUUUUCCUUUUGUCAUAUGUAACUAAGCUAGUAAUCUGAUUGAUGCAGUUUUACCAAAGUUUCAACAAUCUUGACAGGUGAGCUUCCANNNNNNNNNNNNNNNNNNNNNNNNNNNNNNNNNNNNNNNNNNNNNNNNNNNNNNNNNNNNNNNNNNNNNNNNNNNNNNNNNNNNNNNNNNNNNNNNNNNNNNNNNNNNNNNNNNNNNNNNNNNNNNNNNNNNNNNNNNNNNNNNNNNNNNNNNNNNNNNNNNNNNNNNNNNNNNNNNNNNNNNNNNNNNNNNNNNNNNNNNNNNNNNNNNNNNNNNNNNNNNNNNNNNNNNNNNNNNNNNNNNNNNNNNNNNNNNNNNNNNNNNNNNNNNNNNNNNNNNNNNNNNNNNNNNNNNNNNNNNNNNNNNNNNNNNNNNNNNNNNNNNNNNNNNNNNNNNNNNNNNNNNNNNNNNNNNNNNNNNNNNNNNNNNNNNNNNNNNNNNNNNNNNNNNNNNNNNNNNNNNNNNNNNNNNNNNNNNNNNNNNNNNNNNNNNNNNNNNNNNNNNNNNNNNNNNNNNNNNNNNNNNNNNNNNNNNNNNNNNNNNNNNNNNNNNNNNNNNNNNNNNNNNNNNNNNNNNNNNNNNNNNNNNNNNNNNNNNNNNNNNNNNNNNNNNNNNNNNNNNNNNNNNNNNNNNNNNNNNNNNNNNNNNNNNNNNNNNNNNNNNNNNNNNNNNNNNNNNNNNNNNNNNNNNNNNNNNNNNNNNNNNNNNNNNNNNNNNNNNNNNNNNNNNNNNNNNNNNNNNNNNNNNNNNNNNNNNNNNNNNNNNNNNNNNNNNNNNNNNNNNNNNNNNNNNNNNNNNNNNNNNNNNNNNNNNNNNNNNNNNNNNNNNNNNNNNNNNNNNNNNNNNNNNNNNNNNNNNNNNNNNNNNNNNNNNNNNNNNNNNNNNNNNNNNNNNNNNNNNNNNNNNNNNNNNNNNNNNNNNNNNNNNNNNNNNNNNNNNNNNNNNNNNNNNNNNNNNNNNNNNNNNNNNNNNNNNNNNNNNNNNNNNNNNNNNNNNNNNNNNNNNNNNNNNNNNNNNNNNNNNNNNNNNNNNNNNNNNNNNNNNNNNNNNNNNNNNNNNNAAACCUGUCAGAGAAUGAACUGCAAGCUCCAAAUUGGUCCAAUUUUUCCCCCAUGCCUUUUUUGACCAUCCUCGACCUUUAUAAAAAUAAUCUUUUGUCAGAAUUUCCCGAAUUUAUAUCUAACUCGUGUAACCUUACGUACCUUGACCUCUCAUCCAACAAGUUUAGAGGGGAUCUUGCGCGAGAAUCAGUAUUAACCAAUCUAGGUGAUCUUGAAACCCUCUAUCUUAUUAGAAAUUCUUUCAAGGGGUCAUUUCCGUCAGAUUUAUUCAAGCUUUCUAAAUUAAAACGUCUUCACCUGUCGAGCAACAAAUUUUCAGGUUCAAUUCCUAAUGCCAUAAGGUUGCUUUGUGAUCUUGAAUUCCUAUAUUUAGGCAACAANNNNNNNNNNNNNNNNNNNNNNNNNNNNNNNNNNNNNNNNNNNNNNNNNNNNNNNNNNNNNNNNNNNNNNNNNNNNNNNNNNNNNNNNNNNNNNNNNNNNNNNNNNNNNNNNNNNNNNNNNNNNNNNNNNNNNNNNNNNNNNNNNNNNNNNNNNNNNNNNNNNNNNNNNNNNNNNNNNNNNNNNNNNNNNNNNNNNNNNNNNNNNNNNNNNNNNNNNNNNNNNNNNNNNNNNNNNNNNNNNNNNNNNNNNNNNNNNNNNNNNNNNNNNNNNNNNNNNNNNNNNNNNNNNNNNNNNNNNNNNNNNNNNNNNNNNNNNNNNNNNNNNNNNNNNNNNNNNNNNNNNNNNNNNNNNNNNNNNNNNNNNNNNNNNNNNNNNNNNNNNNNNNNNNNNNNNNNNNNNNNNNNNNNNNNNNNNNNNNNNNNNNNNNNNNNNNNNNNNNNNNNNNNNNNNNNNNNNNNNNNNNNNNNNNNNNNNNNNNNNNNNNNNNNNNNNNNNNNNNNNNNNNNNNNNNNNNNNNNNNNNNNNNNNNNNNNNNNNNNNNNNNNNNNNNNNNNNNNNNNNNNNNNNNNNNNNNNNNNNNNNNNNNNNNNNNNNNNNNNNNNNNNNNNNNNNNNNNNNNNNNNNNNNNNNNNNNNNNNNNNNNNNNNNNNNNNNNNNNNNNNNNNNNNNNNNNNNNNNNNNNNNNNNNNNNNNNNNNNNNNNNNNNNNNNNNNNNNNNNNNNNNNNNNNNNNNNNNNNNNNNNNNNNNNNNNNNNNNNNNNNNNNNNNNNNNNNNNNNNNNNNNNNNNNNNNNNNNNNNNNNNNNNNNNNNNNNNNNNNNNNNNNNNNNNNNNNNNNNNNNNNNNNNNNNNNNNNNNNNNNNNNNNNNNNNNNNNNNNNNNNNNNNNNNNNNNNNNNNNNNNNNNNNNNNNNNNNNNNNNNNNNNNNNNNNNNNNNNNNNNNNNNNNNNNNNNNNNNNNNNNNNNNNNNNNNNNNNNNNNNNNNNNNNNNNNNNNNNNNAAAACCAUUGAUAAGGAUGGUAAAUUCGACUCUAAAUCUUAUGAAGCUAUAUUCUUGGGUUAUUCUUUAACAAGUCGUGCUUAUAGAGUGUAUAAUCUUGCUAAACAUACUGUUGAAGAGUCUAUUGAUGUUUCAUUUCAAGAGUCUACUGAUGAUCUUGCAAGGGAUGAGGAAGAAUGUGCAGGUACAGGUACUAGCAGCAAGCUGACAGUGAAGGAAACUGGAAAUCAGCAAGCUGACAAGUCAACUGCCACAACUUCAGAAGGCAAUAAAGCUACUGAAUCCACUCCAUCUCUUGAAGAAACUUUGGAUAAGAUGUCUAAGCUCACAUUGGAUGAAUCCAGAGGUCAAACUUCAUCAGCAAGCCAAAAUGUUGUUGAUCAGACUCCUCCUAGGCAGACUACAAGGAAUGAAGAGGUCAUAGCUCAACAUAAUCUACCAAAAUCAACUAGAACAGUGAAGAAUCAUCCUCCUCAGUUGAUCAUUGGAGAUAAAUCAGCUGGAAUCAAGACAAGGAAAGCUCAAGCCAACAUUUGUGCUUAUGCUGCCUUCAUAGCUCAAGAGGAACCAAAGAAUGUUCAAGAAGCUUUACAAGAUGAAAAUUGGAUCAUGGCAAUGCAAGAAGAACUCAACCAAUUCGAAAGAUGUGAUGUUUGGGAACUUGUAGAUCCACCAGAGGAUGCUUCAAUUGUUGGAACCAAAUGGGUGUUCAAGAAUAAAGUUGAUGAAUUUGGUACUAUCACUCGGAACAAAGCUAGACUUGUUGCACAAGGAUACAAUCAGCAAGAAGGAAUUGAUUUUGAUCAAACAUAUGCUCCGGUUGCAAGAUUGGAAUCUAUUAGGAUGCUAUUAUCAUUUGCAUGCUACAAGAAGUUCAAGCUACAUCAAAUGGACGUCAAAAGUGCAUUCUUAAAUGGAUAUCUAAAGGAAGAAGUCUAUGUCAAGCAACCACCAGGAUUCGAGGAUGAAAAAUAUCCCAACCGUGUCUACAAGCUCAAGAAGGCACUAUAUGGAUUAAGGCAAGCACCUCGAUCAUGGUAUGAAAGGUUAAGUGAAUUUUUGAUCAAAAAUGGUUUCAUUAGAGGUAAAAUUGAUCCUACUUUGUUUACUAUCUUUAAAGGUCAAGAUAUAUUAGUUGUUCAAAUAUAUGUAGAUGAUAUUAUAUUUGGAUCUACUAAUGAUUCUUUGUGUAAGUGGUUUUCAAAGUGCAUGCAUAGUGAGUUUGACAUGAGCAUGAUGGGAGAGCUCAAUUAUUUCUUGGGGCUCCAAAUUAAGCAAACUCCAGAAGGAAUUUAUGUGCAUCAAUCCAAGUAUAUCAAGAAUCUACUCAAAAGAUUUGGAUAUGAGAAUAUCAAGGCGAAAUCAACACCAAUGAGCGUUGUCAGCAAGCUGACAGCAGAUGAAAAUGGUAAAGAUGUUGAUAUUCGAAUGUAUAGAGGUAUGAUUGGUAGUUUACUUUAUCUUACAGCCUCUAGACCUGAUAUUAUGUAUAGUGUUUGUGUUUGUGCUAGAUUUCAAGCAAAACCAAAGGAUUCUCACUUACAAGCUGUUAAAAGAAUAUUUAAAUAUUUAAGUGGAACCAUUACUUUGGGCUUAUUCUAUCCUAUCACAAAUGCUUUUGAUCUUGUUGGGUAUAGUGAUGCAGAUUAUGCAGGUAGUCAAACUGAUAGAAAAAGUACAAGUGGUGUUUGUGCAUUUUUGGGUCAAAGCUUAGUUUCUUGGUUAAGCAAGAAGCAAACUUCAGUUGCUCUAUCUACGGCUGAGGGGGAGUAUUUAGCAGCUGGUAGCUGUUGCUCUCAAAUGCUAUGGAUGAGACAACAAUUGAAGGACUUUGGAAUCAAAUGCAAGCAAACUCCUAUCUUUUGUGACAACACAAGUACAAUCAACAUUUCAGAAAAUCCAGUCAAUCAUUCAAGGACAAAGCAUAUUGAUGUUCGACAUCAUUUUCUGAGAGACAAUGUUGCAAAGGGUGCUGUCAAGCUGAUUUUUGUGGCUACAGCAGAUCAGCUAGCUGACAUCUUCACAAAACCUCUUCCUGAAGAACGAUAUGUCAUGCUGAGAAGGGAAUUGGGCAUGUGUGAUGUGCAGUCAGCAAGCUAAUAAGCUUGGUCCGGGUACUAUCAGCUUACUCUCAGUUAUUAUGACCAUUAUGUGCUGAUUUGGAUAAUUGUUGUGAUCUCGAUGACGAUGCUUGAUUUUCUACCCUUUUGAUGAUUAAGGGGGAGAAAAUUUAGGAACUUGGUUUGUGUUGUGAAUGUUGUGUUGUGAAUGUUAUAUUUGUUGUAUAGUUUAAUGUUAUAAGAUUGCUAUAUUCAGGGGGAGUAUUAUUACUUUUCCUAAAUAUAGUGUAAUCAUCAAAAAGGGGGAGAUUGAUACUCUCGAGAUUUUGAUGAUCACACUAACAGCAACUUGAUAACAUAAAACUGUACUCUGGUAGCUAGCUGAGAACGAGAUUAUAACUGUGCUAACAGCUAAUGUCUUUUGAAGUUAUCAUUGUUCUGUCAGCAAGCUUACAGGAAUAUUGACAGACUAUCAGCAAGCUCACAGCGUACUGACAGGAUGCUUAUCGGAUAAAGAUCAAGUCCUAUUUUCAAGGAGAUUUGUUAGGGAACGUUUUGUGAGGACUCUAAUACAUAUAUAUACAGUAUAUAAAUAUUAGAGCUCAUCUUUUAUCAAAGAGUUUUAUUCAAAAUCGUUUUCCUAAAAUAUAGGAGUUGAUUUCAAACCUUGUUUAUCCUUUUAGACUCCUACUUCUAUUCAAACUGUUUUGUUUUAUAAACAAACGUUUACUGAGUUGUUUCAAACGUCUUUAUGCUUUUACUCAGUAAAAAUACAUUGUUCAAACGUUCAUUAUUCAAGCAAAUUAAACGUGAGGUUGUUGGGCCAAGAACGUUGGAUAGUUUGUUGAGUUAUGACCGUUUGGAAUGAUGGUAUAUAAACUUGAGUGUGGUUUCCGUUUUGGUAGAGAACAAGAACACACUUCAAGCUUCUGAAAUACAACACACUUACAUUGCAAAAUCUUUACUUGAGCUCUAGUACUUAUAUUUGAUUAUAUAUCUAUAUUGAGUUCAUAGUUUCGGUUGUAUUACACUCAUACAUUGUAUUGUUCAAAGUGUAAAGGUUUGUUGCUGUGUAUCGAGCUUGUGAAACAAGGGAACAAGGGGACUAGUUAGCUAGAAGAGUAUACUUGGGAAGUAUAGGUCUUGGAGAGCUUUUGGUUCGUGGUUCAGGGGUUUCAGCAAGCUGAUAACAGGAACAAGGGAUAAAGGGAGUUAUAUUAUUGAAUCAUUGUAAUCGUUAACAUUAUUGAUUAAUAAUAUAAUCUCUUACCAGUUGGUAGGGGACCAGGACGUAGACCAUUAGGGUUAGGGGUCGAACCUGGCUAAAAUUCUCUGUGUUGCUAGCUUACUGAUUAUAUCUGUUUUGCAUUGCAUCUGCAUUGUUAGCUAGCUGACUGUUUACUCUGAAAUUAACAGCAAGCUGUCUGUGACAGUUUAACUAUUCGGUAACAAUUAAAAAUCGGUCAUAUUAGCCAUAACACCUAUUCACCCCCCUCUAGGUGUGUAAUUUCAGUUUCUUUUCGUUUUCAAAUCUCACCAAUCUCAUCAUUACACAUAACAACUUCACUGGUCCAAUACCACCCGAAAUUGGAAAUUUAACAGAUGUUCAGUACCUCGACUUUAGCUAUAGUAAUCUCAAUGGUACCAUUCCAUACCAGGUUAGCCAUCUUCAGAGGUCGGUCGUCUUAGGCCUCUCAUUUAAUCACUUGAAAGCUCCGAGCUUGUCCAAUUUUUCCCCCAUGCCUAUACUGGUUGGUCGCGGUCUUAGUGGUAAUAAGCUGGCAUCAAAAUUUCCAGAAUUGAUAUCUAAUUGCUAUAACAUGAUUAACCUUGAUCUUUCAUUUAACAUGUUAACUGGUAAACCUCUGUUCUAAAAGUCGGUGAUUAAUCACCGAUUAAUCCAUGUUUCCUAGCUCGCCAAACUGAUUAAAUAUCCGAUUAUUUUAAUUAAUGUCCGAUUAAUCACCGAUCAAUGCAAUUAAUCUACAAUUAAUCCUUAUUCUGGGACUUCACCGAUUAAGCUCGAUUCCCAUUUUUUACAACGACAUAACAGUGAAUCAUGAUUAUCAAGCAUCUGUCUUGUUAACAUUGAAACGAAGAGAGCAUGAAGUGAAAGGAAUCCUUUAUAUUUACGAUGUCAACAGCCCUACUGUCAAAAUUCCUUUCAAGUCGGGGCUUUUUACGAAUAAUUGGUAAUUCAGUGUUGAACUCCGCUCAACUUAUAAUUAGAUAAUCGAAAUCAAAAAUCUUGCAAUCAACAAAUAAAUUAUUAAGAACUUGCAAUUGAGUAAUGGCCGUCAAGUCACUUAACAAUACUAACCGGAAACUAACGUGACGGGCUGAUAUGUUUAAAAAAAUGCAUGAUGACUAUAUACUUGAUGUUUACGACCCUAACUAAAAUAUCCAACAAAUAAUACAUACAACCUGAUCUAAUAAUGUAAUACCUCUACUUAAGUAUAUUUUUAUGCCAAAUAUUUAUAGAUUUGUUUUUACAAAAAUGAUUAGAGACUUUGUAUAUACAAAAAUUGAGAAUUAUUGCUUGACUAGACGAAAAUAGGUGAGUUAUGAUUAUAAUAAAUAUUUAUUUCUACGAUGUAGUUUUUAUUAGUUAUAUAUAAAAAAAAUCUUGCUAUAUUUUGAUACUAGUGCAAUGAUUACUUCAAUUUAUUUUUUAUGAGAGUUACUAAGAUAUAUGACCAACUCAUCUUGCACUCGUAUUAAUUGUCUUAUAUAAUAAUAAUAAGAAAAAUAUGAGGCGGUGCUUAGUCAGAUGAUUUUAGUUGUUAAAAUAUUUUUUUGUUAUUUAUAGAUAGUGAAACAUGUCUAAUAUUUUAUCAAUUUUGUUUCGUUUCUUGAGAUUUCCAAAUAUUUAUUAGGACAUUGUACCAUGGUGUAUUUCAAGAUAUUAUUGUUAUUUAGAUAAUUAGUCAUAUUCAAUGAAUUUUGAGGACAAAAUUUAAAUAAGAGGAGAACAAUGUCAUAUCUCACAUAUUAGCAGUUUUAAUUAUUUUAUAUUUUUAUUUUAAAGAUAAGAUAAAGUUUAUUUAUUUAUUUGUUUUUAUCUUAAAAGCGAUUUUGAGUACUUUGUUUGAGUUAGAUAUAUACUUCUACUGUGGUUCAACUAGUUUUGCCGUCAGUGAAUAAUUUCCGGUCAAUAUUUUGAAAUUUGUUGUUAUCUUCUAAUUAAGAUAAGGGGUUAAAUAGCUUUUGAAAAAUGUGAAAAAAAUCAAAAAAAUUGGGAAACCAAAAGUGGCAAGCUUUUUUUUGUUCUUUUCAAAUUUUCUAAAAUCUGGGGAAAAAAGAACUUGCCACCUAAUUUUUUCCAAAUUUUUUCAAAUUCUUUUCAGAUGUUUGAAUUUUUUCCCAAUUUUUUCCUUUUUUUUUGAAUUUAUUAAGAUUUUUUUUGUUUUUUCUGCUUAUUCUGAAUUUUUUAAGAUUUAUUCGCAUUUUUUUUCAUAUUUUUAAAAAAUAUUUUUGAAAUUUCCGUUAAGUAAUUAAUGGAACUGACAGAGAGUGAUGCUUUUGAAAGUUUUUAAUUAUUUGAUGAUGCAUCUGAAAAUUUUUCAACAACAUGAUUCAGUUGCAAAUUUCCGGCGAGGUUAGUGAUAAAUUAGCUAUUUAACUCUUAAUAAAAUCUAUCUUAACAAUAUUAUAAAUAUUAUUGUUAUGGGUUCGAUGAGUCGUGUAAAACAUGGAAGAAGUUUAGGUGGGGUAAAAAGAGCCUAGCUGGGUGAUUUCCAUUCUGUUAUACGUGAUAUACUGUAGUUGAUCAUCUCCUUUGUCCGCUUCAUCCUGUGCAACCUUAACCUUUAAGGUAAAACUUAUGAGAUUCUCUGGAGCAUCUAAGGGGCCGUUUGGACAAACUUAAAAGAAGUGACUUCUUGCUUAAACUAGAGAAGUGGAGUAGAAGUGAGAAGUAAAUUAGUUAAUAAAGUGUUUGGAAAAAAAGCAGAAGCCAGAAGCAUCUUCGGCUUCUGUCAAACAAACAGGGCCUAAAUUUUUGUGUGAAAAAUGUUAGUCUCAAAUUAUUUUUCCUAAAAUGCUUACAUGUUACAUUUUAUAUGUAUGUCCUGUCUUUAAGUAUAAUUUAGCAUUUGUAUUUAGUAUUGUGUAAAAGUAAUUCAUUUUAUUCCGUCUUAUUAAAAAUAUAAUCAUGUUAUGCUGUAAAAGUAUUUGUGAAUUUCUUUGUUGCAUAUGUGUUUAAAUUAUUUUAUUUAUAUAUGUUUUACAAUUUUUACAAAUGUAUAGGUUGAGUAUUGCAUAAGAAUAUAAUUACACUCACAACUGUUAUGCGUGCAUGUAUAUUGCCGCUAAGUUUUAAACUUCUUACGAACCGGAAUAAUUUUGACAGAUGUGUGGAACUUGAUUAAUUUAGUUGCACUACAAGAGAAAGCGUUUUUACCAAUAGAAAUUGCUAAGGGAAAUUAGUCCGUCGGUAAUUUCCAACGAAUUUGUAACAAUUUGACUGGUCAAUGUUCUGCCAAUCAAUUCGCAACGAAAUACCCACGCUUAUUUACCAACGAGAUGUUCUGUUAGGAAAUAUAGCCACAUAAUGGAAUAAUAACAACAGCCCAAAGAAUGAGCAACAGACUAGCAACGAAAGCAUCUGUUACUACGUUCGUUGAUAUUCCGUUUAUAAAUACUAACAGUUCCGUUAGUAGUUAUUAGUUUUACAUUGGCAAUUGAUAUACACCAGAUGAGCACAUACACGGAUACAAUGCCAGUCUCUUAGUUGAAAUGUGUGUAAUGCUAAAGCCCAAUGAGCUUUAGUUGAUUAAAUUGAUUUGAGUUGUAGAAAAAAGCUAAUAAUAUAAUGGAUUUUGAUAUAUGUAUUGUAAAUAUUAAGUAAUUCUCUUGAAUUUAUAUAUGUAACAUAAUUGUUAAUUGGUUCAUCCUUGACUAGAAAUUUUAUAUUACAUUCUUAACUACAAAUUUUGUAUUUAAAAUUGUUUUAAAAAAUCAACUUUUAUUUGGCAUGUGGAUUUUGUAGUCAAAUGCGGUCAAUUUACUUAGCCUUUGAUCGAAUACCAACCUGAAACAUAAAAAUAUUUUUUAAUCAUUUAUUUUCGACGAUCCAACUAUAUUCUAUAAUUGUAAUGUGAUAAUAUUGAUUACAAAAUUUAAAAAAAAAAAUUAACCUUUUAUUUGGUAUGUGCAUUUUGUAGUCAAAUGCAAUUAAAUUACUUAGUCUUUAGUGAAAUCUUUACUCGAAACAUAAAACUUUUUCUUAAAAAAAAAUUGGACGAUCCAACCGUACAAAUGUUAUUGCAACGUGUUAAUAUUGGUUAAAAUAAAUUUUAAGAAAAUAUGUCUUUUAUUUGGUGUGUGGAUUUUGCGGUCAAAUAACUUAGCCUUUAAUUGAAUACUUACCCAAAACAUGAAACUAUUUUUUUUAAAUCAUUUCGGACGAUCCAACCGUACGGGUGUUAUUCUAACAUGAUAAUAUUGAUUAUUUUUUUUAAAGAAAAAAUAUAGCCUUUUAUUUGGUGUGUGGAUUUUGUAGUCAAAUGCAGUCAAAUUACUUAACCUUUAAUGAAAUGCUUACAUUAAACAUGAAAUUAUUUUUUUUAAAAUCAUUUGGAUGAUCCAAUCGUACGGAUGUUAUUAUGACAUGUUAAUUGAUUAAAAAAAAUAUUUAAAAAAUUGCUUUUUAUUUAGUGUGUGGAUUUUGUAGUUAAAUGCUACUUGGCCUUUAAUCGAAUACUUAACCGAAACAUGAAACUAUUUUUUUAAAAACCAUUUUGGACAAUCCAACCGUACGGAUGUUAUUGUAACAUGACAAUAUUGAUUGUUUUUUUAUAUAAUAACUUUUAUUUGGUGUGUGGAUUUGUAGUCAAAUUACUUAGCCUUUAAUCGAAUACUUACCUGAAACAUGAAACUAUUUCUUAGAAAAUUAUUUUAGAUGAUUCAACCAUACAGAUGCUAUUAUAACGUGAUAAUAUUGAUUAUUUUUUUUAAAAAAAUUAGUCUUUAAUUUGGUGUAUGAAUUUUAUAGUAAAAUGAUGUCAAAUUACUUAGUCUUUAAUGGUAUAUUUAUUAGAAUUAUGAAACUAAUUUUAAAAAUUUAGUUUGGACGAUCCAAACUGUAUGAAUGUUAUUUUAACAUGUUAAUAUUGAUUAAAAUUGUUUAAAAAAAUUUAGUGUUCUUUUAUGUGUGAAUUUUUAGUCAAAUAUGAUAAAAUAUUUAUUUAGCCUUUAAUGAAAUAUUAAAAAUCCCUACUUUAAAAGAAACUUGUCUAAAACUACCUAUACGCGUUAGAGAUUCAUCGAUUUAGUUAUCAAAUUAGUUAUAAUUAGGGUUUUACUCCGCUUUUCUCUGGUAUGAUGUUGAUUUUUGGGGUUCGAUUGGUCGACUUUCAUGUUUUAUAAGUUAUGUGAGUUCGAUUUUGAUGUUUUUACAAUUAGGUUUAUGUAUGUUUUUAUACGGGUUUUCAUGUUCAUGUUUUGAUUUGUUGAUUUCCUAUUUUUCCUAUUUGUUGAUUAGUUAUUUGUGUGGGUUUUGGAUUUUGAUGUGUGUGUAUGUAAUCUCCUGUAUUUUUUUUCAUUUUUUCUGGUUCGAACUCUUCGAUUAGUAGAUGAAAAAAACUGAUGCGGCAGUAGCGGCUAGCAAGGAGAUGGAUAACAAGAAAAGGACGAUUUUGAGGUCCUCUCGUGCAAGUCUUCAGGUAUAAUUUUGUUCCUUUAUGUUUUUAAUUAACAUAAAUUUUCACAUUUGCUGAUUAUAUUAUGGGGGAUUCUGGGUAUACUUGUAUAUAAUCUAGCAAGUAAUUAUAGUUCUGAAUGGGAAGCUUAUUGUGAAAUUAAAUUGAGGAAUAAGUUGUGUUAUUGGUUCUGGUGGAUUAAAUUUAUGUUAACACUUGAUAUAUGCAUUGAUGUCGUAAAAUAAGUUGUACAUCGAACUAUUUGGCUUGUUUAAGUUGUAUGGAGUAUGGUUGCCAAGCAUUGGUUGGUUGUACACGUAUAAACAAAAUGAUAUUUUAAUAUUUGAACAAAACAAUACAGAGCCCGUUUGGCUGAACUUGUAACUCAUAAAUUAACGUGAUUUAUGAUUUAACGUGACUUAUCUAAUAAGCUGAGAGUUUUAAAAUGUCUGUUUGGAUAAUUUUGACUUAUCAACGAUUUAUGGGUCAUUAAAAAUAUAAAAAUAAAAAUUAAAGUGUUUUAUGAGUAGGUUAUGAUUUAUGGAUAAUUUUUAUAUAAAAAAAAGUUCAAAAAAAUUAAGUUACUGGAAAAAUACCUCAAACUAAUUUCAGGCUUUAAGUCAGCUUCUGAUUUAUUAGUUUUUAAGUUUAAGCCGGCUUCUGACUUAUUAAAGCCAUCAGAAUAAUUUUAAACCGCAGCUCUAAGCUACGACAAACGGGCUCACAGUCAUAAACAGAUCGUGUCGGGCUGGACUGAUUGUGAUUUUCCUUUUUGGAACUCGUACUCGGCAUGUUCCACGCGAAUGAUAUUUAGAAGUAUACUCCAUGUCAUAAUAAGAGUUCUUUAAAUUUUUUAUAUGUAAUUUGAAGUAUAAAAAAAAUAUUUUAACAUAAUAUUUUUAAUUUUUUAUACAUAAAAAUAUAACAUCUAUAUUUUUAUUUAGAAAAAAAAAUUUGAAAAAUAAUAUAUAGAUGCAUGUUUUUUUUAUACGUGAAAUUACAUGUAAAAAUCAAAAGACUUUUAUUUUGAGUAAGAGAGAAUAUGAUGUACCAUAAAGUCAUCGAUUUUUUGUUAUCAAAUGAAUGUGAUAGUUAACUAUUUAAGAGCAAGUCCAAAAGUGUUCUAGUUCAUGCUCUAAAUAUAAUAUAAAAUAUUAUGUCCUAGUGAUUUGGGACAUAUUUUACUAACUUGGACUUCAACAAUGAGUCUUAAGGCUCAUUUGUUUUGAGCUUAACAUUGCUGAACGGAUUCCAGCUUACUGAUUAAUGCGAGUUCAGAUUGUUUGGCGACCAUAUUUUAUAAGCUUACCGAUUAAUGCGAGUUUAGAUUGUUUGACGAUCAUAUUUUAUAUUCUGAAUUGUUCAUAUACAGCUGAGCGGAUCAGUCUAAAGUGGGUGAAAGAAUCAUUCAGCGCCAUCCUUAUUAGCUUAUAAUACUGUAUGUCAACUUCAAUCUUAUAAAAAUAUAUUUUAUUUGUUUACUAUAUUUUAUAUAUAUGUUGAUUUUAUCCCAAGUUUUGUUCGUAUCAACUGAAAAUAAUAACUCUUUCAAAAAAUUAAAAAUAAUAUAAUAAUAAUCGAUAUAAUUUUUAACUUUAUAAUUAUUUUGAAUAAUAAUAUGUGAAUUUUUUUUAUAUGUCUAAAUAAGUUUUCAUCUUAUUAAAAAUCAAGUGAUAUAUAUUUUAUUCAAGUGAUAUAUAUUGUUUUAGUGAUAAAAAAGUUCACUAAAACAAUUUAUCAUAUUUAUAAUAUAUUAUUCAGAUAUUUCAAAUAUUAUUCAUCAAACAAUAUUAUUCAUUCAGAAUUCAGAUGAUUCAUCCGUUAAGAUCAUUCAGGUAUAUUAAUCAUUCAAUUCAGAUUUGCCAAAUGACCCCUUAUUCUCACACGAUGUUUAAUAUUUUAUUAUUAGAGAGAGAAAAGGAGUGUUGAUAAGAAUUAAUAACAAAAUAUGGACAGGGUAAGGAAAGAUGUACCUCAAAAAUAGGACUUGAGAAGGUUGUCCCAGUGAUAUAAGGCAUCACUAGGACAUUGUUGGAUCAAUUUUUUACAUCAAAUGCCUUAAAUAACAACUUAGGACGACAUAUAUGGAAAUUGUUGGACUUGCUCUAAGUUGUUACUCCUUCCAAGUAUAAAAGAUGAGUAAAGUUAAAUGAAGACGUGGUAAAAUAAUGUGACCUAUUUAUAUUUAAUAAUACAUUUGAAAUAGUGGAGGAAAGUAACAUGUGUAAUAACGUUUAUAUUAUUAUUGCAUAUAGAUAAGAAGAAAGCAAUGGGUAUAAAAGUGUAUUAUAUUAUUAAAAUUAUUAUUUUUAAAAUGUUUAGAAAUAAUGGGGCAUCCAAAAAGAAAACUGUAUAGAAAUGAAAAAGGAAAUACAAUUCAAAAAGUCAUAUAUCUAAAUUCAAACUAGGUAAUAUAUUUAUGAAUUAUAUUAAAAAAAAUAUUUGACAUUCAAAUAUAAAAAUUUAUUUUAUCAUCUCAACAAUGAAUAUUCGAUUAUUAACUUUCGUAAAUAACAUUAAUUUUUCAUUAUAAUAUACUCUAAACUUUUAUUUUAUGUGCCUGUUUGUUUACGAGAAGCUGGAAUUUACUUCUCUUGACUCGUUUGUGUAAAAAAGUAAAAGGUGCUUUUAAAAAGUACUGAGAACGAAAUGGAAGUAGAAAAUGCUAGCUUUUCUUUAUAAUAUCUAUUUCUUUUCCAGACAUUUUAAUAAUUUAUAAUUAUUAAUUUAUUUGUCAUUUCUACUUAUUUUUUUUAGAGAACUUUUUUUAAACUAACCGGCUCCUAUAACUAGUAAUUACUUCUAAAUCACAAAUUACUGAUAAAUCAUCACUUUUAUUAUUAUUAUUAUUAUUAUAUUUUUAAUAACUCAUAAAUUAUUAAUAAGUCAAAAUUAGUCAAACAGAUAUUUUUAAGUUGAGCUUAUGAGAUAACUAACGUUAAGUCUUCUGAGCCCCCAUUGGCUCACAAUUGGCCCAAAAAAUAUUUGGUUAUGCAUUGCUAUUCACACACUUAGACAUCAAAAUUUAUCAUCCGACAGCUAACUGCACACUAUUUUUCCCACAAGCUCAAAAAUCAACGAUCAAUUAAUUUUUUCUUAUCAAUUACUAAUAAAGUUAUGAUUUCACGUACACGGCAGGCAAAAUGCUAAUAAAUAGACGAGUGCAGUAUAGUAUGGGUUCAUGAUCCCCUUGAGAUUUAAUUGAAAAAUAUUAUGGUGAUAUAGAUUAAAUUAAAUUAUAAUAUUUUGAAAAGUUAUAAAUAAUUUUAAUUACUAAUAAUAUUUAUUUGUACAUUUAAAUAUUUUUAUAAAAACACAAUAAUAGCAUUAUACUCAUUUAAGUUUCUCGUAUCCGCCUCCUCUUCUUGGAGAUUGUGGAUUUGCGAUAUUUGUAUUGAUUAUUAUAGGAAAAUGUUAUUUUCAGAGCAAACAUUUUUAUUUCUGGAGCAAAUUCAAUUCCCACUUCCUUGUCCUUGUAGCUACAUAAAUCAUACAACUUCAAUACAAACUUUUCCAAAUUGUUCUGGAAAUUAAAAAAUUGAUAUGGAUAUAACAAUUCCCUUAUUAUAUCCUAUGUAUAUUACAUUAAUGCAAUUAACAUGGUUGGUUGUUUUAGUAUAUAAUUAUAUUAGUGUGGCCUUUUAGUAUAUAAUUAUAUUAUUUUUGUUAUAUUUUAUGCAUCUAGAAACAAUUUUUUUAUGAUAUUUAUUAUAUUAAUUAUAGUAAAAGAUAUAAUUUUGUUUAAAAAAUUGAAUAAAACUAAGAGGGAUAGCCUACGUCUCUCCGAGUCUUCGAGGACUCAUUCCAAGUCCGCAGAGGACCACCGCCUCAACCUUUAAGAGAUGUGAAAGUAGCUUGAGAGAGACAUAAAUUAAUGUUUGAUAAUAAAAUUUAAUAAUCAAAUAAAUUAAAUUAAAUUAAACUAGUUUAUAGUAAUCGAUUAAAAAUAUAUAAAUCAAAAUUAUUCCUGAAUUAUGAUAACAAUUAAAAUCAUAUUAAAAGUUGCAAAAAUCAAACCCAAAUCGAACAAAUUCCCCUAACACUAAAAUGUAGUUGCUUUAUUGUAGAUAAAAACAGUAUAAUAAUCGUAUUGAUGAAAAAUCAAAUUCAUCAAAUAAGUUUAUAAAAAAUACAUGAUUUUAGUGUGUUGUAUUAGUAGUGUGUCCACGCAUUUAUAUAUUAAAAUCUAUCCUCUAAAAACUAUCGAUCUAUUUACACAACUAUUGAUCUGUCGUGCAACAAAUUCCACGGAGAAGUUCCAAAGAGAGCUUAAAUGGCUUGCAUUGCUCAAUCUAUCUCAUAAUAGUCUUAACGACAUAUGUUCUGAAUUAUUAUUAUGCUUUCAACAAUAUUUUCAAACAUUUCUUAAUAUGUAUUUUCAAAGAAUUAAGAGAAUGCACAAAAAUUAAGAGAGAUUGCUCUGGGUCUCCCCAAGCCUUUCAGGACUCAUUCCAAGUCUUCCUAGGACCACUGCCUCACCCUUUCAAAGAUGUGAUAAUAGCUCGAGAGUAAUAUAAAUUAAUUUACGGACACUAAAAAUAAAAAAUCAGAUCAAAUUAAUCAAUAAUAAAUUAAGGAUGAAAUCCAAAUUAAUCCUAAAUUUUGAUAAUAUAUAAAUAUUAUAAUUAUAAAUUAUAUAACCAAAUCAGAAUUGAAUUAACUUACUUGGCACUAAAAUUGAUAAAGACAGAAUAAUAAUUUAAUCGAUGAAAAGUCAAAGUCUUCUAAUAAAUCCAUAAAAGAUAUGAUAAUCCAAAUAACACACUUAUAUAUCAAAAUUUAUGGUCCAAAAACUAUAGCAAAAUAUCCUAAAUACACCACAUUAAAUAAUAGUUCAAAAAUAUUCAAUAAACAAUUGUUUUCAUUCAUAAUUUUGUUAUUUUAAAAACUAAUAAUUUGGUUGAUGUUAACCUAUAUUUUAAUAUAUAAUUAUAUUAUUUUCAUCUUAUUUUAUUUAACCAGAAACAAUAUUUUUAUAAUAUUUAUUACUUUAUUUAUAUUAAAAUAUAUAAUUUCAUUAAAAAAAUUGAAUAAAAUUAAGAGAAUAACUCUAUGCCUCUCUAAGUCUACAAGACUCAUUUCAAGUCUACCGAGGACUACUACCUCAACCAUCGAGAGAUGUGAAAGUAUAGUUUGAGAGUGACAUAAAUUAUUUUCCUGACAAUAAAAUUUAAUAUCUAAUAUAAAUUAAUUAAAUUAGAUAAUAAUAAAUCAAAACUAAUUAUGAAUUAUGAUAAUAAUUAAAUAAAUUAUAAUUAAAUUAUAUAAAUCAACUCCAAAUGUACAAAUAACACUAAACCUUGGUUACUUUGUUGGUAAAUAAAUAUAAUAUAAUAAUCAAAUUGAUGAGAAAUCAAAAUCAUCUAAUAAAUUCACAAAAAAUAUAUAAUCAGUAUAUUAUAUUAGUAUCCACACACUUAUAUUUCAAAAUCUAUCCUCCGAACUUAUCAUCUCUGUAAACUACCCACAUAAAAUAAAAAUUUAAAGAUAUUAGAUAUUUAGUUAUUUUCAUUAUAUAUAAUUUUUCCACACUAAAUAACAAAAUAUCUUUAUCAAAUUAUUAUUUAUAAGUUUUUUGAAUAUCAGAUUCAUAACCCAGUUGAUCAGGAGAAACAUGGCCUACUCUGCAAAGCCUUCUCACCUUCUUCUCUUUGUUUUCUUUCUCUCAUCACUUGAAUCCAUUCUUGCAACAACACAAGAGGGAGAAGCUCUUGUGAAGUGGAAGAAUAGCCUAGCCCCUUCUUCUUUUCUCGACUCUUGGUCACUCACCAAUCUCGAAAAUCUUUGUAACUGGACUGGCAUUACUUGUAACUCUGCAGGUUCAGUCUCGGAGAUUAACCUUUGUGAGAAACAACUUGAUGGAAUGCUGUCCGAGUUUGGUUUCACUUCAUUUCCAAAUCUCAACAAUCUCAUCCUCGCAGAUAACUUCUUCUCGGGUCCCAUACCACCGGCCAUUGAGAAUUUAACACAGCUUCGAUUUCUUGAUUUAAGCUUUAAUUCUCUCCAUGGUCCCAUUCCGUUCCAGGUUAGCCAUCUUCAGAGCUUGCUCAUCUUAAACCUGUCACAGAAUGCAUUGCAAGCUCCAAAUUGGUCCCAUUUCUCUCCCAUGCCUUUCUUGCGCAUCCUCAACCUCAGUUACAAUCCUCUUGCGUCGAAAUUCCCAUAUUUUAUAUCCAAUUCUCAUAGCCUGACUCACCUUAGCCUUAAUUAUAACGAGUUUACUGGUGAUUUAGUACGUGAAUCAGUAUUUGCCAAUCUGCAUAAUCUUGAAGUGCUCAGUCUUGUUGGCAAUUCUUUUGAGGGGCCAUUUCCGCCGGAUGUAGUCCAGCUUUCCAAAUUAAAACGUCUCUUCCUGUCAGGUAACAAAUUUUCAGGUUCAAUUCCCAAUGACAUAAGGUUGCUUUGUGAUCUUGAAUACCUAUAUUUAGGCAACAAUUCCUUUGAAGGACCGCUUCCACCAAAUAUAUUCAAGCUUUCAAAAUUAAAAAAUCUUGUUAUUUGGAGUAAUAAGUUUUCAGGUUCUAUUUCCAAUGAUAUAGGUUUGCUUUCUGAGCUUGACACCCUCAAUCUUCGCUCUAAUUUUUUUAAGGGUCCGCUUCCGUCAAAUAUAUUCAAGCUUUCCAAAUUAACAAGUCUUGACCUCGCAGACAAUAGAAAUUUAUUUGAAGGAAGUAUUCCUAUUGGACUGGGACUCUUGACUAACCUCAGGUUCUUAGAUCUACAUUCCAGUAAUCUCAGUGGCUAUAUUCCAUCUGACAUUGGAAACCUGAAGCUACUAGUACUUCUUAAUCUCGGUUCUAAUAAAUUGACUGGACCGCUUUUAAAGAUCGUUUCUAAUCUCACAAAUCUUAUAUAUUUUGAUGUAAGUGAUAAUAGUCUUCGUGGAAAUAUUCAGAGUGACUUGUGGAUAUAUAACGAUCAUCCAACUUUGGAAUACAUCAAUUUAAGUGGGAACCAUUUUACGGGUAUAGUUUUUCUCUAUAGAUCUUUUCCUUUUGUCAUAUGUAACUAAGCUAGUAAUCUGGUUAUUGCAGUUUUACCAAAGUUUCAACAAUCUUGACAGGUGAGCUUCCAACAACAAUUUGCAAUGUCACUUCCCUUUCAAUUCUUGAUUUGUCAAAUAAUGAAUUAAGUGGUGCACUUCCAAACUGUUUCGGGAAUCUUGCUGAUGGAUUGCUUUACAUUAAUCUUGCUAAUAAUCAGUUUCGAGGAACAAUACCAACUACUUUCUCCAGGAGUUGUCAGCUGACAUAUCUAAACAUGGAUGAUAAUGAGUUUGAAGGAUUGUUGCCCCCAUCUUUGGCGAACUGUAAGCACUUGAAAAUUUUUGAUAUUGGCAAUAAUAAAAUAGGUGGUACAUUUCCGUCAUGGCUUUAUGCACUUGGAGAGCUAGAAGUCCUUGUCUUGCGAUCAAAUAAACUCUGUGGUACAAUAAGUGGAAGGAGCAUAGAAGAUCCCUUCCCCAAGUUGCGGAUUGUGGAUCUGUCCAACAACCACUUCACAGGCCAUUUGCCAAUUCAAUACUUUAAGAAUAUGAAAUCAACUGAUAAUUUGUAUAGUUAUCAGCUUUUCACAGCAGUUUUUUCUUUCCAUUAUGAAGCAGCAGUCUCAUUAAUUGUGAAGGGAACAGAGUAUGAAGUGGCAAAUAACCUUCAUAUUUACACAGCCAUUGAUCUGUCGUGCAACAAAUUUCAGGGAGAAAUUCCAAAGGUUACUGGAGAGCUUAGAUGGCUUGCAUUGCUCAACUUAUCUCAUAAUAGUCUAACAGGACCUAUCCCAUCAUUGCUGGGAAAUAUGAAAGAACUCCAAUCUUUAGAUUUGUCUUCAAAUCAACUGACAGGGGCCAUUCCACCUCAGCUAACUGCAUUGACAUUUCUAGAGGUCUUAAACCUCUCGGGAAACCAUCUUAGUGGAGAGAUUCCUCAGAAAGGACAGUUCAGCACAUUUAACAAUGAUUCUUAUCUAGGAAACUCCGCGUUAUGUGGAUCACCUUUGACGAAGAAAUGUGCAAACACAGCAUCACCUCCACAAGAAGUCGGAAAUGGUGAUGAAGANGAUUUGUCUUCAAAUCAACUGACAGGGGCCAUUCCACCUCAGCUAACUGCAUUGACAUUUCUAGAGGUCUUAAACCUCUCGGGAAACCAUCUUAGUGGAGAGAUUCCUCAGAAAGGACAGUUCAGCACAUUUAACAAUGAUUCUUAUCUAGGAAACUCCGCGUUAUGUGGAUCACCUUUGACGAAGAAAUGUGCAAACACAGCAUCACCUCCACAAGAAGUCGGAAAUGGUGAUGAAGAAGAUGGUGGUGAUGAAUUGACAUGGGAAGCAAUCGUGAUGGGAUAUGGAUGUGGACUGAUAUGUGGAUUGUCAUCGGCAUACAUUGUUCUCAAACUAGGAAAGCCUUGGUGGUUUGUGAGAUAUAUCGAAGUACUGCAACAGAAGUUGAUGAAAAGAUGCUUGAAGAAAGGUACUGGUCGAUCAAGACGAACUUGAAAGUUGUUGUCCAUGUGGACAUUUCUGAACCAGUAGUGUACUAGCUGCAUAAGUAUUUGGUAUUAUGUAAUAUUCUGUUUGGUGGGGAAUCAUAAUAAUUUUUCUUCCUGUAGGGGUAUUAAUAUUAACCUUGUUAUCUUGAUCAAUGUUAAUGCAAAUUAAAAUGAAUGAAAAAACAAAAAAUAUGCAUCAAAUCCACUCCUGCUGUACCAAGAUCCAUUAAUUUGCUUUGGUCUUUUACAUAACAAUUUAACAGCGCACUUCCCCACUGUUUGAAAGAAUUUAAUAAUAAACUCGAGUUUUCCAGGACUGCACCAAGUUCACAUAUUCAAUAUCACACAUUCCAGUCUCAGCUUCAGCUCCCAGGGUAGAAGAGAAGUUUUAUGUACAAUAACAGUUAAUUACCAUAGCUACUUUAGUCUUGGUUCAGUUUUUGCAGAGAUAAUUACCAGAUUUUGAAAUCCUUCAUGUGAGGAAACAAAUAUCGAGAGACAUUUCUGUUUACAAAUAUAGGUUUUCUAGACAUAAUUACAGGAACUUUUACCAUUAUACACUUUUAUAGUACUGGUUAAGAGUUUGUUGUUCAGCCUAGUGAAAGAAAUAAUUCCUCUGCUAUUUCAUUAACAUUGCUGGUAUAUAUACAAUGUACAACACACCCUUCAAGGCUAUAAUCAGGGAACCUAAAAUAUAUCCAAAACUAAUCAUAGAAACAGACUAACUAAUUACAAUAAAUCAUAUCCAGAAAUAUCUCCACAGAUGUCGCAUAGAUAUCUUUAACACACCCCCUCAGUCGAAGCGGGAGGUAAACGAACACUGAGACUGUCUCUGAAGUCUUCAAAAAGAACACGCGGAAGACCUUUUGUAAAAAUAUCUGCUACUUGAUAUCUGGAUGGCACAUGAAGAACCCGUACUUCACCUCGUGCAACUUUUUCCCGAACAAAGUGAAUAUCCAUCUCAAUGUGUUUAGUACGUUGGUGUUGUACUGGAUUACCCGAUAAAUAAAUAGCACUGACAUUGUCGCAAUACACCACAGUUGCCUUUGUAACUGGACAAUGCAAUUCCAACAACAGAUUUCGGAGCCAACAUGAUUCAGAGACCACAUUAGCUACACCCCUAUACUCGGCCUCUGCACUGGAUUUGGAAAGAGUCGGUUGUCGCUUAGAAGACCAGGAAAUCAAGUUGUCACCCAAAAACACACAAUACCCAGAUGUAGACCGCCUCGUGUCGGGGCACCCACCCCAGUCAGCGUCAGUAUAUGAAACAAGAGAGGACUGUGAAGAGGAAUAGAGAUGUAAACCAUAGUCCUGUGUUCCUUGAAUGUACCUAAUGAUUCUUUUAAGAGCUUGCAUAUGAGUAACCCGUGGAUCAUGCAUGUGCAGACAUACUUGUUGAACCGCAUAAGAAAUAUAUGGACGUGUGAAAGUCAGAUAUUAAAGUGCCCCAGCAAGACUCCGAUACAAUGAAGGAUUCUCAAACACAGAACCAACAGACGCACUAACCUUGGCCUUCGUAUCAACUGGUGUAGGUGAUGAUUUACAAGAGGACAUGCCAGCCCUCUCAAUUAUCUGUUGUGCAUAAUUCUUCUGUGACAGAAACAUGCCAGCCUUAUGACGAGUGACUGAUAUACCAAGAAAAGAACUCAAGGGGCCAAGAUCCUUCAUAGCAAAUUCUGAACUAAGAAGCUUUAUAAUCGAGACACGGAGAUCAUCAGACGACGCAGUGAGAAUUAUGUCAUCGACGUAAACCAGAAUAUAGGCCAUGUGAGAACCGUUGCGAUAAACGAAUAAUGAGGUGUCACAUUUGCUUCUAAUGAAACCAAUAGACAGAACAAAAUCAGCAAACUUCUCAGACCAAGUCCGGGGGGACUGCCUCAGGCCAUAAAUUGAUUUACGUAACAAACACACAUAAUCCGGAUGAGCACGAUCACGAUACCCCAAAGGUUGAUGCAUAUAUAUUGUUUCCUUUAAGUCACCAUGAAGGAAGGCAUUCUUUACAUCUAGCUGAUGAAUUGACCAGCCAUUCGAAAGAGAGAGAGAAAGCACUGUGCGGAUUGUAGCUGGUUUCACUACCGAGCUAAAAGUUUCGCCACAAUCAAUACCCACCAGCUGAGUUUUUCCAUUUCCGACAAGGCGAGCUUUAUGCCUCUGAAACACACCAUCCGAAUUUUCUUUAUGAGCAAAAACCCACAUAGACCGAAUAACAUUAACAUCAGGUGGACGGGGCACCAAAUCCCAUGUCUUAUUUUGAAUAAGUGCAUUAUACUCCUCAUCCAUGGCUAUUUUCCAAUUCGGGUCCCGAAGAGCAUCAACAGGGCUAUGUGGUAAAGGUGACCGAGGAGCUGUUGUGUUAUAUGCAUGAUCAGAAUAUCGCAUAUUUGGUUUAAAAAUACCUCGUUGGCUCCUGGUAACCAUUGGGUGCUGGUUUAUAGGAGUAGGGGAAGAUGUUGAUGUUUGUGGACUCGAGGAGGAAGAUGAACUCAAUGAGGAGGGAGAUGGCGACGUUGAUGAAAGUAAGGGAGAGGAGGAUUGGUUUGAGAGUACUGGACUCGGUGAAAGAGAAUGAGGAGAACUCCCAGGGGAAGGUGAGAAACUACCAUGUCGUGUCUCAUGUGUGUGAGUACUGUCUGGGUGAGCAGACACAGACACAGAAGGACUUUGAUUUUGCAGAUGAUACACUGAAUAAGGUGAUAAGCCAUCUGCUAAAAAAUCAUAGGUAGAAGUGGAUGAAUCAUGUAACUUAGCAAACGGAAACACAUGCUCGUCAAAUAACACAUGGCGACAAAUUAUAAUCUGUGCUGUGAUGAUAAAUCAUAACAUUUGUAACCACGGUGAUUAGCCGGAAACCCCAAGAAAACACAAGGUGUUGAACGAGAUUGCAAUUUAUUAAUUGUGGUAGAGGGAAUGAGAGGAUAGCACAAGCAACCAAAGACCCGAAUGUGAGAAAAUGAGGGAACCCGUUGAUAUAGGAUUUCAAGAGGUGAUAAAUUGCCUAAGACCUUGUUCGGAAGAACAUUUAGAAGAUAGGUGGCCAUUUGUAAUGCAUGAUUCCAAAAAGAUGAAGGAAGAGAUGCAUGAGCUAAGAGUGUUCGAGUGACAUUAUUAAUAGUUCGAAUUUUUCUUUCUGCUUUCCCAUUUUGAGAAGAAGUAUGAGGACAAGACAACCGAAAAGUCAUGCCAUUGUUCUUAAAAAAAUCCCAGAAAUGAUGAUUAGUAAAUUCCCUCCCAUUAUCGCAUUGCACAUUUUUAAUGGUACACUCGAAUUGGGUGAGAAUAUGAUUGUGAAACGCCACAAAUUUAUCAAAGACAUCAGAUUUCUUAGCAAUUGGAAAAGUCCAAAGAAAAUUGGAGAAAUCAUCUAAUAACACAAGAUAGUACUUAUGACCCAUAGUACUCAAAACCGGAGAUGUCCAAAGAUCACAAUGAAUUAUAUCAAAUGGCUUUAAAGUACUUGAACUAGACGAAACAAAUGGCAUCUUGAUAUGUUUUCCAAACACACAAGAUCGACAAAUGCUAGAAUGUGAAAGCUUAGAACAAUGAAUGCUUUUAUUGAGUCGAAGAGCAUCCAAAACUUGUGCACCGGGAUGGCCUAAACGAUCAUGCCAAAGAGAGGAAUUGAUGGCUGCAAAAGUAGAAUGAAGAGCUCGAUUGUUGAUAGAUUGUGUAAGAGGAUAAAGAUCGCCUUGGCUCUCACAUCUCAUUAUUAGCACUCACGUCUGUAAAUCCUUCACAGAAAACCCAAAAGGAUCAAAUUCCACCGUAACAGAAUUAUCAGUGGUAAAUUUGCGAACAGAAAUAAGGUUUUUAACAAUUUUGGGAGCGUGGAGGACAUUUUUAAGGGACAAAGGAAGGCCAGGAGAUGGUAAUGCAGUAUGACCAUAUCCUUGAAUUGAAAUAAUAUUGCCAUCACCCACAACAAUGCCAUUAUGAUGAGAAUUAUGUUGAUUGCUCAAAUUAACAUAGGACGAGAAAUUACCAUUUGAGGAUGUCAUAUGAGAUGUAGCACCAGUAUCCAUGUACCACGACGGAUCAGGUUGAUUGAGAGUCAUGGUAUGCAUUGCAGAUUCAAUAUCCGUUGGAACAAAAGAAGCUGACUGCCCAACCGUUGUUCCUGUGAAAGCCUGCUGUGGUCGAGGACCAAGAACUCCAGGCUGUGGUUGUUGAACUCCCGUGGAACGGGGCUGAGUCCAGCCCUGAGUUGGGAAUGGACAAGGGGGAGCGGACCAUCCCUGCAUCCAAGGUGGAGCAGCCAAGAUUGGAAAUAACCCGGUGCCCACUGUUGUGAACCCCAUUGCAUCCUAUUCUGUUGUUGUCCACCACCACGGCCUUGACCCAUACGACCCCCACCAGAACCACGACCUCCACCUGAACCAGAUCGUUUAUUAUUUUUCCUGUGGUUAUUAUGCUUAUUGCCACGGGGAGGUGCGGAUCCCUGAUUCGAGCCUGUGUCGUCAAAAUCCGUCUGUGAGGCAACCAACAUUGCAGAGUCAGACCCUGUGGCAGCUUCUUUUGCUAAAGCAGCCUCCUCUAAUGUUAACAUAGACCGGGCUUGAUAGAAUUGUGGGAGAGGGUCACUCUGUCGAAUUAAGGUCCCAACACCACGGUAUGCCCUUGGAAGGCCGGAAACCAGUUGAAUAACAAGUCUACUAUCCGAGAUUGGUGCACCAACAUUUUUCAGUUGAUCAGCAAGAGAUUUGAGACGCUGACAGUAAGCCGAAACAUUCGGAAAAUUCUCCAUUUUUGUACUGGAGAAUUCAGCCUCCAAAGUUACCACACGGGAAUUCUUGUUGUCCUGGAAUAUGUCACGCAACCUGUUCCAUGCCUCCAUAGCAGUGGCAUCUGGUUCAAUGAUCGUAUGUAAAAGAUCAUUGGAGAUAGUCGCAUAAAUCCAAGACAGAACCGUAGCAUCAAGCGUCGACCACAAUUCCUUUUCAUCCUCAGUAGAAAGAACCUUCUCUUUGCCUGUGGCAGGAGGAAUAAUAUGAGAAAGCACCUUAUGAGAACGUGCGGUAAUUUUGAAAAGCUCCGCCCAUGUCGAGUAUUGACCAUUCUCCAUCUCAAGAAUAAUGGGGAUAUGAUUGCGGAUAUUUGACACCGCAAGAGCUGGAUGAAAGGAGCUCUUGUUACCAGACAUUGGCUGCUGAUUAGUUGUAUCAGUCAUGAUAAUGAGAAAAGAAAAGAAGAUGAGUGCUUAGCGGAAGAAAAGAAAGAAAGAAAGAUCGUGGUAUUGCCUUAAGGCUCUGAUACCAUGAAAGAAAUAAUUCCUCUGCUAUUUCAUUAACAUUGCUGGUAUAUAUACAAUGUACAACACACCCUUCAAGGCUAUAAUCAGGGAACCUAAAAUAUAUCCAAAACUAAUCAUAGAAACAGACUAACUAAUUACAAUAAAUCAUAUCCAGAAAUAUCUCCACAGAUGUCGCAUAGAUAUCUUUAACACCUAGUCCUAAACUAAAAUUAUCAGUUCGAUGUGAAAUACGAAAUCAUAUUGCAGACGUCAUUCGUUGUUCCACCUAGUCCAAAACUACUCUAAAACUAUAUUGCUGGUAGUCUUUCAGUUCAUCCUACUGUAUGCAAUAGUUUCAUAUAUAGGUAACUCGGCCUUGUGUGGACUUCCUUUAACAAAAAAAUGUCUGCACUCAGUGUCACCACCACUGGAAGUCGAAAAUAGUGAUGAUGAAGAUGAUGCUCAUGGUGAACUUAAUUGGGAAGUAAUCCUGACGGGAUGUGGAUGUGGAUUGAUUUGCGGAUUGUCUUCUGGGUACAUUGUUUUCAAAAUAGAAAGGCCUUGGUGAUUUCUGCAAAGUGCUGCAACUUAAGUUGAUGUUACGAAGCACGAAAAAUAUUGUUCGACCAAGAUCAACAACUUGAAAAUGUGUUCUGAAUCUGUAUUAAUAUUAAAAUAUUAUAAUAUUAUUCAUUUAACACUAUCGUCCAAUCAAUUUAAUUGAUUAUCAUUUAAUCAAUAUAUUAGAUAAAUAUUAAUUGUCUUCCUUACCUCUAACCAAUGAUGAAAUUAAUAACCUCCCUAUAAAUCUAUUAAGACAGCUUUGAGUUGUCAAAGUCCUCAAACAUAUUAAACACUUUGAAAAAUUUGUUUCUGCAAGUCAAAAUUGCAAACAACACUUUGAAAACUUAGGUGCCGAAUAGUCCUUAUAUUGGAUUAAUCAGAUUUAAAUAUUUAAUGGCGCUAACAAAAUCUGUUGAAGUUAGCAGUUAUAAGGCAUAUAAUUAGAAAAAUGGCACAGUAUAUAAAGCCUCAUCAUCUUUUUCACUCUGUUUUAUUUCUCUCAUUACUUCCAUCCAUUCUUACAACACUAGCUGAAACAAGACGAGAGGGAGAAGCUCUUGUGAAAUGGAAGAAUAGCCUAGCCCCGUCUUCUUUUCUCGAUACUUGGUCACUAACCAAUCUCGAUGAUCUUUGCAACUGGACUGGCAUUACUUGUAACUCUGCAGGUUCAGUCUCUGAGAUUAACCUUAAACAAAAACAACUCAGUGGAACGAUUUCUGAGUUUGGUUUCACUUCAUUUCCAAAUCUCAACAAUCUGAACAUAGCACGAAACAACUUUUACGGUCCAAUACCACCAGCCAUUAAGAAUUUGACACAGCUUCAAUACCUUGAUUUAAGCUUUAAUCAUCUCAACGGUUCCAUCCCGUACCAGGUUAGCCAUCUUCAGAAAUUACAAAUCUUACACCUGUCGCAUAAUGAAUUGCAAGCUCCAAAUUGGUCCAAUUUCUCUUCCAUGCCUUUUUUGCGCAUCCUCGGCCUCGGCAGCAAUAAUCUGGAGUCAGAAUUCCCAGAAUUUAUAUCCAACUCUCAUGGCCUCACUUUCCUUGACCUUUCUUUUAACAAGUUUACAGGUGAUCUUGUGCAUGAAUCAAUUUUUACCGAUCUACGUAAUCUCGAAAACCUCCAUCUUGCUAAAAAUUACUUUGAGGGGCCGAUUCUACCUAGUAUAUUUAAGCUUUCCAAUUUAAAAAUUCUUGAACUAUCAGGUAAUAAAUUUUCUGGUUCUAUUUCCAACUAUAUAGGUUUGCUUUCGGAGCUUGAGACCCUCUAUCUUGACUUCAAUUUUUUUGAAGGACCAAUUCCACCAAAUAUAUUCAACCUUUCUAAACUAAAAAUUCUUGAACUAACAGGUAAUAACUUUUCAGGUCCUGUUUCUAAUGAUAUAAGUUUGCUUUCCGAGCUUGAAAACCUCAAUCUUGCCUUAAAUUCUUUUGAUGGGCCUUUUCCAUCAAAUAUGUUCAACCUAACCAUAUUGAGACAUCUAAAUCUCUAUGGCAAUAAAAAUUUAUUUAAAGGAAGUAUCCCACUGGAUAUCAAAAUAAGUCACAAGGACUAAUUAAUUACAUCUAUGAAGCAUCUAUCUCCUUAAAUGUGAAAGGAACAGAGUAUGAAGUGAAAAACAUUCUUCAUAUUUACACAACCAUUGAUCUGUCAUGCAACAAAUUUCAUGGACAUGUUCCAAAGAGAGCUUAAUUAAAUGGCUUGCAUUGCUCAAUCUAUCUCAUAAUAGUCUUAACAGACAUAUGUUCUGCAUUAUUAUUAUACUUUCAUCAAUAUUUUUAAACANAACAAAAACAACUCAGUGGAACGAUUUCUGAGUUUGGUUUCACUUCAUUUCCAAAUCUCAACAAUCUGAACAUAGCACGAAACAACUUUUACGGUCCAAUACCACCAGCCAUUAAGAAUUUGACACAGCUUCAAUACCUUGAUUUAAGCUUUAAUCAUCUCAACGGUUCCAUCCCGUACCAGGUUAGCCAUCUUCAGAAAUUACAAAUCUUACACCUGUCGCAUAAUGAAUUGCAAGCUCCAAAUUGGUCCAAUUUCUCUUCCAUGCCUUUUUUGCGCAUCCUCGGCCUCGGCAGCAAUAAUCUGGAGUCAGAAUUCCCAGAAUUUAUAUCCAACUCUCAUGGCCUCACUUUCCUUGACCUUUCUUUUAACAAGUUUACAGGUGAUCUUGUGCAUGAAUCAAUUUUUACCGAUCUACGUAAUCUCGAAAACCUCCAUCUUGCUAAAAAUUACUUUGAGGGGCCGAUUCUACCUAGUAUAUUUAAGCUUUCCAAUUUAAAAAUUCUUGAACUAUCAGGUAAUAAAUUUUCUGGUUCUAUUUCCAACUAUAUAGGUUUGCUUUCGGAGCUUGAGACCCUCUAUCUUGACUUCAAUUUUUUUGAAGGACCAAUUCCACCAAAUAUAUUCAACCUUUCUAAACUAAAAAUUCUUGAACUAACAGGUAAUAACUUUUCAGGUCCUGUUUCUAAUGAUAUAAGUUUGCUUUCCGAGCUUGAAAACCUCAAUCUUGCCUUAAAUUCUUUUGAUGGGCCUUUUCCAUCAAAUAUGUUCAACCUAACCAUAUUGAGACAUCUAAAUCUCUAUGGCAAUAAAAAUUUAUUUAAAGGAAGUAUCCCACUGGAUAUCAAAAUAAGUCACAAGGACUAAUUAAUUACAUCUAUGAAGCAUCUAUCUCCUUAAAUGUGAAAGGAACAGAGUAUGAAGUGAAAAACAUUCUUCAUAUUUACACAACCAUUGAUCUGUCAUGCAACAAAUUUCAUGGACAUGUUCCAAAGAGAGCUUAAUUAAAUGGCUUGCAUUGCUCAAUCUAUCUCAUAAUAGUCUUAACAGACAUAUGUUCUGCAUUAUUAUUAUACUUUCAUCAAUAUUUUUAAACAUUUCUCAAUAUGUAUUUUCAAAGAAUUCUCAAGCACUUGAACAUUUGGACCGGUUCUUUCGAAGCCAAGAUGCCCAGGUUAUAUCAUGGCCAUACACAAAAAUGCCCAAAAAUAAAUAAAUUAAGAGAGAUUGCUCUGGGUCUCCCCAAGCCUUCCAGGACUCAUUCCAAGUCUUCUGAGGACCACUGCCUCGCCCUUUCAAAGACGUGAUAGUAGCUCAAGAGUGAUAUAAAUUACUUUCCGGACACUAAAAAUAAAUAAUCCGAUCAAAUUAAUUAAUAAUAAAUUAAGGAUGAAAUCCAAAUUAGUCCUAAAUUUUGAUAAUAUAUAAAAAUUAUAAUUAUAAAUUAUAUAACCAAAUGAGAAUUGAAUUAACUUACUUGGUACUAAAAUUGAUAAAUACAGUAUAGUAAUUUAAUUGAUGAAAAGUCAAAGUCUUCUAAUAAAUCCAUAAAGAAUAUGAAAAUCAAAAUAACGAAAAUUAUAAUUGAAAAAUCAAAAUCAAUAGUGUAUUGGAAUAUUGUUCACACACUUAUAUAUCAAAAUUUGUGGUCCAAAAAUUAUAGCACAAUAUCCUAAAUACACCACAUUAAAUAAUAGUUCAAAAAUAUUCAAUAAAUAAUUGUUUUCAUUCAUAAUUUUGUUAUUUUAAAAACUAAUAAUUUGGUUGAUGUUAACCUAUAUUUUAAUAUAUAAUUAUAUUAUUUUCAUGUUAUUUUAUUUAACCAAAAACAAUAUUUUUAUAAUAUUUAUUACAUUAAUUAUAUUAAAAGAUAUAAUUUCAUUAAAAAAAUUGAAUAAAAUUAAGAGGAUAACUCUAUGCCUCUCCAAGUCUACAAGACUCAUUUCAAGUCUACCGAGGACCACUACCAUUGAGAGAUGUGAAAGUAGUUUGAGAGUGACAUAAAUUAUUUUCCUGACAAUAAAAUGUAAUAUCUAAUAUAAAUUAAUUAAAUUAGAUAAUAAUAAAUCAAAACUAAUCAUGAAUUAUGAUAAUAAUUAAAUAAAUUAUAAUUAAAUUAUAUAAAUCAACUCCAAAUGAUACAAAUAACACUAAACCUUAGUUACUUUAUUGGUAAAAUAAAUAUAAUAUAAUAAUUAAAUUGAUGAAAAAUCAAAAUCAUCUAAUAAAUUCACAAAAAAUAUAUGAUCAUUAGUAUAUUAUAUCAGUAUCCACACACUUAUAUUUCAAAAUCUAUCCUACAAAAUUAUCAUCUCUGUAAACUAGCCACAAAAAAUAAAAAUUUAAAGAUAUUAGAUAUUUAGUUAUUUUCAUUAUAUAAUUUUUCCACACUAAAUAACAAAAUAUCUUUAUCAAAUUAUUAUUUAUGAAUUAAAUAUUCAAGUUAUAAUUCCAGCAUGCAGCGUAUAAAUAGAAGUGUGCAGUAUGAUAUCAGAUUCAUAACCCAGUUGAGGAGAAACAUGGCACACUCUGUGAAGCCUUCUCACCUUCUUCUCUUUGUUUUCUUUCUCUCAUCACUUGAAUCCAUUCUUGCAACAACACGAGAGGGAGAAGCUCUUGUGAAAUGGAAGAAUAGCCUAGCCCCUUCUUCUUUUCUCGACUCUUGGUCCCUCACCAAUCUCGAUAAUCUUUGUAACUGGACUGCCAUUACUUGUAACUCUGCAGGUUCAGUCUCUAAGAUUAACCUUUUUGAGAAACAACUUAAUGGAAUGCUGUCCGAGUUCGGUUUCACUUCAUUUCCAAAUCUCAACUAUCUCACACUCGCAGACAACUUCUUCUCGGGUCCGAUACCACCAGCCAUUGAGAAUUUAACACAGCUUCAAUAUCUUGAUUUAAGCAUGAAUAGUCUUAAUGGUCCCAUUCCGUUCCAGGUUAGCCAUCUUCAGAGCUUGCUCAUCUUGAACCUGUCACAGAAUGCAUUGCAAGCUCCAAAUUGGUCCCAUUUCUCUCCCAUGCCUUUCUUGCGCAUCCUCGACCUUAGUUUUAAUAAUCUUGUGUCGAAAUUCCCAGAAUUUAUAUCCAAUUCUCAUAGCCUGACUCACCUUAACCUUUCAAAUAACAAGUUUACUGGUCAUCUUGUGCAUAAAUUUACCAAUCUACAAAAUCUUGAAACCCUCUACCUUCAGAUCAAUUCUUUUGAGGGGCCGUUUCCACCAGAUAUAGUCCAGCUUUCCAAAUUAAAACGACUCUCCCUGUCAUGUAACAAAUUUUCAGGUUCAAUUCCCAAUGACGUAAGGUUGCUUUUUGGUCUUGAAUCCCUAAAUUUAGGCAACAAUUCCUUUGAAGGACCGCUUCCACCAGAUAUAUUCAAGCUUUCAAAGUUAAAACGACUUGUUCUUUGGAGUAAUAAGUUUUCAGGUUCUGUUUCCAAUGAUAUAGGUUUGCUUUCUAAUCUUGAACACCUCGAUCUUGACUCUAAUUUUUUUGAGGGGCCGUUUCCGUCAAAUAUAUUCAAGCUCAGAUUAAAAAUUCUAAACCUCUCAAACAAUAGAAAUUUAUUUCAAAGAAGUUUUCCUAUUGGACUGGAACUCUUGAGUAACCUCAGCUACUUAGGUCUACAUUCCAGUAAUCUCAGUGGCAAUAUUCCAUCUUACAUUGGAAACCUGAAGCUACUAGAAUUUCUUGAUCUCGGUUCUAAUCAAUUGACUGGACCGCUUUCCAAGAUCGUUUAUAAUCUCACAAAUCUUAUACUUCUUGAUGUAAGUUAUAAUAGUCUUCAUGGAAAUAUUCAGAGUGACUUGUGGCAAUAUAACGAUCAUCCAACUUUGGAAUACAUGAGUUUGAGUGGGAACUAUUUUACGGGUAUAGUUUUUCUCUAUAGAUCUUUUCUUUUGUCAUAUGUAACUAAGCUACUAAUCUGAUUAAUUGCAGUUUUACCAAAGUUUCAACAAUCUUGACAGGUGAGCUUCCAACAACAAUUUGCAAUGUCACUUCCCUUUCGGUUCUUGAUUUGUCAAAUAAUGAAUUAAGUGGUGCACUUCCAAACUGUUUCGGGAAUCUUGCUGAUAGAUUGCUUUUCAUUAAUCUUGCUAAUAAUCAGUUUCGAGGAACAAUACCAACUACUUUCUCCAGGAGUUGUCAGCUCAAAUAUCUAAACAUGGAUAAUAAUGAGUUUGAAGGAUUGUUGCCCCCGUCUUUGGAAAACUGUAAGCACUUGAGAAUUCUUGAUAUUGGCAAUAAUAAAAUAGGUGGUACAUUUCCGUCAUGGCUUUAUGUACUUGGAGAGCUAGAAGUCCUUCUCUUGCGAUCAAAUAAACUCUAUGGCACAAUAAGUGGAAGGAGCAUAGAAGAUCCCUUCCCCAAGUUGCGGAUUGUGGAUCUGUCCAACAAUCAAUUCACAGGCCAUUUGCCAAUUCAAUACUUUAAGAAUAUGAAAUCAACUGAUAAUUUGUAUCGUUUCCAGGAUGGCAAAGGAGUUUUUUGUUUCCGUUAUGAAGCAUCUGUCUCAUUAACUGUGAAGGGAACAGAGUAUGAAGUGAAAAAAAUCCUUCAUAUUUACACAACCAUUGAUCUGUCCUGCAACAAAUUUCAAGGAGAAAUUCCAGACGUUAUUGGAGAGCUUAGAUGGCUUGCAUUGCUCAACUUAUCUCAUAAUAGUCUAACAGGACCUAUCCCAUCAUUGCUGAGGAAUAUGAAAGAACUCCAAUCUUUAGAUUUGUCUUCAAAUCAACUGACAGGGGCUAUUCCACCUCAGUUAACUGCAUUGACAUAUCUAGAGGUCUUGAACCUCUCGGGAAACCAUCUUAGUGGAGAGAUUCCUCAGAAAGGACAGUUCAGCACAUUCAACAAUGAUUCUUAUCUUGGAAACUCCGCGUUAUGUGGAUCACCUUUGACGAAGAAAUGUGCAAACACAGCAUCACCUCCACAAGAAGUCGGAAAUGGUGAUGAAGAUGAUGCUGGUGAUGAAUUGACAUGGGAAGCAAUCGUGAUGGGAUAUGGAUGUGGACUGAUAUGUGGAUUGUCAUCUGCAUACAUUGUUCUCAAACUAGGAAAGCCUUGGUGGUUUGUGAGAUAUGUCGAAGUACUGCAACUGAAGUUGAUGAAAAGAUAUGCUUGAAGAAUGGUACUGGCCGAUCAAGACGAACUUGAAAGUUGUUGUCCUUGUGCAUUUCUGAACCAGUUGUGUACUAUUCUCUUUGUGGCUGCAUAAGUAUUUGGUAUUGUGUAAUAUUCUGUUUGGUCUUGAAUCAUAAUGAUUCUUCUUGCUCCAGGGUUAUUAAUAUAAACCUUGGUAUUGUGUGCUAGCUGUAAUAUUCUGUUUGAUCAAUGUUUAUACCAGUAAUUUUAUGCUCCGCAGUGCAUCAUGCAGCUCUCAUAUUAUCUCUAUGAUUAACCUGAAUUCAGUUUCAUUUUGUUUCCGAAUCUCAACUACUUCAACUUGAGCUACAAUAGCUUCACUGGUCUAAUACCCCCAGAUAUUGAAAAUUUAACAGAGCUGCAAUACCUUGAUUUUAGCUCUAAUAAACUCACUGGUGCAAUUCCGGACCAGGUAAGCCAUCUUCAAACAUUGCGAACCUUAAACCUGUUGGAUAAUCACUUGGAAGCUCCAAACUGGUCCGCUUUUUCCCCUCUGCCUUCUCUGACAAACCUCUGUCUCAAUAAUAAUAAUCUUUCGUCGAAAUUCCCAGACUUCAUAUCAAAUUACAUCUUUUAUACGAUAUAUUAUGAAAACACUAUAUUUUGUAAUGUUCAUCUUAUCCUACCAGCAAAAUUACAUCGCUAACAAAAUUAUAUCAAUUUUAUUUUAUAAACUCAAAUAAUUUAAUUUAUGAAACAACUCUAUGAGAUUCUUAUCAUGAGUUAGAAUUCAAAUAAAUAAAGAGUUCAUAUUGAUAAGUGGAAUUGAUGUGCAAGUAAGGGGUAUAAAAAAAUCUCAAAAUAACUCCAAAAAGCACAUGACAUGUUUGAUUUAAUAGAACUGGUACAUAAACAGGGGGACCAUUAUAUUUAUAAGCAAGUGACCAACAAUAGUUUACUACUGAUAUUUUGUGAUAUUUUUUGUGAUAUUUUUUGAGACCUUUAACAUUAUUCUGUGAAGUGGUAUACUACUGUUACUAGUUCUGAAACUUCAAACAAAGUAGGCGCAACAUUGUAAGAGUGAUUAAUAAAGUUGAGAAACAGUGUGUACAUUGAGCAGUAUGACAAUCAGGUUCAGCAUAUAAUACAAUCAGAUUCACAAUCAGGUUCACGAGAAACAUGCUGCAUUCCAAAAAGCCUUAUUAUCUUCUUCACUAAAUAACAAGGCAAAUACAGCAUAUAAAUACAAGUGUGCAGUGUGGUAUUAGAUUCAUAACCCAGUUGAGGAGAAACAUGGCACACUUUGUAAGGCCUUCUCACCUUCUUCUCUUUGUUUUCUUUCUCUCAUCACUUGAAUCCAUUCUUGCAACAAGACAAGAGGGGGAAGCUCUUGUGAAGUGGAAGAAUAGCCUAGCCCCUUCUUCUUUUCUCCACUCUUGGUCACUCACCAAUCUCGAAAAUCUUUGNNNNNNNNNNNNNNNNNNNNNNNNNNNNNNNNNNNNNNNNNNNNNNNNNNNNNNNNNNNNNNNNNNNNNNNNNNNNNNNNNNNNNNNNNNNNNNNNNNNNNNNNNNNNNNNNNNNNNNNNNNNNNNNNNNNNNNNNNNNNNNNNNNNNNNNNNNNNNNNNNNNNNNNNNNNNNNNNNNNNNNNNNNNNNNNNNNNNNNNNNNNNNNNNNNNNNNNNNNNNNNNNNNNNNNNNNNNNNNNNNNNNNNNNNNNNNNNNNNNNNNNNNNNNNNNNNNNNNNNNNNNNNNNNNNNNNNNNNNNNNNNNNNNNNNNNNNNNNNNNNNNNNNNNNNNNNNNNNNNNNNNNNNNNNNNNNNNNNNNNNNNNNNNNNNNNNNNNNNNNNNNNNNNNNNNNNNNNNNNNNNNNNNNNNNNNNNNNNNNNNNNNNNNNNNNNNNNNNNNNNNNNNNNNNNNNNNNNNNNNNNNNNNNNNNNNNNNNNNNNNNNNNNNNNNNNNNNNNNNNNNNNNNNNNNNNNNNNNNNNNNNNNNNNNNNNNNNNNNNNNNNNNNNNNNNNNNNNNNNNNNNNNNNNNNNNNNNNNNNNNNNNNNNNNNNNNNNNNNNNNNNNNNNNNNNNNNNNNNNNNNNNNNNNNNNNNNNNNNNNNNNNNNNNNNNNNNNNNNNNNNNNNNNNNNNNNNNNNNNNNNNNNNNNNNNNNNNNNNNNNNNNNNNNNNNNNNNNNNNNNNNNNNNNNNNNNNNNNNNNNNNNNNNNNNNNNNNNNNNNNNNNNNNNNNNNNNNNNNNNNNNNNNNNNNNNNNNNNNNNNNNNNNNNNNNNNNNNNNNNNNNNNNNNNNNNNNNNNNNNNNNNNNNNNNNNNNNNNNNNNNNNNNNNNNNNNNNNNNNNNNNNNNNNNNAUUAAAACGUCUUUUUCUUUGGAGUAAUAAGUUUUCAGGUUCUGUUUCCAAUGAUAUAGGUUUGCUUUCUGAGCUUGAAUUUCUCAAUCUUUACGAUAAUUUUUUUGAGGGGCCGCUUCCAUGCAUCAAAUAUAUUCAAGCUCUCCAAAUUAAGGGUUCUUUACCUUAACGGUAAUAAACUUCUAGGUUCUCUUUCCAAUGAUAUAGGUUUGCUUUCUGAGCUUGAAAGCCUCGAUCUUAACUCCAAUUUUUUUGAGGGGCCGCUUCCGCCAAAUGUAUUCAAGCUCUCCAAACUAAAGAUUCUUUCCCUUUAUGAGAAUAACUUUUCAGGUUUUAUUUCUAAGGAUAUAGGUUUGCUUUCUGGACUUGAAACCCUCUAUCUUGACUCUAAUUUUUUUGAGGGUCCGCUUCCCCCACAUAUAUUUAGGCUGUCCAAAUUAAGAGAUCUGGACCUCUCAUACAGUAGAAAUUUAUUUGAAGGAAGUAUUCCUAUUGGACUGGGACUCUUGACUAACCUCAGGUACUUAGAUCUAUAUUCCAAUAAUCUCAGUGGCUAUAUUCCAUCUGACAUUGGAAACCUGAAGCUACUAGAAGGUCUUAUUCUCGGUUCUAAUAAAUUGACUGGACCAGUUUCAAAGAUCAUUUCUAAUCUCACAAAUCUUAUAUAUCUUGAUGUAAGUGAUAAUAGUCUUAGUGGAAAUAUUCAGAGUGACUUGUGGAAAUAUAACGAUCAUCCAACUUUGGAAUACAUCAAUUUAAGUGGGAACCAUUUUACGGGUAUAGUUUUUCUCUAUAGAUCUUUUCCUUUUCUCAUAUGUAACUAAGCUGGUAAUCUGAUUAUUGCAGUUUUACCAAAGUUUCAACAAUCUUGACAGGUGAGCUUCCAACAACAAUUUGCAAUGUCACUUCCCUUUCGGUUCUUGAUUUGUCAAAUAAUGCGUUAAGUGGUGCACUUCCAAACUGUUUCGGGAAUCUUGCUGAUGGAUUGCUUUACAUUAAUCUUGCUCAUAAUCAGUUUCGAGGAACAAUACCAACUACUUUCUCCAGGAGUUGUCAGCUGACAUAUCUGAACAUGGAUGAUAAUGAGUUUGAAGGAUUGAUGCCCCCAUCUUUGGCGAACUGUAAGCACUUGAAAAUUUUUGAUAUUGGCAAUAAUAAAAUAGGUGGUACAUUUCCGUCAUGGCUUUAUGUACUUGGAGAGCUAGAAGUCCUUGUCUUGAAAUCAAAUAAACUCUAUGGUACAAUAAGUGGAAGGAGCAGUGAAGAUCCCUUCCCCAAGUUGCGGAUUGUGGAUCUGUCCAACAAUCAAUUCACAGGCCAUUUGCCAAUUCAAUACUUUAAGAAUAUGAAAUCAACUGAUAAUUUGUAUCGUUAUCAGAAUGACACAAGAGUUUUUUCUUUCCAUUAUGAAGCAGCAGUCUCAUUAACUGUGAAGGGAACAGAGUAUGAAGUGAAAAAAAUCCUUCAUAUUUACACAACCAUUGAUCUGUCCUGCAACAAAUUUCAAGGAGAAAUUCCAGACGUUAUUGGAGAGCUUAGAUGGCUUGCAUUGCUCAACUUAUCUCAUAAUAGUCUAACAGGACCUAUCCCAUCAUUGCUGAGGAAUAUGAAAGAACUCCAAUCUUUAGAUUUGUCUUCAAAUCAACUGACAGGGGCUAUUCCACCUCAGUUAACUGCAUUGACAUAUCUAGAGGUCUUGAACCUCUCGGGAAACCAUCUUAGUGGAGAGAUUCCUCAGAAAGGACAGUUCAGCACAUUCAACAAUGAUUCUUAUCUUGGAAACUCCGCGUUAUGUGGAUCACCUUUGACGAAGAAAUGUGCAAACACAGCAUCACCUCCACAAGAAGUCGGAAAUGGUGAUGAAGAUGAUGCUGGUGAUGAAUUGACAUGGGAAGCAAUCGUGAUGGGAUAUGGAUGUGGACUGAUAUGUGGAUUGUCAUCUGCAUACAUUGUUCUCAAACUAGGAAAGCCUUGGUGGUUUGUGAGAUAUGUCGAAGUACUGCAACUGAAGUUGAUGAAAAGAUAUGCUUGAAGAAUGGUACUGGCCGAUCAAGACGAACUUGAAAGUUGUUGUCCUUGUGCAUUUCUGAACCAGUUGUGUACUAUUCUCUUUGUGGCUGCAUAAGUAUUUGGUAUUGUGUAAUAUUCUGUUUGGUCUUGAAUCAUAAUGAUUCUUCUUGCUCCAGGGUUAUUAAUAUAAACCUUGGUAUUGUGUGCUAGCUGUAAUAUUCUGUUUGAUCAAUGUUUAUACCAGUAAUUUUAUGCUCCACAGUGCAUCAUGCAGCUCUCAUAUUAUCUCUAUGAUUAACCUGAAUUCAGUUUCAUUUUGUUUCCGAAUCUCAACUACUUCAACUUGAGCUACAAUAGCUUCACUGGUCUAAUACCCCCAGAUAUUGAAAAUUUAACAGAGCUGCAAUACCUUGAUUUUAGCUCUAAUAAACUCACUGGUGCAAUUCCGGACCAGGUAAGCCAUCUUCAAACAUUGCGAACCUUAAACCUGUUGGAUAAUCACUUGGAAGCUCCAAACUGGUCCGCUUUUUCCCCUAUGCCUUCUCUGACAAACCUCUGUCUCAAUAAUAAUAAUCUUUCGUCGAAAUUCCCAGACUUCAUAUCAAAUUGUCGAAACCUGACUUACCUUGAUCUUUCAUUAAACUUGUUAACAGGUGAUUUGGUUCUUGGUAAUACGGAAUCGCUCUAUCACAGAAGUAAUUCUUUUGAGGGGUCAUUUCCACCAAAUAUAUUAAAACUUUCAAAAUUAAGAGUUCUUUCCCUAUCNCUUUCCCUAUCAUAUAAUAGAUUUUCAGGUUCUAUUCCGCAUGAUAUAGGAAUGCUUCGUGUUUUGGAAUCCCUUUUUUUUAGUAGCAGUUCUUUUGAUGGCCUGCUUUCACCAAAUUUAUUUAAGCUUCCAAAAUUAAAAGUUCUUUCCAUGUCAUUUAAUAACUUUUCGGGUUAUAUUCCAAAUGAAAUAGGAUUGCUUCAUGAUUUAGAGUCCCUUUAUUUUAAUGGAAAUUCUUUUGAGGCCGUUUCCACCAAAUAUAUUCAACCUUUCCAAAUUAAAAGUUCUUUACCUCUCAAAUAAUAACUUUUCAGGUUCUAUUCCUAAUGAUAUAAGUGUGCUUCGUGAUCUUGAGAUACUUGAUUUGUCCUCUAAUUCUUUUGAAGGGAUUAUUCCAUUGGAGCUGGGGUUCUUGAAUAAGCUGAGCUAUUUAUAUCUUGAUUCCAAUCAAUUGACUGGACCGCUUUUGAAGAACAUGUAUAAUCUCAGUAAUCUUAUUGAGAUCAACUUUAGUGGAAACCGCUUAACAGGUUUGCUAUUCAUUCUUGUUUUCUUCUUUAUGUAACUUCUUUAUGUAACUUCUUCAAUGCUGAUGAAAUGAUCACGAACCACAAUUUCACCAAAGCUCCUUUAAUUUCAACAGGUGAGUUUUCGACAGCAAUUUACAGAGAGAGAAUUACGAUGUUAUUAGGGAAAUCUAAAGAGAAGGUGCAGAGACCUCGGCAUAAUGAUCCUCCAACCUCUCAUUAACAAUGUCCAGGUUUCUUUAAAAGUAUUAAAUGUUAUUAACAUAGUACUUAAUGGUGUUAUAAAGAGAGUCGUGAUGUAACACUAUAUUUUGUUUACGAGAUAUUUUAAGUGUAAGAAGGUCCAUGCUGAGUUGUGAACAAUUAUUCUCACGUAUAUUAUCAAUGGUGAACAUCUUUAUUAGUAAGAUUGUGCUUUUUAGUUGGAUUGUGGUCCUUCUGUUGCUCCUUGGUAAGAUUUUUCGUCCUAGGUGGGAUUGUUAGGCACAAUGCCAGUCUAAUCAAGUUUGCGAAGGAAGUGUUAAAUACUAGAAUUAUUAAACCUGUAUAUAAAUUUAGAUGUCUGCACAGCGUUGUUACAUUGUCGAGUAGACAACUAAUUUUAAUCUGGUGGCAGGAAAUAGGGAAUCAAGAAGAAGAUGCAGCCAACAAUGAGAAGCUAGAGAAGCAAUUGAACUACUCGAACAAGAGCAAAAGCGGAUAGAAGCAGAACCAGAUGUUAAACUAGAGGCAAAAAAGAGAGCCUCCAACAGGCUUAUUUUAAGGUAAAUUACAAGAAAAGAAAGUCUGCCAUCAAUGUUAGACAAAAAGAUAUGCCGAUGCUCACAGAUAAUAAUAGUAGCAGGCGUACUUACUCUCUCUACAUAUAAUACUGUAACAAAGGUUUUCAAUGAGCCAAUUUAUUCCAACUAAGCAGGCACUAAGCAGCCACGUCAGAUCCACCUUAGCAAUCACUUUGCAUUUGUGAUGAUGAUCACAAUUAAAUCUUUAUCCCAAUGAUUUUUCUAUUAAUCUUUUGUGGAAUUCUAUGUCUGCAGAGAGAGCAAUACGUGUUGGUCAUGGUUUCUAUAAGUGAAGGUGAGACAACAAUGGUGUUCUCUUUGCCUCAAUUACACCCCUAAUUGCUGGCUAUUUGAGCUGCUGAAAGUUUAAUAAUGGCAAUCGUUUGUAGCUCGAAGAGAAUGAUGUAAGAAUUUAAUCUCAAUAGGAAGCUGUAGAACACAACAAUAUUGCAUAUAGAAGCCAUCCAGCUGCACACCCUGAUCACGGAGUUUUUGAGUCUUUAGAAUGCAAAAAUACAAUGCACAUGGGUAUGCCUACAAGUGGAGAUAUUUAGAAAACUGCUUCUUGUGCACAGUUAGUUAAAUAUUUACUAAUAAUAUAUCUUCAAUAACAACAUUACAGCUACAGUUCAGCAAUGAAUGAUCAUCAAAUGGCUUCUGCAGCACCGACACAGAAUGCCAGUGGACUAGUGGAGUAAUUCCAGGGGAUGCUCUGAUCAUAAAUUCUCGCUGGUGAAUUGAAGAAUUGAGCUUGAGCUAAGAAGGUGAUCUGCAUAUAAUCUUUAACCAUUUUCUGAUGGUACAAAUGUUGCUAUUUAAAAAAAUAAAGAUCAAAUAAACAAAUAUUACUUUACUAAUAUUUUACAUAGCUGCUGCUGUCGAAAACUGGAAACUUGUUGUGUAUUAUAAAAAUAGCAAGGAACUGAACUAAAUAAGCGAGGCAGGUAACUAUUGGAACAAACUGGCAUAUACCUUCUCUUUUCUUAUACUUCUUGCUUGGGGGCAAUAAGUCGUCUCUACCAUAAUAAAGUAAAAAGUAGUCAAAUUACAACUCCCUUGGGUUUCCGUUUGAAUUAGGACAUGUGUGGUGCACCAUACUCUCUUGUCAAAUAUUUUGAAGUUUUGCAUAUUGCAGUUUCACUUUUCAAAGAAACCUCUCUGUCAUUGCUAUAUUAGUAUGCGACUGUUAUUUGGAUUAGUUAUGAUCUGUAUCUAAAAUUAAUGGCACAGAUCUUGAUUUCUAGAACACCAGGUAAUAUUCUCAGAAACAGUGAUAUUCUGUUACAAAGUGAUUGUUGUCGACCAUCUUUACACAUUUUUCUUAUUAUUAAAAAAUAAAUUUUAUAAAAUAGAUUUUUAAAAUAUAGAUACUAUUGAUAUGGUCUUUAUAAUAGAUAUUAGAUAUUAAAAUUUUUAUUUAUAAAAAUUUAUGGAUGAGUUAUUGUAAUAACUGAUUGUCGAGAUCCUAGGUUCCUGGCUAAAUAGGAGUCCAUAUAUUUUGUUAUAAUAUAAUCAAAUAUCAAAACAUUCCUAGGAGGUCUAUAAGUUUAUAACGGUCCGAUAAAGGAAACAUGAAUAAAAUUGAUCAAAAUAUUUUGACCAUUUCAGGUGAUAAUGAUCAUAUAAUUUUCAUAUGACAGAACAAUAAGCCGUAGAGUUUGCUUAGGGGAUUAUGUAGGUUGCAGCAAGAUUUUCAAAAUAAAGCUGAUUUAUCAUUCAUAUAUUUUUUUGGUCCUCUUGGUUUAUGAGUGCUCUUUGUAUCUCUUGCUCUUAGCAUGCAUCCCCUCCCUUUAGUAAAUCAGCUUUGUGCUCAAUUACCUAAUUAUAGAUGAUGUUUCCUAAAUGGAAUAUUUCAAUUAAAUAUAUUAAUUGCUAAGCAACAGCCAAUAUGUUGUGUUGGUUAUUAAAUUAUUGUAGGCAUUUAUUCUUACAGAUGGUUUGGAGAUAAUUUCGAGCAAUCUAUGAGUUUGAAUAAUAUGUCUUAACAGUAUAUAGGGCCAUGAGGAGCUUGGCGCUGCCAGCUUGCGCUUGCGGGAAGAUGAAGAUUUUACGAGAUUUAAAAAUAUUGCAACUAUAGAGCUAGGAAGAUAAGAGAUUGGAAGUUGGUAAUUCUCCCCUUUCCCAUCAGAAUUCAAUGACUCUUUGAAACUGUACUUUCGUGAAUUUUGUCUUAAUUUCAUCAGGCGACCAGAACAACUUCAGAGACAUAUGGUGAGUUGUUGUCGAGUAUUUUGAAGAGUAUCGUUCGCAGGGAAGGAUUGAUAUCAAUACCAAUUUCAAGUCUUUUAUCUCUUAUGAUUCAGAAGUGUGGAGAAGAAUUUGGUGGGAUUUUCUAUCAACUAAUUAAUGUAAUAAGUAAAUAAAUAUAAUAAAUAUGAGAGAAAACAACCCAAGAAUUAGAGUUCUUCAAUCGCUAUCAUGAAUGUCUAAUUUGUGUCUCUUGUUUGCUAAAAACAAUCCUUCUAAUAUUAAUAAACUCCUCUCCCAAGGUAGAUUAUAAUGCUUACAAUUAUCCAUUAAAAGCCACUCCCAUGGUCAAUCAAAGAACACUUGUAAACUAUUAAGAACCAAGGAUUUUAAGUCUCACAAUUCUCAUAUCAAUCUCCCGAUCUAAUACUCAAAUUGUGUCCAUCAUAUCAUGUACUAGAAUUAUAACUCCUCUCCCGAUUCGUUAUAACUCCUAGAGAUUCAAUCACAAGUUAGCUACUCCUGUAAUUGUAUAAAGAGCUCAAUGACAGAUUAACAAAUCAAGAGAAAACACAAUCCAACUAAACAAACAUAUUAAGCCAAAGAAUACUACCUAACUCUUGGAUCAAAGGAUUAGCUACUCAUGAUAAGAUGAAACAAAUAUAUAUUUAUACCACAAACCAUGAGCGUAAGAAUUUAAAUACGAAGAAUACAACUUGACGAAAGAGCUUGAAGUCCGGAUGAAUCCCUUCACUCCUUCUUCCAAUAUCUCUCACAAGUGCUUCUCUCCCUUUUCUCUCUAAAAAAGCUAUCUCUAUAUUAUUCUAUAUGAUACAAAGUUAGUUGUCUCUAAUCUCUAUCAAAACCCUAAUAUAUAUAAGAGUUUUCUUAAUUUACAAGAAAAUAAAAUAAUAUCCUAAAACUAGUUGGAUUCUGAUGCUGAAAUUCGUAGGCUUCUGUUCAGGCCUGAUUCUGGGCUGAUCCAGUUGGAUUUUGACAUCUGGACCACCUUAAACUUGUAGAAAAUUCCUAUAUCUUCGCGUGGGCUGUUGAAUCGCCCAAUUCUGACAUCCAGAACUCAAGUUACGGCCCAAACAAGAUUUGCUUCGCUGGCUAUAUAUAAAGUCCGAAUUUCCAUCUAAUUAAGCCCAAAUAAGCUUGAUUUAAUCCAACUUUAGGAAUAUUUAUUUUCCUGCCACUAAACACUUAAAAUCAAUUAGUAAUAACCCGAUUAUUUACAAAAUACUAAAAUUAUGGGAAUAAAAUCAUAUAAAAACAUAUAUAAAUAUAUGCUCUAUCAUGAGUUUUGUGUCCUGCUUCUCAUUUCACAUACAUUGCCUUUUAAGAAGGGUGUUCUUAUAUAAUUUUGGAAGUGCUAUUGCUAAUUUGUUUCAGGUAAUAGCUGCACCGCAUAUAUAAAAUAUACAAAAAAUGUUUUUCCCGGCCUUCUUAAAAGUUUGAAUAAUAUUCCCCCUGUCUUGUGAUUGCAAACAAUAAUUGUUUUUGUAUCCAAGUACUUAAGCUUUUCCAUUAACUUUUUGGAUUUUGAACCAUGAUUGCCAAUGAGCAUUGAUAAUAUAGCCUAGGCCUCGGUCAUUUGAAUUUUUUGGAUAUUGUCUAAAGGCUUUCAAUGUAGUGAUUCUGUGACAACGUUGGACAAUAAUGUGUACAAGCUGGAUUCAGCAGAUUUCUAACAUGUGUUGAUUAUUACUAAUUAUGGAUUUACUGGUAUAGCAAGAAAUUACAGGCCCGAGGUCUUAAAGUUUGGGUGUCAUCACUUUUCUGGUCUACUUGCAAUCUUUUCUUCUUACUACCUCUUCUAGCAGUGUGUAGUUCCACUUUGCUAUUAAAUGAGCAAGUUAAUGACUGUUUAGGGGAUUGAGAUCUGACAAGUCUUGCUACUUUUGAUGGGUUUGAUAGGUUUGAUGAGUGCUUAAGUGAUAUUAAUCACCAAACUUAUGUAUAUGCAUUUUGAUGUGUUGAUUAUUUAGCAUAGUUGCUGCAUAACAAAUAUUAGUUAAAGGAUGAGAUCUUCUAAAAGAAGUCAGAAAUGUAAAAGCCAAUGUCAAAGUGGAUUUGAUCAAAAAGAGAUUCGCAUGCUGAUUAUUACUUUUUUGUGCAGAAAAAAUGUGAUCUCAAACAUCCCCUGGCAAUGAGAUAUAUCGCAGGGCACAUUGUCAAUGUUUUAGAUAUGUUUACAUGUUUAGCUGAUCUGCAAAUUCCUUUACGUCUUGGUUUCUGUCUCAUGUGAUUAUAUUCUCAGCGUUUGGAACUUGGAAUUGCAUAGCUUACCGCCAACACAAUUAUACAACUUCUUUUACUCAGUGAAUGAUGCUACACUUGAGACUUUCAUUAUGAUAUUUAUCUUGAGACACAUGUUCCCCAGUUUUAUAACUGGUAUAUUUGGCCUUGCUUUGUAUUUUUAAAUAUUACUGUUCAAUGGACUUAUACUAAACCCUUGCUUAUAAACAAGUACUCUUCAUCUGUUUGUUUGUUUAACUAUAUGACAUUUUACAUGUUUUUAUAGGUAGAUGGGAAAAAGAAUAAGGUUUAUGGGCAGAAUCUUUGUUAUCUGGAAAAAUUGUUUCUUGAUUACAAAACACUAUAUUAUAACGUCGAUUCACAAUAACUUAAUUGAUCAGCGCUCGGAGUCUCCUUUCUAAUCAAGGCUGUGGAGUGUGGAGGCCUAGGGCCUGAGCAUAUAAGGAUAUUCACAAUAAUUUUUUUUUUUUAUGAAUUUAUUUUCAUAGAUAUUUGUGUGUAGUUCCUUAAAUUGGGAAUACGGCUCGAGAGGAUAAGGGAUUGUUUGGUUGUUUAGUGUGAUUGGUAUUUUACUAGAUCAGAGAGUUUAUUACCACAAGCAUCCUAUGCAUUAACACUUGUCAGCAGCUGAAUUCCUGACAUAACACAUGAAUUCAGAAGACAUGACACAUGAAUUCAGUAUUUGGAAUUUGAUUGAAAUUCUGAAUGAUUUAUUGUUUACCAGAGGUUAUAACCACUACUUGUAUAUGGUAUCGGGUGUGUCCAUCUCCGGAAGAUCUAAUUGGCGUUAUAUGUUAAAUUUUCAAUAAAUAUCUCCGGAAGAUCUAAUUGGCGUUAUAUGUUAAAUUUUCAAUAAAUAUCUCCGGAAGAUCUAAUUGGCGUUAUAUGUUAAAUUUUCAAUAAAUAUCUGGAUGUGUAUUUUUGAUUAUCGAAAGAGUUCCCAUAUUAUUAUGUCGUUUUAUUUUCCUUCACUUUUGGCAGCCCCAAGUGAAAGUGAUGACUAUUGGUACUUGAGUUUUUUUGGCUGAAAUCACUAAUAUAAUUGUUACACUACAACAAAACUGGCAUCAGACAACACUAGUCACACAACGGACGCUGGAAAAAGUGUUGGCCGAAACAAAGACACAACACUUUAUUUUCGUCCUCGAAAAACUAUUGUCUAACACCUACGACCUACAACGGUUAAAAAACUGUUGUCUAAUAAAUUUAAUCAGACAACGGUCUCUUAACUGUGGUAUUGUGUAAUGAUGCACGUUAGACAACUGUUUUUAGAGCCGAUGUGUGAAGAAACUUCAGACAAUAUUCCGAGAAACCGUUGUUGUAAUGAGACAAGUGUUUUAUUUGUUGUGUUGUUUACGAAAAGAUCAGACAAGGGUUCCAUAGAGUGUUGUGUGACUGGGAAGCUAACAUACAAGUGUUUUUGUUAGCAUCGUAUCAUGGCCUUAUAGACAAGCCUUUAGCUAGUAAAACGUUGUCUGACUGAAUGACUUAUAAGAAAAUAAAUGUACAUAAAAGAGUGCAAACAUUCAAAAGUCCUAACCAAAGUUACAAAUAUAUAUUCAUUUUCUUAGUAGUCAUAGGCUUUUCUAGCAUUAGAUCAAGUAUUGAUCAAGGAAAUGCGAAUUUUUAACUCAUAAAAAUGAAAGUUUAUUAUACAACGGUUUUCUUCCCAUAAAUCGUUGUGUCAUUUUCAAUGAUACAACUUAGAUGCUUAUAAAAACCGUUGUGUGUUAGACACUACGGGACAAAAAAUACCUUUUUAUAAUAAGACAAAAUUUACAAUUAACAAGUAAUGUUAAAAAAACAUACAAAAUGAAUAUAAAAAAUUUAGAUUUUUUUUAUACAUGACUAAUAUUGUUAGUUCUCGACAUCCGUACGGUUAGAUCAUCGAAAAAAAUAUUUAAAAAUUAAUAUUAUGCUCAUCUUAUACAUAACAAAGAUUNNNNNNNNNNNNNNNNNNNNNNNNNNNNNNNNNNNNNNNNNNNNNNNNNNNNNNNNNNNNNNNNNNNNNNNNNNNNNNNNNNNNNNNNNNNNNNNNNNNNNNNNNNNNNNNNNNNNNNNNNNNNNNNNNNNNNNNNNNNNNNNNNNNNNNNNNNNNNNNNNNNNNNNNNNNNNNNNNNNNNNNNNNNNNNNNNNNNNNNNNNNNNNNNNNNNNNNNNNNNNNNNNNNNNNNNNNNNNNNNNNNNNNNNNNNNNNNNNNNNNNNNNNNNNNNNNNNNNNNNNNNNNNNNNNNNNNNNNNNNNNNNNNNNNNNNNNNNNNNNNNNNNNNNNNNNNNNNNNNNNNNNNNNNNNNNNNNNNNNNNNNNNNNNNNNNNNNNNNNNNNNNNNNNNNNNNNNNNNNNNNNNNNNNNNNNNNNNNNNNNNNNNNNNNNNNNNNNNNNNNNNNNNNNNNNNNNNNNNNNNNNNNNNNNNNNNNNNNNNNNNNNNNNNNNNNNNNNNNNNNNNNNNNNNNNNNNNNNNNNNNNNNNNNNNNNNNNNNNNNNNNNNNNNNNNNNNNNNNNNNNNNNNNNNNNNNNNNNNNNNNNNNNNNNNNNNNNNNNNNNNNNNNNNNNNNNNNNNNNNNNNNNNNNNNNNNNNNNNNNNNNNNNNNNNNNNNNNNNNNNNNNNNNNNNNNNNNNNNNNNNNNNNNNNNNNNNNNNNNNNNNNNNNNNNNNNNNNNNNNNNNNNNNNNNNNNNNNNNNNNNNNNNNNNNNNNNNNNNNNNNNNNNNNNNNNNNNNNNNNNNNNNNNNNNNNNNNNNNNNNNNNNNNNNNNNNNNNNNNNNNNNNNNNNNNNNNNNNNNNNNNNNNNNNNNNNNNNNNNNNNNNNNNNNNNNNNNNNNNNNNNNNNNNUUUUUUUAUACGUGACUAAUAUUGUUAGUUCUUGACAUCCGUACGGUUAGAUCAUUGAAAUAAAUAUUUAUGAAUUAAUACACAACUAAUUGAAUACAUAACAAAGAUUAUAUCUACUACUUUUUAAAUUGUAAACAUAAAACACAUACUAAUACAUGCGUCCGAAGUACAAAAUUGUCUCGGUUUUACACAUGAACAAUACAUAUUUGCAUAUAUACAUAACAUAAAUAUAUUUUUUUAAUACAAAGAGUGCAAAAACAAGAAUUAAUCAAGGAAAUGCGAAUUUUUAACUCAUAAAAAUUACCUUUUUAUAAUAAGAAAAAUUUUANACGAUUGACUAGUGUUGUUAAAAACCGUUGUCUGAUGCUGUUUUUGUUGUAGUGUUAUAUUAAAUUCUUGUGCUAAAACUUGUAUGGUUUGCCCCGCCCGCGGCUUCAAACAGCCAACAAGGUAAGCUAUUAUACUCAGGGGACCGAAAAAGGUAACAAAUGCAUAAACGAUUAGCUUUUCUUCUUUGCUGCAUAGUUUUUUUUUUUUUGUCAGGUUCUUUGCUGCAUAGUUAAUAACAAAUAACAUGAUCUCAAAAAAAAAAAAGAGGCGCGUACUAUGAAUGUAAAAAUAACAAUUUCAAUACUCUUUUUCACUAUAGAAAAACAAAAUUAUUGUGCUAGAUCUUUGCCCGUGCCUUGCACGGGCUUUAAAGCUAGUUUUUUAUUAAUAUGUGAAACUCCAAUAUAUAUUAUUAUACGAUAUAUUAUGAAAACACUAUGUUUUGUAAUGUUCAUCUUAUCCUACCAGAAAAAUUACAUCGCUAACAAAAUUAUAUCAAUUUUAUUUUAUAAACUCAAAUAAUUUAAUUUAUGAAACAACUCUAUGAGAUUCUUAUCAUGAGUUAGAAUUCAAAUAAAUAAAGAGUUCAUAUUGAUAAGUGGAAUUGAUGUGCAAGUAAGGGGUAUAAAAAAAUCUCAAAAUAACUCCAAAAAGCACAUGACAUGUUUGAUUUGAUAGAACUGGUACAUAAACAGGGGGACCAUUAUAUUUAUAAGCAAGUGACCAACAAUAGUUUACUACUGAUAUUUUGUGAUAUUUUUUGUGAUAUUUUUUGAGACCUUUAACAUUAUUCUGUGAAGUGGUAUACUACUGUUACUAGUUCUGAAACUUCAAACAAAGUAGGCGCAACAUUGUAAGAGUGAUUAAUAAAGUUGAGAAACAGUGUGUACAUUGAGCAGUAUGACAAUCAGGUUCAGCAUAUAAUACAAUCAGAUUCACAAUCAGGUUCACGAGAAACAUGCUGCAUUCCAAAAAGCCUUAUUAUCUUCUUCACUAAAUAACAAGGCAAAUACAGCAUAUAAAUACAAGUUAUAAGUACAAGUGUGGUAUUAGAUUCAUAACCCAGUUGAGGAGAAACAUGGCACACUUUGUAAGGCCUUCUCACCUUCUUCUCUUUGUUUUCUUUCUCUCAUCACUCGAAUCCAUUCUUGCAACAAGACAAGAGGGGGAAGCUCUUGUGAAGUGGAAGAAUAGCCUAGCCCCUUCUUCUUUUCUCCACUCUUGGUCACUCACCAAUCUCGAAAAUCUUUGUAAAUGGACUGGCAUUACUUGUAACUCUGCAGGUUCAGUCUCUGAGAUUAACCUUUGUGAGAAACAACUUGAUGGAAUGCUGUCCGAGUUCGGUUUCACUUCAUUUCCAAAUCUCAAGAAUCUCACCCUGGCAGACAACUUCUUCUCAGGUCCAAUACCACCAGCCAUUGAGAAUUUAACACAGCUUCAAUAUCUUGAUUUAAGCAUGAAUAGUCUUAAUGGUCCCAUUCCGUUCCAGGUUAGCCAUCUUCAGAGCUUGCUCAUCUUGAACCUGUCACAGAAUGCAUUGCAAGCUCCAAAUUGGUCCCAUUUCUCUCCCAUGCCUUUCUUGCGCAUCCUCGACCUUAGUUUUAAUAAUCUUGUGUCGAAAUUCCCAGAAUUUAUAUCCAAUUCUCAUAGCCUGACUCACCUUAACCUUUCAAAUAACAAGUUUACUGGUCAUCUUGUGCAUAAAUUUACCAAUCUACAAAAUCUUGAAACCCUCUACCUUCAGAUCAAUUCUUUUGAGGGGCCGUUUCCACCAGAUAUAGUCCAGCUUUCCAAAUUAAAACGACUCUCCCUGUCAUGUAACAAAUUUUCAGGUUCAAUUCCCAAUGACGUAAGGUUGCUUUUUGGUCUUGAAUCCCUAAAUUUAGGCAACAAUUCCUUUGAAGGACCGCUUCCACCAGAUAUAUUCAAGCUUUCAAAGUUAAAACGACUUGUUCUUUGGAGUAAUAAGUUUUCAGGUUCUGUUUCCAAUGAUAUAGGUUUGCUUUCUGAGCUUGAAACCCUCCAUCUUUACUCUAAUUUUUUUGAGGGGCCACUUCCGCCAAAUUUAUUCAAGCUCUCCAAACUAAAAGAUCUCACCCUGUCAAGUAACAAAUUUUCAGGUUCAAUUCACAAUGAUAUAAGGUUACUUUGUGAUCUUGAAGACCUAUAUUUAGCUAACAAUUCCUUUGAAGGACCGCUUCCACCAGAUAUAUUCAAGCUUUCAAGAUUAAAACGUCUUUUUCUUUAGAGUAAUAAGUUUUCAGGUUCUGUUUCCAAUGAUAUAGGUUUGCUUUCUGAGCUUGAAAGCCUCGAUCUUAACUCCAAUUUUUUUGAGGGGCCGCUUCCGCCAAAUGUAUUCAAGCUCUCCAAACUAAAGAUUCUUUCCCUUUAUGAGAAUAACUUUUCAGGUUUUAUUUCUAAGGAUAUAGGUUUGCUUUCUGGACUUGAAACCCUCUAUCUUGACUCUAAUUUUUUUGAGGGUCCGCUUCCCCCACAUAUAUUUAGGCUGUCCAAAUUAAGAGAUCUGGACCUCUCAUACAGUAGAAAUUUAUUUGAAGGAAGUAUUCCUAUUGGACUGGGACUCUUGACUAACCUCAGGUACUUAGAUCUAUAUUCCAAUAAUCUCAGUGGCUAUAUUCCAUCUGACAUUGGAAACCUGAAGCUACUAGAAGGUCUUAUUCUCGGUUCUAAUAAAUUGACUGGACCAGUUUCAAAGAUCAUUUCUAAUCUCACAAAUCUUAUAUAUCUUGAUGUAAGUGAUAAUAGUCUUAGUGGAAAUAUUCAGAGUGACUUGUGGAAAUAUAACGAUCAUCCAACUUUGGAAUACAUCAAUUUAAGUGGGAACCAUUUUACGGGUAUAGUUUUUCUCUAUAGAUCUUUUCCUUUUCUCAUAUGUAACUAAGCUGGUAAUCUGAUUAUUGCAGUUUUACCAAAGUUUCAACAAUCUUGACAGGUGAGCUUCCAACAACAAUUUGCAAUGUCACUUCCCUUUCGGUUCUUGAUUUGUCAAAUAAUGCGUUAAGUGGUGCACUUCCAAACUGUUUCGGGAAUCUUGCUGAUGGAUUGCUUUACAUUAAUCUUGCUAAUAAUCAGUUUCGAGGAACAAUACCAACUACUUUCUCCAGGAGUUGUCAGCUGACAUAUCUAAACAUGGAUAAUAAUGAGUUUGAAGGAUUGGUGCCCCCAUCUUUGGCGAACUGCAAGCACUUGAAAAUUCUUGAUAUUGGCAAUAAUAAAAUAGGUGGUACAUUCCCGUCAUGGCUUUAUGUACUUGGAGAGCUAGAAGUCCUUGUCUUGCGAUCAAAUAAACUCUAUGGUACAAUAAGUGGAAGGAGCAUAGAAGAUCCCUUCCCCAAGUUGCGGAUUGUGGAUCUGUCCGAUAAUCAAUUCACAGGCCAUUUGCCAAUUCAAUACUUUAAGAAUAUGAAAUCAACUGAUAAUAUGUAUAAUUAUCUGAAUUCCACAGGAGGAAUAUAUUUCACUUAUGAAGCAGCAGUCUCAUUAACUGUGAAGGGAACAGAGUAUGAAGUGACAAAUAACCUUCAUAUUUACACAGCUAUUGAUCUGUCGUGCAACAAAUUUCAGGGUGAAAUUCCAAAAAUUAUUGGAGAGCUUAGAUGGCUUGCAUUGCUCAAUUUAUCGCAUAAUAGUCUGACAGGACAUAUCCCAUCAUUUCUGAGAAAUAUGAAAGAACUCCAAUCUUUAGAUUUGUCCUCAAAUCAACUGACAGGGGCCAUUCCACCUCAGUUAACUGCAUUGACAUUUCUAAAGGUCUUAAAUCUCUCGAAAAACCAUCUCAGUGGAGAGAUUCCUCAGGAAGGACAGUUCAGCACAUUCAACAAUGAUUCUUAUCUAGGAAACUCCGCGUUAUGUGGAUUACGUCUGACAAAGAAAUGUGCAAACACAGCAGGGAUUCCUCAGAAAGGACAGUUCAGCACAUUCAACAAUGAUUCUUAUAUAGGAAACUCCGCGUUAUGUGGAUCACCUUUGACGAAGAGAUGUGCAAACACAGCAUCACCUCCACAACAAGUCGGAAAUGGUGAUGAAGAUGAUGCGGGAGAUGAAUUGAGAUGGGAAGCAAUCGUGAUGGGAUAUGGAUGUGGACUGAUAUGUGGAUUGUCAUCUGCGUACAUUGUUCUCAAACUAGGAAGGCCUUGGUGGGUUGUGAGAUAUGUCGAAGUACUGCAACUGAAGUUGAUGAAAAGAUAUGCUUGAAGAAUGGAACUGGCCGAUCAAAACGAACUCGAAAGCAGUUGUCCUUGUGGACAUUUCUGAACCAGUAGUGUACUAGCUGCAUAAGUAUUUGGUAUUAUGUAAUAAUCCACAUAUUCAAUAUCACACUCUUCCUGUGAGGAAACAAAUAUGGAGAAACAUUUCUAUUUACAAAACUUUUACCAUUAUACACUCUUAUAGUACUGGUUAAUAGUUUGUUGUUCAGCCUAGUCCUAAACUGAAAUUAUCAGUUCUAUGUGAGUAUGCUUUCAAAUAAGAAUUAGGUGAUCUGCCUAGUCCAAAACUACUCUAAUACUAUAUCGCUGGUAGUCUUUCAGUUCAUCCUAUUGUAUACAAUAGUUUCUUCCUUUGACACAAAAAUGUCUGCAGUCAGUGUCACCACCACAGGAAGUCGAAAAUGGUGAUGAAGAUUGAUUUGCGGAUUGUCUUAUGGGUACAUUUUUUUCAAAAAAGGAAGGCCUUGGUGGUUUGUGAGAUACAUCGAAGUGCUGCAACUUAAGUUGAUGUUACCAAGAAUGAAAAAUAUUGUUCGACCAAGAUCAACAACUUGAAAAUGUGUUCUGAAUCUGUAAUAAUAUUAAAAUAUUAAAAUAUUAUUCAUUUAACAAUAUCGUCCAAUCAAUUUAAUUGAUUAUCAUUUAAUCAAUAUAUAUAGAUGGAUAUUAAUUGUCUUCCCUAGCUCCAACCAAUGAUGAAAUAACCUCCCUAUAAAUCUAUUGAGUCAAAAUUGCAAACAACACUUUCAAAACAUAGGUGCCGAAUAGUCCUUAUUUUAAAUUAAUCAGAAUUGAAUAUUUGAUGGCGCUAAAAAAAUCUGUUGAAAUUAGCAGUUUAUAAGGCAUAUAAAUAGAAGUGUGCGUUACUUUAAGGAUUCAUGAUCAAGUUGAGGAGAAAUAUGCACAGUAUAUAAAGCCUCAUCAUCUUUUUCUCUUUGUUUUCUUUCUCUCAUUACUCCCAUCCAUUCUUACAACACUAGCUGAAACAAGACGAGAGGGAGAAGCUCUUGUGAAAUGGAAGAAUAGCCUAGCCCCUUCUUCUUUUCUCGACUCUUGGUCCCUCACCAAUCUCGAUAAUCUUUGUAACUGGACUGGCAUUACUUGUAACUCUGCAGGUUCAGUCUCUAAGAUUAACCUUUUUGAGAAACAACUUGAUGGAAUGUUGUCCGAGUUUGGUUUCACCUCAUUUCCACAUCUCAACAAUCUCACCCUUGCAGACAACUACUUCUCGGGUCCGAUACCACCAGCCAUUGAGAAUUUAACACAGCUUCAAUUUCUUGAUUUGAGCAAUAAUUAUCUAGAUGGUCCCAUUCCUUUCCAGGUUAGCAAUCUUCAGAGGUUGCUCAUCUUAAACCUGUCACAGAAUGCAUUGCAAGCUCCAAAUUGGUCCCAUUUCUCUCCCAUGCCUUUUUUGCGCAUCCUCAACCUCAGUAGCAAUCCUCUAGCGUCGAAAUUCCCAAAUUUCAUAUCCAAUUCUCAUGGCCUGACUCACCUUAGCCUUAAUUAUAACGAGUUUACUGGUGAUUUAGUACGUGAAUCAAUAUUUGCCAAUCUGCAUAAUCUUGAAGUCCUCGGUCUUGUUGACAAUUCUUUUGAGGGGCCAUUUCCCCCGGAUAUAUUCAGGCUCUCCAAAUUAAAACGUCUCUCCCUGUCAGGUAACAAAUUUUCAGGUUCAGUUCCCAAUGACAUAAGGUUGCUUUGUGAUCUUCAAUCUCUAUAUUUAGCUAACAAUUCCUUUGAAGGACCGCUUCCACCAAAUAUAUUCAAGCUUGCAAAAUUAAAAGAUCUUGCUCUUUGGGGUAAUAAGUUUUCAGGUUCUGUUUCCAAUGAUAUAGGUUUGCUUUCUGUGCUUGAAAUUCUCAAUAUUCACUCUAAUUUUUUUGAGGGGCCCCUUCCGCCAAAUAUAUUCAAGCUCUCCAAAAUAAGGUUUCUUUACCUCGGGGGUAAUAACUUUUCUGGUUCCGUUUCCAAUGAGAUAGGUUUGCUUUCUGAGCUUGAAUCCCUAUAUCUUGGUUCUAAUGUUUUUGAGGGGCCGCUUCCACCAAAUAUAUUCAAGCUUUCCAAAUUAAAAUGGCUUGACCUCGCAGACAAUAGAAAUUUAUUUGAAGGAAGUAUUCCUAUUGGACUGGGACUCUUGACUAACCUCAGCUACUUAGAUCUAAGUUCCAGUAAUCUCAGUGGCUAUAUUCCAUCUGUCAUUGCAAACCUGAAGCUACUAGUAUUUCUUGAUCUCAGUUCUAAUCAAUUGACUGGACCACUUUCGAAGAUCGUUUCUAAUCUCACAAAUCUUAUACUUCUUGGUGUGGAUUAUAAUAGUCUUAGUGGAAAUAUUCAGAGUGAUUUGUGGAAGAACUCUAUAUCCUUACGUUACAUUGAUUUUGAAAAUAAUUAUUUUUCUGGAAACAUUCCUGAGGAAUAUAACGAUCAUCCAACUUUGGAAUACAUCAAUUUAAGUGGGAACUAUUUUACAGGUAUAUUUUCUUAAUAUAUCUUUUCCUUUUGUCAUAUAUAUGUAACUAAGCUAGUAAUCUGAUUAUUGCAGUUUUACCAAAGUUUCAACAAUCUUGACAGGUGAGCUUCCAACAACAAUUUGCAAUGUCACCUCCCUUUCGGUUCUUGUUUUGUCAAAUAAUAAAUUAAGUGGUGCACUUCCAAACUGUUUCGGGAAUCUUGCUGAUGGAUUGCUUUACAUUAAUCUUGCUAAUAAUCAGUUUCAAGGAACAAUACCAACUACUUUCUCCAGGAGUUGUCAGUUGACAUAUCUAAACAUGGUUAAUAAUGAGUUUGAAGGAUUGAUGCCCCCAUCUUUAGCGAACUGUAAGCACUUGAAAAUUCUUGAUAUAGGCAAUAAUAAAAUAGGUGGUACAUUUCCGUCAUGGCUUUAUGCACUUGGAGAGCUAGAAGUUCUUGUCUUGCGAUCAAAUAAACUCUAUGGUACAAUAAGUGGAAGGAGCAUAGAAGAUCCCUUCCCCAAGUUGCGGAUUGUGGAUCUGUCCAACAAUCAAUUCACAGGCCAUUUGCCAAUUCAAUACUUUAAGAAUAUGAAAUCAAAUGAUAAUUUGUAUCGUUAUCUGAAUUCCACAGGAGAAAUAUAUAUCUCUUAUGAAGCAGCAGUCUCAUUAACUGUGAAGGGAACAGAGUAUGAAGUAGCAAAGAACCUUCAUAUUUACACAGCCAUUGAUCUGUCGUGCAACAAAUUUCAGGGAGAAAUUCCAAAGGUUACCGGAGAGCUUAGAUGGCUUGCAUUGCUCAAUUUAUCUCAUAAUAGUCUAACAGGACCUAUCCCAUCAUUGCUGGGAAAUAUGAAAGAACUCCAAUCUUUAGAUUUGUCCUCAAAUCAACUGACAGGGGCUAUUCCACCUCAGCUAACUGCAUUGACAUUUCUAGAGGUCUUGAACCUCUCGGGAAACCAUCUUAGUGGAGAGAUUCCUCAGAAAGGACAGUUCAGCACAUUCAACAAUGAUUCUUAUCUAGGAAACUCCGCGUUAUGUGGAUCACCUUUGACGAAGAAAUGUGGAAACACUGUAUCACCUCCACAGGAAGUCGGAAAUGGUGAUGAAGAUGAUGCGGGUGAUGAAUGGACAUGGGAAGCAAUCGUGAUGGGAUAUGGAUGUGGACUGAUAUGUGGAUUGUCAUCUGCGUACAUUGUUCUCAAACUAGGAAAGCCUUGGUGGUUUGUGAGAUAUAUCGAAGUACUGCAACAGAAGUUGAUGAAAAGAUAUGCAUGAAGAAAGGUACUGGUAGAUCAAGAUGAAAAGAUAUGAAGAAGUAUUUGGUAUUAUGUAAUAAUCCGUUUGGUCGGGACUCAAAAUGAUUUCUCUUGCUUCAGGGGUAUUAAUAUUAACCUUGCUAUCUUGUUCAAUGUUAAUGCAAAUUAAAAAGAAUAUAAAAGCAAAAAAUUUGCAUCAAACACCUGUUGUACCAACAUGCAUCCAUUAAUUUGCUUUCAUCUAUUAAGUAACAAUUUAAGAGCGCUUCCACUCUGUUUAAGCAUGGAGAUUACACAAAGAAGGCAAGUCCAUGGAUUAACACGUAGUCCACAUCUAUGCUACGAACAAUUCACAUUGAUCUUAUAUCUGUUCAACAGUCUCCCGAAGAUAGGCCAUAAAUGUCAUCUGUGGCUCUUAUGUUUGUCAGUAAAGGAGAAUCUCUGAUGCCUAUAACCUGGUUUUCUUACAAGAUGCCCAGGUUAUCAUGGCCAUGCAGAAAAAUGCCCAAAAAUGAAUAGCUCAGGUCUCCCCAAGCCUUCCAGGACUCAUUCCAAGUCUUCGGAGGACCACUGCCUCCCCCUUUCAAAGAUGUGAUUGUAGCUCGAAAGUGAUAUAAAUUAUUUUCCCCACAUUAAAAAUAAAAAAUCAGAUUAAAUUAAUCAAUAAUAAAUUAAGGAUGAAAUCCAAAUUAAUCCUAAAUUUUGAUAAUAUAUAAAAAUUAUAAUUAUAAAUUAUAUAACCAAAUCAGAAUUGAAUUAACUUACUUGGCACUAGAAUUGCUAAAGACAGUAUAAUAAUUUAAUUGAUGAAAAGUCAAAGUCUUCUAAUAAAUCCAUAAAGAAUAUGAUAAUAUGAAAAUUAUAAUUGAAAAAUCAAAAUCAAUAGUGUAUUGGAAUAGUGUUCACACACUUAUAUAUCAAAAUUUGUGGUCCAAAAACUAUAGCACAAUAUCCUAAAUACAUCACAUUAAAUAAUAGCACAAAAAUAUUCAAUAAAUAAUUGAUUUCAUUCAUAAAUUUGUUAUUUUAAAAACUAAUAAUUUGGUUGAUGUUAACCUAUAUUUUAUAUAUAAUUUCGUCUUAUUUUAUUUUACUAGAAACAAUAUUUUUAUAAUAUUUAUUACAUUAAAUAUAUUAAAAGAUAUAAUUUUAUUAAAAAAAUUGAAUAAAAUUAAAAGGAUAAGUCUCGGCCUCUCCAAGUCUACAAGACUCAUUUCAAGUCCACCGAGGGCCUCAACCAUUGAGAGAUGUGAAAGUAGCUUGAGAGUGAUAUAAAUUAAUUAAAUUAGUUAAUAAUGAAUCAAGACUAAUCAUGAAUUAUGAUAAUAAUUAAAUAAAUUAUAAAAUUAAAUUAUACAAAUAACACUAAACCUUAGUUACUUUAUUGGUAAAAUAAAUAUAAUAUAAUAAUUAAAUUGAUGAAAAAUCAAAAUCAUCUAAUAAAUUCACAAAAAAUAUAUGAUCAUUAGUAUAUUAUAUUAGUAUCCACACACUUAUAUUUCAAAUCUAUCCUCCAAAAUUAUCAUCUCGAUAAACUAGCCGCAUAAAAUAAAAAUUUAACGAUAUUAGAUAUUUAGCUAUUUUCAUUAUAUAAUUUUUCCACACUAAAUAACAAAAUAUCUUUAUCAAAUUAUUAUUUAUGAAUUAAAUAUUCAAGUUAUAAUUCCAGCAUGCAGCGUAUAAAUAGAAGUGUGCAGUAUGAUAUCAGAUUCAUAACCCAGUUGAGGAGAAACAUGGCACACUCUGUAAAGCCUUCUCACCUUCUUCUCUUUGUUUUCUAUCUCUCUUAACUUGAAUACAUUCUUGCAACAACACAAGAGGGAGAAGCUCUUGUGAAAUGGAAGAAUAGCCUAGCCCCUUCUUCUUUUCUCGACUCUUGGUCACUCACCAAUCUCGAUGAUCUUUGUAACUGGACUGGCAUCACUUGUAACUCUGCAGGUUCAGUCUCUCAGAUCAACCUUUUCGAAAAACAACUUGAUGGAAUGCUGUCCGAGUUUGGUUUCACUUCAUUUCCGAAUCUCAACAAUCUCACCCUCGCAUACAACUUCUUCUCGGGUCCGAUACCACCGGCCAUUGAGAAUUUAACACAGCUUCGGUAUCUUGAUUUAAGCUUUAAUUCUCUCCAUGGUCCCAUUCCGUUCCAGGUUAGCCAUCUUCAGAGCUUGCUCAUCUUAAACCUGUCACAGAAUGCAUUGCAAGCUCCAAAUUGGUCCCAUUUCUCUCCCAUGCCUUUUUUGCGCAUCCUCAACCUCAUUAGCAAUCCUCUUGCGUCGAAAUUCCCAAAUUUUAUAUCCAACUCUCAUAGCCUGACUCACCUUAGCCUUAAUUUUAAUGAGUUUACUGGUGAUUUAGUACGUGAAUCAGUAUUUGCCAAUCUGCAUAAUCUUGAAUUGCUCAGUCUCGUUGAAAAUUCUUUUGAGGGGCCAUUUCCGCCGGAUAUAUUCAGGCUUUCCAAAUUAAAACAUCUUCACCUGUCAAGUAACAAAUUUUCAGGUUCAAUUUCCAAUGACAUAAGGUUGCUUUGUGAUCUUGAAUCCCUAUAUUUAGGCAACAAUUCCUUCGAAGGACCCCUUCCAUCAAAUAUAUUCAAGCUUUCAAAAUUAAAAAAUCUUGUUAUUGGGAGUAAUAAGUUUUCGGGUUCUGUUUCCAACGAUAUAGGUUUGCUUUCUGAGCUUGAAAGCCUCUAUCUUGACUCCAAUUUUUUUGAGGGGCCGCUUCCGUCAAAUAUAUUCAAGCUCUCCAAAUUAAGGAUUCUUUCCCUUUGGCAUAAUAACUUUUCAGGUUCUAUUUCUAAGGAUAUAGGUUUGCUUUCUGGACUUGAAACCCUCUUUCUUGACUCUAAUUUUUUUGAGGGUCCGCUUCCCCCGCAUAUAUUUAGGCUCUCCAAAUUAAGAGAUCUGGGUCUCUCAGACAAUAGAAAUUUAUUUGAAGGGAGUAUUCCUAUUGGACUGGGACUCUUGACUAACCUCAGGUACUUAGAUCUAUAUUCCAAUAAUCUCGGUGGUUAUAUUCCAUCUGACAUUGGAAACCUGAAGCUACUAGAAGUUCUUGAUCUCAGUUCUAAUCAAUUGACUGGACCGCUUUUAAAGAUUGUUUCUAAUCUCACAAAUCUUAUGUUUCUUGAUGUAAGACAAAAUAGUCUUAGUGGAAAUAUUCAGAGUGACUUGUGGAAAUAUAACGAUCAUCCAACUUUGGAAUUCAUCAAUUUAAGUGGGAACCAUUUUACGGGUAUAGUUUUUCUCUAUAAAUCUUUUCUUUUGUCAUAUGUAACUAAGCUAGUAAUCUGAUUAAUUGCAGUUUUACCAAAGUUUCAACAAUCUUGACAGGUGAGCUUCCAACAACAAUUUGCAAUGUCACUUCCCUUUCAAUUCUUGAUUUGUCAAAUAAUGGAUUAAGUGGUGCACUUCCAAACUGUUUCGGGAAUCUUGCAGAUAGAUUGCUUUUCAUUAAUCUUGCUAAUAAUCAGUUUCGAGGAACAAUACCAACUACUUUAUCCAAAAGUUGUCAGCUGACAUGUCUAAACAUGGAUAAUAAUGAGUUUGAAGGAUUGUUACCCCCAUCUUUGGCGAACUGUAAGCACUUGAGAAUUCUUGAUAUUGGCAACAAUAAAAUAGGUGGCACAUUUCCGUCAUUGCUUUAUGUACUUGGAGAGCUAGAAGUCCUUGUCUUGCGAUCAAAUAAACUCUGCGGUACAAUAAGUGCAAGGAGCAUAGAAGAUCCCUUCCCCAAGUUGCGGAUUGUGGAUCUGUCCAACAAUCAGUUCACAGGCCAUUUGCCAAUUCAAUACUUCAAGAAUAUGAAAUCAACUGAUAAUUUGUAUUGGUAUCGUAUUUCCACAGGAGAAUUAUUUUUCCAAUAUGAAGCAGCAGUCUCAUUAACUGUGAAGGGAAGAGAGUAUGAAGUAGCAAAUAACCUUCAUAUUUACACAGCCAUUGAUCUGUCGUGCAACAAAUUUCAGGGAGAAAUUCCAACGGUUACUGGAGAGCUUAGAUGGCUUGCAUUGCUCAAUUUAUCUCAUAAUAGUCUAACAGGACCUAUCCCAUCAUUGCUGAGAAAUAUGAAAGAACUCCAAUCUUUAGAUUUGUCCUCGAAUCAACUGACAGGGGCUAUUCCACCUCAGUUAUCUGCAUUGACAUUUCUAGAGGUCUUGAACCUCUCGAAAAACCAUCUUAGUGGAGAGAUUCCUCAGAAAGGACAGUUCAGCACAUUCAACAAUGAUUCUUAUCUAGGAAACUCCGCGUUAUGUGGAUCACCUUUGACGAAGAAAUGUGCAAACACAGCAUCACCUCCACAAGAAGUCGGAAAUGGUGAUGAAGAUGAUGCUGGAGAUGAAUUGACAUGGGAAGCAAUCGUGAUGGGAUAUGGAUGUGGACUGAUAUGUGGUUUGUGAGAUAUAUCGAAGUACUGCAACAGAAGUUGAUGAAAAGAUAUGCAUGAAGAAUGAUACUGGCCGAUCAAGACGAACUUGAAAGUUUGUUGUCCUUGUGGACAUUUCAGCUGAACCAGUAGUGUACUAUUCUCUUUGUGACUGCAUAAGUAUUUUGUAUUGUGUAAUGUUCUGUUUGGGCUUAAAUCAUAAUGAUUUUUCUUGCUUCAGGGGUAUUAAUAUAAAACCGUUUGGUCGGGACUCAUAAUGAUUUCUCUUGCUUCAGGGGUAUUAAUAUCAUCCUUGCUAUCUUGAACAAUGAUAAUGCAAAUUAAAAAGAAUGAAAAAACAAAAAUAUUGCAUCAAACACCUGUUGUACCAAGAUCCAUUAAUUUGCUUUCAUCUCUUACGCAACAAUUUAACAGCACUUCCACACUGUUUGAAAGAUUAUCAUAAAUUCGAGUUUUCCUCUCCAGCACCAAAUCCAAAUUAAUAUACAAUGCCACACAUUCCAGUCUCAGCUUCAGCUCCCAGGGUAGCAUUCAUUUAGCCAAGCACGACAGUGGCCGCUUACGUGCCUAACAAUAACAGUUGGGGAUUUGAGUGAACUUGCCUUGGUCCUGCCUUCAAAUGUCUGACAAUAACAGUUGGAUAUGUCGACAAAAAAAUUGUUCCUCACAGAGGAGCUAAUAGCAAUUGACUUCGAAUAAAUCCGACAGUUCUUUUCAUCCAGUUAUUAUUUCAGCAAUAUGUCUAGCAAAUAUGUAGUGCACUGGACACCAUACUACCAACACAAGUAGUAAAAGGAGAGACCAUUGUUUCGAAUGCUCGGAAAUUUGAACAGGGUUUUUUCCACCUGCCCCCUGACUUUUUACACAAACAGGUCAAGAAAAACAGAAGCCGGCUUCUGGAAAAAUGAAGCACUACUUUAUGAGUGACCAUUGUUUUGAAUGCUCGGAGAUGUGAAGUGGAUUUUUUCAGCCUGCCCCCAGACUUCUUUUUGUAAAACUAGAUUUCUUUAGCUCCGGUGUCUUAGUAUUGGAGAUUAUGAGUGACUGUAGAAAAGACUUUAAUAUGAGUGUGAGAUAUACCCCGGUGGAAACAGGACCUUGAUCCAAAGGGUCACGGGUUCAAACCUCACCUGAUCGGGUUCCACUCCACGCUCGGUCCACAUCUAUGCUGGAUUCAUAUUAAAAUGAUAAUGGAACACGGGCGUCCAUGGUUGGGGAUAUCAUAUUAAAAAGAUUAGCUGGGCACAGAUGAAUAUUUAUAUGGAUUUUAAAAACAAACUAUGACUUAAUAUAAGAAAAAUCAUUAUUUUUUAUUUUUCCGACUAAACAUUUGUUAGCCUUCUCUGGUGCCCAUCCAAAUCAUUCAGCGGGUUCUACUUUCAGCUCAUCACAAGAACAUCAUUCUGCAGGUACUUUCUUAUAUUGUUUGCCAGCGGUGACCGAGCCAGAAACUUUUUCGAGGAGGGGCCGGAAUAGAAAUAUUAUUUAAAUUUGAAAAUAUUAUAUAUCAUAUUGAAAAUAGUAUUAGUAACAAAAAUCCAUUUAUUUUAGGUUUCUAUGAGAAAACUCAGUCGUUUCAUUAAGAAAAUUUAAUUACUUAAUUACCAAACGGUUGAGGAUGAAGAUUUGAAAGAACGAGUUGCAACGGGGAGACUCAUAGACGCGACAGAAAAAAAUAGAAAAAGAUAUUGUUCAACAACCGAGUCUAUAUUAUUAAAAUUUAUGAUAAAUGAGAUAAUUUUAUUUUAUAAACUAACUAAAUACAUAUAAUAUAGUAUUAUAUGUAAUGCUACGUAAAAUUGGAUACAAGAUUUUGCACAAAAUGAUAUGAUAACUAAAGUGAAAUAUUUUAAUUGGUGCUAUUAAUGUAUAUAUACAUUUAUUACAAUUAAAACUUAACACAUAUUAUUAAUUUUGUGAAUAAAAUAUUUUUCUUAAUAAUAUAUAAGUAAAAAAAAUAAAAAUCUAGGAGGGGCUCAGGCCCCCUCUGGACCCCUCUAGCUCCGUCUGUAUACACCUAUCAUAUUAUUGACAGGUGGCUCUCUCAUAUUGCUCACAGGCGAACUCCUGCAUAUACUUUGUGAACCAAUCAUGACAAAAAUAUCAUCAUCCAAUCAAUUCGAUUAAUUAUUCUUUAAAUCAGUACAAAUAUUGUUAAAUAUAUGGAUGAUUAUCGUGUUUCCGCGAACCAAUCAUGAAAUGAAAUUACCUCUGUAUAAAUCCAUCGGAAAUAAGACAAUUAAUGGGGCCGUUUGGGCAAGCUUAAAAGAAGUGACUUCUUGCUUAAACUAGAGAAGUGGAGCAGAAGUGAGAAGUAAAUAAGUUAUUAAAGUGUUUGGAAAAGAAGCAGAAGCUGUGAGACAAAAGCUAGCAUUCUCAGCUUUUUAAAAGUGACUUCUUUACACAAACGGGUAAAAAAAGCAGAAGCCAGAAGCAGCUUCUGCUUCCGUUAAACAAACAGGCCCAAUAUCUCAAUCGAAUACACCCCGUGAGUUGUCAAACUCCUCGAAACGUAUUAAUCACUUUAGAAAUUUGUUCCACUGGCGCCAUUCAGUUCCAGAGUUGGUGGUAGGGGCCGUGCUUCUUGUGUUUCUUCUUUUCAUUAUUGACAUUGUCAUCUAGGUCCUUGCUUCUGGGCUUUGGAGAAGUAAACAAUGGAUCUAUUAGUCUUCCAUAUCGCUGAUACGCGCUAACGCGCAUUAUAGUGGAUUGAUCUUUAUUAGUGAUUUCUGUGGAGAUGCAUAAUCAUUAUAAGCUCCAAUAUAAAAUAAACCUAAUUUAAAGUUAGUAUGGGCAUUUGUGUUGAUAAUUUACGCAAUGUUAACAGGGAUUGCUCCCAAGUCUUGGACGGAUUCUUUCCAAGUCUUCUGAGGACCUAUUUGCACACUAAUUUGUCGCCAACUAAAAAUUCAACGAUAUUGCUAGCUCCCUCUACUAAUUUUUUGCGGGACGUUUUUUACUUUUAACACAUAUCUUUAGAUAGAAUUAGUAUUGUAAAAAGCGGGAAUCAGACUUAAUCGGUGAAGUCACAGAACAACGAUUAAUCGAUGAUUAAUUGGAUUGAUUGGGUAUCAAUCGGAUGAUUAAUGAAAUAAUCGGAUAUUUAAUCCGUUCGACGAGUUACGGAACAGGGAUUAAUCGUGAUUAAUCACCGACUUUUAGAACAGAGGAUAGGAUAAUAAAAUUAUUAUUUUUGAUUAUUUUUUUUGUGAAUAAAAAUUUUGAUUAUAUAUUUUUAUUAAAAAAGAAUUUAAAAUAAUAUUUUUAACUAACCGGUCCAAACAGCUAAAAGUGUGUGCCCAAGCGUCAUAUAAAAACGGAGGGAGCGAGCAUGUGCUGACUAACGGUUCAACUAACAGUUUACAAGUACUCCAUCUGUCCCAUUUAGUCCUAUUUAAUUAUAUACGUUUUUUUUUAACUGUUUGACACGCACUUCAAUGCUCUUCUAAAAUAUGGUUCUAUAACUUAUUUUUAAAAUUUUCUUUUUCUGAAUAAAAAUAUAACAUUCAAACUUUUAUUCAGAAAAAAAUAUCGUAAAAAUAAGUUAUAGAAUUAUAUUUUAUAAGAGCAUUAAAGUCCAUGUCGCGUCCCCGUCUUCUGAUGUAUAAAUUUGCGCAAUGUUAACGGGGAUUGCUCAUUUGCUCUCAAGUCUUGGACGGACCAAGUCUUCUAGGACCCAUCUGCACACUAAUUUGUCUGCCAACUAAAAAAUCAACGAUAUUGCUGCCUCUGCUAUUUUUUACCAGGACGUUUUUUACUUUUAACACAUGUUUAGAUAGGAUAAUAAAUAUUAUUAUUAUUGAUUAAUUUUUUUGUGAAUAAAAAUUUUGAAUAUAUAUUUUUAUCAAAAAAAGAAAAUUUUAAAAAUAAUAUUUUUAAGGGAAAUUAUUAAUGGUACUAUUGUGCUACUGGCUUUUCUAAAUGGUACUAUUUUGGUGUUUUCGACUUACAUGCAUUAUCACUUCCAUUAACGAUACUACCAUUCCGUCCCUCAAAACGUUAAAACCAUUAGUUGACCGUAUUUAUUUUGUAUUUUCCUUGUAAAAAAAACAAAAGAAUACAACUAAUAUUUGUAUUUUUUGUUUGUGUUCAAAUCGUCGAGAUAUGGAAGAGGUUAUCAGAAUUUUAGAAUUGAUUCGAUGUCCUUCAGAAAGUCAGGGGGAAACGGAAUGAGAUACGAGUUUUGAACAAGAAUCCAGUUUAGUUGUUGUUUAUCUUGAAAAACAGAUUUGGAAGUCAUAUAUUUUCAGCCUUUGGCUUCAUGUAUUUCUGUCUCAUCAUUCCCAGAUACUUGCUGAGGUUUAUAGUCACUGUUUAUUAAAUGUUGUCGUACAUUUUCCUGUAUUAUGCACCCAUGUGGCGCCUGUGUUUUGCAUGUCAUGCACAAUUUGCUCAACUACAUACAGGUCACAGGAUGAGUGCAUGUGCCAAAGGGAUUAGUGCAUUGAUCUGUGUAGUGUGAGGACACUGUGAUACAAGGCACAAUUUCUCAGAUUUCUUCUGUCAACACCACUCCCAUCCAUAGCUCCCACCUUUUCUCUCUCAAUCUCAUGUUUCUCUCUUUCUCUCGCAGCUCCGCCGCCACCACUACAUCAGUCUUCAAGAACUCAAGAAAAAAUAUGGAUAUCAGUUAUAUUUUUUGUGUUUUUUAAAGAAGUAUAUGAAAUAAAUAUAGUCAACUAAUGUUUUUAACGUUUUGAUGGACCGAAUGGUAGUAUCAUUAACGGAUCAUAAACUGAGUGGUACCACUUGUAAGUAAAAACCAGUGUUGUAAAAAGCGGGAAUCGGAUUUAAUCGGUGAAGUCACGGAACAAAGAUUAAUCGGAGAUUAAUCGGACUAAUCGGUGAUUAAUCGGAUAUUUAAUCAGUUCGGCGAGCUACGGAACAGGGAUUAAUCGGUCGUGAUUAAUCACCGACUUUUAGAACAGAGGUAAAAACACGAAAUGGUAUUAUUCAUAAAAGCCAAUACCACGAUGGUACCAUUAAUAAUUUCCCUAUUUUUAAUUACCGAGUCCAAAUAUUUAAACGUGUGUGCCCAAAAUUAAAGCCGCAUAUAAAAAAACGGAGGGAGCAUGUACUAACCGUUUCCAUAACAGUUUACAAGUAUAAGUUAUACUCCCUCUCAAUUUUUUUAUUUUUUUAUAUGACGUUUUGAUCUUGGGCACACAUUAUUAAGUGUUUUGACCGGAUAGUUAAAAAUAUUAUUAUUUAAAUUUUCUUUUCUGAAUAAAAAUAUAUAACCAAAAAUUUUAUUCACAAAAAUUUUUAGUGAUUUUUUCGUGAAUACCUAAGGCCAAUUUUUCAAAUAUUUUGUAAAAAUACCAAUUUUUUGAAAAUAUUUGCAAAGAUAAUGUAUUCAACCACAUGCAACCAUACUUAUAACCAGAUGUAACCAUAAUUGCAACCUCUGCGGGACCAAUUAACUGAAUUUGUAUUUGGUUGCACUAGUUAGUAUUUUCUUAAAGUUAGUAUUUUUGUAAAUAUUUUUAAAAAAAAGUAAAAUCGCAAAAAAAAAAAUCGAAAAAAUGGUUUGAUAAAUUUCUAAAUAUUUAAUCACAGAACAAUAACUUUUACAAUCCGAUCAACUCAUUUAAAAAUGUGUGUCAAAAGUAAAAAUGUCAUAUAUAUAUAUAUCAUAUAAAUGUCAUAUAAAUUUAAAACAAAGGGAUNCAUAUAAAUGUCAUAUAAAUUUAAAACAAAGGGAUAUAUAUUUUUUAAUAAAAUAUACUCCCUCUAUCCCAAAUAAGUGUCAGUGACAUUUUGCAAAAAUAGCUUGGGACAAUAGAUUUUUUUGCCACUCAACUUAAUGUGUUUUUAGAAAUUCGCCACCCAACUAAUUUUUUUUUCCUUUUACUCACUAAUGUUAGGUUUGGAUUUUUUUUAGCCACCAACUUAGGUUCGGAUUUGAUUACUAGUAUUAUGAUAAUUUUAUUUAUCACUAAACUUACUGCGUCUUUAGGAAUUAACCACUGAACUAUAAUUUUUUUAUUUUACUCACUAAUGUUAGGUUCAUUUUUUUUGUCACUGAAGUUAGGUUCGGAUUUGAUUAUUAGCAUUAUAUUAAUUAUGUGUAACAUUAUUAAAAUAUAGUGGUCUAUAAUAUUUUGAUGAUUUGGUAUAUGUCUGUAUCUUUAUAUAUAGUACUUUUUAUGUCUCCAAUGUCGUUUAACUUGAGUGGUAAGAAUUUUACACGCAUUUUAUGGCUUUUAAAAGAUGUAGUUUCAUAAAUAAUUUUAUUUUUUUCUUCCGAAUAAAAAUUCAGCGUUUUACACACAAAAAAAUAACAAAAAAAAGUUAUGAAGCUAUGUUUUAUAAGAGUCUUAAAAUACGUGCUAAGCAGUAGAAAAAACUGUAAACUAAUGAGAGGGACAUGUAGUAAUAAUAAUAAAAUGAUGCAUUAUAGAGGACAAUCAUCGAAAAUUAAGUUAACCUCUCUAUUUAUUUAUCUUGAAAAUUGUAGUAAAAUAAAGUUAUUAAAAUUUAUGAAGAUAAAUUUGAGAGAGAUCUUGGACUGAGCUAGUCAAUUGAAACUUUAAUAGCGAAAGAUGAUGCAUCAUAUCAAUCAAUUACACUUUAUCUUCUUAUCAUCAGGGAGGGUGAAUUGUUUGAAGUCAUUGAUUUCAUAUUCAUGAUUUAUUGAAUUUUAGAAUUCUAAUUACGAUUUUUCCUGGUUUUAAUUUUUCAUCGGCUCAUUUUAUAUUAUUUUUGUUAUAUAUAAGGAUAUAAACAUACGACACAUCAUCAAAAUAUUACAUACUAUCACUAUGUAUAAAUGAUGCGACAAAAAUUAUCAUAAUGCUAGUAAUUAAAUCCGAACCUGAGUAGUGGCUAAAAAAAAAUCCAAACCUAAUAUUAAUGGUAAAAGGAAAAAAAAAAUAGUUAGGUGGCAAGUUUCUAAAAACACUAUAAAUUGAGUGGCAAAAAAAAUCUAUUUUCCAAACAUAGCUUGGGGUAAUAACAAAACCUUAAUCAACGCAAGCACAGCAGACCGCAGGCAUAAGGCUUAUAAAUAGAAGUGCAGUAUUGUGUUGAUGGUCAAGUUGAGUGGAAAUAUGGUACACUUUGUAAAGCCUUGUUAUCCUCUUCUCUUUGUUUUCUUUCUCUCAUUACUUCAAUCCAUUCUAACAACACUACCUGAAUCCAGACGAGAGGGAGAAGCUCUUGUGAAAUGGAAGAAUAGCCUAGCCCCGUCUUCUUUUCUCGACUCUUGGUCACUCACUGAUCUCGAUAAUCUUUGUAACUGGACUGGCAUUACUUGUAACUCUGCAGGUUCAGUCUCGGAGAUUAACCUUUGUGAGAAACAACUUGAUGGAAUGCUGUCCGAGUUUGGUUUCACUUCAUUUCCAGAUCUCAACUAUCUCACCCUCGCAGACAACUUCUUCUCGGGUCCGAUACCAUCAGCCAUUGAGAAUCUAACACAGCUUCAAUAUCUUGAUUUAAGCAUGAAUAGUCUCAAUGGUCCCAUUCCUUUCCAGGUUAGCCAUAUUCAGAGCUUGCUCAUCUUAAACCUGUCACACAAUGCAUUGCAAUCUCCAAAUUGGUCCCAUUGCUCUCCCAUGCCUGUCUUGCGCAUCCUCGACCUUAGUUUUAAUAAUCUUGUGUCGAAAUUCCCAGAAUUUAUAUCCAAUUCUCAUAGCCUGACUCACCUUAACCUUUCAGAUAACAAGUUUACUGGUGAUCUUGUGCGUGAAUUUACCAAUCUACAAAAUCUUGAAACCCUCUACCUUCAAGAUAAUUCUUUUGAGGGGCCGUUUCCGCCUGAUAUAGUCCAGCUUUCCAAAUUAAAACGUCUCGCCCUGUUAGGUAACAAAUUUUCAGGUUCAAUUCCCAAUGACAUAAGGUUGCUUUGUGUUCUUGAAUACCUAUAUUUAGGCAACAAUUCCUUUGAAGGACCACUUCCACCAAAUAUAUUCACGCUUUCAAAAUUAAAAUUACUUGUUCUUUGGGGUAAUAAGUUUUCAGGUUCUAUUUCCAAUGAUAUAGGUUUGCUUUCUGAGCUUGAAACCCUCGUUCUUGACUCUAAUUAUUUUGAGGGGCCACUUCCGCCAAAUAUAUUCAAGCUCUCUAAAUUAAAGGUUUUUUCCCUUGUGUACAAUAACUUUUCAGGUUCUGUUUCCAAUGAUAUAGGUUUGCUUUCUGAGCUUGAAUAUCUCCGUAUUGGCUGCAAUUCUUUCGAGGGACCGUUGCCAACAAAUAUAUUCAAGCUUUCCAAAUUAAGUAAACUUGACCUAUCAAAUAAUAGUAAUUUUUUUGAAGGAAGUAUUCUUAUUGGAUUGGGACUCUUGACUAACCUCAGCUACUUAGAUCUAGAUUCCAAUAAUCUCAGUGGCUAUAUUCCAUCUGAGAUUGGAAACCUGAAGCUACUAGUAUUUCUCGAUCUUAGUUCUAAUCAAUUGACUGGAUCGCUUUCAAAGAUCUUUUCUAAUCUCACAAAUCUUAUAUAUCUUCAUGUAUAUGAUAAUAGUCUUAGUGGAAAUAUUCAGAGUGACUUGUGGAAAAACUCUGUAUCCUUGCGUUUCGUUGAUCUUGCAAAUAAUUAUUUGUCUGGAAACAUCCCUAAGGAAUAUAACGAUCAUCCAACUUUGGAAUACAUUAAUUUAAGUUGGAACCAUUUUACAGGUAUAUUUUCUCUAUAUAUCUUUUCCUUUUCUNCUCAUAUGUAACUAAGCUUGAUUAUUGCAAUUUUACCUAAGUUUCAACAAUCUUGACAGGUGAGCUUCCAACAACAAUUUGCAAUGUCACUUCCCUCUCGGUUCUUGUUUUGUCAAAGAAUGGAUUAAGUGGUCCACUUCCAAAUUGUUUCGGAAAUCUUGCUGAUAGAUUGCUUUCCAUUAAUCUUGCUAAUAAUCAGUUCCGAGGAACAAUACCAACUACUUUCUCCAGCAGUUGUCAGCUGACAUAUCUAAACAUGGAUGAUAAUGAGUUUGAAGGAAUGUUGCCUCAAUCUUUGGCGAAAUGUAAGCACUUGAAAAUUCUUGAUAUUGGCAAUAACAAAAUAGGUGGUAUAUUUCCGUCAUGGCUUUAUGUACUUGGAGAGCUAGAAGUCCUUGUCUUGCGAUCAAAUAAACUCUAUGGUACAAUAAGUGGAAGGAGCAUAGAAGAUCCGUUCCCCAAGUUGCGGAUUGUGGAUCUGUCCAACAAUCAAUUCACCGGCCAGUUGCCAAUUCAAUACUUUAAGAAUAUGAAAUCAACUGAUAAUUUGUAUCGUUAUCGGAAUUCCACAGGACCAUUAUCUUUCUCUUAUGAAGCAGCAGUCUCAUUAACUGUGAAGGGAACAGAGUACGAGGUAGCAAAGAACCUUCAUAUUUACACAGCCAUUGACCUGUCAUGCAACAAAUUUCAGGGAGAAAUUCCAAAGGUUACUGGAGAGCUUAGAUGGCUUGCAUUGCUGAAUUUAUCUCAUAAUAGUCUGACAGGACCUAUCCCAUCCUUGCUGAAAAAUAUGAAAGAACUCCAAUCUUUAGAUUUGUCCUCAAAUCAACUGACAGGGGCUAUUCCACCUCAGUUAACUGCAUUGACAUUUCUGGAGGUCUUCAACCUCUCGGGAAACCAUCUUAGUGGAGAGAUUCCUCAGAAAGGACAGUUCAGCACAUUUAACAAUGAUUCUUAUCUAGGAAACUCCGCGUUAUGUGGAUCACCUUUGACAAAGAAAUGUGCAAACACAGCAUCACCUCCACAAGAAGUCGGAAAUGGUGAUGAAGAUGAUGCUGGUGAUGAAUGGACAUGGGAAGCAAUCGUGAUGGGAUAUGGAUGUGGACUGAUAUGUGGAUUGUCAUCUGCGUACAUUGUUCUCAAACUAGGAAAGCCUUGGUGGUUUGUGAGAUAUAUCGAAGUGCUGCAACUGAAGUUGAUGAAAAGAUAUGCUUGAAAAAUGGUACUGGCCGAUCAAGACGAACUUGAAAGUUGUUGUCCUUGUGGACAUUUCUGAACCAGUAGUGUACUAGCUGCAUAAGUAUUUGGUAUUAUGUAAUAAUCCGUUUGGUCAGGACUCAUAAUGAUUUCUCUUGCUUCAGGGGUAUUAAUAUUAACCUUGCUAGUUAAUUCAAAUUAAAACAAAUAUAAAAUCAAAAAAUUUGCAUCAAACACCUGUUAUACCAACAUCCAUUAAUUUGCUUUCAUCUCUUACGUAACAAUUUAACAGCGAUUCCACACUGUUUUAGGCAUGGAGAUUACACAAAGAAGGCAAGUCCAUGGACUAAUAUACGAACAAUUCAUAUUGGUCUUCCAUCUGUUCAACCGUCUCCCGAAGAUAGGCCAAAAAUGUCAUCUGUGGUUCUUAUCUUUGUCAGUAAAGGAGAAUCUCUGAUGCCUAUACAACCUGGUUUUCUUACCGAAAGGAAUGUAGGUGAAACCAGGGGCAUAAAAUGAAUCGGGACUAAAAUCUGCUAAAAUGAUAAUUAUUUACUCAUCAUUCGAGAUUAGUCGGGCUCGAAUGAAGAUUUAUAUGGAUUUUAAGAACAAACUAUGACUAAAUAUGAAAAAAUCAUUAAUUUUUCCGACUCAAUAUUUUUAGCCUCCCCCGGCCCUGGGUGAAACCAUAAGCUUCUCUGGUGCACAUCCAAAUCAUUCAGCUGGUUCUACAUUCAGCUCACCCACAGGAACAUCAUUCUGCAGGUACUCUCUUAUCUGUACUUUCUUAUAUUGUAUGCCAGAAAAUUUAAUAUCGACAAACUGCACAAUACACCUCGAUCUCAUAUUAUUGACAGGUGAGCUCCUCUCAUAAUGCUCACAGGCGAACUCCUGCAUAUAUACUUUGUGAUGUCAUUGAUGAUCGAUAGGCUUGAAAAAAAAUUAUGACAAAGAUUCAUAAAAUAUCUACUUCCAUCCUAAUUCAGUAUUCAAUAUUAUUCAUUCCGUAUCAUCAUCCAAUCAAUUCUAAUAGUUCUUCUUUAAAUCAGUAUAAAUAUUGUUAAAUAUAUUGAUGAUGGUUGUCUUUCCGCGAACCAAUCAUAAAAUUACCUCUGUAUAAAUCCAUCGGAAAUAAGACAGUUAAUAUCCCAAUCGAAUACACCCCUGUCAGUUGUCAAACUCCUCGAAACGUAUUAAUCACUUUAGAAAAUUUGUUCCACUGGCGCUAGUCAGUCCCAGAGUUGGUGGUGGGUGCUUCUGGGCUUUCGAAAAGCACCCAUUUACUCCAUUGUUUAGAGAAGUAAAACCCCACCUUCCGCUCAUUUGAUUGAUCAGCUGAAUUAGGCAGAGUUUACAUGGUCAUGAUCAUAGUCUCCCAUUUCCCAGAUACGCGCAUUAUAGUGGAUUUAUCUUUAUCAGUAAUUUCUGUGGAGAUGCAUAAUCAUUAUAAACUCCAAUAUAAAAAUUUAAAGUUGGUAUGGGCAUUUGUGUUGAUAAUUUGCGCAAUGUUAACAGGAAUUGCUCCCAAGUCUUGGACGGACUCUUUCAAAGUCUUCUGAGGACCCAUCUGCACACUAAUUUGUCUCCCAACUAAAAAAUCAACAAUAUGUUACUCCCUCCGUUUUUCUUAAACGAGGUUAAAAUUUUUGACACAAGAUGGGUUGACAGUAUAAUAAAAAUUUUUGUGAAUAAAAUUUUUUUUAUUUAGAAAGAUAAUCUUGAAAAUAAUAUUAUUAACUAAGUUAAAUCACUUAAAAGUGUAUGUCCAAAAAUUAAAGCGGCAUAUAAAAAAAAGGGAGGGAGCAUGUACUAACUGUUUCCAUAACAGUUUACAAGUAUAAGUUAUACUCCCUCUCUAUUUUUUUAUAUGACGGUUUGAUUUUGGGCACACAUUUUUAAGUGUUUUGACCAGAUAAUUAAAAGGGGUUUUCUCAUAAAUACCUAAGUCUAAAAUUAUUUUUACGAAAAUAUUAUAUCUUUUUUUAAAUAUUUUGCAAAAAUACCAAACUUUGUAAAUAUUUACAAAAAUACGGUAUGCAACCCGUUGCAACCACAUGCAACCUUACUUGCAACCAUAUUUGCAACCCCUGCGGGGUCAAUUAACUGAAAUUGCAUCUGGUUGCGUUUAGUUGCAGACCGUAUUUUUGCAAAUAUUUUCUAAAAAGUUAGUAUAUUUGCAAUUUUUUUAAAAAUAUAAGAAAAUCGCAAAAAUUAUAACAAAGCUUCAAGAUUUUUAACAGGUGAGCUUCCACUAAAAAUUUGCAAAGUCACUUCCCUUUCGCGUCUCAUUAUGUCAGAUAUUGGUCAAGUGGUGCACUUCCACAGUGUUUGGGGAACCUUUCUUUGCUUGGUUUCAAUAAUCUUGCUAAUAAUCAAUUUCAAGGACCAAUACCAACGACUGUCCAAGACUUGUCUGUGCAUAUCUAAACAUCCAUAACAAUCACUUUGAAGGUUUGUUGCUCCAAUCUUUGGCAAACUGUAAACACUUACAAAUUCUUGAUAUUGGAAACAACAAAAUAGGUGGUACAUUUCCGUCAUGGCUAUUUACUGUUGGAGAGCUAGAUGUCCUAGUUAGGACGGUAUUUCGACUAGAGCAAGCCGAGUUUUGAGCGGAGCCCAAUUCGAGCCAAGUUUAAUCGAGUCGAGCCGAGUCAGUUCGUUUGGCUAAUCGAGCCUAAAACUCUGUCCGAACUCGACUCGUUUAAUUUCACGAGUUGAGUCAAGCCAGCUCAUUUAGCUAAACGAGUUGGUUUUAACGAGUUAAACGAGUGAGCUCGUAUAAUUUUAACUUAAUCGAGCCUGGAUCUCUAUCCGAACUAUUGGCUCGUGUAAUUUCGCGAGUCGAAUCGAGCCGGCUCGUUUUAUUAAACAAACCGAAAUUUUUGCCCAAAUUUUGCUCGUUUAACAAGCCGAUCUGAACCUAGUUAAAUGAGUUCGAGCUAGUCGAGCUCGCAGCUUGCGAGCUCGCCGGACAGCUCUAGUACUAGUCUUGCGAUCAAAUAGGUUUCACGGUAUAGAAAGUGGAAGGAACACAAGGCAUCUGUACUUUCUUGUACUGUAUGCCACUUUGACAGUAAAAUUUAUACUCCCUCCGUCCGAAUGAAUUGUAUACAGUUUACUUUUUGGGACGUCCCAUCAAUUGUAUACAUUCCUAAAGUAGUAAACUUUUAUAAUAUAAAACAUCAUUAAACCAACUACUUUCUUCCCCUAUCUCCAUUCUAUAAUAAUAUAAACACUAUUACACCCACUACUUUCCUCCACUAUCUCAAAUUUAUUAUUAAAUAUAAAUGGGUCCCACCACUAUACUCACUUUUCAUCCAACUUUACUCAUUUCUAAUAAAAUUUCUUGGUCUCCGUGUCCCAGCCAUUUGUAUACAAAUGACUGGGACGGAGGGAGUAUCAACAAACUGCACGAUUAAAUCCUCGUACAAUUGACAGGUGAACUCCUGCAUAUGUUCUGAACUAUUACGUACUAUAUUAUGCAAGCUGUUUGCAACUUUCAUCAAAAUUUUCAAACAUUUCUUAAUAUGUUUUUUCAAAAAAUUCUCGGGCCCUCUUAAGGCCUAUUAUUAUUGCAACUCUCACGUUAUGGACCACUAUGUAUUUUACAAGCACGACGAAUCAUGUGGUCAUUAUGGACUCCCCAAGCCUUCGAGGACUCACUCCAGGUCUUAGGAGGACCACUGCCUAGCUCACCCUUUCGGAGUGAUGUAAAUUAUUUUCUAGACACUAAAAAUAAGUAUUCAGAUUAAUCAUUACAAAAUUAAGGAUAUAAAAUCAGAAUAAAUCCUAAACUUUGAUGAUACAAAAAAAUUAUAAUUGUAAAUUAUACAAUCAAAUUAAAAUCGAAUUAACUUCCCUCACACUUAAAAUUUAUAGCGAUCAAAUCAAAAUCGAAUUAACUUUCCUAUUACUAAAAUAUAAUUACAAUAUUAUUAGAUAAAGAGAAUAUAUAAUAAUCAAGAGAAAAUAGAUUUUUUUUUGCCACUCAACUUAUCGUGUUUUAAGAAACUUACCACCCAACUAAAUUUUUUUUCCUUUUGCUCACUAAUGUUAGGUUUGGAUUUGUUUUUAGCCACCAACUAAGGUUCGGAUUUGAUUACCAGCAUUAUGAUAAUUUUUUUUGUCACUAAACUUAUUGCGUCUUUAGAAACUAACCACUCAACUAAAUUUUUUUUUAUUUUACUCACUAAUGUUAGGUUCAGUUUUUUUUUGUCACUGAAGUUAGGUUCGGAUUUGAUUAUUAGCAUUACAUUAAUUCUGUGUAGCAUUUUUAAAAUAUGGUAGUACUCUGUGAUAUUUAGAUGAUUUGAUAUAUGUCUGUAUUUUUAUAUAUAGUAUAUUUUAUGUCUCCAAGAUCAUUUACCUUGGGUCAUAAGAAUUUUACACGCAUUAUAUGACUUUUAAAAGAUGUAGUGUCAUAAAUAAUUUUAUUUUUUUUUCCGAAUUAAAAUUCAGCAUUUGAAUUUUACACACACAAAAAUCGCAAGAAUAAGUUAUGAAAUUAUGCUUUAUAAGAGUCUUAAAAUACGUGCUAAACGGUAGAAAAAACGGUGAAAUAAUGAGAGGUACAUAGGAGUAAUAAUAACAUAAAAUGAUGCACAAGUUAGUAUAUUGGACUAAUAUUCACGCAUUUAUAUACGAGAAUAUAUGGUCCACAAGUUAGUGCACAAUGUCCAAGAAUCUUUAUCAAAGUAACACGGCAAGCAUGCAGCAUAUAAAUAAGAGUGGGCAGUAUGGUAUUGCAUUCAUAACCCACUUGAGGAGAAAUAUGGCACACUUCCUAAAGCCUUCUCACCUUCUUCUCUUUGUUUUCUCUCUCUCGUUACUUCAAUCCAUUCUACCAACAAGACCAGAGGGAGAAGCUCUUGUGAAAUGGAAGAAUAGCCUAGCCCCUUCUUCUUUUCUCGAUUCUUGGUCACUCACCAAUCUCGAUGAUCUUUGUAACUGGACUGGCAUUACUUGUAACUCUGCAGGUUCAGUCUCUGAGAUUAACCUUUAUGAGAAACAACUUGAUGGAAUGCUGUCCGAGUUUGGCUUCACUUCAUUUCCGAAUCUCAACAAUCUCACCCUCGCAUACAACUUCUUCUCGGGUCCAAUUCCACCAGCCAUUGAGAAUUUAACACAGCUUCAAUAUCUUGAUUUAAGCAUCAAUAGUCUCGAUGGUCCCAUUCCGUUCCAGGUUAGCCAUCUUCAGAGGUUGCUCGUCUUAAACCUGUCACAGAAUGCAUUGCAAGCUCCAAAUUGGUCCAAAUUCUCCCCCAUGCCCUUUUUGUGCAUCCUCAACCUCAGUAGCAAUCCUCUUGCGUCGACAUUCCCAAAUUUCAUAUCCAAUUCUCAUGGCCUGACUCACCUCAGCCUUGAUCAAAACGAGUUUACAGGUGAUUUAGCGCGUGAAUCAAUAUUUGCCAAUCUGCAUAAUCUUGAAGUCCUCAGUCUUGUUGGCAAUUCUUUUGAGGGGGCCAUUUCCGCCAAAUAUAUUCAAGCUUUCCAAAUUAAAACAUCUUAGCCUGUCAGAUAACAAACUUUCAGGUUCAAUUCCCAAUGACAUAAGGUUGCUUUGUGAUCUUGAAUACCUAUAUUUAGGCAACAAUUCCUUUGAAGGACCGCUUCCACCAAAUAUAUUCAAGCUUUCAAAAUUAAAACAUCUUAUUCUUUGGGGUAAUAAGUUUUCAGGUUCUGUUUCCAACGAUAUAGGUUUGCUUUCUGAGCUUGAAAGCCUCUAUCUUGACUCCAAUUUUUUUGAGGGGCCGCUUCCGCCAAAUUUAUUCAAGCUCUCCAAACUAAAGAUUCUUUUCCUUUAUGAGAAUAACUUUUCAGGUUUUAUUUCUAAGGAUAUAGGUUUGCUUUUUGAACUUGAAACCCUCUAUCUUGACUCUAAUUUUUUUGAGGGGCCGCUUCCCCCACAUGUAUUUAGGCUCUCCAAAUUAAGAGAUCUGGGUCUCUCAGACAAUAGAAAUUUAUUUGAAGGAAGUAUUCCUAUUGGACUGGGACUCUUGACUAACCUCAGAUACUUGCGUCUAUCUUCCAAUAAUCUCGGUGGCUAUAUUCCAUCUGACAUUGGAAACCUGAAGCAACUAGAACUUCUUGAUCUCGGUUCUAAUCAAUUGACUGGACCGCUUUCAAAGAUCGUUUCUAAUCUCACAAAUCUUAUAUAUCUUGAUGUGAGUUAUAAUAGUCUUAGUGGAAAUAUUCAGAGUGACUGGUGGAAAAACUCUGUAUCCUUACGUUACAUUGAUUUUGAAAAUAAUUAUUUGUCUGGGAACAUUCCUAAGGAAUAUAACGAUCAUCCAACUUUGGAAUACAUCAAUUUAGGUGGGAACCAUUUUACAGGUAUAUUUUCUCUAUAUAUCUUUUCCUUUUGUCAUAUGUAAAUAAGCUAGUAAUCUGGUUAUUGUAGUUUUACCAAAGUUUCAACAAUCUUGACAGGUGAGCUUCCAACAACAAUUUGCAAUGCCACUUCCCUUUCGGUUCUUGUUUUGUCAAAUAAUGGAUUAAGUGGUGCACUUCCAAAAUGUUUCGGGAAUCUUGCUGAUGGAUUGCUUUACAUUAAUCUUGCUAAUAAUCAGUUUCGAGGAACAAUACCAACUACUUUCUCCAGGAGUUGUCGGUUGACAUAUCUAAACAUGGAUAAUAAUGAGUUUGAAGGAUUGUUGCCCCCAUCUUUGGCGAACUGUAAGCACUUGAAAAUUCUUGAUAUAGGCAAUAAUAAAAUAGGUGGUACAUUUCCGUCAUGGCUUUAUGCACUUGGAGAGCUAGAAGUUCUUGUCUUGCGAUCAAAUAAACUCUAUGGUACGAUAAGUGGAAGGAGCAUAGAAGAUCCCUUCCCAAAGUUGCGGAUUGUGGAUCUGUCCCACAAUCAAUUGACAGGCUAUUUGCCAAUUCAAUACUUUAAGAAUAUGAAAUCAACUGAUGAUUUGUAUAGUUUCCGGAAUUCCACAGGAACCGCAUCUAUCUCUUAUGAAGCAUCGGUCUCAUUAACCGUGAAGGGAACAGAGUAUGAAGUAGCAAAUAACCUUCAUAUUUACACAGCCAUUGAUCUAUCGUGCAACAAAUUUCAGGGACAAAUUCCAAAGGUUACUGGAGAGCUUAAAUGGCUGGCAUUGCUCAACUUAUCUCAUAAUAGUCUAACAGGACCUAUCCCGUCAUUGCUGAGAAAUAUGAAAGAACUCCAGUCUUUAGAUUUGUCUUCAAAUCAACUAACAGGGGCUAUUCCACCUCAGUUAACUGCACUGACAUUUCUAGAGGUCUUGAACUUCUCGGGAAACCAUCUUAGUGGAGAGAUUCCUCAGAAAGGACAGUUCAGCACAUUCAACAAUGAUUCCUAUCUAGGAAACUCUGCGUUAUGUGGAUCACCUUUGACGAAGAAAUGUGUAAACACUGUAUCACCUCCUCAGGAAGUCGAAAAUGGUGAUGAAGAUGAUGCUGGUGAUGAAUUGACAUGGGAAGCAAUCGUGAUGGGAUAUGGAUGUGGACUGAUAUGUGGAUUGUCAUCUGCGUACAUUGUUCUCAAACUAGGAAAGCCUUGGUGGUUUGUGAGAUAUAUCGAAGUACUGCAACUGAAGUUGAUGAAAAGAUAUGCAUGAAGAAAGGUACUGGUAGAUCAAGAUGAACUUGAAAGUUGUUGUCCUGGUAGACAUUUCUGAACCAGUAGUAUACUAGCUGUGUAAGUAUUUGGUAUUAUGUAAUAAUCCGUUUGGUCGGGACUCAAAAUGAUUUCUCUUGCUUCAGGGGUAUUAAUAUUAACCUUGCUAUCUUGAUCAAUGUUAAUGCAAAUUAAAAAGAAUAUAAAAGCAAAAAAUUUGCAUCAAACACCUGUUGUACCACAGGCUUCCGACUCAAUAUUUGUUAGCCUCCCGUGCCCUGUGUGAAACCAUAAGCUUCUCUGGUGAAUAUCCAAAUCAUUCAGCUGGUUCUACUUUCAGCUCACCGCAGGAACAUCAUUCUGCAGGUACUCUCUUAUCUGUACUUUCUUAUAUUGUAUGCCAGAAAAUUUAAUAUCGACAAACUGCACAAUACACCUCGAUCUCAUAUUAUUGACAGGUGAGCUCCUCUCAUAAUGCUCACAGGCGAACUCCUGCAUAUACUUUGUGAUGUCAUUGAUGAUCGAUAGACUUGAAAAAAAAUUAUGACAAAGAUUCAUAAAAUAUCUACUUCCAUCCUAAUUCAGUAUUCAAUAUUAUGCAUUCCGUAUCAUCAUCCAAUCAAUUCUAAUAGUUCUUCUUUAAAUCAGGACAAAUAUUGUUAAAUACAUGGAUGAUGGUUGUCUUUCCGCGAACCAAUCAUGAAAUUACCUCUGUUUAAAUCCGUCGAAAAUAAGAAAAUUAAUAUCCCAAUCGAAUACACCCCGUGAGUUGUCAAACUCCUCGAAACAUAUUAAUCACUUUAGAAAAUUUCAACAAUCUUGACAGGUGAGCUUCCAACAACAAUUUGCAAUGUCACCUCCCUUUCGGUUCUUGUUUUGUCAAAUAAUAAAUUAAGUGGUGCACUUCCAAACUGUUUCGGGAAUCUUGCUGAUGGAUUGCUUUACAUUAAUCUUGCUAAUAAUCAGUUUCAAGGAACAAUACCAACUACUUUCUCCAGGAGUUGUCCGUUGACAUAUCUAAACAUGGAUAAUAAUGAGUUUGAAGGAUUGAUGCCCCCAUCUUUGGCGAACUGUAAGCACUUGAAAAUUCUUGAUAUAGGCAAUAAUAAAAUAGGUGGUACAUUUCCGUCAUGGAUUUAUGCACUUGGAGAGCUAGAAGUUCUUGUCUUGCGAUCAAAUAAACUCUAUGGUACAAUAAGUGGAAGGAGCAUAGAAGAUCCCUUCCCCAAGUUGCGGAUUGUGGAUCUGUCCAACAAUCAAUUCACAGGCCAUUUGCCAAUUCAAUACUUUAAGAAUAUGAAAUCAAAUGAUAAUUUGUAUCGUUAUCUGAAUUCCACAGGAGAAAUAUAUAUCUCUUAUGAAGCAGCAGUCUCAUUAACUGCGAAGGGAACAGAGUAUGAAGUAGCAAAUAACCUUCAUAUUUACACAGCCAUUGAUCUGUCGUGCAACAAAUUUCAGGGAGAAAUUCCAAAGGUUACCGGAGAGCUUAGAUAGCUUGCAUUGCUCAAUUUAUCGCAUAAUAGUCUAACGGGACCUAUCCCAUCAUUGCUGAGAAAUAUGAAAGAACUCCAAUCUUUAGAUUUGUCCUCAAAUCAACUGACAGGGGCCAUUCCACCUCAGUUAACUGCAUUGACAUUUCUAAAGGUCUUAAAUCUCUCGAAAAACCAUCUCAGUGGAGAGAUUCCUCAGGAAGGACAGUUCAGCACAUUCAACAAUGAUUCUUAUCUAGGAAACUCCGCGUUAUGUGGAUUACGUCUGACAAAGAAAUGUGCAAACACAGCAUCACCACCACAAGAAGUCGGAAAUGGUGAUGAAGAUGAUGCUGGUGAUGAAUUGACAUGGGAAGCAAUUGUGAUGGGAUAUGGAUGUGGACUGAUAUGUGGAUUAUCAUCUGCGUACCUUGUUUUCAAACUAGGAAAGCCUUGGUGGUUUGUGAGAUAUAUCGAAGUACUGCAACUGAAGUUGAUGAAAAGAUAUGCAUGAAGAAUGGUACUGGCCGAUCAAGACGAACUUGAAAGUUGGUCCUUGUGGACAUUUCAGCUGAACCAGUAGGUACUAUUCUCUUUGUGACUGCAUAAGUAUUUUGUAUUGUGUAAUGUUCUGUUUGGUCUUAAAUCAUAAUGAUUUUUCUUGCUUCAGGGGUAUUAAUAUAAAACUUGGUAUUGUGUACUAGCUGUAAUAUUCCGUUUAAUCAAUGUUAAUACCUGUAAUUUUAUGCUCCUGACUGCAUCAUGCAGCUCUCAUAUUAUCUUCAUAUGUGUAUUUAUUUGGAUAUUGAAGUUGCAUGGACAUAUGGAUAUGUGUUAACGGGGAUUGCUCCCAAGUCUUGGACGGACUCUUUCCAAGUCUUCCGAGAUCCUAUUGGUUCAAAUUAGUCCAAUUUGAACUGCCAUCAAAUGCAACUCUGUAGAUUCUGUCUCUGAGAUUAACCUUUCAGGACAUCAGCUCAAUGGUACACUUGCUGAAUUCAGUUUCGUUUAAUUUCCGAAUCUACAAAUUAAGCUACAAUAACUUCACUUGUCCAAUACCCCCAGACAUUGGAAAUUUAACAGAGCUGCAACACCUUGAUUUUAGCUCUAAUAAACUCACUGCUGCAAUUCCGGACCAGGUAAGCCAUCUUCAAACAUUGCGGACCUUAAACCUGUAGGAUAAUCAACUUGGAAGCUCCAAACUGGUCCGCUUUUUCCCCUAUGCCUUCUCUGACAAACCUCUGUCUCAAUAAUAAUAAUCUUUCGUCGAAAUUCCAAGACUUCAUAUUAAAUUGUGGUAACCUGACUUACUUUGAUCUUUCAUUAAAUAUGUUAACAGGUAAUUUGGUUCCUUCAUCAAUUUUUAGAAAUUUGUAUAAUCUUGAAUUCCUUUAUCUUUCUAGCAAUUAUUUUGAGGGGCCUUUCCCGCCANNNNNNNNNNNNNNNNNNNNNNNNNNNNNNNNNNNNNNNNNNNNNNNNNNNNNNNNNNNNNNNNNNNNNNNNNNNNNNNNNNNNNNNNNNNNNNNNNNNNNNNNNNNNNNNNNNNNNNNNNNNNNNNNNNNNNNNNNNNNNNNNNNNNNNNNNNNNNNNNNNNNNNNNNUUUCCCUAUCAUAUAAUAGAUUUUCAGGUUCUAUUUCCAUAUGAUAUAGGAAUGCUUCGUGUUUUGGAAUCCCUUUUUUUAGUAGUAGUUCUUUUAAUGGCCCACCUCCACCAAAUUUAUUUAAAUUUUCUAAAUUAAAAGUUUUUUCCCUAUCAUUAAUAACUUUUCGGGUUCUAUUCGAAAUGAAACAGGGAUGCUUCAUGAUUUAGAGUCCCUCUAUCUUAAUGAACAUUCUUUUAAGGGGCCGUUUCCACCAAAUAUAUUCAACCUUUCCAAAUUAAAAGUUCUUAAUUACCUCUCAAAUAAUUCCUUUUCAGGUUCAGUUCCUAGUGAUAUAAGUGUGCUUCGUGAUCUUGAGAUACUUAAUUUGUCCUCUAAUUCUUUUGAAGGAAUUAUCCCAUUGGAGCUUGGGUUCUUGAAUAACGUGAGCUAUUAUUAUAUCUUGAUUCCACUCAAUUGACUGGACCGCUUUUGAAGAACAUUUAUAAUCUCAGUAAUUUUUUGUGUUGGCUUGAAUGGAUCAUUCCAUUCCCUCCAAAACUCAUUCCGUUCAUGUCAACCAAACAGAGCAUCAAUUACUAGUUACUGGGAAAUGCAUUAGCCUAAAUGUUCCUGGUUCAUUGUUACCGGUAUUUCUUAACUGCUGUGAUUGCAAAUUCAGUUGCAGAUUGUUCAUAUAUAUCUAGAGAGACCUGACAUAACUUUAGCCUCUGAUAUACAGCUUCCUUUCACAGUUGUGCCUAUUCACCUAGACGCGUUUUUAACUGCAUAAUGUUGGGUCAACUUCCGACCAUUUAUUUUCUCAUUUGAAAUUAGUGUAUUAAAGUUCGACUUUAAGAAAAUAUAUAGUUUUGUUAAACAAAAAUUCCAAAAGGUUUGGUACGUUUUGAGCUGGGACUUUGAAAUUGUUUGUCGUUAAAGAUGAAGAUUCACUUUUUAAGUUAUAUUAAUCUGUAGUGGUAGACUGGUAGUUUUUCUUUAUUGCUACUUUCCUUGUGCGUUCUUUAUAUUGAUUUAUUAUUUAAUUCGUAAAGUGUUGCGAACUACAUUCCUGCAAAAGUAAAAUCAGUGGAAUUUGUUUGAUAGCAUGAUGAAUAUUUAAAGGGGUUAAUUAUCAAAUUGGUCACUGAAGUGACUUUAAUGUAUCAAGUUGGUCACUGAACUCAAAACGGUAUUAAGAUAGUCACUGAAGUGGACAUAAAUAUCAAACAGGUACCUUGAAAUAUAAGUUCAAGCAGUAAAGAUAUUAUUUAUAAAAUUUUACACAUUAUUUUUAAAUGUUACCACAACCAACUAAAAGGUUAUGACUUCUAGUAUUUAAAUUAAUAUAUUUAUUUUAUCAAGUUUAUUUAUUAUUUAUAUUUUAUUAUAUAGUUAUUUUCUUUGUUUUAAUUAAAAAUAAAUAAUAAAUAAACUUGAUAAUAUCUAAAUAUAUUAUCAUAAAUAUUAGAAUUCAUAACCUUUUACUUGGUCUAGGUAACAUUCAAAAAUAAUGUGUAAAACUUUAUAAAUAAUAUUAUCUUUAUAUUCUUUCCUUUUCUAUGUACCUAUGCUAAUUAUCUGAUUAUUAAAAUUAUAACAAAGCUUCAAGAUUUUUAACAGGUGAGCUUCCACUAAAAAUUUGCAAAGUCACUUCCCUUUCGCGUCUCAUUAUGUCAGAUAUUGGAAACAACAAAUAGGUGGUACAUUUCCGUCAUGGCUAUUUACUGUUGGAGAGCUAGAUGUCCUAGUUAGGGCGGUAAUUCGACUAAAGCAAACCGAGUUUUGAGCGGAGUCAAAUUCGAGCCAAGUUUAAUCGAGUCGAGCCGAGUCGGCUCAUUUAGCUAAUCGAGCCUAAAACUCUGGUCGAACUCGACUCGUUUAAUUUCGCGAGUCAAGUCGACCCAGCUCGUUUAGUUAAAUGAGCUGGUUUUAACGAGUCAAGCGAGUGAGCUCGUAUAAUUUUAACUUAAUCGAGUCUAAAUCUCUACCCGAACUAUUGGCUCGUGUAAUUUCACGAGUAGAAUCGAGCUGGCUCGUUUUAUUAAAGAAGCCGAAAUUUUUGCCCGAAUUUGGCUUGUUUAACAAGCCGAUCUUUCAUCAAAAUUUUCAAACAUUUCUGAAUAUGUAUUUUCAGAGAAUUUCUCCGGCACUCUUAAGGCCUAUAAUUAUUGCAACUCUCACGUUAUGGACCACUAUGUAUUUUACGAGCACGACGAAUCAUGUGGUCAUUAUGGACUCCCCAAGCCUUCGAGGACUCAUUCCAGGUCUUAGGAGGACCACUGCCUAGCUCACCCUCUCGGAGUGAUGUAAAUUAUUUUCCAGACACUAAAAAUAAGUAUUCAGAUUAAUCAUUACAAAAUUAAGGAUAUAAAAUCAGAAUAAAUCCUAAACUUUGAUGAUACAAAAAAAUUAUAAUUGUAAAUUAUACAAUCAAAUUAAAAUCGAAUUAACUUCUCUCACACUUAAAAUUUAUAGCGAUCAAAUCAAAAUCGAAUUAACUUUCCUAUUACUAAAAUUUAAUUACAAUAUUAUUAGAUAAAGAGAAUAUAUAAUAAUCAAGGGAAAAUAGAUUUUUUUUUGCCACUCAACUUAUUGUGUUUUAAGAAAUUUACCACCCAACUAAAUUUUUUUUCCUUUUGCUCACUAAUAUUAGGUUUGGAUUUGUUUUUAGCCACCAACUAAGGUUCGGAUUUGAUUACUAGCAUUAUGAUAAUUUUUUGUCACUAAACUUAUUGCGUCUUUAGAAACUAACCACUCAACUAAUUUUUUUUUUAUUUUACUCACUAAUGUUAGGUUCAGUUUUUUUUUUGUCACUGAAGUUAGGUUCGGAUUUGAUUAUUAGCAUUACAUUAAUUCUGUGUAGCAUUUUUAAAAUAUGGUAGUAGUCUGUGAUAUUUAGAUGAUUUGAUAUAUGUCUGUAUUUAUAUAUAUAGUAUUUUUUAUGUCCCCAAGGUCGUUUACCUUGGGUCAUAAGAAUUUUACACACAUUUUAUGACUUUUAAAAGAUGUAGUUUCAUAAAUAAUUUUAUUUUUUUCUUCCGAAUUAAAAUUCAGCGUUUGAAUUUUACACACAAAAAAAUCGCAAAAAUAAGUUAUGAAACUAUGUUUUAUAAGAGUCUUAAAAUACGUGUUAAACGGUAGAAAAAACUGUAAACUAAUGAAAGGUACAUAGGGAGUAAUAAUAACAUAAAAUGAUGCACAAUCAUCGAAUUAAGUUUUCCUCUCUCUCUAUAUAUUUAUUUUGAAAAUUAUAAUAAGAUAAAGUUAUUAAAAUUUAUGAUAUAAAUUUAAAAGAGAUCUUAGACUGAGUGGCAAAAAUUUAGUUGGAUGGUAAGUUUCUAAAAAUACAAUAAAUUGAGCGGGAACAAAAUCUAUUUUCCCAAUAAUCAAAGUGAUGAAAAAUUAAAGUCAUCUAAUAAGUCCAGAAAAAAUAUGACCAUUAGUAUUUUGGAAUAAUAUUCACGCAUUUAUAUACGAGAAUAUAUGGUCCACAAGUUAGUGCACAAUGUCCAAGAAUCUUUAUCAAAGUAACACGGCAAGCAUGCAGCAUAUAAAUAAGAGUGGGCAGUAUGGUAUUGCAUUCAUAACCCACUUGAGGAGAAAUAUGGCACACUUCCUAAAGCCUUCUCACCUUCUUCUCUUUGUUUUCUCUCUCUCGUUACUUCAAUCCAUUCUACCAACAAGACCAGAGGGAGAAGCUCUUGUGAAAUGGAAGAAUAGCCUAGCCCCUUCUUCUUUUCUCGAUUCUUGGUCACUCACCAAUCUCGAUGAUCUUUGUAACUGGACUGGCAUUACUUGUAACUCUGCAGGUUCAGUCUCUGAGAUUAACCUUUAUGAGAAACAACUUGAUGGAAUGCUGUCCGAGUUUGGCUUCACUUCAUUUCCGAAUCUCAACAAUCUCACCCUCGCAUACAACUUCUUCUCGGGUCCAAUUCCACCAGCCAUUGAGAAUUUAACACAGCUUCAAUAUCUUGAUUUAAGCAUCAAUAGUCUCGAUGGUCCCAUUCCGUUCCAGGUUAGCCAUCUUCAGAGGUUGCUCGUCUUAAACCUGUCACAGAAUGCAUUGCAAGCUCCAAAUUGGUCCAAAUUCUCCCCCAUGCCCUUUUUGUGCAUCCUCAACCUCAGUAGCAAUCCUCUUGCGUCGACAUUCCCAAAUUUCAUAUCCAAUUCUCAUGGCCUGACUCACCUCAGCCUUGAUCAAAACGAGUUUACAGGUGAUUUAGCGCGUGAAUCAAUAUUUGCCAAUCUGCAUAAUCUUGAAGUCCUCAGUCUUGUUGGCAAUUCUUUUGAGGGGGCCAUUUCCGCCAAAUAUAUUCAAGCUUUCCAAAUUAAAACGUCUUACCCUGUCAAGUAACAAAUUUUUAGGAUCAAUUCCCAAUGACAUAAGGUUGCUUUGUGAUCUUGAAUUCCUAUAUUUAGGAAACAAUUCUUUUGAAGGACCGCCUCCACCAAAUAUAUUCAAGCUUUCAAAAUUAAAACAUCUUGUUCUCUGGAGUAAUAAGUUUUCAGGUUCUGUUUCCAAUGAUAUAGGUUUGCUUUCUGCGCUUGAACUUCUGAAUCUUCACUCUAAUUUUUUUGAGGGGCCGCUUCCGCCAAAUGUAUUCAAGCUCUCUAAACUAAGGUUUCUUAACCUCUGGGGUAACAACUUUUCAGGUUCUGUUUCCAAUGAUAUAGGUUUGCUUCCUGAGCUAGAAAUCCUCAAUCUUCACUCUAAUUUUUUUGAGGGGCCGCUUCCGCCAAAUAUAUUCAAGCUCUCUAAACUAAGGUUUCUUAACCUCUGGGGUAACAACUUUUCAGGUUCUGUUUCCAAUGAUAUAGGUUUGCUUCCUGAGCUAGAAAUCCUCAAUCUUCACUCUAAUUUUUUUGAGGGGCCGCUUCCGCCAAAUGUAUUCAAGCUCUCUAAACUAAGGUUUCUUAACCUUUGGGGUAAUAACUUUUCAGGUUCUGUUUCCAAUGAUAUAGGUUUGCUUCCUGAGCUAGAAUUCCUCAAUCUUCACUCUAAUUUUUUUGAGGGGCCGCUUCCGCCAAAUGUAUUCAAGCUCUCUAAACUAAAGUUUCUUCAUCUUCGAGGUAAUAAGUUUUCAGGUUCUGUUUCCAAUGAUAUAGGUUUGCUUCCUGAGCUUGAAAUCCUCAAUCUUCGCUCUAAUUUUUUUGAGGGGCCGCUUCCGCCAAAUGUAUUCAAGCUCUCCAAACUAAGGUUUCUUUCCCUUAAGGAAAAUAAAUUUUCAGGUUCUGUUUCCAAUGAUAUAGGUUUCCUUUCUGAGCUUGAAUACCUAUAUCUUGACUAUAAUUUAUUUGAAGGAAGUAUUCCUAUUGGACUGGGACUCUUGACUAACCUCAGCUACUUAGAUCUAAGUUCCAAUAAUCUCAGUGGCUAUAUUCCAUCUGACAUUGGAAACCUGAAGCUACUAGUAUUUCUUGAUCUCAGUUCUAACCAAUUGACUGGACCGCUUUUAAAGAUCGUUUCUAAUCUCACAAAUCUUAUGAAUCUUGAUGUAAGUGAUAAUAGUCUUAGUGGAAAUAUUCAGAGUGACUUGUGGAAGAACUCUAUAUCCUUACGUUACAUUAAUUUUGCAAAUAAUUAUUUGUCUGGGAACAUUCCUAAGGAAUACAACGAUCAUCCAACUUUGGAAUACAUCAAUUUAAGUGGGAACCAUUUUACAGGUAUAUUUUUCUCUAUAUAUCUUUUCCUUUUCUCAUAUGUAACUAAGCUGGUAAUCUGAUUAUUGCAGUUUUACCAAAGUUUCAACAAUCUUGACAGGUGAGCUUCCAACAACAAUUUGCAAUGUCACUUCCCUUGCGGUUCUUGUUUUGUCAAAUAAUGGAUUAAGUGGAGCACUUCCAAAUUGUUUCGGGAAACUUGCUGAUAGAUUGCUUUCCAUUAAUCUUGCUAAUAAUCAGUUUCGAGGAACAAUACCAACUACUUUCUCCAGGAGUUGUCAGGUGAAAUAUCUAAACAUGGAUAAUAAUGAGUUUGAAAGAUUCUUGCCCCCGUCUUUGGCGAACUGUAAGCACUUGAAAAUUCUUGAUAUUGGCAAUAAUAAAAUAGGUGGUACAUUUCCGUCAUGGCUUUAUGUACUUGGAGAGAUAGAAGUCCUUGUCUUGCGAUCAAAUAAACUCUAUGGUACAAUAAGUGGAAGGAGCGUAAAAGAUCCCUUCCCCAAGUUGCGGAUUGUGGAUCUGUCCAACAAUCAAUUCACUGGUCAUUUGCCAAUUCAAUACUUUAAGAAUAUGAAAUCAACUGAUAAUUUGUAUCGUUAUCAGAAUUCCAAAGGAUAUCUAUCUUUCCAUCAUGAUGCAGCAGUCUCCUUAACUGUGAAGGGAACGGAGUAUGAGGUAGCAAAGAACCUUCAUAUUUACACAGCCAUUGAUCUGUCGUGCAACAAAUUUCAGGGACAAAUUCCAAACGUCACUGGAGAGCUUAGAUGGCUUGCAUUGCUCAAUUUAUCGCAUAAUAGUCUAACAGGACCUAUCCCAUCAUUGCUGAGAAAUAUGAAAGAACUCCAAUCUUUAGAUUUGUCUUCAAAUCAACUGACAGGGGCUAUUCCACCUCAGCUAACUGCAUUGACAUUUCUAGAGGUCUUGAACCUCUCGAAAAACCAUCUUAGUGGAGAGAUUCCUCAGAAAGGACAGUUCAGCACAUUUAACAAUGAUUCUUAUCUAGGAAACUCCGCGUUAUGUGGAUCACCUUUGACGAAGAAAUGUGCAAACACAGCAUCACCUCCACAAGAAGUUGUAAAUGGUGAUGAAGAUGAUGCUGGUGAUGAAAUGACAUGGGAAGCAAUCGUGAUGGGAUAUGGAUGUGGACUGAUAUGUGGAUUGUCAUCUGCGUACAUUGUUCUCAAACUAGGAAAGCCUUGGUGGUUUGUGAGAUAUAUCGAAGUACUGCAACUGAAGUUGAUGAAAAGAUAUGCAUGAAGAAUGGUACUGGCCGAUCAAGACGAACUUGAAAGUUGUUGUCCUUGUGGACAUUUCUGAACCAGUAGUGUACUAGCUACAUAAGUAUUUAGUAUUAUGUAAUAAUCCGUUUGGUCGGGACUCAUAAUGAUUUCUCUUGCUUCAGGGGUAUUAAUAUUAAACUUGCUAUCUUGAUGAAUGUUAAUGUAAAUUAAAAAGAAUAUAAAAUCAAAAAAUUUAAAUCAAACACCUGUUGUACCAAGAUCCAUUAAUUUGCUUUAGUCUCUUACAUAACAAUUUAAUAGCACACUUCCACACUGUUCACACGUGUAAUGUAUAAAAAUUCCAGUCUUCUUCGGAGGCCUACAGCUUCAACAACCUCUCAAAGAUGUAGCAGUUGCUUGACAGUGAUAGAUAUAUAUUAGAUAAACACUAUGCAAUAACCAAAGUGACAGAAAAAUCAAAGUCCGCUAAUAAAUUCAUAAAAAAUAUAAUAAUCAACAACAAGAAUCAUAGUCUUACAAGUUCAUAUAAAAUAUAGGAUCAUUAGUAUUCCACAUGUAUAUUUUCUUCUCUUUCUUUUCGAGUUUUCCUCUCCAGCACCAAAUCCAAAUUAAUAUACAAUGCCACACAUUCCAGUCUCAGCUUCAGCUCCCAGGCUAGCAUUGAUUUAGCCAAGCACGACAGUGGCCGCUCUUGGUCCUGCCUUCAAAUGUCUAACAAUAACAGUUGGAUACGUCGACAAAAAUAUUGUUCCUCAUCAUACUGAGGAGUUAUUGAAUUCGACAGUUUUACACAAAGAAGACAAUUCCAUGGACUAAUCUAUUAGUAACACGUAAGCUAUAAACACGUAGUCCACAUCUAUGCUACGAACAAUUCAUAUUGGUCUUCUAUCUGUGCAACAGUCUCCCGAAGAUAGGCCAAAAAUGUCAUCUGUGGUUCUUAUCUUUGUUAGCAAAGGAGAAUCUCCGAUGCCUAUACAACCUGAUUUUCUUACAGAAAGAAAUGCAAGUGAAACUAGGGUCGGAUACCAUGUUAAAUGAUCAAUUCUCCUAAAACUAGGUUCAGGAUGAUCAUGAUAUAUUCUAACAUCAAGAUUAGCAGGACUAAAAUGAAGAUUUAAAUGGAUUUUAAAAACAAGCUCCUACUGAAUAAAAAGAAUCAUUAAUUUUUCUGACUCAACAUAUGUUAGCCUCCCCUGGCCCUGGGUGAAACCAUAAGCUUCUCUGGUGCACAUCCAAAUCAUUCAGCUGGUUCUACUUUCAGCUCAGCACAGGAACAUCAUUCUGCAGGUACUCUUGUAUCUGUAGUUUCUUAUUAAUUUAUUAACAAAAUUUAGCUAUUAAAUAUUUUGAUAAAAUAUCUAUUUAUUAAAAUAUUUUUUUAUUUAAUUGGUCUGAUAAAAAUAUUAUUGAUAUAUAAAUUUUACCUUUUUUCUGAAACAAAUUAUAAUUUUUGCUUCAAGCUUUUGUAUGAUAAGUUGAGAAAUAUUAGUUUUCUUUAUCACCGUGAGAGUAGAUCCUCGUUCCACAAAAAUUUGUAACUGAAAAAUAAAAUAGAGCCCUAAAACUUUUCGAUAAAUAUGGACUAAACAAUUUUGAUGCUCAAGUCUCAAUAGGAUUUAUAAACGGUCAUGAUGAGUUUGAUUAUCAAUGACACCAAAAAAAUAUUAGAAUUAUAUUUAAGUUAUAAAUUUGUCAAUAAAUUGUGUGAUAAUCAUACUUUCCAAGUCUUCUUCAGAGGCCUCCUGCCUCAACAACCUUUCAAAGAUGUAGUAGUUGUUGCUCGAGAGGGACAAAUAUAUUAGGUAAAGACUAUGCAAUAAUCAACGUGACAGAAAAACCAAAGUCCUCUAAUAAAUUAAUAAAAAAUAUUAUAAUCAAUAUCAAGAAUCAUAUUAUCAUAGUCUUCUAAGUUCAUAUAAAAUAUAGAAUCAUUAGUAUAUAAAUAGAAGAGUGCAGAGUAAAGCCUUUCAUAAUCCAGUUGAGGAGAAAUAUGGCAUACUUUGUAAAGCCUUAUCACCUUCUUCUCUUUGUUUUCUUUCUCUCAUCACUUGAAUCCAUUCUUGCAACAACACGAGAAGGAGAAGCUCUUGUGAAAUGGAAGAAUAGCCUAGCCCCUUCUUCUUUUCUUGAUUCUUGGUCACUCACUCAUCUCGAUAAUCUUUGUAACUGGACUGGCAUUACUUGUAACUCUGCAGGUUCAGUCUCUGACAUUAACCUUUUCAACAAACAACUCACUGGAAAGCUUUUUGAGUUUGGUUUCACUUCAUUUCCAAAUCUCAACAAUCUCACCCUUGCAGAUAACUUCUUCUCUGGUCCAAUACCAUCAGCCAUUGGGAAUUUAACACAACUUCGGUAUCUUGAUUUGAGCAAUAAUUAUCUCAAUGGUUCCAUUCCGUACCAGGUUAGCCAUCUUUCAAGAUUACACAUCUUAAACCUGUCAGAGAAUGAACUGCAAGCUCCAAAUUGGUCCGAUUUCUCCCCCAUGCCUUGUUUGACCAUCCUCGACCUUUAUCAAAAUAAUCUUAUGUCGGAAUUUCCAGAAUUUAUAUCUAACUCGCGUAACCUGACAUACCUUGACCUUUCAUAUAACAAGUUCACAGGCGAUCUUGUGCGCGAAUCAGUAUUAACCAAUCUAGGUGAUCUUGAAACCCUCUAUCUUAAUGAAAAUUCUUUUAGGGGGCCAUUUCCACCAGACAUAUUCAAACUUUCCAAGUUGAGAGUUCUUGCCCUGUUCAAUAAUUUUUUUGAGGGGCCGCUUCCGUCAAAUAUAUUCAAGCUCUCUAAACUAAGAUUCCUUUUACUUUGGAGUAAUAAUUUUUCAGGUACUCUUUCGAAUGAAAUAGGUUUGCUUUCUGAGCUUGAAGACCUAGAUCUUCACUCCAAUUUUUUUGUGGGGCCGCUUCCGCCAAAUAUAUUCAAGCUGUCUAAACUAAGAACCCUUUUCCUCUGGGGUAAUAACUUCUCAGGUUCUAUUUCCAACGACAUAGGUUUGCUUUCUGAGCUUGAACACCUAUAUCUCGACUCCAAUUCUUUUGAGGGACCUUUUCCAACAAAUAUUUUCAAGCUUUCCAAAUUAAUACAACUUGGUCUCGCAAACAAUACAAAUUUAUUUGAAGGAAGUAUUCCUCCAGGACUGGGGCUCUUGACUAACCUAGAGGACUUGUCUCUUGCUUACAAUAAUCUUGGUGGCUAUAUUCCGUCUUCCUUUGGAAACCUAACACUACUAGUAUAUCUUAAUCUCGCUCGUAAUCAAUUGGUUGGAACACUAUCAAAGACCAUUUCUAAUCUCACAAAUCUGUGGUUUCUUGAUGUACAUCAUAAUAGUCUCUCUGGGAAUAUUCAGAGUGACUUCUGGAAAAACUCUACAUCACUGCUUUACAUUAAUUUGGCAGACAAUAAUUUUUCUGGGAACAUUCCUAAGGAAUAUAAUGUUCUUCCAAUCCUGGAUCACAUCAAUUUUAGGGGGAACAACUUUACAGGUAUUUUUAAUUCCAUAUUUUUUCCUUCUGUUGUAUUUAAUUAUGCUAACAACUACUGCCUCUGUUUUCAAAUACAUAUCGUUUGACUUUUUGGCACAAAACUCUAUAAUAAUUCUAACUAUAAGGUCAAUGAACUUAGAAAUAUAUGUCAAAAAGUCAAACGUCAUAUAUUUGAAAUUAGAGGGAGUAUGGCUUAAUGACCUUUUAGCCCUUAAAGUUUGGGUAGAAGUUCCGAUGCGGCGUCGAAGUUUAAAAACGUACCUUUCGACCCUCAAAGUAUCUUUGUCGUACCUUUUAACCCUUAUGGCGUAUACCGGUAUAUAACGGGUGGGCAAAGUUGACAUUUCACACGUGAGGGUUAAAUGGGGCAUUAAACAUUAAGGGUUAAAAGGAACAUUUAAUAUAUUUUAAUGUAUUAUUUAGGGAUUAAAAGGAACGAGAUGUAUACUUUAAGGGUUAAAAGGUACGCCCAAACUUCACCCCGAAUAUGAAUUGUCAAGUUUAUCCCCCGAUUUGUAUCGGUAUUUUUAAAAAGGGCUAAAAAGUACGACAAAGAUACUUUGAGGGUCGAAAUGUACGUUUUUAAACUUUGAGGCCGCAUCGGAACUUCCACCCAUUCUUCGAGGGCUAAAAGGUCAUUAAGCCGAGUAUAUAUUACAGUUUUACCAAAGUUUCAACAAUCAUGACAGGUGAGCUUCCACCAACAAUUUGCGAUGCAACUUCCCUUUCGAUUCUUGAUCUGUCAAAUAAUGGAUUAAGUGGUGCACUUCCACAUUGUUUGGGGAAUCUUGCUGAUAAAUUGAUUUCGAUUAAUCUUGCUAAUAAUCAGUUUCGAGGACCAAUACCAACAAAUUUCUCCAAGAGUUGUCGUCUGACGUAUCUUAACAUCUAUAACAAUCACUUUAAAGGAUUGGUUCCCCAGUCUUUGGCAAACUGUAAGCACUUGCAAAUUCUUGAUUUUGGAAAAAAUGAAAUAGGUGGAACAUUUCCGUCAUGGCUUUUUACUCUUGGAGAGCUAGAAGUCCUGGUCCUGCGAUCAAACAGAUUUUUCGGGAGAAUAACUAGAAGGAGCAUACCACACCCCUUUCCCAAGUUGCGGAUUUUGGAUCUAUCCAACAAUCAGUUCACCGGCUAUCUGCCAAUUUCAUACUUCAAGAAUAUGAAACCAAAUGAUAAUAAUUAUGAUUAUUUCAACAACACAAACGAAGCCUAUUACGUUUAUCAAGUUUCUAUCACAUUAAAUGUGAAAGGAAGCGAGCAUGAAGUGACAAAUAUUCUUUAUAUUUACACGGCCAUUGAUCUGUCGUGCAACAAAUUUGAAGGAAAAGUUCCAGACAUUACCGGAGAGCUUAGAUGGCUUGCAUUGCUAAAUUUAUCUCAUAAUAGUCUUUCGGGGCCUAUUCCAUCACAACUGGGAAAUAUGAAAGAGCUCCAGUCUCUAGAUUUGUCGUCAAAUCAAUUGACAGGUGUUAUUCCGGAUCAACUUACUAGUAUGACAUUUCUUGCUAGUUUGAACCUGUCAGAAAACCAUCUUUCUGGGAAAAUCCCUCGGAAAGGACAGUUCAGCACUUUUGGCGAAGAAUCUUACUUAGGUAACUCGGCCUUGUGUGGAGUUCCUUUGACAAAGAAAUGUAUAGACGAAGUGCCCCCUUCACAAGUUGGAAAUGGCGAUGAUGAAAAUGUUGAUGAAGAUGAUACCGUUGAUGAAUUCAAUUGGAAAGUGAUCCUGAUGGGAUAUGCAUGUGGAUCAAUAGGCGGAUUGUCUGCAGGAUACAUUGUCUUCACAGUUGGAAAGCCUUGGUGGUUUUUGAGGUACAUUGAGACACUGCAGCAGAAGUUGAUGUGAUGCGCAACUAGAAACAACCUUAUCUUAGAAUGAAUCUGAUCAAUGUUAGCAUAUACUGAACUUUUUUUUUUGUAAAUAUGAUUUCAAGUUCUCAUACUAAUACAAGAACCACUUGUUAAAUCUUGACCAUGCUAAGAGGAUGCUGAAUGCUGAUUUAACACUUUGCGAUGCAAAGCAGGGGCGCAUUAGUAUUUUAUAUGUGUUGAUAAUUUGCGCAAUGUUAACAGGGAUAGGUCUUCUUCUCUGCCAGAUCUUCGACAGACUCUUUCAAGGUCUUCUGAGGACCCAUCGGCUCGAAUUAGUCCAUCGUGAAUUAUGAUCUGAGAGCUAUCUGCACACUAUUUCCAGGUCUUCUGUCUCGUUAACUAUGAAAGGAAGAAAUCAUGAAGUGAAUAAAAUUCUUCAUAUUUACACAAUUGAUCUAUCAUGCAACAAAUUUUGAGGAGAAAUUUCAGAGGUUUCCGAAGAGCUUAAAUGGCUUGCAUUGCUCAAUCUAUCUCAUAAUGAUCUUACUAGACAUCUCCCCGUUGCUCGCCAUUAGAAAACAGGGAUUAUUCACUCGUCCGCCGCACCGCGAACUCAUUCUUAGGUGCUCGGAGGUUUUUGAGGAUUCUUGUUGAUUAUUAAUUUUGUGAUUUUGUUGAAUACUCUAUCACUUAAUAAUGUAAUAAUUGUGUUAUUAAAUAAUUAUAUUUUAAAUUGUUAAGGAUAUUGAACUAUUUGUUUGAUUAUUUGGUUUAAAUAUAAAUGUAACUCUUGAAAUACAUUUAUUAUAUAUAUAUUUAACAUGUUAAUAUUUACUGAAUCCCUCGCAUCCGAAUCCCGAUAUUUUUAAAUUUACGGAUUCUCGUAUUCAUGUACCGUGCACUACCAUACCUUCAACCACACUCAUACUUUCUAGCUGCUCGGAAAUAUGAAUCAAUCUUUAGAUUUGUCUUCAAAUCGAUUGACGGAGGCUAUUCCACACCAGUUAGGCAGUUAACUAGAUUGACAUUUCUAGAGGUCUUGAACUUCUCAGAGAAUAAUCUUACCGGGAAAAUACCGCAAAAAGGAAAAAUCAGCACUUUCGAGAAUAUAUGAGUCAGUGUGGUUCACCUGUCUAGACCAAAAAUGUCAUCUGAGAUUCUUAUGUUUUUUAGCUAUAUAUGAGUGGAAGAAAAUUGUCGAGUCGAGGUUAAUCGAAUAAGGCGAGCCGGCUCAUUUUAAUUUAAUUGAGACAAAACUUCUACGGAGUUCGACUCCUUUAAUUAAACGGCUAUGAAAUCUCAUUAAAGUCAGCCUUGUAUAUAAACUCAAGCCAGGUCGAGUUUUAUUGAACAAAUUUCAGCUCAAACCAGUCGCGAGCAGCCCAGCUCAAGUUCGAGGCCUGCUCAUCUGUCUUCGAGUCUUGGACGAGAUUUGAAUCAUCAACUCCUUCCAAAAAGAGUAUUACACUGACAAAAAUGCAGUAACAUGUUUAAUUUAAAAGUAUAUCAUCUGUUCCCGCAGUUUAAUUUUACCCAUAUUUUUGAGAUUCAUAUAAAUUAUAAUUCCAUAAUAUUUUUUCAAUCAUAUUGGUUUUGAAUAAAAAUAUAAAUAUCAAACUUUUAUUUUUAAAAAAAUUAUAAAAUUAUAUUUUAUAAGAGUCUCAAAUACGUGGGAAAGUGGGAGUAUUAAUUUCGCCCACUAAGUCACUGACAGGUUUGUUAAUUUGUUUCCAUUUGAAGGUGUACACUGCAUAUUUUCACCAGGGAUGGCAACAAGUCGAAUCAGUUCAGAUAUAUCAGAUAUCUCAAUCCAAAUCCAAAUUAUUUUUAAAAUCCAAAUCCAAUCGAGUUUCACAUAUCAAAUUCAAAUCCAAAUUCACGGGUUUCAGAUCGGGUUCAGGUUUGUUUGGGUUUAUCCAAAACCCGAAUCCAGAAAUGUAAGUAGUAUUGUAAAAAUAUUAUUUUUUAUUUUUUCACCCUUGAAUUUCAUUAUAUUUAAAACUAAACUACACACAUUCACACUUUAUCUAUCCAUAUUAUAAACACAAUUUAGUAUAUUUAAAAUUGAAAAAAAGUAUAUUAGUAUACUACAUACAUAUAUUUGGAUAUUUGGAAAUUUUUUCGGGUUUUGUGUUUGGAUCGAAUUUAGAUUUCGGGUCCGGUUUUGAUACGGAAUACUUAAUAUCUAAAUCCAAAUUCAAACUGGUUCGGGUCUAAAAAUUAAAUUCAAAUCCAAAUCCAAAAUAUCAUGUUCGUUAAAAUUCAUUCGGGUCGAGGUUGAGUAUCCAUUCGGAUCAGAUUUUUCUCUAACCAAUAAAUUUUGUAAAUGGUCUGCACAAACGCAGUUACCGGCCCAUUUCCGUAUGAAGCCCAUGAACAAUUAUUUGUUCUGUAUAUUUUUCAAUCAAACCAAACCCAAACGCUAACAGCAGAAUUAAUUAAAUUCCUUUCACAUGUGAUUUUGUAAUGGGCCUACAUUACAAAAAUACUGUAGGACUAUCCCACUAUCCCUGACCCUACAUGUUUUCUCAAUAAUUUUGAUAAAUAUAUUAAACAGAUAUUGAACUGUUACAAAAAUAUAACGUCUGUUUUUCAAAUAAGUAACGUACGGUUUCCGAGAGAUAAAGUUUGACUUAUAUUGACAAGAUAACGCUUGAAUUUAAUAUCUUUUUAAAAAAAACUAAUAUAAAAUCUAAAUUAAAUCUUCUUCUUAAAUGAGAAUCCAGAAAAAUCUCAAAAAUUCACAACUACAUCAAUAAAAUAUAAUAUCCAACAUUAAAUAAAAAUCUUUCAAUAUCCAUUUUUUGUGUAAUUUUCAACCAAUCUGCUCUAAUUAUUUCGUCACCUUUUAAAAUUUAAAAUUUUUAAAUACUCAAAACAAUUACCCUAACCGCCAACCACCUUAGAAUUAUAAAAUCUUAAAAUUAAAUGCUAAUAAGAUUAUCAGUGUUACUCACCUAAACCAAAACGGUUACAAAAUCUAACGGCAAUAUUAUAAACUUUUAAAAAUUAAAUUUUUAAUUAAUUUGGCAAGUGGUAUUCAUAUAGAACAAAACAGUUACAAAAUCAAACUGCAAAUUAUAAAAUCUUGAAAUUAUAUUUAAUACUGUAAGAUUUAGCAUGUGGGUCCCACACAAUCAGAAAAUAAUAUGAACACGAAAUCUUGCUCUAUUAAAUACACACACCUGUACAUACAUAUAUAAACACCCACCGCCUCUUCAACUUUCCAACAUCAAAACCCUCGUAAUUCAAUUGGGUUUCUGCUGUUAUUCUCCCCUCUCUCCUCUCUCUCGCCGAGAUUUUUAUAUGCAUACAUGCGUGGGUAUAUGUAUAUGUACACCCCCUUGGCAAAAACACAGACUAAACACUAAAAGAACCCACAGAAUCAUACCCAUGUUAUGGAUAUUAUCUGGGGUUUGUUGAAAUUGUUGUAGAAGGCCUAAAGAUUUGAUUUUGGAGUAGCCCAUUUGGUUCUUGAUUGAAUUUGGUUGUGUUUUGAGUGUGAAAAGGCAAGAUUUUAUGAUUCUUGAUGGAUGAAAGUGCUAUGUUUGGCUUGAAUGGAGAUAAUGANACAAAAUCUUGAAACGCUGUUUCUUGAUGGUAAUUCUUUUGAGGGGACGUUUCCACCGAAUAUAUUCAGGCUUUCUAAAUUAAAACACCUUUCCCUAUCUGCUAAUAAGUUUUCAGGUUCUGUGCCGGAUGACAAGUUGGUGUCGAAAGUGAGAAUGUUGCGGUAGGGGGUGAUUCGGAUGAGCUUGUUGUUGUUGGGGAGACAGGGCAGGUAUAAUGCUGCAUUUGUUGUUUUUGUCGAUAUUAUGUGUUGCUUUUGUGUUUUUUGUUAUGUUUUCAUAUGUUUAGUCCGUUAUUUUUUGGAGAAUUAAGUAGUCUGAUGAAUGUUGAUUAAUCCAAUAUAUAAGCUGGGCGUUUUUGUUUAAUGUGCUUAUUAUGAUUAUAUUAUUUUGUUUGAUAAUUGAAUUGUGUUUAGAUUGUUAAUCCAAAGCCAAGGUCAAAAGACGUAAGGUAACAUUGAUGUUAAUUGAUAAAACUAACCUCAGAAAGUAGAUUGUUUGAGGCAAUAGAGAGUGUGAGCCUCUAUCAUGACAAUUUAAGAAGUUUAUAGUUGAGUCGUUGACUGCAUUACUAUCAAAUGCAUAGGGGUAUGGAAAUGAAAACGGUUAAUAACAUAUGGGCAUUUAACCUAAUAAUUUGACAACUCGACACUCGGACUUGUAUAUGUAAGUUGUAGUAGAUGCAUACGGUGUUUUAGUAGUUUAUUUGUGUACAAAUUAUUUCAUUGGGUAUUAUUUGAAGUGAAUAGUAUAUUGGAUUCAUGCAUGUUCAGACUUUAAUAUCAACAUCUUUCAGAUUUUUCUGGAUAAUGGUUAAUAAAUUCUUUGUUUAAUAAUGACCGCUUCACUUAAUGUCAUUUCUCUUCUUUCUUUUUUUAAUUAUCGGAGUGGAUAUUUAUUUAAUUUUUUCUGAUUUAUGUUGCAACUUCCAAUAUAAUUUGUUUGGGUGCUAUACUUUGAUGGAUUAUAGGUCGCAUGUCGAGACUAUCCUCACCCACGAGAUCUUUGUGCUAAACUUCCCUUUACAUCUACUCCUCAUGAANUGCUAAACCAGGUAAUAAUAUUUUUUCUCAGAAUUAAUUAUUACACCUCUUUUCAGUGCCGAACGUUCUGCGUAUCUUAUUUGACCAUUGUCUGUUGCAGUGUCACUGUUAUGUUUGUGAUGCACCGGCUCCAUGUCUCAAAUGGGGAACUGGCAUAUCUGUCAGUGACCAUUGUCAUGCCACUGGGAAGGUGGAAUUCUGGAAUCAACAAAGCCUAAAUUUUUUGAAAAGGCUUUAAAAAAUUUGGAAUUUUUUAAAAAAAUGAAAAAUGUAAAAAUUAAAAAAAUCUAAAAAUAUCUGGAAAUUCAAAAAAUAUACCUAAAUUUUUGAAAUUAAAAAAUUUUAGAAUUUUUCCAAAUUUUCAGAUUUUUUCAAAGUUUUAAAUUUAUUUUCAAAAUUUUUAGAUUUUUUCGAUGUUUUUUCAUAUUUUUUAAAGUAUUUUAAAAAAAUUCAACUUUAUUAAAAAAUCGAUAUUUAUAUUUUUCUCAAAGUUUUUUUUAUUUUUUUUAAAGGAUUCUGUUAAAGGCAGCUGAUAUUUAACGUCGCAGUGACCUAUUUGCAAACUUUUAUUAGUUCAGUGAGUUGACUGCAACUUAAAUCGAGUUCUGUGAUCCGUUUGCAAACUUUUUAAGUUCAGUGACUUAACUGCAAGUUGGCCAUGAGUUCAAUGAUCUUUUCGCCUAUUAACCCGGACUAAAUCUACUAAAAUGAUAAUUAUGGACUCACAAUGUAUAUUUUUAAUUUAUAUGUUUAGUUAAAAAUUGGUUAAUUUGACUUUCGAAAAUCAAAAUGAACAUGUAAAAGGAGAUCGUGGUAAUAAGCCCCUCAACGUGUGUAAAUGUUAAGUAAAAGGGAUAUGUUUAUUUUUAUUUUAAAAAAGAAUUAAAAAUAUUAUUUUACAAAUUAAAUUAUAAAAUACUCUCUAUAUUCCAAAUUAGUGAGUUCGUUAAUUUUAGGCACACUAAUUUAGAUGAUUUAACUGCAUAGCUAUAUAAUUUAUUUUUAAUAUUUUUAAAAAACAAUUAAAAAUAAUUUCACGAAUAACAGAUGAUCAUUAUCUUUUAAAUCACAUGCUGAAAAUCGGAUGUUGCCCUUAUCAUUAUCACAUUUUUAAGUAGUAAUGUCUCGAAAAUUAAAUAUUAGAUCCAAUAUGAUUUCAAAUAUCACUUUAUAAUAUUCUUUUUUGUCAUAAUAUCACUUAAUAAUGUUAAAUGAGUGACGUUUAUAUUUUUUUUAAAGUGUUACACAAUGAGAAACUCUAAAAAAUAUAACGGUAGAUAAUGUAGUAUCAUAUCAAAACAUUACUUUAUCUAACCAGAACAUAAUAUUCCAAGGACAAUUUAACUUUUUUUAUAAUAUUCAGAACCUUCUUUUUUUUUUUUGAAUAAAAGACAAAUUUCAUUAAUACGAAAUGUCAUACAGAAAAAUCUCCAACAAUACAUCUCGAGGAGACAUAAACACUUUUUGACAAUUUAAAGAACAGGAUAAUUUAGCUACUAGAUGAGCUACUCCAUUCGCUUGUCGUUUAACAAAUGAAACUGAAUAACAUGGCUUCGAAUUUAAAAUAAGCUUGCAGGCAUUCAAGAUGUGACCAACUUCUAAAAGAUUUUCCUGAGAGUCAUGCAAGGCUUUAAUGGCCAGGAGAGAGUCUGAUUCAAUUUCCACCACCUCAUGAUUUAAUGAGCACAACCACGGGAGACCUUCAAAAGAGAAAAGGCCCCCAGUAACCUUUUUUUAGUGUCAAAUGCCCUAGUUGUCAUUAUAAUAAAAAAUGGCCCUCAUUAUCACUCUAUAACACUACUUAAACUCACGUUCUGUUUUUCCAUCAUAAACGGCACACGCAACAGUGUUUCCAGGUUUAAUACUUUUUAAAAAAAGUCUAACGUAACAUGAAGUUACGUUCACUGAUCUGAGUUUUUUUUUCAUAUUACUCACAUCUUGCUUAUUUCCAUAUAGAAAGAAAUUCACUCACUAGUCAACGUUAUAACAAAUUAUAAUAAUAUUUAACCAGUGCACCCCAAAGGGUAGCGGCUGCGGUUUCCUACGUUAAAAAGAAUAUUUAAGCGUUCAUACAUGGGGUUUAGAAAAAUUUGUUUAUAAUUGUAAAUUAAUUUUCUGAACGUUAGGGUUUAGGAUUGAGGGUGUAGGGCCGGUAGGCCCUACUCCCUCGAGCCUAAAACCUAAUUAAUGCGAGGCUGAAGGGCCGAAGGCCCUGAAGCCGAGAAAUCGGCAGAAUAAAUAAAUUUACAAUCGUUAACAUUUAGGGUUUAGAUUUGGGUUGCAGAAUGAUUAAUUCAUACUGUAAAUUAAUUGGCCGAACGUUAGGGUUUAGGAUUGAGGGUGUAGGGCCGGUAGGCCCUACUCCCUCGAGCCUAAACCCUAAUUAAUGCGAGGCUGAAGGGCCGAAGGCGAGAAACCGGCGGAAUAAAAAAAUUUACAAUCGUUAACAUUUAGGGUUUAGGUUUGGGUUGCCAUAAUGAUUAAUUCGUACUGUAAAUUAAUUGGCUAAACGCUAGGUUUUAGGAUUGAGGGUGUAGGGCCGGUAGACCCUCCUCCCUCGAGCCUAAACCCUAAUUAAUGCGAGGCUGAAGGGCCGAAGGCGAGAAACCGGCGGAAUAAAUAAAUUUACAAUCGUUAACAUUUAGGUUUAGGUUUGGGUUGCCAUAAUGAUUAAUUCGUACUGUAAAUUAAUUGGCCAAACGCUAGGUUUUAGGAUUGAGGGUGUAGGGCCGGUAGACCCUACUCCCUCGAGCCUAAACCAUAAUUAAUGCGAGGCUGAAGGACCUUCAAGCCCUAAACGCUCGAGCCUAAACCCUAAUUAACUCGAGGCUCUAGGGCCGUGAGACCCUAAAGCCGAGGAACCGGAAUUAAAAUAUAAAACAAAAUUUUAAAUGGCGUUUAAAGUGGCGACAGAAUUGUAAGUUGGGUGUUAAGCUAGCAAACGACAUUAAGUUACGUUUUAGAUUUUUAGGUUAUUAAAAAAUAAAAAAAAAAAUCAAGAACGUCACAUGAAGGCACGUUUUACUUCUGAUAUCAAGAACGUCACAUGAAGGCACGUUUUACUUCUGAUAAACACACCAGCACGUGACUAAAGUCUCGUUUUCAUAUAUAACAGCAAUUGAAGUGACGUUUUGCUUUUUUUAGUUUAAAAUAAUAACCCCAUAACGUGACCAGGAGUCACGUUUUAGUAUAAAUCCUAAACGCUGCUUCAGAACAUGUUUUGGAGUGACACCCGGGGCCAUUUUACGGGAUUGUGACUUUAAGGUCCAUAUUGUUACUGAUGGUGACUCACAGGGCCAACACCCCCUUCAAAAAUAGCGCUUGCUUCGGCUUCAAGGACAGUAGCCACCAUGGCUUUACAUAUUGUUUUACCCAUCACAAAAACUCCCUCGCUGUCACGCAGAACCAAACCCAACGAGACCGAGGCCUCACCGAAACGCACACCUGCAUCAACAUUUAGUUUGAGAACUCCAUCCGUCAGCUUUUUCCACUUCACUCGAGAAGAAGAUGCGGAACUAGAAGUACUACCAACCUGAACAACACGCUUAGCUUUAGCCUCCUUCCAGUCAGAAAUAAUCUUAGCGCUCCAAUCCAUAGCUAUAGCAGCUGUAACAACCUUGUGAUCCCAAACCUUCUUGUUUCGAAAAAACCAAAUUCCCCAAAGAACUCGAGCAAUAUUAAAAGUUUCAUGAUCAGGACCUGAUUCAAACCUAGCAAGUAACCAAGAGGGGGCAAACUCCACCAGAGACAAAUCAAAGACCAUACCUGAGUAUUGCCAACAUAACAUUGCAAACUGGCAGGUGAAAAAUAUGUGAAUAAGGUCUUCGUCACCAGAGUUACACAUGGGACAGUCAAGAGAAAGAUUUACUCCCUUAGAUUGUAAUCGACUUUUCACAGGCACAUUAUUCCUGCAAAAACGCCAUAAAAACACUUUGAUCUUAAGAGGAACCUCCAACUGCCAGAGUUUCUUCCACCCACUAGAUUGUGUAACAGUGCCAGUGCCAAUAUUUUGGGCAUGUCAAAACUGGUAACCUGUUUUCACAGAAUUUUGGCUGUUAGUAGUCUUUGACCAAGCUAGACGAUCCACGGUCGACCUACAGGGAACAUAAGUUUUUAAAAAUUAUGUAAUUCAUUCAAUUCCGUAUCAGACAAUACAUCUUAUCAUCGGUGAUAAUGAAAAUAGUGUAGAUGUUUGACCUAGUCCCUGUUUGACAACCAAUAUAAUAAGAAAUAAAUUCUUAUUUUUCUAAAAAAUAUAUUUUUGUAUAUAAAUGUUAAAGAGAUAUUUCUUAUUUGUUGUUUGAAAAAAGUAAAGACUUAUUUCAGAAUAAAAAAAAAUUAUUGUACAUUCUCUUUAUUUCUGAAAAUAAGUUUGGUCAAAUCAUCCAUAAUUCACGUAAUUCAAAAGCCCAUUAAUUUUUUUUUUCUUGCUAAUUGAUCAGCACACGCACACGUUUCCAACUUCCCGCAAAGGGUACAGGAGUACCACCGGAGUACCAUCACACCGACGCUUUGUUGGGCCCAAUAAUUGGCUGAAGUUGAACGGGGCUUUCUGCCUCCGCUGGACCCCAGUUGGGAGGACUCUUUCCAAGUCUUUCGGAGCCUCUUUCCCAUUGACUCCAACUUUCCAGGGUGUAUACAAAUUUUUUGAAAGAGGGUGUAUACAAAUUAUUCACGGCCAUCAAAUCAACCAGCGUAGCUGGUGAACAAAUAUUAUUGUUUAUUAUAAUUUUAUUUAAUUUAAAUGUGAUUAUAAGAACAUAAGAGGACGUUUGAAAGUGUGGGUCUUAUUUCAAACAGUAGAUUUAAAAAAAUAUGAUUUCAAUUGUUAUUUAAAAUUCUUAAAUUUAUAUUAUAUUAAAAUGUUCUUAUUCUAAUUAAUGAGUCACUAUUCGUAUUCUCAAGCAUGUUAGUUUGUUAAAAUUUAAAAUUUCAAAUGAAAUUAGGCUAAAAGACCAUAAUAUCAAAGCAAAAUCUCAUUAUCCAAUAUAUUGGUGGGCAAAAAUAUUAAACCUGGCUAUUCAUUAAUAUUGGUUCUUUAUUCAAAUUAUGUCAAAUUUAUAUAAAAUUUCGAAAAUUAUUUAUGAAUAAGAGUCGGCAUUCAUAUAUUUAUUAAGGAUACAAGUGAGAAAAUGUUAUUAAAUUAAUAUUUUUUUAAUAUACGUAAGUUUUUUAAAAUAAAUUUGUAGCGUGGGACGGGAGUAUUAGACUGAUUCUGGCUUGGAGUGAAUCAGCCCAUAAAGUUUACAGGGUAGAUGACCAUUCUUAAAUCUUAAAGAAUCUUACGGUGACAGCUAACUGAACGACUCGGUUUCAGAAGUGCUGAAAAGUUUCGACGUAAACUACAAUUUGCCUAGCAUGUAAUUUCCAUGCAUUUUCUCGUUACUAGUGACAGAUAACUUUUUUGAUAUUUAUAUAUUUUUAAUUAUAAUAAAGAUACUAGUGAUUAUGGUUAGCUUUUGGAGUACUUUCGGAGUACUUGGAAAUUUUCUUUUCGAGAAAGACGAGAGUACCUAUUUCAAUUUUUUACCAAAAAUUAUAAUUGAAAACAACGGACUUUUAUACUUAUCAUAACAAUUUUUAACAUCUUGUUUAGAAAUAACCUGUUGUUGUAUUAUGCAAAAGUAAUAUCACUAGUUUCUAUAUUCGUAUUCUAAUGAUAAUAAAAACAUCUCUAAUUCAUUAAAACUCUUACAUAGAAAAUGAUAAAAAAAAAAAAGAAGAUAUAAAAUAAUUUAUUAAAAAUAUAUCAAAGNGAAGAUAUAAAAUAAUUUAUUAAAAAUAUAUCAAAGUUUUUGCACUCGGUUAUAAUUAUUGUGUAAUUUCUUUUUUCAAUUCCAAGAUAUUGUUAUAAGAAAAUUUUACAUCAUAUAUAUAUUACAAAAAAAAUUAAUGUAUUCUAUAUAUAUAUAUAUAUAUAUAUAUAUAUAUAUAUAUAUAUAUAUAUAUAUAUAUAUAUACAAUAAANNNNNNNNNNNNNNNNNNNNNNNNNNNNNNNNNNNNNNNNNNNNNNNNNNNNNNNNNNNNNNNNNNNNNNNNNNNNNNNNNNNNNNNNNNNNNNNNNNNNNNNNNNNNNNNNNNNNNNNNNNNNNNNNNNNNNNNNNNNNNNNNNNNNNNNNNNNNNNNNNNNNNNNNNNNNNNNNNNNNNNNNNNNNNNNNNNNNNNNNNNNNNNNNNNNNNNNNNNNNNNNNNNNNNNNNNNNNNNNNNNNNNNNNNNNNNNNNNNNNNNNNNNNNNNNNNNNNNNNNNNNNNNNNNNNNNNNNNNNNNNNNNNNNNNNNNNNNNNNNNNNNNNNNNNNNNNNNNNNNNNNNNNNNNNNNNNNNNNNNNNNNNNNNNNNNNNNNNNNNNNNNNNNNNNNNNNNNNNNNNNNNNNNNNNNNNNNNNNNNNNNNNNNNNNNNNNNNNNNNNNNNNNNNNNNNNNNNNNNNNNNNNNNNNNNNNNNNNNNNNNNNNNNNNNNNNNNNNNNNNNNNNNNNNNNNNNNNNNNNNNNNNNNNNNNNNNNNNNNNNNNNNNNNNNNNNNNNNNNNNNNNNNNNNNNNNNNNNNNNNNNNNNNNNNNNNNNNNNNNNNNNNNNNNNNNNNNNNNNNNNNNNNNNNNNNNNNNNNNNNNNNNNNNNNNNNNNNNNNNNNNNNNNNNNNNNNNNNNNNNNNNNNNNNNNNNNNNNNNNNNNNNNNNNNNNNNNNNNNNNNNNNNNNNNNNNNNNNNNNNNNNNNNNNNNNNNNNNNNNNNNNNNNNNNNNNNNNNNNNNNNNNNNNNNNNNNNNNNNNNNNNNNNNNNNNNNNNNNNNNNNNNNNNNNNNNNNNNNNNNNNNNNNNNNNNNNNNNNNNNNNNNNNNNNNNNNNNNNNNNNNNNNNNNNNNNNNNNNNNNNNNNNNNNNNNNNNNNNNNNNNNNNNNNNNNNNNNNNNNNNNNNNNNNNNNNNNNNNNNNNNNNNNNNNNNNNNNNNNNNNNNNNNNNNNNNNNNNNNNNNNNNNNNNNNNNNNNNNNNNNNNNNNNNNNNNNNNNNNNNNNNNNNNNNNNNNNNNNNNNNNNNNNNNNNNNNNNNNNNNNNNNNNNNNNNNNNNNNNNNNNNNNNNNNNNNNNNNNNNNNNNNNNNNNNNNNNNNNNNNNNNNNNNNNNNNNNNNNNNNNNNNNNNNNNNNNNNNNNNNNNNNNNNNNNNNNNNNNNNNNNNNNNNNNNNNNNNNNNNNNNNNNNNNNNNNNNNNNNNNNNNNNNNNNNNNNNNNNNNNNNNNNNNNNNNNNNNNNNNNNNNNNNNNNNNNNNNNNNNNNNNNNNNNNNNNNNNNNNNNNNNNNNNNNNNNNNNNNNNNNNNNNNNNNNNNNNNNNNNNNNNNNNNNNNNNNNNNNNNNNNNNNNNNNNNNNNNNNNNNNNNNNNNNNNNNNNNNNNNNNNNNNNNNNNNNNNNNNNNNNNNNNNNNNNNNNNNNNNNNNNNNNNNNNNNNNNNNNNNNNNNNNNNNNNNNNNNNNNNNNNNNNNNNNNNNNNNNNNNNNNNNNNNNNNNNNNNNNNNNNNNNNNNNNNNNNNNNNNNNNNNNNNNNNNNNNNNNNNNNNNNNNNNNNNNNNNNNNNNNNNNNNNNNNNNNNNNNNNNNNNNNNNNNNNNNNNNNNNNNNNNNNNNNNNNNNNNNNNNNNNNNNNNNNNNNNNNNNNNNNNNNNNNNNNNNNNNNNNNNNNNNNNNNNNNNNNNNNNNNNNNNNNNNNNNNNNNNNNNNNNNNNNNNNNNNNNNNNNNNNNNNNNNNNNNNNNNNNNNNNNNNNNNNNNNNNNNNNNNNNNNNNNNNNNNNNNNNNNNNNNNNNNNNNNNNNNNNNNNNNNNNNNNNNNNNNNNNNNNNNNNNNNNNNNNNNNNNNNNNNNNNNNNNNNNNNNNNNNNNNNNNNNNNNNNNNNNNNNNNNNNNNNNNNNNNNNNNNNNNNNNNNNNNNNNNNNNNNNNNNNNNNNNNNNNNNNNNNNNNNNNNNNNNNNNNNNNNNNNNNNNNNNNNNNNNNNNNNNNNNNNNNNNNNNNNNNNNNNNNNNNNNNNNNNNNNNNNNNNNNNNNNNNNNNNNNNNNNNNNNNNNNNNNNNNNNNNNNNNNNNNNNNNNNNNNNNNNNNNNNNNNNNNNNNNNNNNNNNNNNNNNNNNNNNNNNNNNNNNNNNNNNNNNNNNNNNNNNNNNNNNNNNNNNNNNNNNNNNNNNNNNNNNNNNNNNNNNNNNNNNNNNNNNNNNNNNNNNNNNNNNNNNNNNNNNNNNNNNNNNNNNNNNNNNNNNNNNNNNNNNNNNNNNNNNNNNNNNNNNNNNNNNNNNNNNNNNNNNNNNNNNNNNNNNNNNNNNNNNNNNNNNNNNNNNNNNNNNNNNNNNNNNNNNNNNNNNNNNNNNNNNNNNNNNNNNNNNNNNNNNNNNNNNNNNNNNNNNNNNNNNNNNNNNNNNNNNNNNNNNNNNNNNNNNNNNNNNNNNNNNNNNNNNNNNNNNNNNNNNNNNNNNNNNNNNNNNNNNNNNNNNNNNNNNNNNNNNNNNNNNNNNNNNNNNNNNNNNNNNNNNNNNNNNNNNNNNNNNNNNNNNNNNNNNNNNNNNNNNNNNNNNNNNNNNNNNNNNNNNNNNNNNNNNNNNNNNNNNNNNNNNNNNNNNNNNNNNNNNNNNNNNNNNNNNNNNNNNNNNNNNNNNNNNNNNNNNNNNNNNNNNNNNNNNNNNNNNNNNNNNNNNNNNNNNNNNNNNNNNNNNNNNNNNNNNNNNNNNNNNNNNNNNNNNNNNNNNNNNNNNNNNNNNNAAUCAUCUGACAGGGCCUAUCCCCCAAAAAGGACAGUUCAGCACAUUCAACAAGGAUUCUUACCUAGGUAACUUUGCCUUGUGUGGAUUACCUUUAACUAAUAACUGUACACACACUGUGUCACCACCACAAGAAGGCGGAACUGGUGACAAUGAUGCCUAUGAUGAACCCGAUUGGGAAGUGAUCCUCAUGGGAUAUGGAUGUGGACUAAUAUGCGGAUUGUCCACUGGGUACGUUGUCUUCACAUUCAGAAAGCCUCAGUGGUUUAUGAGAUACACUGAAAGCGUGCAACAGAAGUUGAUGAGAUGAUGCAUGUUGAGUACCGUUCAAUCAUGAAGCACAACUGGAAACAAUGUUAUCUUAGGAAAACAUGUGUUCUGAACCAGUAGUGUUUGCACAAAAUUUGUGGUGCUAUGUAAUACUUAUAUAAUUGUACGUAUGAUUAUUGAUUAGUCGUUGAGAAAAUGCAUUUUAUUUCAGUGUCAAUGAUAAUCUACAUGUUUUGGAUACUUCCAGCUUCUCAUACUAAUAUAGGAACCACUUGAAAAAUUUUGCGAUGCAAAGCAGGGACUCAUGAGUAUUUUCAUAUGUGUAUUAGUUUUGAAGAUAAAAGUUGUAUGGACAAUUGUGUUGAUAAUUUGCGCAAUGAUAACUGGGAUAGGUCAUCUUCUCUCCCAAGUCUUGGAUGGACUCUUUCCAAGUCUUCUGAGAACCCAUCAGCUCAGAUUAGUCCAUACAAUGUCAAGGGUCCUAUGAUAUGGUCUACUAACAGCCCAGUGUCGGUAAUAAAUCCAAUUGCAUAUAACCUAUUCAAAAUCAAUCCCCUAUAAACAAUCAUCUCUAAAAACUAUUCACAUAAAAUAAAAUUUUAAAAAUAUAAAAUAUCUAGUUGUUUUCAAUAUAUAAUUUUCCACAGUAGAUAACAAAAUAUCUUUAUCAAAUUAUAUUAUUUAUGGGUUCAAUAUUUAAGCUAUAAUUCCAAUAACACGGCAAGCAUGCAUGCAGCAUAUAAAUAGAAGUGUGCAGUAUGUAUGGUAUUCAUAACCCAGUUGAGGAGAAACAUGGCACACUUUGUAAAGCCUUCUCACCUUCUUCUCUUUGUUUUCUUUCUCUCAUCACUUGAGUCCAUUCUUGCAACAAGACGAGAGGGAGAGGGAGAAGCUCUUGUGAAAUGGAAGAAUAGCCUAGCCCCUUCUUCUUUUCUCGACUCUUGGUCACUCACCAAUCUCGAUAAUCUUUGUAACUGGACUGGCAUUACUUGUAACUCUGCAGGUUCAGUCACUGAGAUUAACCUUUUCGGAAAAAAACUUGAUGGAAGGCUGUCCGAGUUUGGUUUCACUUCAUUUCCAAAUCUCAACAAUCUCACCCUUGCAGAUAACUUCUUCUUGGGUCCAAUACCACCAGCCAUUGAGAAUUUAACACAGCUUCAGUAUCUUGAUUUAAGCUUUAAUUAUCUCGAUGGUCCCAUUCCGUUCCAGGUUAGCCAUCUUCAAAGGUUGCUUGUCUUAAACGUGUCACAGAAUGCAUUGCAUUCUCCAAAUUGGUCCAAUUUCUCAAACAGAUGAAAUUAUGCAACUGAAAUUGAUGUAGUCUUAAAGAAUUCUCAGGCACUUAAACAUGUUUCAAAGAAUUCUCAGGCACUUAAACAUUUGGACGGGUUCUUUGGAAGCCAAGAUGCCCAGGUUAUCAUGGCCAUGCACAAAAUGCAGUAUAAAAAAAAAAUGAAUACCUUAAGAGAGAUUGCUCUGGGUCUCCCCAAGCCUUCUAGACUCAUUCCAAGUCUUCUGAGGACCACUGCCUCGCGCUUUCAAAGAUGUGAUGGUAGCUCGGGAGUGAUAUAAAUUAUUUUCGGGACACUAAUAAUAAAUAAUCAGAUCAAAUUAAUCAUCAAUAAUAAAUUGAGGAUACGAAAUCAAAAUUAAUCCUAAAUUUUGAUAAUAUAUAAAAAUUACUUUACGUACACUGUUUGCACGCAUUUUGAGCUCGUAUAAAGUAUAGUUUCAUAACUUUUUUUAAAAAAUUUCUUUUUUGAUAAAAGUUUAAACGUCAAACUUUUAUUCAGAGAAAAAAAAUUAAAAAAUAUAUCACGGAACUAUACUUUAAAUUAGUAUGGAAAAACGUGCCAAAAUUAACGUAAAGAAAUGAGGGGAACAAAGAUAGUAUAAUUAUAUUAUAAAUUAAAAUUGAAAUAACUUACGUGGCACUGAAAUUGAUAAAGGCAAUAUGGUUAAAUUGAUGAAAAGUCAAAGUCCUCUAAUAAAUCCAUAAAGAAUAUAAUAAUCAAAACGACGAAAAUUAUAAAUGAAAAAUCAAAAUCAUCCUAAUAAGUACACAAAAAGAAUAUGAUCGUUAGUGUAUUGGAAUAGUGUGCACACACUUAUAUAUCAAAAUUUGUGGUCCAAAAGCUAUGGCACAAUAUUCUAAAUACACCACAUUAAGUAAUAGUUCAAAAAUAUUCAAUAUAUAAUUGUUUUCAUUCAUAAUUUUGUUAUUAUUUUAAAAAAUAAUUUGGUUGCUGUUAACCUAUAUUUCAAUUAUAUAAUUAUAUUAUUUUUUAUUUUAUGUAUCUAGAAACAAUAUUUUUGUAAUAUUUAUUACAUUAAUUAUAUUAAAAGAUAUAAUUUGUUAAAAACUUGAAUAAAAUUAAGAGGAUAACUUUAUGUCUCUCCAAGUUCACAGCACGGGUGAGCAUUGGGUUCGGAUAUCCAUAUACCGAAUGGAUAUAUCAAAUCAAAACUAAUCAUGAAUUAUGAUAAUAAUUAAAUAAAUUAUAAUUAAGCUAUAUGAAUCAACUCCAAAUGACAACAACAGCACCAAACCUUAGUUACUUUAAUAUUGGUAAAUAAAUAUAAUAUAAUAAUCAAAUUGAUGAAAAAUCACAUCAUCUAAUAAAUUCACAAAAAAUAUAUGAUCAUUAGUAUAUUAUAUUAGUAUCCACACACUUAUAUUUCAAAAUCUAUCCUCCAAAAUUAUCAUCUCUGUAAGCUAGCCACAUAAAAUAAAAAAUUUAAAGAUAUUAGAUAUUUAGUUAUUUUCAUUAUAUAAUUUUUCCACACGAAAUAACAAAAUAUCUUUAUCAAAUUAUUAUUUAUGAGUUAAAUAUUCAAGUUAUAAAUCCAGUAUUCAGCGUAUAAAUAGAAGUGUGCAGUAUGAUAUCAGAUUCACAUAACCCAGUUGAUGAGGAGAAACAUGGCAUACUCUGCAAAGCCUUCUCACCUUCUUCUCUUUGUUUUCUUUCUCUCAUCACUUGAAUCCAUUCUUGCAACAACACGAGAGGGAGAAGCUCUUGUGAAAUGGAAGAAUAGCCUAGCCCCUUCUUCUUUUCUCGAUUCUUGGUCCCUCACCAAUCUCGAAAAUCUUUGUAACUGGACUGGCAUUACUUGUAACUCUGCAGGUUCAGUCUCUGAGAUUAACCUCUGUGAGAAACAACUUGAUGGAAUGCUGUCCGACUUCGGUUUCACUUCAUUUCCAAAUCUCAAGAAUCUCACCCUCGCAUACAACUUCUUCUCGGGUCCAAUACCACCAGCCAUUCAGAACUUAACAAGGCUUCAAUGCCUUGAUUUAAGCUUUAAUUAUCUCAAUGGUCCUAUUCCGUUCCAGGUGAGCCAUCUUCAGAGCUUGCUCAUCUUGAACCUGUCACAGAAUGCAUUGCAAACUCCAAAUUGGUCCCAUUUCUCUCCCAUGCCUUUCUUGCGCAUCCUCAACCUCAGUUACAAUCCUCUUGCGUCGAAAUUCCCAGAUUUUAUAUCCAGUUCUCAUAGCCUGACUCACCUUAGCCUUAAUUAUAACGAGUUUACUGGUGAUUUAGUACGUGAAUCAGUAUUUGCCGAUCUGCAUAAUCUUGAAAAGCUCAGUCUUGUUGGCAAUUCUUUCGAGGGGCCAUUUCCGCCGGAUAUAUUCAGGCUUUCCAAAUUAAAACAUCUUAGCAUGUCAGAUAACAAACUUUCAGGUUCAAUUCCCAAUGACAUAAGGUUGCUUUGUGAUCUUGAAUACCUAUAUUUAGCCAACAAUUCCUUUGAAGGACCGCUUCCACCAAAUAUAUUCAAGUUUUCAAAAUUAAAACAUCUUGUUCUUUGGGGUAAUAAGUUUUCUGGUUCUGUUUCCAAUGAUAUAGGUUUGCUUUCUGAGCUUGAAACUCUCGAUCUUAGCUCUAAUUUUUUUGAGGGGCCGCUUCCGCCAAAUGUAUUCAAGCUCUCCAAACUAAAAGUUCUCACCCUGUCAAUUAACAAAUUUUUAGGUUCAAUUCCCAAUGACAUAAGGUUACUUUGUGAUCUUGAAUACCUAUAUUUAGGCAACAAUUCCUUUGAAGGACCGCUUCCACCAGGUAUAUUCAAGCUUUCAAAAUUAAAACAUCUUUUUCUUUGGGGUAAUAAGUUUUCAGGUUCUGUUUUCAAUGAUAUAUGUUUGCUUUCUGAGCUUGAAACCCUCGAUCUUAACUCUAAUUUUUUUGAGGGGCCGCUUCCGCCAAAUGUAUUCAAGCUCUCCAAACUAAAGAUUCUUUCCCUUUAUGUGAACAACUUUUCAGGUUUUAUUUCUAAGGAUAUAGGUUGGCUUUUUGAACUUGAAACCCUCUAUCUUGGCUCUAAUUUUUUUGAGGGGCCGCUUCCCCCACAUGUAUUUAGGCUCUCCAAAUUAAGAGAUUUGGACCUCUCAGACAAUAGAAAUUUAUUUGAAGGAAGUAUUCCUAUUGGACUGGGACUCUUGACUAACCUCAGGUACUUAGAUCUACAUUUCAGUAAUCUCAGUGGCUAUAUUCCAUCUGACAUUGGAAACCUGAAGCUACUAGUACUUCUUGAUCUCAGUUCUAAUAAAUUGACUGGACCGCUUUCAAAGAUCAUUUCUAAUCUCACAAAUCUUAUAUUUCUUGAUGUAAGUGAUAAUAGUCUUAGUGGAAAUAUUCAGAGUGACUUGUGGAAAUAUAACGAUCAUCCAACUUUGGAAUACAUCGAUUUAAGUGGGAACCAUUUUACGGGUAUAGUUUUUCUCUAUAGAUCUUUUCUUUUUCUCAUAUGUAACUAAGCUAGUAAUCUGAUUAUUGCAGUUUCACCAAAGUUUCAACAAUCUUGACAGGUGAGCUUCCAACAACAAUUUGCAAUGUCACUUCCCUUUUGGUUCUUGAUUUGUCAAAUAAUGAAUUAAGUGGUGCACUUCCAAACUGUUUCGGGAAUCUUGCUGAUAGAUUGCUUUUCAUUAAUCUUGCUAAUAAUCAGUUUCGAGGAACAAUACCAACUACUUUCUCCAGGAGUUGUCAGCUGACAUAUCUAAACAUGGAUAAUAAUGAGUUUGAAGGAUUGUUGCGCCCAUCUUUGGCGAACUGUAAGCACUUGAAAAUUCUUGAUAUUGGCAAUAAUAAAAUAGGUGGUACAUUUCCGUCAUGGCUUUAUGCACUUGGAGAGCUAGAAGUCCUUGUCUUGCGAUCAAAUAAACUCUAUGGUACAAUAAGUGGGAGGAGCAUAGAAAAUCCCUUCCCCAAGUUGCGGAUUGUGGAUCUGUCCAACAAUCAAUUCACUGGCCAUUUGCCAAUUCAAUACUUUAAGAAUAUGAAAUCAACUGAUAAUUUGUAUAGUUAUCAGAAUGACACAGGAGUUUUUUCUUUCCAUUAUGAAGCAUCUGUAUCAUUAACUGUGAAGGGAACAGAGUAUGAAGUGAAAAAUAUCCUUCAUAUUUACACAACCAUUGAUCUGUCCUGCAACAAGUUUCAAGGAGAAAUUCCUGACGUUAUUGGAGAGCUUAGAUGGCUUGCAUUGCUGAACUUAUCUCAUAAUAGUCUAACAGGACAUAUCCCAUCAUUGCUGAGAAAUAUGAAAGGACUCCAAUCUUUAGAUUUGUCUUCAAAUCAACUGACAGGGGCUAUUCCACCUCAGUUAACUGCAUUGACAUUUCUAGAGGUCUUGAACCUCUCGGGAAACCAUCUUAGUGGAGAGAUUCCUCAGAAAGGACAGUUCAGCACAUUCAACAAUGAUUCUUAUCUAGGAAACUCCGCGUUAUGUGGAUCACCUUUGACAAAGAAAUGUGUAAACACAGCAUCACCUCCACAGGAAGUCGGAAAUGGUGAUGAAGAUGAUGCUGGCGAUGAAUGGACAUGGGAAGCAAUCGUGAUGGGAUAUGGAUGUGGACUGAUAUGUGGAUUGUCGUCUGCGUACAUUGUUCUCAGACUAGGAAGGCCUUGGUGGUUUGUGAGAUAUAUCGAAGUACUGCAACUGAAGUUGAUGAAAAGAUAUGCAUGAAGAAAGGUACUGGUAGAUCAAGAUGAACUUGAAAGUUAUUUUCGUGGAUGACAUUUGUGAACCAGUACUGUACUAGCUGCUUAAGUAUUUGGUAUUAUGUAAUAAUCCGUUUGGUCGGGACUCAUAAUGAUAUUUCUUGCUUCAGGGGUAUUAAUAUAAACCUUGGUAUUGUGUACUAGCUGUCUGUUUGGUCGUGACUCAUAAUCUUUCAUGUAUUAACAUAAGGUUUUAAUACAUCCCGUACCAGGUUAGCCAUCUUCAGAUAUUACACAUCUUACUGCUGUCGCAUAAUGAAUUGCAAUCUCCAAAUUGGUCCAACUUCUCUUCCAUGCCCUUUUUGCGCAUCCUCGGCCUUGGCAGCAAUAAUCUGGUGUCAAAAUUCCCAGAAUUUAUAUCUGACUCUCAUAGCCUCACUUUCCUUGACCUUUCUUUUAACAAGUUUACAGGUGAUCUUGUGCUUGAAUCAAUUUUUACCGAUCUACAUAAUCUUGAAAACCUCCAUCUUGCUGGAAAUUCCUUUGAGGGGCCGAUUCCACCUAGAGUAUUUAAGCUUUCCAAUUUAAAAGUUCUUGAACUCACGGGUAAUAACUUUUCUCGUUCUAUUUCCAACGAUAUAGGUUUGCUUUCUGAACUUGAGACCCUCUAUCUUGACUUCAAUUUUUUUGAUGGACCAAUUCCCCCAAAUAUAUUCAACCUUUCCCAAUUAAAAAUUCUUGAACUAACAGAAAAUAACUUUUCUGGUCCUGUUUCCAAUGAUAUAAGUUUGCUUUCUGAGCUUGAAAACCUCAAUCUUGCCUUAAAUUCUUCUGAUGGGCCUUUUCCAUCAAAGAUAUUCAACCUAACCAAAUUGAGACAUCUAAAUCUCUAUGGCAAUAAGAAUUUAUUUAAAGGAAGUAUCCCACUGGAUAUCAGAAACCUGAAGCUCCUGGAAUCUAUUAAUCUCGGUUCUAAUCAAUUGGUUGGACCACUUUCAAUGCUCAUUUCUAAUCUCACUAAUCUUAAGAUGGUUGGGCUAAGCGAUAAUAGGUUUUUUGGCAAAAUUCCUAGUGACUUCUUGAAAAACUUGCCAUCCUUACACGUCAUUGAUCUUUCAAAUAAUAAUUUGUCCGGAAAUAUUCCCAGGGAGUAUAACGUGCAUCCAAUUUUAGAAUACAUCAAUUUAAGUGGAAACCAUCUUACAGGUUUACUUCUCCCUCAAUAUAUUUUAUUUUCCUUUUGUAUGUUACAUUGAUUACACUUUUACCGAAGCUCAAACAAUUUUAACAGGUGAGAUCCCAGCAACAAUUUGCAAUGCUACAAACCUUUAUAUUCUGGUUCUGUCAGAUAAUGGAUUAAGUGGUGCCCUUCCGCAUUGUUUGGGAAAUCUUGCAGAUAAAAUGCAUUGCAUUGAUCUCGCUAAUAAUCAGUUCCGAGGACCAAUACCAACAACCUUCUCAGAGAGUUGCCAGUUAAGAUAUCUAAACAUGUAUGACAAUCAGUUAGAAGGACUUUUGCCCCGAUCUUUGUCAAACUGUAAGCACUUGAAAAUUCUUGACAUCGGGAACAACAAAAUGGGCGGUACAUUUCCUUCAUGGCUAUUCACUCUCAGAGAGCUAGAAGUCCUAGUCUUGCAAUCAAAUAAACUGUAUGGUCCAGUAAGUGGAAGGAGCACACAUCACAUCCAUUCCCCAAGUUGCGGAUUCUAGAUCUCUCCAACAACCAAUUCACGGGCUAUUUGCCAAUUCAAUACUCUUUAAGAAUAUGAAACCAGCUGCUGAUAACAUUUGUCUUAGGAUGACACAUGUUCUAAACUAUGACAAUAGUAUGCAAUCUCGUUUAAUACUUUCAUAUUAUGAACUAGUUCUGUUGAAUAAAUAAAUAUUAUUAAUUAAUCAAUCAUGUGCGCUCGAGUUUCCCUGGCCAGAUGCCCAGAUUAUUAGAGCAUCUCCAGCAGAGUCUUAACCGGUUCUCUAAAUAUAUAAUAAAAUAUGUAUCUUUUAAGGGAUUACUACAUUUUAGUGAAUGAGAACUCCAACAACAUUCCCUAUUUACAUUCUCUAUUAUUAUUAUAAUAUUAUAUUCAACUUGUAAUAAGAGAGAGAAAGUUUGGAAAGAGUAAAAGUGAGAAAAAAUAAGUGAAUAUUUUAUUCUUCAGAAUAAUAUAAGGAAAGAAAAUGCCAAAACAAUUAACUAUAAUCUACGCAAUAAUUUUUUAUAUUGAUUAGACGUUAUCUUUAUCAAUAUUUAGUCAGAUAUUCGGAUAUAUAUCAUUCCCUUUGUUUUUAUACCAUCUUUUUUUUGACUUUCGGGCCAAAUCACUACGUGGGUUGACUGGAUAGUAGAAAUUAAUAUUUUUGUCUGUUUUUUAAAAUAAAAAUCUGUAUUUUUAUUUUGAUUUCGAAGAAUAUAAUCCAUAAGGUAAAUAAUUUUUAANNNNNNNNNNNNNNNNNNNNNNNNNNNNNNNNNNNNNNNNNNNNNNNNNNNNNNNNNNNNNNNNNNNNNNNNNNNNNNNNNNNNNNNNNNNNNNNNNNNNNNNNNNNNNNNNNNNNNNNNNNNNNNNNNNNNNNNNNNNNNNNNNNNNNNNNNNNNNNNNNNNNNNNNNNNNNNNNNNNNNNNNNNNNNNNNNNNNNNNNNNNNNNNNNNNNNNNNNNNNNNNNNNNNNNNNNNNNNNNNNNNNNNNNNNNNNNNNNNNNNNNNNNNNNNNNNNNNNNNNNNNNNNNNNNNNNNNNNNNNNNNNNNNNNNNNNNNNNNNNNNNNNNNNNNNNNNNNNNNNNNNNNNNNNNNNNNNNNNNNNNNNNNNNNNNNNNNNNNNNNNNNNNNNNNNNNNNNNNNNNNNNNNNNNNNNNNNNNNNNNNNNNNNNNNNNNNNNNNNNNNNNNNNNNNNNNNNNNNNNNNNNNNNNNNNNNNNNNNNNNNNNNNNNNNNNNNNNNNNNNNNNNNNNNNNNNNNNNNNNNNNNNNNNNNNNNNNNNNNNNNNNNNNNNNNNNNNNNNNNNNNNNNNNNNNNNNNNNNNNNNNNNNNNNNNNNNNNNNNNNNNNNNNNNNNNNNNNNNNNNNNNNNNNNNNNNNNNNNNNNNNNNNNNNNNNNNNNNNNNNNNNNNNNNNNNNNNNNNNNNNNNNNNNNNNNNNNNNNNNNNNNNNNNNNNNNNNNNNNNNNNNNNNNNNNNNNNNNNNNNNNNNNNNNNNNNNNNNNNNNNNNNNNNNNNNNNNNNNNNNNNNNNNNNNNNNNNNNNNNNNNNNNNNNNNNNNNNNNNNNNNNNNNNNNNNNNNNNNNNNNNNNNNNNNNNNNNNNNNNNNNNNNNNNNNNNNNNNNNNNNNNNNNNNNNNNNNNNNNNNNNNNNNNNNNNNNNNNNNNNNNNNNNNNNNNNNNNNNNNNNNNNNNNNNNNNNNNNNNNNNNNNNNNNNNNNNNNNNNNNNNNNNNNNNNNNNNNNNNNNNNNNNNNNNNNNNNNNNNNNNNNNNNNNNNNNNNNNNNNNNNNNNNNNNNNNNNNNNNNNNNNNNNNNNNNNNNNNNNNNNNNNNNNNNNNNNNNNNNNNNNNNNNNNNNNNNNNNNNNNNNNNNNNNNNNNNNNNNNNNNNNNNNNNNNNNNNNNNNNNNNNNNNNNNNNNNNNNNNNNNNNNNNNNNNNNNNNNNNNNNNNNNNNNNNNNNNNNNNNNNNNNNNNNNNNNNNNNNNNNNNNNNNNNNNNNNNNNNNNNNNNNNNNNNNNNNNNNNNNNNNNNNNNNNNNNNNNNNNNNNNNNNNNNNNNNNNNNNNNNNNNNNNNNNNNNNNNNNNNNNNNNNNNNNNNNNNNNNNNNNNNNNNNNNNNNNNNNNNNNNNNNNNNNNNNNNNNNNNNNNNNNNNNNNNNNNNNNNNNNNNNNNNNNNNNNNNNNNNNNNNNNNNNNNNNNNNNNNNNNNNNNNNNNNNNNNNNNNNNNNNNNNNNNNNNNNNNNNNNNNNNNNNNNNNNNNNNNNNNNNNNNNNNNNNNNNNNNNNNNNNNNNNNNNNNNNNNNNNNNNNNNNNNNNNNNNNNNNNNNNNNNNNNNNNNNNNNNNNNNNNNNNNNNNNNNNNNNNNNNNNNNNNNNNNNNNNNNNNNNNNNNNNNNNNNNNNNNNNNNNNNNNNNNNNNNNNNNNNNNNNNNNNNNNNNNNNNNNNNNNNNNNNNNNNNNNNNNNNNNNNNNNNNNNNNNNNNNNNNNNNNNNNNNNNNNNNNNNNNNNNNNNNNNNNNNNNNNNNNNNNNNNNNNNNNNNNNNNNNNNNNNNNNNNNNNNNNNNNNNNNNNNNNNNNNNNNNNNNNNNNNNNNNNNNNNNNNNNNNNNNNNNNNNNNNNNNNNNNNNNNNNNNNNNNNNNNNNNNNNNNNNNNNNNNNNNNNNNNNNNNNNNNNNNNNNNNNNNNNNNNNNNNNNNNNNNNNNNNNNNNNNNNNNNNNNNNNNNNNNNNNNNNNNNNNNNNNNNNNNNNNNNNNNNNNNNNNNNNNNNNNNNNNNNNNNNNNNNNNNNNNNNNNNNNNNNNNNNNNNNNNNNNNNNNNNNNNNNNNNNNNNNNNNNNNNNNNNNNNNNNNNNNNNNNNNNNNNNNNNNNNNNNNNNNNNNNNNNNNNNNNNNNNNNNNNNNNNNNNNNNNNNNNNNNNNNNNNAUAUACACUUCCAUUUCCACUUUCCAGUAUUAAGUUUAGAAUUAAGAUCUUAACAACAUAGCAAUCAUUUAAACCUCGAAGAAAAUUGUGCACAUUAACAAGACCAAAGAGAAAACAGAUAGCAUAAAAUUGUGUAACACGUAUAAUUUAAAUCCACUUCUCAGUAUACUCCACAUUCAAGGUGAUCUAACUGCUACAAUAUUCUAAUUUUCACAGCUACGACACUGAACAAUAUAAGAACCAGUUUACUGUAAGUUUACUGAACAUAUAUAUACGACAUUGAACAAUAUAAAAUAGCUAUCCUUUGUAAGACCAAAAACAAAGGACACUAGCUAGCUAAUUCAAUAUACAAAACCACUCCAAUCAGUUUAUGAUAAGCAACUACAAACAUACAAAUACAUAUAAACAUACAAAUACAUAUAAACAUACUAUCUCAUUUUCCAAAAACCACAACUACAAACUAUCUCAUUUUCCAAAAACACACACUGAAAUACAUAUAUACAUACACAUACAACCACAAGGAUACCCAAACUCAAGUAAUAAAUAAGAAAUUACCUCCUCCAACUCGAAGAGAGCUUGAAUAGACUUGAACAGAGCUUGAACAGACUCCGAGCUCGAACUCCCUACAAACUCGAACUGAAGUACGAGCACCCACUAAACCCACAAACUCCACACUCGAACUGAACUCUGAGAUCUGUUGAAAAAACGAAUUAAAGAAGCAAAUGAGUAUUGUAAUCGAACAAACAUCAGUUUAUUAGGUACAAAUCAACCUUUAUCGCACAAAUUUAAGGAUGAAAUCGGCCGAAUUGGAACCUAGGGUUCGCUCGCUGAGAAAGGGGGAAGAACGGGGAGAGAGAAUGUAUUUUGUACAAAUGAUUUAAUUUAGGUAGUUUUAUUAGUUUUAUGUCUUUUUCCUUUUAAUUUUAUGUUUAAAGACAGGUGUUGAUGUCUUGUUCAGACAACACAUCAACUAAGCAGCGGGGUUUUAAAGGCGGGGUUUUUUUGUUUGUGAAAAAUUUGGCUAAGUGGGGAAUAGAAGCGGGGAAGCGCGGCCAAUUUUUUAAAAACAUGUUUUAGACAUCGGUUCUACACUAAGAUGAUGUCUAGUUUUUUAAUAGACAUCGGUUUUUAAAAUUUCGAUGUAAAAAAGGGUUUUAACAUCGGUGGUUUUUUUAACCGAUGUCUAAUCUGUGAUGUCUGAUCCUGUUUUUCUAGUAGUGAUCACUGCAACAAAAUAUUAGUUACGACGGAACAAUGUCGCUGGACUUUAUUUGUUUACAUUUUUUUAAUAGUAGUUAAUUUUUAAACUUGCGACGGAAAACAUACGACAGUCUACUUCGCGAGAGAAAAUCAUUUUAUUUUAUUUUUUAGCGCCAGAAUUUUAAUACUAAACUACUAUAGGGCCGUUUGGGCUAGCUUAAAAAAAGUGAUUUUUUACUUACAGUAAAGAAGUGGAUUAAAAGUGAGAAGCAAAUAAGUCAAUAAAAUGUUUGGAAAAGAAGUAGAAGCUGUGAGAGAGAAGUUAGCAUUCUCAGCUUCUUAAAAGUGCUUCUGCUUAUUUACAUAAACGGGUAAAAAAAAAAAAGCAAAAGCCAGAAGCAGCUUCUACUUCUCGAAACAAACAGGGCCAAUAUAUAUGAAGGAAACUGAUCUCUAUUGUUUUCAGCUUGCUCAUCCAUGGUAAGUAAUCCGUCGAAAAAGUUAGUUUGUUGUCGUGGUGUCUUAUCAUGAGAGAAAAUGGUAAUAUCGCAAAAUAUUUGCAACUGAAAGAUAAAUUAUAGUUCUAGAAACCAUUUAGGUAACGAUGCGCGGAGUUAUUUUCACUCACUUAGAAUUAAUGAUAAAUAUUUGCAACUGAAAGAUACAUUAUAGUUCUAGAAAAGGAUCCACGGAAUUAUUUUCACUCACUUAGAAUUAAUCCUAAGUUAUUGUGAGUUUUUGAAUAUGGAUUAUCUCAAAUUUUAUUAAAACACAUAUCGAUUCAUAUAGACAAAUUUGCCUACCUAAUAUUAUAAUAUUUAUGGCGAAGUUGUAUGAACAAUUGUGUAGAUAAUUAUACUUUACAAAGCAUACUUCUGCUAGCUGAAUUUUGAUUAAAAAAUCGAAAGGGAUAGGUCUGGGUCUCUCCAAGUCUUUGAGGACUCAUUCCAAGUCUUCUGAUGAGGACAAAAUAUAUCGCUGGUAGUCUUUCAGUCCUUCCUAGAGUAUUUUAUGCUCUGCACUGCAUUUGUGUUGAUAAUUUGCGCAAUGUUGAUGAGGAUUGCUCCAAGUCUUGGCGGACUCUUUCCAAAUCUUCCGAGGACCUAUCGGUUCAAUUUAGCCCAUUAAAAAUUUUAUUAUCUCAAAGCUAUCUGCAAAAUAAUAUAUAAGGUAAAAAUGAAUAUAUACCAUUGUUUUGUGAUUAAGUUGUAUAGGCAAUAUGCAUUGCAAAAUCAGCAACAGGAUAUAUGAAUACUAAUUAAUUACCUGAUAUCAGUAUGAACAAAUACUUUCUAUGUAGUUGUAAUAUUAGUCUUCUUUAAAAGUUAUCAUGAGGGAAGGUAUAUAUUGUGAUGCGGGAGAAAUAUUGUCACUGAAAAUAAUUAUAAUUCUAAAAUUUCCAUUAUACACUUUUUUUAGUGUUUGUACGUGGUAAGUACUUCAGACGACAUUUCUCGCGUAUGCCUCCGAUUAAGAAUUUGAUGUUCAGCCUAGUCCUAAACUAAAAUUAUUAUAAAUGUGUACUUCAAAAUUAUAUAUAUUGCUGGUAGUCUUUCAGUUCUUCCUGGUGUAUGCAAUUGUUUCAUUCAAUACCAAUUAUUUUAUACUAUGCACUCUGAUAUCAUGUUGAGAACAAUCCAUCAAAAACUUUAAACCUUAAUUAAGGUGUUAGAGGAAAAUACCAAUUAGAUCUUAUGCUAUAUUUCAAUACUUCCAACACUCUGCGAUGCAAAGCAGGGACUCUUGAGUAUUUUCAUAUGUGUAUUAGUUUUGAAGAUAAAAGUUGUAUAGAGAAUUGUGUUGAUAAUUUGCGCAAUUGCGCAAUGAUAACUGGGAUAGGUCAUCUUCUCUCCCAAGUCUUGGAUGGAAUCUUUCCAAGUCUUCUGAGAACCCAUCAGCUCAGAUUAGUCCAUACAAUGUCAAGGGUCCUAUGAUAUGGUCUACUAACAGCCCAGUGUCGGUAAUAAAUCCAAUUGCAUAUAACCUAUUCAAAAUCAAUCCCCUAUAAACAAUCAUCUCUAAAAACUAUUCACAUAAAAUAAAAUUUUAAAAAUAUAAAAUAUCUAGUUGUUUUCAAUAUAUAAUUUUCCACAGUAGAUAACANNNNNNNNNNNNNNNNNNNNNNNNNNNNNNNNNNNNNNNNNNNNNNNNNNNNNNNNNNNNNNNNNNNNNNNNNNNNNNNNNNNNNNNNNNNNNNNNNNNNNNNNNNNNNNNNNNNNNNNNNNNNNNNNNNNNNNNNNNNNNNNNNNNNNNNNNNNNNNNNNNNNNNNNNNNNNNNNNNNNNNNNNNNNNNNNNNNNNNNNNNNNNNNNNNNNNNNNNNNNNNNNNNNNNNNNNNNNNNNNNNNNNNNNNNNNNNNNNNNNNNNNNNNNNNNNNNNNNNNNNNNNNNNNNNNNNNNNNNNNNNNNNNNNNNNNNNNNNNNNNNNNNNNNNNNNNNNNNNNNNNNNNNNNNNNNNNNNNNNNNNNNNNNNNNNNNNNNNNNNNNNNNNNNNNNNNNNNNNNNNNNNNNNNNNNNNNNNNNNNNNNNNNNNNNNNNNNNNNNNNNNNNNNNNNNNNNNNNNNNNNNNNNNNNNNNNNNNNNNNNNNNNNNNNNNNNNNNNNNNNNNNNNNNNNNNNNNNNNNNNNNNNNNNNNNNNNNNNNNNNNNNNNNNNNNNNNNNNNNNNNNNNNNNNNNNNNNNNNNNNNNNNNNNNNNNNNNNNNNNNNNNNNNNNNNNNNNNNNNNNNNNNNNNNNNNNNNNNNNNNNNNNNNNNNNNNNNNNNNNNNNNNNNNNNNNNNNNNNNNNNNNNNNNNNNNNNNNNNNNNNNNNNNNNNNNNNNNNNNNNNNNNNNNNNNNNNNNNNNNNNNNNNNNNNNNNNNNNNNNNNNNNNNNNNNNNNNNNNNNNNNNNNNNNNNNNNNNNNNNNNNNNNNNNNNNNNNNNNNNNNNNNNNNNNNNNNNNNNNNNNNNNNNNNNNNNNNNNNNNNNNNNNNNNNNNNNNNNNNNNNNNNNNNNNNNNNNNNNNNNNNNNNNNNNNNNNNNNNNNNNNNNNNNNNNNNNNNNNNNNNNNNNNNNNNNNNNNNNNNNNNNNUGUAUUAGUUUUGUAAGAUAAAAGUUGUAUGGACAAUUGUGUUGUAUAAUUUGCGCAAUGAUAACUGGGAUAGGUCAUCUUCUCUCCCAAGUCUUGGAUGGAAUCUUUCCAAGUCUUCUGAGAACCCAUCAGCUCAGAUUAGUCCAUACAAUGUCAAGGGUCCUAUGAUAUGGUCUACUAACAGCCCAGUGUCGGUAAUAAAUCCAAUUGCAUAUAACCUAUUCAAAAUCAAUCCCCUAUAAACAAUCAUCUCUAAAAACUAUUCACAUAAAAUAAAAUUUUAAAAAUAUAAAAUAUCUAGUUGUUUUCAAUAUAUAAUUUUCCACAGUAGAUAACAAAAUAUCUUUAUCAAAUUGUUAUUUAUGGGUUCAAUAUUUAAGCUAUAAUUCCAAUAACACGGCAAGCAUGCAGCGUAUAAAUAGAAGUGUGCAGUAUGUUAUCAGAUUCAUAACCCAGUUGAUCAGGAGAAACAUGGCAUACUCUGCAAAGCCUUCUCACCUUCUUCUCUUUGUUUUCUUUCUCUCAUCACUUGAAUCCAUUCUUGCAACAACACGAGAAGGAGAAGCUCUUGUGAAAUGGAAGAAUAGCCUAGCCCCUUCUUCUUUUCUCGAUUCUUGGUCCCUCACCAAUCUCGAAAAUCUUUGUAACUGGACUGGCAUUACUUGUAACUCUGCAGGUUCAGUCUCUGAGAUUAAUCUCUGUGAGAAACAACUUAAUGGAAUGCUGUCCGAGUUUGGUUUCACUUCAUUUCCAAAUCUCAACUAUCUCACACUCGCAGACAACUUCUUCUCCGGUCCAAUACCACCAGCCAUUGAGAAUUUAACACAGCUUCAAUAUCUUGAUUUGAGAAAUAAUUAUCUAGAUGGUCCCAUUCCGUUCCAGGUUAGCCAUCUUCAGAGCUUGCUCAUAUUAAACCUGUCACAGAAUGCAUUGCAAGCUACAAAUUGGUCCAAUUUCUCUCCCAUGCCUUUUUUGCGCAUCCUCAACCUCAGUAGCAAUCAUCUUGUAUCGAAAUUCCCAGAAUUUAUAUCCAAUUCUCAUAGCUUGGCUAUCCUUGACCUUUCACAUAACAACUUUACAGGUGAUCUUGUGCGUGAAUUUACCAAUCUACAAAAUCUUGAAACCCUCUGGCUUUAUUGUAAUUCUUUUGAGGGGCCAUUUCCGCCGGAUAUAUUCAGGCUCUCCAAAUUAAAACGUCUCUCCCUGUCAAGUAACAAAUUUUCAGGUUCAGUUCCCAAUGACAUAAGGUUGCUUUGUGAUCUUGAAUCCUUAAACUUAAGCAACAAUUCUUUUGAAGGACCGCUUCCACCAAAUUUAUUCAAGCUUUCGAAAUUAAAGAGUCUUUUUCUUUGGAGUAAUAAGUUUUCAGGUUCUAUUUCCAAUGAUAUAGGUUUGCUUUCUGAGCUUGAAUUUCUCAAUCUUUACGAUAAUUUUUUUGAGGGGCCGCUUCCAUGCAUCAAAUAUAUUCAAGCUCUCCAAAUUAAGGGUUCUUUACCUUAACGGUAAUAAACUUCUAGGUUCUCUUUCCAAUGAUAUAGGUUUGCUUUCUGAGCUUGAAACCCUCAAUCUUCGCUCUAAUUUUUUUGAGGCUCCGUUUCCGUCAAAUAUAUUCAAGCUUUCCAAAUUAACAAUUCUUGACCUCGCAUACAAUAGAAAUUUAUUUGAAGGAAGUUUUCCUAUUGGACUGGGACUCUUGACUAACCUCAGCUACUUAGAUCUAACUUCCACUAAUCUCAGUGGCUCAUCUGCCAUUGGAAACCUCAAGCUACUACUAUAUCUUGGUCUCAGUUAUAAUCAAUUGACUGGACCGCUUUCAAACAUUGUUUCUAAUCUAACAAAUCUUAUAUUUCUUGGUGUGGAUCAUAAUAGUCUUAGUGGAAAUAUUCCGAGUGACUGGUGGAAAGCCUCUGUAUCCUUACUUUACAUUGAUCUUGGAUAUAAUUAUUUGUCUGGGAACAUUCCUAAGGAAUAUAAAGAUCAUCCAACUUUGGAAUACAUCGAUUUAAGUGGGAACCAUUUUACAGGUAUUUUUUUCUCUAUAUAUCUUUUCCUUUUGUCACAUGUAACUAAGCUAGUAAUCUGAUUAUUGCAGUUUUACCUAAGUUUUAACAAUCUUGACAGGUGAGCUUCCAACAACAAUUUGCAAUGCUACCUCCCUUUCGGUUCUUGCUUUGUCAAAUAAUGGAUUAAGUGGUGCACUUCCAAACUGUAUUGCGAAUCUUGCUGAUGGAUUGCUUUACAUUAAUCUUGCUAAUAAUCAGUUUCGAGGAGCAAUACCAACUACUUCAUCCAAAAGUUGUCAGCUGACCUAUCUCAACAUGGAUAAUAAUGAGUUUGAAGGAUUGCUGCCCCCAUCUUUGGCGAACUGUAAGCACUUGAAGAUUCUUGAUAUUGGCAAUAAUAAAAUAGGUGGUACAUUUCCUUCAUGGCUUUAUGCACUUGGAGAGCUAGAAGUCCUUGUCUUGCGAUCAAAUAAACUCUAUGGUCCAAUAAGUGGGAGGAGCAUAGAAAAUCCCUUCCCCAAGUUGCGGAUUUUGGAUCUGUCCAACAAUCAAUUCUCAGGCCAUUUGCCAAUUCAAUACUUCAAGAAUAUGAAAUCAACUGAUAAAUUGUAUCGCUAUCAGAAUGCCACAACAUUAACGGGUUUCCAAUAUGAUGCAUCAGUCCCAUUAACUGUGAAGGGAACAGAGUAUGAAGUGAAAAAUAUCCUUCAUAUUUACACAGCCAUUGAUCUGUCCUGCAACAAGUUUCAAGGAGAAAUUCCUGACGUUAUUGGAGAGCUUAGAUGGCUUGCAUUGCUGAACUUAUCUCAUAAUAGUCUAACAGGACCUAUCCCAUCAUUGCUGAGAAAUAUGAAAGAACUCCAAUCUUUAGAUUUGUCGUCAAAUCAACUGACAGGGGCUAUUCCACCUCAGUUAACUGCACUGACAUUUCUAGAGGUCUUCAACCUCUCGGGAAACCAUCUUAGUGGAGAGAUUCCUCAGAAAGGACAGUUCAGCACAUUUAACAAUGAUUCUUAUCUAGGAAACUCCGCGUUAUGUGGAUCACCAUUGACGAAGAAAUGUGCAAACACAGCAUCACCUCCACAAGAAGUCGGAAAUGUUGAUGAAGAUGAUGCGGGUGAUGAAUUGACAUGGGAAGCAAUCUUGAUGGGAUAUGGAUGUGGACUGAUAUGUGGAUUGUCAUCUGCUUACAUUGUUCUCAAACUAGGAAAGCCUUGGUGGUUUGUGAGAUAUAUCGAAGUGCUGCAACUGAAGUUGAUGAAAAGAUAUGCAUGAAGAAUGGUACUGGCCGAUCAAGACGAACUUGAAAGUUGUUGGACAUUUCUGAACCAGUAGUGUACUAUUCUCUUUGUGGCUGCAUAAGUUUUUGGUAUUGUGUAAUAUUCUGUUUGGUCUUGAAUUUCAGGGGUAUUAAUAUAAACCUUGGUAUUGUGUAAUAUUCUGUUUGAUCAAUGUUUAUAUCAAUAAUUUUAUGCUCCUCACUGCAUCAUGCAGCUCUCAUAUUAUCUUCAUAUGUGUAUUAUUUGGAUAUCAAAGUUGCAGGGACAUAUGGAUAUGUGUUAACAGGGACUGCUCGGUCUUGGACGGACUCUUUCCAAGUCCUCUGGGGUCCUAUCGGUUCAAAUUAGUCUAUUAUCUGCAUACUAAUUUGUCCAACUCGGGCUUGAAUAGUAAAGAUAAAGAGUGCGAGUUGAGUUUCUCAAAGUAUGAGUACAAUAUCGUUUUUGAAUGAUAGUUAGGGGUGCGAUAUGCAAUUACCUCAAAAAUAUAUGAUCAUUAGUAUAUUAUAUUAGUAUCCACACACUUAUAUCUCAAAAUCUAUCCUCCAAAAUUAUCAUCUCUAUAGGCUAGCCACAUAAAAUAAAAAUUUAAAGAUAUUAGAUUUUUAGUUAUUUUCAUUAUAUAAUUUUUCCACGCAAAAUAACAAAAUAUCUUUAUCAACUUAUUAUUUAUGAGUUAAAUAUUCAAGUUAUAUAAUUCGGACAUGCUGGGUAUAAAUUGAAGUGUAACGCCUAAUUUCCGGGGUCUGGGAGUAGUUGGCGGGGUAUGAGAGAGCAGGCUAUUUAGAAGUCUUGGUCAUGAAAACUUCCAAGCUAAACUUCGACAACGGAAUCUUCUGAGGCUACUAUUCUAAAGCACGCAUAAUCAUUGUAUCCAUUUUCCGACAAAAAGUCUAUUUAAGCAAAUGAAAUACAAACAACUGAGUGGAAUGCUGACCGAAAGUCUUUUUGACUAAGCUUAUGAUUUAUUAGUACAUGAUUAAUAUGAUAAGCUAAGCUGAGAGCAUAAGAUAUCGUGUGUAUAAUUUUGUGUUUAUUAAUGACUUAUAAAUUAUUAAAAAUAUAAUAAGAAAAAUAAAAAUGAUUUAUAACUAAUUUAUGUUUUAUGAGUAAUUUUUAUUAGAAAAAAGUUUUAAAAAAUUAUUUCACUGGAAAAAAAACCUCCAACUAACUUUUGGCUCUAAGUCAGUUUUUGAUUUAUUUAUGACUUUAUGUCGGAUUCUGAUUUUUACACAAAAAUCUGGUUUUAAACCUCUGAGUUUGGUUUCACUUCAUAUACAAACCUCAACAAUUUCACCAUCAAACACAAUGACUUCUCCAAUCUCCGGUCCAGUACCACCAGCCAUUGAGAAUUUGGCACAACUUCAAUUCCAUACCAGGUUAGUCGUCUUCGGAGAUUACACGUCUUAGACCUGUCAAAUACAAAUUUCAAUCUCCAAACUGGUCCGAUUUAUCUUCUAUGCUUUUUGUUGAGUCCGGCUCAUCUAAAGCCUUAAGAUGUUAGAGGAAGCACCCAAUGAAUCUUAUAUAUGCUAUAUUUUAACAAUUCUGAGCACACUCAACCUUGGUAUUAAUAAUAUUGUGUCGAAAAUUCCAGAAUUUAUAUCUAAUUCUCAUAGCCUAACUUUCCUUGACCUUUCCAUAUAACAAAUUUACAGUUAAUCCUGUGCUUGAAUCAGUAUUUGCAACCAAAAUUAUGCAAUUAUAGUGCAGGUAGUCUUCCAGUUUACGCUCUACACUCCAGGAUAAGCUCGCAUAUAAUUGACAGCUAUAAUCCUUCCAACACUUUGUGAUGCAAAGCAGAGGGAUAGGUUGGCUUAAAAAUAUAUAAGGUCACUUAUGCAUCGCUCUUCACACACUUAGACCCUGUUUGUGUGGGCUUUAAGUCCCGGCUCAAGCUAUUUCGACUUAAUCACUUCCGAGACCAAUACCAACAAGUUAAGAUAUCUAAAUAUGUAUGACAAUCAGUUAGAAGGACUAUUGCCGGGCAACAACCUUCUCAAAGAGUUGCCAGUUAAGAUAUCUAAACAUGUAUGACAAUCAGUUAGAACUUUAGAAGGACUAUUGCCCCCAUCUUUGUCAAACUGUAAGCACUUAAAAAUUCUUGACAUCGGGAACAAUAAAAUGGGUGGUACAUUCCCUUCAUGGCUAUUUAAUCUCGGAGAGCUAGAAGUCCUAGUCUUGCGAUCAAAUAGACUGUACGGUCCUGUAAGUGGAAGGAGCACAUCACAUCCAUUCCCCAAGUUGCGGAUUCUAGAUCUCUCCAACAAACAAUUCGCGGGCUAUUUGCCAAUUCUAAACUUUAAGAAUAUGAAACCAGCUGCUGAUGAUAACGCGUAUAGUUAUAAAAAUAAGUCACAAGGACUAAUUAAUUACAUCUAUGAAGCAUCUAUCUCCUUAAAUGUGAAAGGAACAGAGUAUGAAGUGAAGAACAUUCUUCAUAUUUACACAGCCAUUGAUCUAUCGUGCAACAAAUUUCACGGAGAAGUUCCAAAGAGAGCUUAAAUGGCUUGCAUUGCUCAAUCUAUCUCAUAAUAGUCUUGCCGGACAUAUGUUCUGAAUUAUUAUUAUGCUUUCAUCAAUAUUUUCAAACAUUUCUCAAUAUGUAUUUUCAAAGAAUUCUCAAGCCCUGGAACAUUUGGACCGGUUCUUUGGAAGCCAAGAUACCCAGGUUAUCAUGGCCAUGCACAAAAAUGAAUAAAUUAUUCCAAGUCUUCCAUGACUCAUUCCAAGUCUUCGGAGGAGACCCUGAGCACAAAGAUGCUCAGGGUCUCCCCAAGCCUUCCAGGACUCAUUCCAAGUCUUCGGAGCACGGUCUCGCCUCGCCCUUUCAAAGAUGUGAUAGUAGCUCGAGAGUGAUAUAAAUUAUUUUCCCGACACUAAAAAUAAAUAAUCAGAUCAAAUUAAUCAAUAAUGUAUUAAGGAUGAAAUCCAAAUUAAUCCUAAAUUUUGAUAAUAUAUAAAAAUUAUAAUUAUAAAUUAUAUACCAAAUCAGAAUUGAAUUAAUUCCUUGGCACUAAAAUUGAUAAAGAAAGUAUAAUAAUUUAAAUUUAAUUGAUGAAAAGUCAAAGUCUUCUAAUAAAUCCAUAAAGAAUAUGAUAAUCAAAAUAAUGAAAAUUAUAAUUGAAAAAUCAAAAUCAUUAGUGUAUUGGAAUAGUGUUCACACACUUGUAUAUCAAAAUUUGUGGUCCAAAAACUAUAGCACAAUAUCCUAAAUACACCACAUUAAAUAUUAGUUCAAAAAUAUUUAGUAAAUAAUUGUUUUCAUUCAUCAUUUUGUUAUUUAAAAAACUAAUAAUUUGGGUUGAUGUUAACCUAUAUUUUAAUAUAUAAUUAUAUUAUUUUCGUCUUAUUUAUUUAACUAGAAACAAUAUUUUUAUCAUACAUCAAUUAUAUUAAAAGAUAUAAUUUUAUUAAAAAAAUUGAAUUAUUAUUUAUGAAUUCCAGCAUGAAGCGUAUAAAUAGAAGUGUGCAGUUGAUCAGAUUUAUAACCCAGUUGAUCAGGAGAAACAUGGCAUACUCUGCAAAGACUUCUCACCUUCUUCUCUUUGUUUUCUUUCUCUCAUCACUUGAAUCCAUUCUUUCAACAAGACGAGAGGGAGAAGCUCUUGUGAAGUGGAAGAAUAGCCUAGCCCCUUCUUCUUUUCUCGACUCUUGGUCACUCACCAAUCUCGAAAAUCUUUGUAACUGGACUGGCAUUACUUGUAACUCUGCAGGUUCAGUCUCUGAGAUUAACCUUUGUGAGAAACAACUUGAUGGAAUGCUGUCCGAGUUUGGUUUCACUUCAUUUCCAAAUCUAAACAGUCUCACCCUCGCAGACAACUUCUUCUCGGGUCCAAUACCACCAGCCAUUCAGAACUUAACAAGGCUUCAAUACCUUGAUUUAAGCUUGAAUUAUCUCAAUGGUACCAUGCCUUUCUUGCGCAUCCUCAACCUCAGUAGCAAUCCUCUUGCGUCGAAAUUCCCAGAUUUUAUAUCCAGUUCUCAAAGCCUGACUCACCUUGACCUUUCAUAUAACAUGUUUACCGGUGAUCUAGCAUGUGAACCAUUAUUUGCCAACCUGCAUAAUCUUGAAGUCCUCAGUCUCGUUGAAAAUUCUUUUGAGGGGCCAUUUCCACCGGAUAUAUUCAGGCUUUCCAAAUUAAAACAUCUUAGCCUGUCAGUUAACAAACUUUCAGGUUCAAUUCCCAAUGACAUAAGGUUGCUUUGUGAUCUUGAAUACCUAUAUUUAGCCAACAAUUCCUUUGAAGGACCACUUCCACCAAAUAUAUUCAAGCUUUCAAAAUUAAAACAUCUUGUUCUUUGGGGUAAUAAGUUUUCAGGUUCUGUUUCCAAUGAUAUAGGUUUGCUUUCGGCGCUUGAAGCCCUCGAUCUUUAUUCUAAUUUUUUUGAGGGGCCGCUUCCACCAAAUAUAUUCAAGCUCUCAAAACUAAGGAUUCUUUCCCUUGGGAACAAUAACUUUUCAGGUUCUGUCUCUAAUAAUAUAGGUUUGCUUCCUGAGCUUGAAACCCUAUGUCUUGACUCUAAUUUGUUUGAGGGGCCGCUUCCCCCACAUAUAUUCACGCUCUCUAAAUUAAGAUAUCUAGACCUCUCAAACAAUAGAAAUUUAUUUGAAAGAAGUAUUCCUAUUGGAUUGGGACUCUUGACUAACCUCAGGUACUUAGAUCUAUAUUCCAGUAAUCUCAGCGGCUAUAUUCCAUCUGACAUUGGAAACCUGAAGCUACUAGUAGGUCUUAAUCUCGGUUCUAAUAAAUUGACUGGACCAGUUUCAAAGAUCGUUUCUAAUCUCACAAAUCUUAUAUUUCUUAGUGUAAGAAAUAAUAGUCUUAGUGGAAAUAUUCAGAGUGACUUGUGGAACUUCCCUAAGGAAUAUAACAAUCAUCCAACUUUGGAAUACAUCGAUUUAAGUGGGAACCAUUUUACAGGUAUCUUUUCUCUAUAUAUCUUUUCCUUUUCUCAUAUGUAACUAAGCUAGUAAUCUGAUUAUUGCAGUUUUACCAAAGUUUCAACAAUCUUGACAGGUGAGCUUCCAACAACAAUUUGCAAUGUCACUUCCCUUUCGGUUCUUGAUUUGUCAAAUAAUGGAUUAAGUGGUGCACUUCCAAACUGUUUCGGGAAUCUUGCUGAUGGAUUGCUUUACCUUAAUCUUGCUAAUAAUCAGUUUCGAGGAACAAUACCAACUACUUUCUCCAGGAGUUGUCGGCUGAAAUAUCUAAACAUGGAUAAUAAUGAGUUUGAAGGAUUGAUGCCCCCAUCUUUGGCGAACUGUAAGAACUUGAGAAUUCUUGAUAUUGGCAACAAUAAAAUAGGUGGUACAUUUCCGUCAUGGCUUUAUGCACUUGGAGAGCUAGAAGUCCUUGUCUUGCGAUCAAAUAAACUCUAUGGUACAAUAAGUGGAAGGAGCAUAGAAGAUCCCUUCCCCAAGUUGCGGAUUGUGGAUCUGUCCAACAAUCAAUUCACAGGCCAUUUGCCAAUUCAAUACUUUAAGAAUAUGAAAUCAACUGAUAAUUUGUAUCGUUAUCAGAAUGACACAGGAGAUUUUAUUUUCCAUUAUGAAGCAUCUGUCUCAUUAACUGUGAAGGGAACAGAGUAUGAAGUGAAAAAUAUCCUUCAUAUUUACACAGCCAUUGAUCUGUCGUGCAACAAAUUUCAGGGAGAAAUUCCAAAGGUUACUGGAGAGCUUAGAUGGCUUGCAUUGCUCAACUUAUCUCAUAAUAGUCUUACUGGACCUCUCCCAUCACUGCUUGGAAAUAUGGAAGCACUCCAAUCUUUAGAUUUGUCUUCAAAUCAACUGACAGGGGCUAUUCCACCUCAGUUAACCGCAUUGACAUUUCUAGAAGUCUUAAACCUCUCGAGAAACCAUCUUAGUGGAGAGAUUCCUGAGAAAGGACAGUUCAGCACAUUCAACAAUGACUCUUAUCUAGAAAACUCUGCGUUAUGUGGAUCACCCUUGACGAAGAAAUGUGUAAACACUGCAUCACCCCCACAGGAAGUCGGAAAUGGUGAUGAAGAUGAUGCUGGUGAUGAGUUGACAUGGGAAGCAAUCGUGAUGGGAUAUGGAUGUGGACUGAUAUGUGGAUUGUCAUCUGCAUACAUUGUUCUCAAACUAGGAAGGCCUUGGUGGUUUGUGAGAUAUGUCGAAGUACUGCAACUGAAGUUGAUGAAAAGAUAUGCAUGAAGAAAGGUACUGGUCGAUCAAGACAAACUUGAAAGUUGUUGUCCUGGUAGACAUUUCUGAACCAGUAGUGUACUAGCUGCAUAAGUAUUUGGUAUUAUGUAAUAAUCCAUUUGGUCGGGACUCAUAAUGAUUUCUCUUGCUUCAGGGGUAUUAAUAUUAACCUUGCUAUCUUGAUCUGUGUUAAUGCAAAUGAAAAAGAAUGGAAAAACAAAAAAAUUGCAUCAAACCUGUUGUACCAAGAUCCAUUAAUCUGCUUUCAUCUCUUACGCAACAAUUUAACAGCACUUUCACACUGUUUGAAUGAUUAUCAUAAAUUCGAGUUUUCCUCGCCAGCACCAAAUCCAAAUAUACAAUCCCACACAUUCCAGUCUCAGCUUCAGCUCCCAGGCUAGCAUUGAUUUAGCCAAGCACGACAGUGGCCGCUUGUGUGCCUAACAAUGACAGUUGGGGAUUUGAUGGAACGUGCCUUGGUCCUGCCUUCAAAUGUCUAACAAUAACAGUUGGAUAUGUCGACAAAAAAAUUGUUCCUCACACUGAGGAAUAACUCUGACAGUUCUUUUCAUUGUGCCUUGGUCCAGUAAGUGGAAGGAGCACAUCACAUCCAUUCCCCAAGUUGCGGAUUCUAGAUCUCUCCAACAACCAAUUCACGGGCUAUUUGCCAAUUCAAUACUUUAAGAAUAUAUGAAACCAGCUGCUGAUAAAGCGUAUAGUUAUCAAAAUAAGUCACAAGGACUAAUUAAUUACAUAUAUGAAGCCUCUAUCUCCUUAAAUGUGAAAGGAACAGAGUAUGAAGUGAAAAACAUCUCUUUAUAUUAUAGCUCCUGAUGCGUGAUUUGUACAGUUACCACACUGCUUAAUUCUUCACCUCAAAGUUCCACCUUAUUACAAAAAUGCCACCGCUCUAUUAAGCGGCACCCACGUAAGCUCAUUGCCACCACGUGCUAUCUUCCUGCUGUCUUUUGUUUAUUUUAUUCACUAAACCGUACUUACCCGAAGCUUAUGUAACAAGCUUACAUUCUUUACAUUUUACUCAUUUCAAAAUUUAAAACCCAGCCUCCACGGCUCCCUUACAAAAGUAACCGGUUUGAACGUAAAGUUUUCAAAACUAACCAGCCUACGUUCAACUUUUCAAAACUAACCAGCCUAAAUCAAAAAAAGUCGGGCGACCCUUACCUGUUUUUUUCCCGAGCACCGGUCGCCCUCCUCAGGGGCGUCCCCCAUUGGAGUUCAUCAAGCACAGGUCGCCCUCCUCAGGGGCGUCCCCCCUUGAAGUUCUGUGACGUGGUCCGCCCAAUCACGGGCGACCACGUGUGACACUACCCCCUUAAAACCCCCUCCCAGCCACACAAACACACAAUUACACACACAUUUGCACACACUCAGUUUGAAAACAACACUGCAGCAGCCACAGCAAGGAGCCGAAAGGGGAGAUUUUGGUAAAGGAAGGAAGAAAAGUGGGAGAGGAUCGCCCGAGCUAGCAUCAAGGUCGCCCACCCUAGCAAAAAAUUUGAAGGUACUACCUUAUUCCUCCCCUAAAUAUUAGUAUAUAAAGCCUUGAUUUGUAAUUUAUUACUUGAUUAGUUUGUCUUGCAUGUUACAAAUAUCGAUUAUGUUCAUGAUUAUGGCUAAUUUAUAGACUAGUGUUAUAAUUACCGGCUUGAGAUUAGUGUUAUAAUUACCGGAUUGAGAUUUGGUACAUUAUGAUUUUUAAAUUUGUUAAAAAAUUUAAAGAUUUAUAAUAGAAAUUAAGGAUAAUUUAUAGAUUUGAUAUGUUGGAAUUUAAGAUUUUAUGCUUUUUAGAUUUUGUAGGUAGUAAUUAAAUUUAGUUGGAGAGAAAAAAUAUAAUAUAAUAUUCGAAUUAAAAAGAUAUUGAGAAUAUAAUAUUCGAAUUAAAAAAUAUUCGAAUUAAAAUAUAUUAAAAUAUAAUAUUCGAAUUAAAAAUAUAAUAUAAUAUUCGAAUUAAAAUAUAAUAUAAUAUAUAUUCGAAUUAAAAAAUAUUCGAAUUAAAAUAUAUUAAAAUAUAAUAUUCAAAUUAAAAAUAUAAUAUAAUAUUCGAAUUAAAAUAUAAUAUAAUAUAUAUUCGAAUUAAAAAAUAUUCGAAUUAAAAUAUAUUAAAAUAUAAUAUUCGAAUUAAAAAAUAAUAUAAAAUAUAUUGAGAAUUAAAAAAAUUAGAAAGCAAAUAAAAUAUUCGGAUAAAAAAGAUAUUAAUAGCUAAUAUUAAAAAAAAUCGAUUUAUAAUAAUAAAAAUUCGAAAAAAAGCAAAAUAAUCGAAUUAAAAUAAAAUUUUCGAACAUAUAUUAAUAAAAAUCUUAAUUAUAUUAAUAUAUAAUUCGAAUAUAUGAAAUUUCGAGAAUUAGAAUAUUUAUGAAAUUAAGAGAAUUAAAAUAAAUAGGAAAUUCGAACAAAAAUUAAUUUAAGGUACGCUCUCGAUUCUCUCUAAAUUAAUGUGUAUAUAUAUAUAAUGACUUGAUUUGGAUUAUUGUUGUUUUAUUAGCUUGAGUUGCAUGUUAUAAGAUCGGUUAGUUUAUUGAUUGUGGCUUGAGAUUUGUUAUAAUUGAAAUUAAGGCUAAUUUAUAGAUUUGAUAUGUUGGAAUUAAGGCUAAUUGAAAUUAAGGCUAAUUUAUAGAUUUGAUAUGUUGGAAUUAAGGCUAAUUGAAAUUAAGGCUAAUUUAUAGAUUUGAUAUGUUGGAAUUUAAGAUUUUGUGCAUGUUAGAUUUUGUAGGUAGUAAUUUAAUUUAGUUAGAAACAAAAGCUUUGAAUUCGAAUUACAAAUAUUAUGUUGGAAUGAGAUUUUGUAUAUAUACAAAAGCUUUGAAUUCGAAUUAUAAAUAUAUUUGAAAAUUGUUGGCGCAGAUGGAUCCUGCAGCUUAUCAUCCCGGGCCGGUUAACGGCACUUUGUUGACAUUGCAGGACACGCAUAGGUCCACUUUUGUGUGGAACAGUAGUACGGUAAUGACUUGAUGGACUGUUGUUUAUUAAAGUUAAUGUUUGCUUCACUAUAAACUGCUGACAAGUUCCUGUAUUUUAAAUUGCAGGACAUUCCUGAUCUUAGAGUCAGGACGAACUUCGGUGAGUACUGGAAUGUAGUUGACCAAACCAGGCCGCCUCAGACGAUAAUAGAUGCUAUUAAUGAUGCGGGCUUUGAGUGGGUGUUCAGGUUGGGUCAGGUCAAGCAUGACAGGGGCUUGAUCACUGCUUUUAUCGAGAGGUGGCGUCCAGAGACGCACACUUUUCAUCUACCUUUCGGGGAGGCCACCAUUACACUGGAGGAUGUCCAUCACAUUCUCGGGUUACGAACCACUGGCCGGCCAUUUAUUCUACAUGGCUUCACCACCACAGCUCGCGAGAGAUUGGCCAUGAUACGCGAUGUUCUUGGAGUGACUCCUAAGCCGGCUGAUGUGAGGAAGAACGGCUUGAGGAUCGGUUGGUUGAUUGAAAAAUUUGGCGACUGUGCCCGGUUGGACGAGGCAGCGGAGGAUUUUGAUGCACAGACUAUCUUUCACAUCAGGGCACACCUACUGUGUGUUAUUGGAUCGUUGUUUCCUGAUAGCAGCGGGAACUAUGUGAAUCUCAACCUCCUUUGGAUGCUACGUGACUUGCAGAGCGUGGAUGGUUAUAGCUGGGGGAGUGCUGUUCUUGCAUACCUUUAUAGGAAGAUGUGCGAUUCCACCCAUAAAGUCACAACCGGCUUCAUUGGCUACGCCACCACUACGCCAUAUAUGAUCUAUCGCAAUGGUAUGAACGCGAGUGUUGCAAAAUUAUGUUGCAAUAGAGACACUGAUCCAUAUCUACCGCAACGAUAACCAUUCAUGUCAAUUAUAUGUUGCAAUAGCAAACAUUAUGUGUUGCAGCUUGUAAUAUACUUGUAAAAGUGUUAGCUUAAAGUAUUAUAAUAUUAUUUUAACAUUAAAUAAUAAUUUAAAUUAUUUUAACAAUAUUUUAAAGUGAUAUGCAAAUUAAAUAAAUAAGAUACGCGAUGAUAUGCAAAUUUUAUUCAUAAUAAUUAAAAAAAUUAAAAUAGGAAUUUUAAAAGUAAUUAAUUUUUUUAAAAGCAAUGAAAAGUAAAAAUAAUUAAAUUCCCCUUGUUUUGAUAUCAGAACUGAUAUAUAAGUUUCAAAAAUAAAAAUAUAGAUAUACGAAUUAUAAGUAGUAAUAAAUACAUAUAAUGAAUUUUGUUCCUAAAAUAAUUACAUGAAUUUUAUUUGUUAAAAUAAUAAAGUAUAGGUGCAGACGUGCAGUACAUUAUUUGACUUUAUUGAACUGGGCAAAUAUCGAGCUCAAAGCGGGUAAAAAUUAGGCUUACAGCCGCCCAAAUUUUCAGCCAAGUUUGAAAUUUUCACACAUACACUAUACACGCUCGAGUCUCCUUGAAUACCCUCAACACUCACUACACUCUCUCCCUCGCUCAACUCUCUCUCCCUUCUCUACUCUCUCUCUCUUGUUAAUCUCUCUGAAGCUAAUCUCUCUCUGGCCACCAUUUUCACUCAAUCUCGCCAUCACUUUUAAUUAACUUGGAUUUGCAUUUAUAGUUGGAGCACAGUUGAUUUGUGGGUCGAGGUUCCAAUUCUUCAAUUAGGGUUUUGGCUUUUCAAUCAGGGUUUUGGUUCUUCAUUAAACUUCAAUUAGGGUUCAAUUACUUACAUAUAAUCUCUUAAACUUCAUCUGAUAUCUCUUUCUCUUUGAUUUCAGGUGUUCUUAGUUUGGGUUUGCACUCCAAGACUUUAUUAUAAGGUAUUUUUGAAUUUAGGGCUUCAUGUUAUGAGUUUAUUUGCAUUUAGUGUUCUUUGUUUUUAUGUUUAUUUGGUUUAUUAUCUUUAUCUAGUUUAUUUCCUUUGAUUUUUUGUUUUUUUUUUCAUUUGUUUUGUGAAAUUGCAAUACUCUGUUUUUGUGUUAAUUUUUUUGUUGCUUAAAAGUGUUCAACAACAAUAUUCUUCUUAAUUAUAAAAGAUCUAUCACGAGGAAGAGGUCCCUGUUUUGUAUAAUAUCUUGUAUGUCUUUUCUUUUCUGUAUAUUAUUAAGCUACCUUGGGGCAUCCUUUUUCUAGACCAGAUUUCGUGCGCAAUCUUUAGUAAAGAGCAAAUAUUCCGAUUCUUUUGCAUUUGUCUCAAUGUCAGUGCUUUGCAUAUAUGGAUAUAUUUUACAUGAAAAUGGUGCUUUUGUUGUUGGCCUGCUUAAUGUUCAAGACAUGUAGUCAACUCAGUUUAGUGUGACAAUAAGACUUUCUCAUUUCAUUAUGAUUCUCACAUAUUUUAUGCUCGUCACAGUACAACACAGUUUUGUAUUUGGUGUGAGUGAGCAGUAAAGAAUUCUAUGGAAGAUGCUAGUGACUACCGGUGGUAUAUAACCAGGUAAAAAUAAUGCUCAGUUGAUAAUCCUUAUAAGGGAGGCUCUUACUAUUUCUUCCUCUUUAACAUUGAGUUGUUUUAAUGUACAUACUAGCUGGUUGCUCAAGUGUUCUAUCAUUAUAAUGUAUACAUUGGAUACAAUAUUUGUUCAAUGAGGUAUCUAACUAGCUUGCUGAUGGCCGGGGACUAUAGAUUUAUUCAUUGCUAAUUGGUUAUAUUCGUUGUACCUGUUAUGCCUCAAUCAUAAUGGCAUAGUGACAAUAAAAGGAAAACGAAUUAUAAAUAUUUCACAUAGCAUGCUCUAGUUAUCUACAACUAUUGUUUUGGACUUCUGGUUUGGCAUUUAUAAUAAGUUGGCAUAUGUCUUUGAAUUCAUAUAGUUUGUAGCAUGACCUAAUUGGCACAAGUCAUCCUCUGCCAUGUCUUAUAUCUUUAGUUAGUAAGAAUUAAUAUUUCCCAUGUUUCAGCCACUAUACAAAUAUUGAUCAUGGACGAAGUUCUUACCCUGUUUAGUAUUAAUUUCAUUAUCUGCUGCAACUUUAUUGUGUUAUCUGUGCACUGCCCAACUAAGUACACAUAAUUUGAGUUUAAAAUAAAGCAUGCUUCUUUACUGGAGCUCAGCUUAGUAGUUGCAUUGUAUUGUUGCAGGAGAAGCUUAAGCCGUUAAUGGAUCAACUUAACAAAGUCAAAGACUUGACUGUUCCAGAAUUUGGAAAUUUCCGAACUUGAGAAGUGCGAGCAAAUGCAAGAAUAUGUUUAUAUAUAAUAGUGUAGUGUAGUGGGAUGUUUGGUUGGAUUCGUUUAAUACUUUGAUUUGGUUGGAUUUGUUAGGUAGUUUUGUUUGGUUGGAUUUGUUAUAAACUUUGAUUUGUAUGAAAGAAUAGUUUAAUGUUUCAGUGGAUAUAGUGAAAUAUUGCAAAGUUGUUAAUUUAGUCUUGCAUUAGCACAUAUAUGUUGUAGUAGCUAAUAUAUAUAUGUUUCAAUUUAUAACAAAAAAUGUUGCAAACAUGCAACUGAAAAACAGGUGUCCAAACAUAGGACCCACAUGUGUGACCCACGUGUGGGUCCCACUUUUUUUGAAAUCAGGAGGUCUAACGUAACAUAAUAUAUUUGUUGCUAUAGGGUAGUCAGAUGUUGCAAUAUCACGUCUAUUGUAACAUAAAAAGCCGUGUUGCAGUAGGUUACCCAAAUGUUGCAAUAGAAGCCUAGGGCAACAUGAAAAAAUGCAACUUAAAUUUUAUGUUGCAAUAGCCCUUUUUCGGGCUAUGGCAACAUAUUUUGGGGUUAUGGCAUCAUUUUUUUGAUGUUGUCNNNNNNNNNNNNNNNNNNNNNNNNNNNNNNNNNNNNNNNNNNNNNNNNNNNNNNNNNNNNNNNNNNNNNNNNNNNNNNNNNNNNNNNNNNNNNNNNNNNNNNNNNNNNNNNNNNNNNNNNNNNNNNNNNNNNNNNNNNNNNNNNNNNNNNNNNNNNNNNNNNNNNNNNNNNNNNNNNNNNNNNNNNNNNNNNNNNNNNNNNNNNNNNNNNNNNNNNNNNNNNNNNNNNNNNNNNNNNNNNNNNNNNNNNNNNNNNNNNNNNNNNNNNNNNNNNNNNNNNNNNNNNNNNNNNNNNNNNNNNNNNNNNNNNNNNNNNNNNNNNNNNNNNNNNNNNNNNNNNNNNNNNNNNNNNNNNNNNNNNNNNNNNNNNNNNNNNNNNNNNNNNNNNNNNNNNNNNNNNNNNNNNNNNNNNNNNNNNNNNNNNNNNNNNNNNNNNNNNNNNNNNNNNNNNNNNNNNNNNNNNNNNNNNNNNNNNNNNNNNNNNNNNNNNNNNNNNNNNNNNNNNNNNNNNNNNNNNNNNNNNNNNNNNNNNNNNNNNNNNNNNNNNNNNNNNNNNNNNNNNNNNNNNNNNNNNNNNNNNNNNNNNNNNNNNNNNNNNNNNNNNNNNNNNNNNNNNNNNNNNNNNNNNNNNNNNNNNNNNNNNNNNNNNNNNNNNNNNNNNNNNNNNNNNNNNNNNNNNNNNNNNNNNNNNNNNNNNNNNNNNNNNNNNNNNNNNNNNNNNNNNNNNGCUUAUCCUCGUAUGUAGUUUGUUUAUGGUUAUGUACCUGACCAUGUACUCGUACAUUUUUAUUUCUUGAUCUGAUUAUGUACUCUUAGUCUAGUAGAUCGGUUGUUACGUUAUUAUGCAGUUCUUGUGCAUUCUUAUGUCAUAAUGUUUUAUAAUGAUUCAAGCAUUGAAAUUCAUAUGGACAAUAAAGGAAACCUAACAUAACAUAAUAAACGACAGAACACUAAAACACAUACACAUGUUGAUCUUUCUCGAAACCAGUAAAACUGACUUUAUUUUGACUAAACUUUACAUAUAUCAAAUAACUGAAAAAAAUAAUAUAAAAUUUGAAUUACUUGAACAACAAAAGUUGAGACAUUACAUAUAAGAUACAAUACAUAUAGUAAUGGGGGUGAUCUUUUGGAGAAAAUACCUAACUCAAAGGGAUUUCUUCAAAUAAUUUGAGAUGGGUCAGAGCUUCAAGAAUCUGUGUACUCUGCUUUUACAAGUACAAAGUGGGAAAAAGUGAGACAUAAAUAAAAUGUAGUGAAGUAUUUGAGAUGGGAGAAAGUAAAACUAACUUAAUUUCAUAUUAAUAUUGUGAAGAUAUUAGCAUAGAAUGAUAAAUAUACAUUUCUACUACCCAUUUAUAAAAGAAAUAUUAUAAAAUAUAAAACUCUACGCUUUAAAUUUAAAUUGUUUUAAGUUGUUUUCUAUUAAAUUAUUUUCCCCACAGGGGAAAAUAAUAUUAAAUUGUUUUAAUAUUAUUGUUUUAUUAUUAUUUGAUUAUUAAAUUAACGAGUACAUAAUUUGUAAAGUUUAGUGCUAAGAUAUAUAUAUUAUUUAAUUUUAUUAAUUAUAUUAAUUUCACAAAACAAUUAAAAUUUGAUUUUAAAUAAAAUAUUAAAUAUAUAAUACAAUAAUAUUAAAUGGCGUAUAAUCAGUGUUACAGAAAUCGGGAAUCGGACCUAAUCGGUUGAGCUACCGAUUCAGGGAUUAAUCGGAAAUCGGAGAUUAAUCGGACUGAAAAUCGGAUUUAUUUUAAUAUUAAAAUAUUAUUUAUUAUUUAGUUAUUAUUAUAUUAGGUAUCUAGUAACUAAUAUAUUUACUAUAUUCAUAAACUCUAUAAUUAUUCAUAUUUAAAGUAAUAUAGUAUUUUAAUUCUAAUAAUUUAUCACAUAUACUUCUAUUAGAAAAUAUGUUAUAAGGAUUAAUCGGAUUUUAAAAAUCGAAUCGGUGGCCGACCUUGCAGGAGAUUAAUCGAGGAUUAAUCAGUUAAAUCGGGGAUUUUUAGAACAUUCGGCGUAUUAUAAUACAAUUAUAUCAAAAUUUAAAAAAAAAUCAGUACCUCAGUUUGGGUAUCGGUCAGCCACCUAGGACAAGUGAAUGAGUGAAACCGCUACAAAAAAUGUAGUAGUAUGGGUCGCCCCUGUCAAGGGCGAUCCUAACUGUAUUUUGUAACAGUAUGGGUCGCCCCUGACGAGGGCGACCUGAACGGGGAAAAACUUCAGCUUGGGUCGCCCGACUUUUUUUGAUUUAGGCUGGUUAGUUUUGAAAAGUUGAACGUAGGCUGGUUAGUUUUGAAAACUUUACGUUCGAACUGGUUACUUUUGUAAGGGAGCCCAGCCUCCACCAUUGCAGCUCUGAGCAGCCAUGAACCAGGUUAUACUCCAGUCUCCUUUUCUCCCCCGCGUGUGUAAGUCUGUACUGCAGCCCACAUUUUCAACACGCUUCUGUCCUAAGCUUCGCAAGAAAUAUCUUUUUUUUGAAAUUCAAAAAAUUUGCGCACCAUAUCAUCGUCCAGCCAAACCACCAUCGGCGAAUCAGCAAAUAUACAUAUCAGAUCUAAUAUACACCAAUCUGAGCUUUGAUGACUGAGGUUUGAUUUGUGUUUUAUUUAAUAAAAUGAUAAAAUGAUGUCUUCUUUCAUGAUCAUGCGAUUAAUCGAUUGUAACUUUAAGGGAGAUGGAACAAGCAAUUCACGACGUCUAUUUACCUCCGAAGACAUGAUUAGUGGUAUGGUUACAUAAAUUUAACUUCUCUAUUUUUCUACCAUGUGUGGCCUAAUUGUUUCAUCUCUUGCUUUGUAGGUUAUCAGUCCAAAAAGCGGAGGAAAAGGGGCUACACAAUUAAGAGAUGAAACAGUAUUGAGCAUGUGAGCUUUAAAACUUGAUGAUUAAAUUUUUCAUAUUAUAUUUGUUCUGUAUUUAGAAAUUUGUGGAGGAUGUGUUUGAUAAUAUGUCUGAGAGAAGAAGUUAAUAAAUUUAUCGUGUUGAGGAUGUGUUUGAUGAUAUGUCCGAGUGAAAAAAUUAAUAAAUUUAUUUUCAAAAUGUUGCGAACAAAUUGUAAUUUAUAUCUAGCAGCUUCAAAUAAUUUUUUUUAGAGCAAAAAGAAUCGCAAUUGCAUGUGAAGAGAUGCACCUCCCUGAUAUUAGACUUUUAGUGUAAUUGCAUGUGUAACUAAACCGCUUGACUAUAAUGUUGGUGUAGAGUACGGAGCUUUAAUUUAUGAUGUUCUCCUCAAUCUGUCCAAAUUAUAGCUGAUCGUGGGAAUCAACUUUAGGGUAAGCUCUGCUCUGAAACUCAUUUUCUUAUAUUGGAACUUGGUUAUUUCUUAAAUGAAACGACUUUGACGUUUUCACCGAGUAGUCAUAGAUGCGUGAGUUGUACAAUAGUAAAAGAAAAAUAAAUUACAUAAAGACUGUCUGAGGUAAAAUAGUAUACAAGCUGCAAUUUUAUAUUUGGUACAUUGACGUAAAAAGUUAUUGUUAUGUUCAGGGGGAGGUGCUGAGAAAUGACAUGAUUAUAUCAUACGAGCGGCGACAAACUACUGAAGUUGCAAAAGAAAUGAUCUUAAAGAAAGCAGAGAAAGUGGGGGAGUUUUUUCAAGAAAAGAAUUUAAAGAGGAGAUGAGAUGCCAGAGUAUUACGCGCUAUUGCCGAAACAGGAUUAAAAACUAUAUUGGGUAUCUCUUCUUGAUCUCUUGAUUAAUUCCACUAGGAAGCUUCAAUAUUAUAUAGGAAGUUUUCUUUUUAAGCUUAAUUUUGAAUUUGAAUCCUCAAACUAUAACUACUGUAUAUCUCUUUAUAUUAUAGCUCCUGACGCCGGGAACUUCCCCUUCUACAACCAGCCCAACUGUACAUAACAGUUGCUUGCUUAUGAAUUUCAAAUUUAUAUUAUAAUGUUUAUAUGUAAUAUUGAAUCAAAGUUGCUUGCUUGCUUAUGUAAUAUUGAAUAUCUACUGUUGGAUGAUUGUUAACUGCUGUGUUACCAAGUGUUUGAUUAAAUUCCUACAAGUUUUGUUUGAAUUUUGUUCUUUAUUUAUCAUUAGUAUGUUUCAUUUUUAUGUUUGACUCUAUGCUAAUCGCUGAUAAGAUUUCUAUGAUUAUAGGAGAUGAGUGUUCUUAUGGCAUGAAUGAUAUUGGAAAAGUGAAAUGUGUUGAUGCUUUGUGUAAAUAAAUCAUGAUCUGCCGUUAUAGUUUUCUGUUUGUUUUCAAUUUGUGUGUACCUAGGUGGUUGUUACUGAGCAUUGAUCAACUGUGUUAAUUAAUUUAUUAAAAUGGAGUUGAGUCUGAGAACUAAAGGGCAAUUAUAUACUUCUUUAGGCUUUCCUUAACAUGUUUUUAUUCAUUAAAAAAAAUCGAUGAGUUUUUAUAAAUAUAUAUACUCUGUUAUUUUCUCUGUACCUAAUUAAAAGGAUUUUAAUUCGAAUUAUAGGUGUUUGUCAUGUGAAUAUUAUCUAAAAGAUAAUGGGGCCGUUUGGGUUAGCUUAAAAGAAGUGACUUUUUGCUUAUAGUAAAGAAGUGGAGUAGAAGUGAGAAGUAAAUAAGUUAAUAAAGUGUUUGGAAAAGAAGCAGAAGCUGUGAGAGAGAAGCUAGCAUUCUCAGCUUCUUAAAAGUGCUUCAACUUCUUUACACAAACAGGUCAAGAGAAGCAGAAGCCAGAAGCAGCUUCUGCUUCUCUUGGCCAAACAGGCCCAAUAUCUUUAAGGUCUCUUGCAUUGGUCAUUUAAUGUGUUAAUUAAAAGUUUACAUUUAAAUUUUUUGAUCUAAUAAUUUUGGAUAGAUGGUUUGUGAGGUUAAUGAAUGAACUAAUAUGGAAUGAUAAAAUGUAGGAGGUCUGGAAAGAUGGGUUUCAAUGCAGGUUUAUUGCUACUUUCCUUCAGGUCUGCAUUGCUUUGGUCUGUCUUCAGGACUGAGACUGUGAUUGGUUUCGGAACAGACACAAGUAUAUAUAUGGACCAAUGCAAAGCACCUGAUUAUCAUACUUUAGGCUUUUGCUCUGCUUUCUAUGGUAAAAAAAAGUGACAUUACUUCGAAUCUGAUACAGUUUAUCCAAGAGCUUGCUUCAAUAUUAAGAAUGCAAUACGUGUUGCAGAUAAAAUUUUGACCAGCAACAUUGGGGCACCCAACCCAAAUCUAGCAACAUUGGCCGUGGAGCUUUAAAUAUCUCCGUAAGAUUCUUUUCCCUCGCAGGCAGGCAUCUUUUUCUGCGAAAAAUAUACAAGAAAAAAGGACUAAUUUGUUUAAUUGAAAAUAAAUUUCGGAUGAGUUGGAUUAAGAAUCAAAUGGAGAGUCCUGUUUUGGUUUCAUUUUGAUGGAGAGGUUGCUUAGGUCCUGUUUUGAUCGAAAGGUUGAAAAAAUAUUUGGUAUUUUUUGGUCUCAUUUUGGUUUGUUUCGUUCCUUCACAGGUGUGCAACAAGUGAUGAUAGUAUUUAAACAUGAUUAGCAAACUGCCCAGCAAUCCAUGCAUGGCAAGGGGAAUGCACAGCUUAAUGAUUUCAGUCUCCGUACCAUCCAAGUGCAACAAAAAUCAAUUAUCUUGUGAUGUCUAGGAUUCUACAAAAGUAAGAAGCCUUCAUUCAUCUUCAUUCAUCCCCUGUUACUAGAAAAGCAUUGGUAGCCUAUAAGCAGGUACACUAAGUAGCUCACCUAAUUUUUGCAUUUCAGUAUCAACGGAAAGUGGUGCAGGACUCCACUUUAUAAUUAAAUUAUGUGUCUAAAUUAUGCGUGUUGUAAUGUUUAGUGACCAUGUUCCAGACCCGACAUGUCCUUACUUGGCAGAUCAAGUUAUCCAAGAUUUGGGAAGGAGUUUCGCCUUUGAGAUCUCCAACAAGUAAGAAGAAAUAAUGUCAAGGAAUGAACUAAUGUAAAAUGAUAAGAAGAUGAAGGUAUAAAACAAUGAUUAUAAUGUAGGCUUCUUCGUAAUGUAAUGAACAAAAUAAUGGAGUAACUAUAACUAUUCUUGCUGCAAGCCUGUGUUUGUUUAAUGCUAUCUGGCAGUAGUUUAGCAUUGGUAUAUUCCUUAAGGUGGAUUUGGAUAGAGUGAGAGGAGACAUUACUUAUCUUUACCUAGCUACUGCUUUUCAUGAGAUUUGGGCAGAGCGUAACAUUAGAAUUCAUCAUCCUAAGAGUUUUAAAGUUGCAAACCGGCUUAUCAAGGACAUAAUAGCCUCUGUUACUAUUUUUACAUGCUCCUCUAUUGUUGUGUGAACUUGCUGAACUCCUUUUUUCUGUUGUUCUACUUACUAAAAUCUUUUUAAUUUUCUUUUGUUAGGUACACUAAGUGGUUCACUCAAUUUUGGCAUUUUAGUAUCAUUGGCAAGUGGUGUAGGACUCCAUGAUUCUGUGUUGUCCACAAGCAACGAAAAAAANNNNNNNNNNNNNNNNNNNNNNNNNNNNNNNNNNNNNNNNNNNNNNNNNNNNNNNNNNNNNNNNNNNNNNNNNNNNNNNNNNNNNNNNNNNNNNNNNNNNNNNNNNNNNNNNNNNNNNNNNNNNNNNNNNNNNNNNNNNNNNNNNNNNNNNNNNNNNNNNNNNNNNNNNNNNNNNNNNNNNNNNNNNNNNNNNNNNNNNNNNNNNNNNNNNNNNNNNNNNNNNNNNNNNNNNNNNNNNNNNNNNNNNNNNNNNNNNNNNNNNNNNNNNNNNNNNNNNNNNNNNNNNNNNNNNNNNNNNNNNNNNNNNNNNNNNNNNNNNNNNNNNNNNNNNNNNNNNNNNNNNNNNNNNNNNNNNNNNNNNNNNNNNNNNNNNNNNNNNNNNNNNNNNNNNNNNNNNNNNNNNNNNNNNNNNNNNNNNNNNNNNNNNNNNNNNNNNNNNNNNNNNNNNNNNNNNNNNNNNNNNNNNNNNNNNNNNNNNNNNNNNNNNNNNNNNNNNNNNNNNNNNNNNNNNNNNNNNNNNNNNNNNNNNNNNNNNNNNNNNNNNNNNNNNNNNNNNNNNNNNNNNNNNNNNNNNNNNNNNNNNNNNNNNNNNNNNNNNNNNNNNNNNNNNNNNNNNNNNNNNNNNNNNNNNNNNNNNNNNNNNNNNNNNNNNNNNNNNNNNNNNNNNNNNNNNNNNNNNNNNNNNNNNNNNNNNNNNNNNNNNNNNNNNNNNNNNNNNNNNNNNNNNNNNNNNNNNNNNNNNNNNNNNNNNNNNNNNNNNNNNNNNNNNNNNNNNNNNNNNNNNNNNNNNNNNNNNNNNNNNNNNNNNNNNNNNNNNNNNNNNNNNNNNNNNNNNNNNNNNNNNNNNNNNNNNNNNNNNNNNNNNNNNNUUUUACAUGCUCCUCUAUUGUUGUGUGAACUUGCUGAACUCCUUUUUUCUGUUGUUCUACUUACUAAAAUCUUUUUAAUUUUCUUUUGUUAGGUACACUAAGUGGUUCACUCAAUUUUGGCAUUUUAGUAUCAUUGGCAAGUGGUGUAGGACUCCAUGAUUCUGUGUUGUCCACAAGCAACGGAAAAAAAGCCUGCAGAAAUGUUUCGAAUACUUUGAACGAAAUAAAGGUACAUUAUUAGGCAAGUGAUUGUGGCGGCAGAGAUAGCAGUUUGAUUGCUACACAAUUAUGUGUUUCACAAGAUUUUGCUAUUUUAAAUUAUAGUAAAUUUGAUUAAAUCCCACUCGGAAAGUUUGAAAUUUCUUGAUGUUGCUUAGUUAAAAUUUGGAUAUGGACAAUUAUGAUAUUUGUGAAUUUGGGUUCUUUUUAUAGGUGAUUUUUGAACAUUGCUAGAAUGAUAUAUGAUCUCAGGCCUCACACUCUUAACAUCUUUACGAGGCUUACGAGGUUCGAGAUGAGUUGGUUACUUAACAUGAUUCGUUUAAUUUAAUUAUGUGUUUGUGUAGUUGGGUUGAUUUGUUGUUUGUUUCGUUUAAUUGUACAAUUAAGGAGAUGGUGUUUACAAUAAUAAUAUUGAAGAUAGUUUGUAACUAGAGUAUGUUGUUAAUAAUUUGGUUAUGAGAAAUUGAGGCCGACACAAGUUUAAUCUGGCUUUCUCGAGAUGAUCUGACCUCGAGAAGAAAGAUUAUCUCAAAGUAGUUUUGUAAGUUGCUUCUCUCUGUUUUUGGACAAUGUAAAUUCUUACAUUACAUCUGCCUCUUGCAGGUAACAUCUUUGCUUUUAGGCUCUUUAUAUCGCCGAUGUAAGUUUUGCUCCAUAAAUUUCAGUGUUUGGCUAGAUCUCCUACAACUGUACUUUUAAAGAAAAAUAGAAGAAAUCAAGAACUGAGUUUACUGUACUUUUGCAGUGAUAAUCAGAUAUGUACCGGUUUUGCUUCGCAUAGUCACACCUUUUCUUUGUACAAUUGCAGACCCACUUUUAGGGGUAUUAUGAUGAGGAACGAGUGUACAGAAGACUUCUCAGGUCUUCCAUAUCUAUAUGCCCUCCUGCACUGCUUGAUUUGUGCCUGGUAUGGCAUGUCGUUUAUGUCAGAUGAUAAUGUGCUUGAUAACUGUAACCUUAUACAGCUACAUUUACUUUAAAUGUCUUGAACACAGUGGUUGCAAAUAAUGGUUAAAUGAUUAAUAUUUACACUGAUCUACUGCUUUUACACUGAUCACUGCUUAUGAUGUUGAAAAACCAAAAUUUGGUGGAGAAAUUGGGAUCAAUGGAGGGAGCUUGCACUGACACACGAAAUCUGUCAAAGCCUAGAUUACAAAGUAAUACUUUACUUGACUGAUCGACGGUUCAACUCAGCAGGAUAUGGAGUAUGCUCGCAGUGUACAUAACAUCCAAUCUCCCAAGGUCUCAUCAUCUACUUUGGAGACAACCUCAAAAUGGGUGUAGUUGCACUUGCACCCAAAAAUGAAGCCAGUGCAAAAAUCAAAGAGAUGACCCAUUUGUUAAAAAUGUUGAGGCUGAAGAGUACAAGGGAACCAAGGUCAGAGAUGUCUCCUCCGCUAAGAGAUGAGGAAAUAUGGCAGUCGUUGGUAUUUGGGAAAUGCAUGUUAGCAAAUACAUGGAUUAUAAAUUGUAUGAGUGACAGGAUGAUAAUAUAGCGUCUCAUAGUCUAAUAUUGCCAAUGACAGGGCUAAUAGCAAUAGCACUUUCAAAAGUAGGUUUGCAGCUGUGAAAUUCACUCAAAGUUGUGAAAUUUGUGAAAUUUGCUUUUGCUCUAACAUGUAAUACCCCGGGUUCCAUUCUUUUGUUUACUUGAAUUUGAAUUGUAUUGUUAUCUUUGUUUUUUUAUUAUAAUUAUCCAAAAAUAGAUGUCCAUCUUGACUUUUGGUUGGUUAUUAGACAGAGGAAUUGAGCCCGGAAAUAAAAGUGUUACUAAUUAUCAUCCAUUAUUAAAGCAAUUAUUAUAUUAGACCAAUUUUAUUUUUGCACUAUUUGAAAUAUUCACUUUAUCUGAAUGAUGAAUGGUUCUUCUUUCAGUUAAUACAGUGUCAUUCACUGGUUAACAAAUGACCUCUUAAAUUAUUCAUGAAAUCAUUUAAAAAUAUAUAAAGUUUAAUUGACAAAUUUAUCUUUUUUAAUAAAAUUAUACUCAAAUUUUUGGUUGAAAUGUAUGUAGCUUUAAGAUUAUAAUCACUUUUAGCCGAAAGUACUUUAAUAUUAGUGUUCAUAAAAAUAAUUUUUGAAUAACUUAUUAAUGAUUAAUUAUUUUAUGUAACGGUUUAAUAAAAUUAUACAAAUAUAAUGAUUUCUAAUUUGAGAAUAGUUUUUUAUAGUUCAAAACAAAAUUUAUAAUAAAAAAAUUUAACGAGUUAUCAGUAAUUAAUAAUAUACAUUUACAAUUAAAUUAUCCAAAUUAAUUAUAAAAUAUUAAAAUUUAAAAUAUUUGACUAAAGUGCGAGGCGUCACCGCUCGGCGACGUCGAGGGGCACUUGAUAGAAUAUGACUUUUCAUAUAUUACAAAGUUUAGCUAUAUAAUUAUUUUGAUUAUAAGAUAUUAAAAUAUAAAAUAUUCGACUAAAGUGUGAGGCGUCGCCGCUCGACGACACCGAGGAGGACUUGAUAAAAUAUGACUUUUCAUAUAUUACAAAUGUUUAGCUAUAUAAUUAUUUUGAUUAUAAAAUAUUAAAAUAUAAAAUAUUCUACUAAAGUGUGAGGCGUCACCGGUCGGCGACGACGAGGAGCACUUGAUAGAAUAUGAUCUUUCAUAUAUUACAAAGUUUAGCUAUAUAAUUAUUUUGAUUAUAAGAUAUUAAAAUAUAAAAUAUUCGACUAAAGUGCGAGGCGUUGCCGCUCGGCGAGCCGAGGAGUACUUGAUAAAAUAUGACUUUUCAUAUAUUACAAAUGUUUGGCUAUAUAAUUAUUUUGAUUAUAAAAUAUUAGAAUAUAAAAUAUUCGACUAAAGUGCGAGACAUCGCCGGGGAGCACUUGAUAAAAUAUGACUUUUCAUAUAUUACAAAUGUAUUAUAUAAUUAUUUUGAUUAUAAAAUAUUAAAAUAUAAAAUAUUCGACUAAAGUGCGAGGUGUCGCCGAGGAGUACUUGAUAAAAUAUGACUUUUCAUAUAUUGAAAAUGUUUAGCUAUAUAAUUAUUUAAAUUAUAAAAUAUAAAAUAUUCGACUAAAGUGCGAGGCGUCGCCGAGCGGCGACGCCGAGAAGUACUUGAUAAAAUAUGACUUUCAUAUCUUUAAAAAUAUUAUGUAAUUUUCGAACGUAAAUGAAUUUUAAUUACGAAUUAACUUUUAUAAAUACUCAAGUUAUACAACGGUUUUUGUUGAAUUUGAUUUUUAUUUUACACUGAACUUUUAUUUUUAUAACUACAAAAUCACAAGUUAUAUUUAAUAUUUUUUUUAUAACUCAAUUGUUGUUUUCUUGCAUAUAAAAGUUUGUAAGUAUAAGUAAUGGAUAUAAUAACGUCAUAUUAAUUUUCAAAAUAUAAUCAAUAUUUUAAAUCUUAUUGACAAAAAAAGGACUAAAUUCUAUCUAUUAUUUUAAAAUAUUAUUUUAAAAUAUUAUUGUAUAUACAAAUACUCACAAAUACUCCAUGACGCUGACGAACAUCCAAUAAUCAUUAUCAGGUAGUGAAAGAUCUGAGGAACACAUUAAAAUUUGUACUUCAAUAAAACACAAUUGAAAGAUGAAUUUUAGCCAAAAUAAAUAUGCAUGAAUACAGGUUGGCAAAUUGGCGUAACAACCACUGAGCUACUCAAGUACAAGGACUCGAUGAAAGGCCUCUACUACUCCCAGAACCUGAAAAUGCUAUUUCUAUAAUUCCAUCACGUUAUUUAUCUUAUUUAAUGUACUGUUCUGUGAUAACGUAUGGGAACUCGCUAAUAUGGAAUGCUAGCUUUGCAUUUGGUCUCCUCGCCAUAUUCACAAAUCAUUAGGAUUCAUAUAGAAUUGGUGCGUGUUCAAAACAGAAUUUUUUCAAGCACAAGAUCAGCAAAAAUAAAUUUAUUAAUCUUCUGCAAUUUAAAAUGCCCAGCAAGGCGGGCAUAAAUACUAGUUCUUCAUAUUUACACAACCAUUGAUCUGUCUUGCAACAAAUUUCAAGGAGAAGUUCCAAAGGUUACAUGAGAGCUUAAAUGGCUUGCAUUGCUCAAUCUAUCUCAUAAUAGUCUCACCGGACAUAUCCCAUCACUCCUCGGAAAUAUGGAAGCACUCCUAUCUCUAGAUUUGUCUUCAAAUCAAUUGACAGGGGCUAUUCCACACCAAUUAACUAAAUUGACAUUUCUAAAGGUGUUGAACCUCUCGGGAAAUAAUCUUACUGGGGAAAUCCCGCAAAAAGGGCAAUUCAGCACUUUUGGAAAUGAGUCAUACUUGGGGAACCCGGCCUUGUGUGGACUUCCUUUGACGGAAAAAUGCAUGCAUGCAGUGUCACCAACUCAAGAAGUCGGAAAUGGUGAUACUGAUGAAGAUGACGAUGCUGAUGAUGAACUUAAUUGGGAAGCCAUCCUGAUGGGAUAUGGAUGUGGAUUGAUAUGCGGAUUGUCUUUGGGGUACAUUGUUUUCAAGAUAGGAAAGCCUUGGUGGUUUGUGAAAUACAUUAAAAUACUACAACUGAAAUUGAUGAAAACAUGCACAAAGCAUAGCAGACGAAAGACUUGAGGAGAUGUUGUCUUAGGAUGCAAUCUCGUUUAAUACUUUCAUCAUUAUUCUCCAAGAUGUCUGAACAUGUAUUUUCAAAGAAUUCUCAGUUCACCUUUAGCCUUAUAAAGUAAAAGACAUUUUAAAGGCACUCUCAACUUACACCUAUAUAUACACGUACGGUUCACUUCAGUACAAAGAUUAUUAGCCAUGCAAAACAUGCAGAACCACUAGUAAUGCAGAAAAACAAAAUAUCAGUUUUCUCCAAAUAUCACUACAACAAAACUGCCAUUUUACGACGGAAAUCUAAUAUUCUAAAGGUUUACGACCAAACUAUGUUGGUGGACUUUAUUUUAAUUUACAGUUUUAACAGUAGUUAAUUUUGGAUAUCUAAACUUGCGACAGAAAACAUACGACAGUCUACCUCGCGAGAGAAAAUCAUUUUAUUUUAUUUUUUAGCGCCAGAAUUUUAAUACUAAAAUAUUAUAUAUAUGAAGGAAACUGAUCUCUAAUGUUUUCAGCUUGCUCAUCCAUAUGUAAGUAAUCCGUCGAAAAAGUUAGUUUGUUGUGGUGGUGUCUUAUCAUGAGAGAAAAUGAUAAUAUCGCAAAAUAUUUGCAACUGAAAGAUAAAUUAUAAUUCUAGAAACCAUUUAGGUAACGAUGCACGAAGUUAUUUUCACUCACUUAGAAUUAAUGAUCAUAAAUAUUUGCAACGGAAAGAUACAUUAUAGUUCUAGAAAAGGAUCCACGAAGUUAUUUUCACUCACUUAGAAUUAAUUGUAAGUUAUUGUGAGUUUUUGAAUAUGGAUUAUCUCAAAUUUUAUGAAAACACAUAUUGAUUCAUAUAUACAAAUUUGCCUACCUAAUAUUAUAAUAUUUAUGGAGAAGUUGUAUGAACAAUUGUGUAGAUAAUUAUACUUUACAAAGCAUACUUCUGCUAGAUGAAUUUUGAUUAAACAAAAUCGAAAGGGAUAGGUCUGGGUCUCUCCAAGUCUUUGAGGACUCAUUCCAAGUCUUCUGACGAGGACAAAAUAUAUUGCUGGUAGUCUUUCAGUCCUUCCUAGAGUAUUUUAUGCUCUGGACUGCAUUAUGCAGCUCUCAUAUAACUUUGCGAUGCAAAACAGUGGCAAGUAAGUAUUUCCGUAUGUGUAUUUAUUUGUAUAUUAAAGUUGCGUAACAUUUGUGUUGAUAAUUUGCGUAAUGUUGAUGAGGAUUGCUCCCAAGUCUUGGACGGACUCUUUCCAAAUCUUCUGAGGACAUAUCGGUUCAAAUUAGUCCAUUAAAAAUUUUAUGAUAUGAAGCUAUCUGCAAAAUAAUAUAUAAGGUAAAAUGAACCAUUGUUUUGUGGUUAAGUUGUACAGGCAAUAUGCAGUGCAAAAUCAGGAACAGAAUAUAUGAAUACUAGUAAUAUGAUAUCGGUAUGAACGAAUAUUUUCUAUGUAGUUGUUAUUGUGAUGCGGAAAAAAUAUUGUAACCAAAAAUAAUUAUAAUUCUAAAAAUUUCCAUUAUACACUUUUUUAGUGUUCGUGGUACUUCAAAUGACAUUUCUCGCGUAUGCCUCCAAUUAAGAACUUGAUGUUCAGCAUAGUCCGAAACUAAAAUUAUUAUAAGUGUGUAAUUCAAAAUUAUAUUGCUGGUAGUCUUUCAGUUCUUCCUAGUGUAUGCAGUAGUUUCAUUCGAUACCGAUUAUUUUAUGCAUUGCCCGAGAACCAGUCUAUCUAAAACCCUAAGAUGUUAUAUUUUUAUACGUGUAUUAGUUUUGAAGAUUAAAGUUGUAUGGACAAUUGUGUUAAUAAUUUGCGCAAUUGCGCAAUGAUAACUGGGAUAGGUCAUCUUCUCUCCCAAGUCUUGGAUGGAAUCUUUCCAAGUCUUCUGAGAACCCAUCAGCUCAGAUUAGUCCAUACAAUGUCAAGGGUCCUAUGAUAUGGUCUACUAACAGCCCAGUGUCGGUAAUAAAUCCAAUUGCAUAUAACCUAUUCAAAAUCAAUCCCCUAUAAACAAUCAUCUCUAAAAACUAUUCACAUAAAAUAAAAUUUUAAAAAUAUAAAAUAUCUAGUUGUUUUCAAUAUAUAAUUUUCCACAGUAGAUAACACAAUAUCUUUAUCAAAUUAUUAUUUAUGGGUUCAAUAUUUAAGCUAUAAUUCCAACAACACGGCAAGCAUGCAGCAUAUAAAUAGAAGUGUGCAGUAUGGUAUUGCAUUCAUAACCCAGUUGAGGAAAAAUAUGGCACCCUUCCUAAAGCCUUCUCACCUUCUUCUCUUUGUUUUCUUUCUCUCAUCACCUGAGUCCAUUCUUGCGACAACACGAGAAGGAGAAGCUCUUGUGAAGUGGAAGAAUAGCCUAGCCCCUUCUUCUUUUCUUGAUUCUUGGUCACUCACUCAUCUCGAUAAUCUUUGUAACUGGACUGGCAUUACUUGUAACUCUGCAGGUUCAGUCUCUAAGAUUAACCUUUUUGAGAAACAACUUAAUGGAAUGCUGUCCGAGUUUGGUUUCACUUCAUUUCCAAAUCUCAGCAAUCUCACCCUCACAUACAACUUCUUCUCGGGUCCCAUACCACCAGCCAUUGAGAAUUUAACCCAGCUUCGGUAUCUUGAUUUGAGCUAUAAUUAUCUGGAUGGUCCCAUUCCGUUCCAGGUUAGCCAUCUUCAGAGCUUGCUCAUCUUGAACCUGUCACAGAAUGCAUUGCAAGCUCCAAAUUGGUCCCAUUUCUCUCCCAUGCCUUUCUUGCGCAUCCUCAACCUCAGUUACAAUCCUCUUGCGUCGAAAUUCCCAAAUUUUAUAUCCAAUUCUCAUAGCCUGACUCACCUUAGCCUUAAUUUUAAUGAGUUUACUGGUGAUCUAGUACGUGAAUCAAUAUUUGCCAAUCUGCAUAAUCUUGAAGUCCUCAGUCUUCUUGGCAAUUUUUUUGAGGGGCCAUUUCCGCCAGAUAUAUUCAAGCUUUCCAAAUUAAAACAUCUUCACCUGUCAGGUAACAAAUUCUCAGGUUCAAUUCCAAAUGACAUAAGGUUGCUUUGUGGUCUUGAAAACCUAUUUUUAAGCAACAAUUCCUUUGAAGGACCGCUUCCACCAAAUAUAUUUAAGCUUUCAAAAUUAAAACAACUUGUUCUUUGGAGUAAUAAUUUUUCAGGUUCUAUUUCCAAUGAUAUAGGUUUGCUUUCUGAACUUGAAACCCUCAAUCUUCAAUUUAAUUUUUUUGAGGGGCCGCUUCCCCCACAUAUAUUUAGGCUCUCUAAGUUAACAGGUCUAGAACUCGGAGACAAUAGAAAUUUAUUUGAAGGAAGUAAUAUUCCUAUCGGACUGGGACUCUUGACUAACCUCAGGUACUUAGAUUUACAUUCCAGUAAUCUCAGUGGCUAUAUUCCAUCUGACAUUGGAAACCUGAAGCUACUAGUACUUCUUAGUCUCGGUUCUAAUCAAUUGACUGGACCGCUUUCAAAGAUCGUUUAUAAUCUCACAAAUCUUAUAUUUCUUGAUGUAAGUAAUAAUAGUCUUAGUGGAAAUAUUCAGAGUGACUUGUGGAAAUAUAACCAUCAUCCUACUUUGGAAUACAUCGAUUUUAGUGGGAACCAUUUUACAGGUAUAUUUUUUCUCUAUAGAUCUUUUCCUUUUGUCAUAUGUAACUAAGCUAGUAAUCUGAUUAUUGCAGUUUUACUGAAGUUUCAACAAUCUUGACAGGUGAGCUUCCAACAACAAUUUGCAAUGUCAUGUCCCUUUCGGUUCUUGAUUUGUCAAAUAAUGAAUUAAGUGGUGCACUUCCAAACUGUUUCGGGAAUCUUGCUGAUGGAUUGCUUUACAUUAAUCUUGCUAAUAAUCAGUUUCGAGGAACAAUACCAACUACUUUCUCCAGGAGUUGUCAGCUGACAUAUCUAAACAUGGAUAAUAAUGAGUUUGAAGGAUUGUUGCCCCCAUCUUUGGCGAACUGUAAGCACUUGAGAAUUCUUGAUAUUGGCAAUAAUAAAAUAGGUGGUACAUUUCCGUCAUGGCUUUAUGUACUUGGAGAGCUAGAAGUCCUUGUCUUGCGAUCAAAUAAACUCUAUGGUACAAUAAGUGGAAGGAGCAUAGAAGAUCCCUUCCCCAAGUUGCGGAUUGUGGAUCUGUCCAACAAUCAAUUCACAGGCCAUUUGCCAAUUCAAUACUUUAAGAAUAUGAAAUCAACUGAUAAUUUGUAUCGUUAUCAGAAUUCCACAGGAGUUUUUUCUUUCCAUUAUGAAGCAUCUGUCUCAUUAACUGUGAAGGGAACAGAGUAUGAAGUGAAAAAUAUCCUUCAUAUUUACACAGCCAUUGAUCUGUCCUGCAACAAGUUUCAAGGAGAAAUUCCUGACGUUAUUGGAGAGCUUAGAUGGCUUGCAUUGCUCAACUUAUCUCAUAAUAGUCUGACAGGACCUAUCCCAUCAUUACUGCGAAAUAUGAAAGGACUCCAAUCUUUAGAUUUGUCCUCAAAUCAACUGACAGGGGCUAUUCCACCUCAGAUAACUGCACUGACAUUUCUAGAAGUCUUAAACCUCUCGGGAAACCAUCUUAGUGGAGAGAUUCCUCAGAAAGGACAAUUCAGCACAUUCAACAAUGAUUCUUAUAUAGGAAACUCCGCAUUAUGUGGAUCACCAUUGACGAAGACAUGUGCAAACACAGCAUCACCUCCACAAGAAGUCGGAAAUGUUGAUGAAGAUGAUGCGGGUGAUGAAUUGACAUGGGAAGCAAUCUUGAUGGGAUAUGGAUGUGGACUGAUAUGUGGAUUGUCAUCUGCAUACAUUGUUCUCAAACUAGGAAAGCCUUGGUGGUUUGUGAGAUAUCUCGAAGUACUGCAACAGAAGUUGAUGAAAAGAUAUGCAUGAAGAAUGGUACUGGCCGAUCAAGACCAACUUGAAAGUUUGUUGUCCUUGUGCACAUUUCUGAACCAGUAGUGUACUUGCUGCAUAAGUAUUUGGUAUUAUGUAAUAAUCCGUUUGGUCGGGACUCAUAAUGAUUUCUCUUGCUUCAGGGGUAUUAAUAUUAACCUUGCUAUCUUGAUCAAUGUUAAAGCAAAUUAAAUGAAUGAAAAAACAAAAAGUAUGCAUCAAAUCCGCUCCUGCUGUACCAAAAUCCAUUAAAUUGCUUUGGUCUCUUACCUAACAAUUUAACAGCACACUUCCACACUGUUCAUACCUAAUUUGCGUGUAAUAUGAAAACUAAGAGGCAUGGCUUUUGUCUCUAUAAGUCUUUGAGAACUUAUUCUUCCAAGUCUUCUUCGGAGGCCUGCUGCCUCAACAACCUUUCAAAGAUGUAGCAGUUGCUCGAGAGUAACAUAUAUAUUAGAUAAAGACUAUGCAAUAAUCCACGUGACAGAAAAACCAAAGUCCAAUUAGUUUUCCAAGUUCAUAAAAAAUACUAUAGGAUCAUUAGCAUUACAUUAGUAUUCCACUAGCAUACAGCAUAUUAUAAGACAAAAGUAAGCGGAAAUAAACAUAAUUUCAAUAGAUUUAACUUACUCUUCAGAAUCGAUAAGUUUGGAACACGUUGAUUGAGCACAAGACGAAGGCCACACAUGCGCAUCAUCUGAUGCAGCUAUAUAUGGUGCCUUUACAGUUGCUCAUACAUAUAGUGAAACAAUAAGGAUCAACUCCUCCAUUGUACGUACACAUUUUCAUACAAGCUAUAAAGCAUGGUGAUAGAGUCUUUGCAAUCUCGUCAUGACCGGCACAUCCGAUUAUGAUAAACUCUAGCAGGAUCAUCCAAGUAAUAAUUUUCAUAAUGAUAUUAAUUAUCAUUGUGAAUAGUUGCAUUGAGUUAUAUAUGUGUGUGUAUAUAUAUGCAAUGGAUUUUGUGGUUGAGAAUAUCUAUUAGAUUUUGUAUAUCCAUAACAAUUAUUAAAAUUUAAACAAGAAUAUCUAUUAUUGGUUGUGGUUGACUAUUGUAGUAGUCCAAGAAAUCAAUGCAAGUGAAAUCUAUAUUAUAUUUUAAAAGAUUAUACAUGAAAUACAAAAGGUUUUUUUAGGACUGCUGUUAAAAAUUGUUAUGUUGUACGAAAAAAUGCUGAUAAAAAGAGUGUUAUACGAAAAAAUGCUGAUAAAAAAAAUGUCGUAUAAAUCAGAUAUGACAGCUUCCCACAAAAACUAAAAAAAACAGUUUUCCGUAAUAAUAUGGGAGAGGAAAAACUGUUUGUAGAUUUAUAGAACAAUUUUUCGGUAAAAAACUGUUGUUGUUUUCGAGAGUAAUGACAAACAGUGCCGAAAUCAUUUUGCAGGUAGUUAAUCUCACUUCCAUAUAAUAUACUCCUAUAUAUUACCGAAAAAACAUGAAAUGAUGCAAACCUCAUACUAUUGACAACAGCUAAACUCCUUGCAAUACUUUCAGCUGCAAAAUCCAUCAAAUUUUUUGAUUUAUCAUGUAACUGUUUGACAGAGUACUUCCAAGCCUAAGUAUCAAAAAUCACUACCUUACGAAAUAUAUCUCACCCUACCUUCUCUGCUUAACUGUUUCGAGUGCUUUUACCAAGCAUAUUUUCCAUUAAGCGUGAAAGGCACAGAAUAAUUAGGAUCACCGAAUAUCCCAUCAGUGCUGGGGAAUAUGGAACCAUCUUAUCAAUUAACUAGUUUAACAUUUCUUGCGGUCUUGAACCUCUCAGAAAACCAUCUUAUCCUAAUGUGCCGACUUCCUUUGACGGAGAAAUGGUGAUGCUGAUGCUAAUGAUAAUGAACUCAACUGGGGAGUGAUCCUUAUGGGAUACGGAUGUGGAUUGAUAUGCGGAUUUUCUUUGGGGUUUAUAUUUUGUGGUUUGUGAGAUACAUUGAAGUACUGCAGCUGGAGUUGAUCAUUAUAAAGAACAUAGGCAAGUUAAUCGCUUAUUGAAAUUAGUAAUUGUCAAAAGUAAAAUGUUGAAAUUACUUUUUUCGAUUGAAAUCAUUGAAAAAAAGUCUCUGUCGAAAUUGAUCUGCCAAAAUUAUGUUUAAUAUCUACGGCCAAGAUUAUCUGUCGAAUAUAUUUCCCGACAAUUUUAAAAGACAAAUUUUUCGCCUCUCAGCUGUGAGCGGGAACAGAUAUUUUCGACAGAAUUCCAUUGAAAUUAGCUAAUUUCAACAUAAAUUUUCUAUCGAAAUUACUUGAGUUCUUUGUAGCUUGUUUUCACAAAUACGCUGAUAGCCUUUGGGGACGGGUAUAUUGUUUUCACAAAGCCCUGGUGGUAUGUGAGAUGCUUCGAAGGACUGCAACUGAAGUCGAUAAGAACAUGCAGAAAGAAAACCGAUCCAUCUUGAUAAACUUGAAAAAUGUUGUCAUAUGGUGAUAUAUACUCCCUGGCCCCAGUCUCUUGGAAAGAACUUGGUUGAUUUUUUUUUUUCAGUAUUGUUGGAGCUGUCAUACUAGUGCUAGUGUGCCGACUAGCACUAGUAUGACAGCUCCAACAAGUAUCCAUCCCUAAUAAUUGCAGCAAAUUAAAAAAUAUAGCUAUAUCUUUUUAGCAAUGGUGCAAUUUGGAAAGCUUUCUCAUCAUCUUCUUCUUUUCUUUAUCUCAUUACUCUCAUCUAGUUCCACUGUCCUAUCUGCAACAAUUCGCGAAGGAGAAGCUCUUGUGGAAUGGAAGAACAGCCUAUCCCCGAAUUCAUUUCUUGGUUCUUGGUCACUAAUUAAUCUCACUUAUCUUUGUAAUUAAGUGGACUGGCAUUGUAUGCAACUCUGCAGGUUCAGUCAGUCAGAUUAAUCUUCAAGAACUCACACUUGCUAACCUCCGUUUCUUUUCGUUUCCAAAUCUCACCAAUCUCAACAUUACACAUAACAACUUCACUGGUCCAAUACCACCCGAGACUUUAGCUAUAGUAAUCUCAAUGGUACCCUUCCAUACCAGGUCAGCCAUCUUCAGAGGUCGGUCGUCUUAGGCCUCUAAUUUAAUCACUUGAAAGCUCUAAGCUUGUCCAAUUUUUCCCCCAUGCCUAUACUGGUUGGUCGCGGUCUUGGUGGUAAUAAGCUGGCGUCAAUUUUUCCAGAAUUCAUAUCUAAUUGCUAUAACAUGAUUAACCUUGAUCUUUCAUUUAACAUGUUAACUGGUGAUCCCUUCAACAACUUGCGAAUCUUGGAUCUCUUCGACAAUGAAUUCACUGGUUACUUGCCAAUCCAAUAUUUUAAUAAUAUGAAACCAGUUAAUACCGUGAUUGAUUAUUACAACAUAACAGUGAAUCAUGAUUAUCAAGCAUGUCUUGUUAACAUUUUGCACUCGUAUUAAUUGUCUUAUAUAUGACUAACUCAUCUUGCACUCGUAUUAAUUGUCUUAUAUAAUACUAAUAACAAAAAUAUGAGGCGGUGCUUAGUCAGAUGAUUUUAGUUGUUAAAAUAUUUUUGUGUUAUUUAUAGAUAGUGAAACAUGUCUAAUAUUUUAUCAAUUUUGUUUCGUUUCUUGAGAUUUCCAAAUAUUUAUUGGGACAUUGUACCAUGGUGUAUUUCACAUAUUCGCAAUUUUAAUUAUUUUGUAUUUUUAUUUUAAAGAUAUGAUAAAGUUUAUUUAUUUAUUUGUUUUUAUCUUAAAAGCGAUUUUCGAGUGUUGCUUAAACCUCGAAGAUUCCAAUCGAGUUUUAUUCUCGGAUCUGUUUCGGAAUUGAGCUUGGCCUUGAUUGUUUUCUGAAUAAAUCAGAUCUUUUGAAAUCAAAGGUUCGAUUGUGUUUUCCCGUCUCGCCUUUUGGCGUGUGUUGAUUUAGUACCCAAUUUUUGGGUGAUUCUGCGUUGUUAUAUUUGUGGUUGUUAUGUCUUUCUGUGUUAUCAAUGAGAAUGAUUGGGAUGGAGUUUUGGGAGAUUUGGCUUAUCGCAUCAUUACAUCUUUCGGCAUGUCUAUAGCUGGCUCCCGGCAUGUAGAUAGCUGGGGUAUGCUUGGAACGGUGGCGAUCGCAUGUGCUCACCUGUCACAAAUUAUAGUUGUUCAUUAUUCGAGGGCUCUUGUUCCUCGUUGCUUAGUUUUUACAACUGAGUCGUCUGAACACCGCAACAGCCAUGGAACUAUUGUGAAGGUCAAUUGUGAAGCUAUCAUUUUCGAGAUUGAUGUAGGCUGGAUUACUCGAGAAGCUUUUGUAUUCAUUUUCAGUUUCAAGAAUUCUUGAAUUCAGUGUGUUAAGCAGUCUGGAAACAAUGCGGCUAUUUGAUUAGCUCGUUUUAUUGUUUAUCAACCUGAUUGCAUUGUCAGUUGGGGAUUUGUCCCGAUUAAACUUGUUUUAAUAUAAUGGAAUGAAUUUGCAUUUUGUCAAAAAAAAAAAAAAAAAGCGAUUUUGAGUUGUUUGAGUUAGAUAUAUACUCCUACUGUGGUUCAACUAGUUUUGCCAUAAGUGAAUAACUUCCGGUCAAUAUUUUGAAAUUUGUCGUUAUCUUCUAAUUAAAAUAAAGGGUUAAAUAGCUACUUCAUCAUUAAUAUCGUUGAAAAUUUGCAGCUGAGUCAUGUUGUUGAAAAGACUUUCAAACUGCAUCAUUAAGUAAUUAAAAAAUUUCAAAAACACCACUCUCCGUCAGUUAUGUUAAACAAUUAACGGAAAGUUCGAAAAAAAAUAAAGAAAAGACAAAAAAACAUUAAAAAAAUUUGAAAAAAAAACCCGAAAAAAUGUGAAUAAACUAUGAUAUUUUUUUUCUUUUUUUGAAAAAUGUGAAUAAAAUCAAAAAAUCAAAAAAAAUGGGAAACCAAAAGUGGCAAGCUUUUUUUUUUUUUGUUCCUUUCAAAUUUUCUAAAAUCUGGGGAAAAAAGAACUUGCCAACUAAUUUUUUCCAAAUUUUUUCAAAUUCUUUUCAGAUUUUUGAAUUUUUUUCCAAUUUUUUCCUCACUUUUUUUCUGUUUUUUUUUGAAUUUAUUAAGAUUUUUUUUGUUUUUUCUGCUUAUUCUGAAUUUUUUAAGAUUUAUUCGCAUUUUUAAAAAAUAUUUUUGAAUUAUCCGUUAAGUAAUUAAUGGAACUGACGGAGAGUGAUGCUUUUGAAAGUUUUUAAUUACUUGAUAAUGCGUUUGAAAAUUUUUUCAACAACAUGACUCAGUUGCAAGUUUCCGGCGAGGUUAGUAAUGAAUUAGUUAUUUAACUCUUAAUAAAAAUCUAUCUAAACAAUAUUAUAAAUAUAAUGUUAUGGGUUCGAUGAGUCGUGUAAAACAUGGAAGAAGUUUAGGUGGGGUAAAAAGAGCCUAGCUGUGUGAUUUCCAUUCUGUUAUACGUGAUAUACUGUAGUUGAUCAUCUCCUUUGUCCGCUUCAUCCUGUGCAACCUUAACCUUUAAGGAAAAACUUAUGAGAUUCUCUAGUGCAUCUAAAUUCUUGUGUGAAGAAUGUGAAGAAAAAUGUUAGUCUCAGAUUAUUUUUCCUAAAAUGCUUGCAUGUUACAUUUUAUAUGUAUGUCCUGACUUUAAGUAUAAUUUAGCAUUUUUAUUUAGUAUUGUGUAAAAAUAAUAUAUUUUAUUCAGUCUUAUUAAAAAUAUAAUCAUGUUAUACUGUAAAAGUAUUUGUGAAUUUCUUUGUUACAUAUGUGUUUAAAUUAUUUUAUUUAUAUAUGUUUUACAAUUUUUUACAAAUAUAUAGGUUGAGUAUUGCAUAGGAAUAUAAUUACACGUUAGCAAAUAUGAUUAUGUGUAAACUGUUCUGCGUGCAUGUAUAUUGCUGCUAAGUUUUAAACUUCUUACUAACCGGAAUAAUUUUGACAGAUGUGUGGAACUUGAUUAAUUUAGUUGCACUAUAAGAGAAAGCGUUUUUGUCAAUAAAAAUUGUUAAGGAAAUUAGUCCGUUGGUAGUUCUCAACGGAUUUGUAACAAUUUGACUGGUCAAUGUUCUGUCAACCAAUUCGUAAUGAAAUACCCACACUUAUUUACAACGAGAUGUUCUAUUAGGAAAUAUAGCCACACAAUGGAAUAAUAACAAAAGACCAAGGAAUGAGCAACAGACUAGCAACGAAAGUAUCUGUUAUUACAUUCGUUGAUAUUCCCUUGAUAAAUACUAGACUUUUUAGCACUUUGGUGGCUUGUACUAUUUCAAAUUUGCACGUUAGUGGCCGACCUUUAAAAGUCAUCAAUUGUGUUGCUGAACUUAUUUUUUUUUAACACAUUAGGGGCUCCGCAUCAUAUCCGUUAAAUCGAAGUAACGGCGUCAAAUGAUCAAUACAUAUCUCCUCCUCCUCUUAUUUCCCUCCAAAUUAAAAAACGAAACGGCUACCCUCUUUUCCGAAGCAAGAACGACGACGAAUUCCUGCUUACAGAGAUGAGUUGGUUCCGGCGUCUUAAAGAGGAUGCUGAUGUGUAUUAGCCUCGACAGUGCCCCGAUUACUGUAGUAAGCUCUUCAACUUUUCUUCUUUGUAGCAUAUGAAAUGAGUUUAAUUGACCAUUAUUUCAGUGUUUGUUGUUGUUAGUGGCUAGUUGUUUAGUAUUAUGGACCUGCAAUUGCUUUAUACUAUUAAAAUGAAAGAUUCUGCUUGUGGGUUUUUAAAAAUUAAGGCUUUUACAUAGUCCAAGAUUCGGUCAUUAUAAAAUCAAUUUAUGCCUGUUUUAGUAUAGUGCUUGUUGUUAGUGGCUAUUUGUUAAGUAUAGUGUUGUUUAUUGUAAAUAAAACUGUUGCUUUGCACUCUACAUUUGCAGAACCUGGUGAUUUUACCCUAAAAAUAUAUCAUGGGGCCGAUUGGGUAGAUAACCCUAGGGCAUAUGUGGGAGGUACAGUAGAUUUCUUUGACUUCUGUAAUGCUGAUCAGAUCAGCAUAAUUGAGAUAUAUAGUAUGUUGAAAGAGGUUGAUGAGUUUGGGUUUCACCAACUGUGGUAUAAGCUACCUGGCACUACAUUCGAUAGAGCUUUUGUACUAAAUAAUGAUGAGGAGCUAAUGACCAUGUGUGAGCUUAUAUCUGAUGUGGAUAAGUAUAUGGAGAUUUAUGUCACCACUAUGGCACAUCUAAGUAUAGUGCCCUAUAGAGAUUUAGAGGUUGAAUUUGUUGAACCAACUCCUAAAGAAGCACCUGAAAAGAACAAUCCAUCACCUGAAAAGAUCAAUCCAGCACCUGAAAAGAUCAAUCCAGCACCUGCAAAGAUGUAUCCAGCACCUGCAAAGAGCAUUCCAACUGUGGGAAAUGAUGAUGAUCAGGAAGAGUUUGAGUUUGAUUUUGACAAUACACGGUUUUGGGAUACCACCCAAAAUGAAAUUGAAAUUGUGCAACAAGUUAGGGAAAUGGAGGGGUUGGAAGAGGAAUUUUCAGACACAGAUUCUGAUGAUGAGGAUUUUGUGCCAGAAGAAAAGGAAAGUAGUGAUGAGACCUUCCACUGUGAUAGUUCCAAUCAAGAUAAUUCUGAUGAUGAUUUGUUGUUUGAUGAUGAUUACUACCAUCCUUACCAGCAGAUGGAAACCAACAAAGAAAAAUAUACAACAACAACAACACAGCAAGAAUUUUCCAGUUCCUUGCUUGCUUCUGCGCCUCGGAUAGUUCUUCACUGUAGAAAUCCUUGUACUCAUCUUUGGCCUUAAUCAUUUCAGCAAAACAUUCAUCGUCCUUGUUCUUCAAACGCCUUAUCAGUCCAUUGAUUACACUCUUGCUGCGCGCAUCAAACUCGGGUUCAACCCACUUGAAGAAAUUGCACCUUCCAUUCACGCAAGUCAAGAAUCUUCUACCCGGAUUGUACUCCGUCCACGAUGUCUUCUCCACUGCCCAGCUUCCACACAUACAUUGUUGAUUCAUCUUUGCAGAGCUUUUUGGUUUGGAUGAGAGAUUUAGGUUUGAAUAUGCUCAAUUACACACAGCAGAAACGUAUAUAUAUACACAGCAUAUAGCCGUUGCAAAAAUAUUUUCCUGAAAUACCCCUGACGACCGUUACUUCGAUUUAAUGGAUAUGAUGCGGAGCCCCUAAUGUGUUAAAAAAAAAAUAAGUUCAGCAACACAAUUGAUGACUUUUAAAGGUCGGUCACUAACGUGCAAAUUUGAAAUAAUACAAGCCAUCAAAGUGCCAAAAAGUCUAAAUACUAACAGUUUCGUUAGUAAUUGAUUAUUAGUUUUACAUGGACAAUUGAUAUACACCACAUGAGCACAUACACGGAUACAAUGCCAGGCUCUUAGUUGAAAUGUGUGUACUGCUAAAGCUCAAGGAGAUUUAGUUGACUAAAUUGAUUUGAGUUGUAGAAAAAGGUUUAAUAAUAUAAUGGACUUUGAUAUAUGUAUUGUAGAUAUUAAGUAAUUCUCUUGAAUUUAUAUAUGUAACAUAAUUGUUAAUUGGCUCAUCCUUAACUAGAUAUUUUAUAUUACAUUCUUAACUACAGAUUUUGUAUUUAAAAUUUUUUUAAAAAAUUAACCUUUAUUUGGUAUGUGGAUUUUGUAGUCAAAUGUGGUCAAUUUACUUAGCCUUCGAUCGAAUACCUACCCAAAACAUAAAAAUAUUUUUUAAUCAUUUAUUUUCGACGAUCCAACUAUACGGAUAUUAUUGUAAUGUGAUAAUAUUGUUUACAAAUUUUUUUUAAAAAAAUUAGCCUUUUAUUUGGUAUGCGCAUUUUGUAGUCAAAUGCAAUUAAAUUACUUAGUCUUUAGUGGAAUCUUUACCCGAAACAUAAAACUUUUUUUUAAAAAAAAAUUUGGACAAUCCAACCGUACAGAUGUUAUUGUAACGUGUUAAUAUUGGUUAAAAUAAAUUUUGAGAAAAUAUGUCUUUUAUUUGGUGUGUGGAUUUUGUGGUCAAAUGCGGUCAAAUUACUUAGCAUUUAAUCGAAUACUUACCCAAAACAUGAAACUAUUUUUUUUAAAAAAUAAUUUCGGACGAUCCAACCGUACGGGGGUAUUGUAACACAAUAAUAUUGAUUAAUUUUUUUAUAGGAAAAUUAUAGCCUUUUAUUUGUUGUGUGGAUUUUGUUGUCAAAUGCAGUCAAAUUACUUAGCCUUUAAUGAAAUACUUACAUUAAACAUGAAUUUAUUUUUUUUUAAAAAUCAUUUGGAUGAUCCAAUCGUACGGAUGUUAUUAUGACAUGUUAAUUGAUUAAAAAAAUAUUUAAAAAAAAUGCCUUUUAUUUAGUAUGUGGAUUUUGUAGUAAAUGCUACUUAGCCUUUAAUCGAAUACUUACCCGAAACAUGAAACUAUUUUUCUAAAAAUCAUUUUGGACAAUCCAACCGUACGGAUGUUAUUGUAACAUGAUAAUAUUGAUUGUUUUUUUAUAUAAUAACCUUUUAUUUGGUGUGUGGAUUUUGUAGUAAAAUGCGGUCAAAUUACUUAGCUUUUAAUCGAAUACUUACCUGAAACAUGAAACUAUUUUUAAUAAAAUUAUUUUAGAUGAUCCAACCAUACAGAUGCUAUUGUAACGUGAUAAUUGAUUAUUUUUUAAAAAAAUUAGCCUUUAAUAUGGUGUAUGGAUUUUAUAGUAAAAUGAGGUCAAAUUACUUAGUCUUUAAUGGAAUAUUUAUUAGAAAUAUAUUUUAAAAAAUUAUUUUGGACGAUCCAAACUGUAUGAAUGUUAUUUUAACAUGUUAAUAUUGAUUAAAAUUGUUUUUAAAAAAAAAUUAGUUGUAUUUUAUGUGUGAAUUUUUAGUCAAAUACGAUAAAAUAUUUAUUUAGCUUGUAAUGAAAUAUUAAAACCCUACUUCAAAAGAAACUUGUCUAAAACUACCUAUAAGUGUUAGAGAAUCAUCGAUUUAGUUAUCAAAUUAGUUAUCAUAAGGGUUUUACUCCGCUUUUCUCUGGUAUGAUGUUGAUUUUUGGGGUUUGAUUGGUCGAUUUUCAUGUUUUAUAAGUUAUGUGAGUUCGAUUUUGAUGUUUUUACAAUUAGGUUUAUGUAUGUUCUUAUACAGGUUUCAUGUUCAUGUUUUGAUUUGUUGAUUUCCUAUUUUUCAUAUUUUGUUGAUUAGUUAUUUGUGUGGGUUUUGAACUUUGAUGAGUGUGUAUGUAAUCUCCUGUUUUUUUUUUUCAUUUUUCUGGUUCGAACACUUCGAUUAGUAGCUGGAAAAACAGCUGAUGCGGCAGUAGCGGCUAGUGAGAUGGAUAACAAGAAAAGGAUGAUUUCGAGGUCAUCUCGUGCAAGUCUUCAGAUAUAGUUUUGUUCCUUUAUGUUUUUAAUUGACAUAAAUUUUCACAUUUGAUGAUUAUAUUAUGGGGGAUUCUGGGUAUACUUGUAUAUAAUCUAGCAAGUUAUUAUAAUUCUGGACGGGGGGCUUAUUGUGAAAUUAAAUUGAGGGAUAAGUUGUGUUAUUGGUUCUAGUGGAUUAAAUUUAUGUUGACACUUGAUAUAUGCAUUGAUGUCGUAAAAUAAGUUGCACAUCAAACUAUUUGGCUUGUUUAAGUUGUAUGGAGUAAGGCUGUACGCGGAUCGGAUCGGUUCGGUUGGAGGGUAAUAACCAAACCAAACCGCAACUUACGGUUUUCUAAAAUCUCAAACCGCGACCAUACUGUUGGUUAAAAAAACCCAACCAAAUCCAUCCACGUAAUUGCGGUUGGUUGCGGUUCAACUGCUAAAAUAGUUAUAACAAAGAAAAUAUAUAAGUUAUUGCUUAAAAUCUUGCAUAAAGUACAGACUUUAACUCAAAAAUAUAUAAUUUAUCACUUAAAAUCUUGAAUAAAGUUAAUACAAUAAAUCUGAUUACAUAUUACAAAAGCAAACUACUCCGGAAAUAUAUAACUUGAAGCAGAGCUUCAAGUUAAUGGUUAUUAAAAAUUUCAUCCGCGACUGCCCACAUUUUACGGUUAUCCAUAAUACACGGAUCGGUUGCAGGUGGUUGUUGCGGUUAAUGCGGUGGAGCGGAUUGAACGUACAGCCCUAUGAAGUAUGGUUGCCAAGCAUUGGUUGGUUGUACACGUGUAAACAAAAUGAUAUUUUAAUAUUUAAACAAAACAAUACAGUCAUAAACAGAUCGUGUCGGGCUGGACUGAUUGUGAUUUUCCUUUUUGGAACUCGUACUCGGCAUCUUCCAAGCGAAUGAUAUUUAGAAGUUUGUUGCUAGUAUACUCCAUGUCAUAAUAAGAGUUCUUUAGAUUUUUUAUAUGUAAUUCGAAGUAUAAAAAACAUAUUUUAACAUAUUAUUUUUAAAUUUUUUAUACAUAAAAAUAUAACAUCUAUAUUUUUAUUUAGAAAAAAAUUUGAAAUAUAAUAUAUAGAUGCAUGUCUUUUUUAUACGUGAAAUUACAUGUAAAAAAUUAAAAGACUCUUAUUUUGAGUAAGAGAGAAUAUGAUGUACCAUAAAGUCAUCGAUCUUUUGUUAUCAAAUAAAUGUGAUAUUUAAUUAUUUAAGAGCAAGUCCAAAAGUAUCUUAGUUAAAGUCCUAAAUAUAAUAUAAAAUAUUACGUUCUGGUGAUUUAGGAUAUAUUUUACUAACUUGGACUCCAACAAUGUGUCUUAUUCUCAUAAGAAGUUUAAUAUUUUAUUAUUAAAGACUCUCUUUCAUCAUUAAAGCAUAAUAUAAAAGUAGAGAGAGAAAAAGAGUGUUGAUAAGAAUUAAUAAUAAAAUAUGGGAUAGGGUUAGGAGAGAUGUGCCUCAAAAAUAGGGUUUGAGGAGUUUCAUUAGGUGUGGACACGGAGACCAAGAAGUAAAAGAUGAGUACAGUUAAAUGAAGAUGUGGUAAAAUAAUGUGACCCAUUUAUAUUUAAUAAUACAUUUGAAAUAGUGGAGGAAAGUAACGAGUGUAAUAACGUUUAUAUUAUUAUAGCAUAUAGAUAGCAGAAGAAAGCAAUGGGUAUAAAAGUGUAUUAUAUUAUUAAAGUUUUGAAAUGUUUAGAAAUAAUGGGGCAAUCAAAAAGAAAACUGUAUAAAAAUGGACGAGAGAAUACAAUUCAAGAAGUAAUAUAUCUCAAUUCAAACUAGGUAAUAUAUUUAUGAAUUAUAUUAAAAAAAAUUUGACAUUCAAAUAUAAAAAUUUAUUUUAUCAUCUUAACAAUGGAAUAUUCGAUUAUUAACUUUCGUAAAUAACAUUAAUUUUUCAUUAUAAUAUACUCUAAACUUUUAUUUUAUGUGCCUGUUUGUUUACAAGAAGCUGGAGUCCUACUUCUCUUGACUCGUUUGUGUAAAAACGUAAAAAGUGCUUUUAAAAAGUACUGAGAAGGAAAUGGAAGUAGAAAAUGCUAGUUUUUCUUUAUAAUAUCUAUUUCUUUUCUAGACACUUUAAUAAUUUAUAUAUAUUAAUUUAUUUCUCACUUAUACUCCAUUUUUUUAUAGAGAACUUCUUUUAAACUAAUCGGCUCCUAUAAUCAGUAGUUUCUCAAUUUUAAUAGGAAUAAGAGCAUGUUUAUCUGAGCUUAAAGCCCGGGGUUUAUAUCAUCUCUGGCUUUAAGCUGAAAAAUGUAUGUUUGUGUAUUAAGUCGGAAGUCGGCUUAAAGUCGGAAAUAAGUCAAAAAUUGACCUAAAACCAGAAGUUAGUUUGAGAUACUUUUCUCGGUGACUAAUUUUUUUUUUAGCCAUUUUUUGAUAAAAAUUAUUCCUAAAUCACAAAUUACUCAUAAAUUACUUUUAUUAUUAUUAUUAUUAUAUUUUUAAUAACUUAUAAAUUAUUAAUAAAUCAAAAUUAAUCAAACAAAUAUUUUAAGUUCUCAUAUUAUGAGAUAACUAACGUUAAGUCAUGAAUCAACUGAACGGGAUGUAAGUCUUCUUCUCCCCGAGUCAUCAGCAGACUUUUUCCAUGUCUUCUGAGCCCCCAUUGGCUCACAAUUGGCCCAAAAAAUAUUUGGUUAUGCAUUGCUAUUCACACACUUAGACAUCAAAAUUUAUCAUCCGACAGGCGACAGCUAACUGCACACUAUUUUUCCCACAAGCUGAAAAAUCAACGAUCAAUUAAUUUUUCUUAUCAAUUAAUAAAGUUAUGAUUUCACGUACACGGCAGGCAAAAUGCUAAUAAAUAGACGAGUGCAGUAUAGUAUGGGUUCAUGAUCACCUUGAGAUUUAAUUGAAAAAUAUUAUGGUGAUAUAGAUUAAAUUAAAUUAUAAUAUCUUGAAAAGUUAUAAAUAAUUUUAAUUACUAAUAAUAUUUAUUUGUACAUUUAAAUAUUUUUAUAAAAACACAAAAAUAGCAUUAUACUCAUUUAAGUUUCUCGUAUCCGCCUCUCUUCUUGGAGAUUGUGGAUUUGCGAUAUUUAUAUUGAUUAUUAUAGGAAAAUGUUAUUUCCAGAGCAAACAUUUUUAUUUCCGGAGCAAAUUCAAACAAAUUUUUCCAAAUUGUUCUGGAAAUUAAAAUAUUGAUAUGGAUAUAACAAUUCCCUUAUUAUAUCCUAUGUAUAUUACAUUAAUGCAAUUAACAUGGUUGAUUGUUUUAGUAUAUAAUCAUAUUACUGUGACCUUUUAGUAUAUAAUUAUAUUAUUUUUGUUAUAUUUUAUGCAUCUAGAAACAAUUUUUUUAUGAUAUUUAUUAUAUUAAUUAUAGUAAAAGAUAUAAUUUUGUUUAAAAAAUUGAAUAAAACUAAGAGGGAUAGCCUACGUCUCUCCGAGUCUUCGAGGACUCAUUCCAAGUCCGAGAGGACCACAGCCUCAACCUUUAAGAGAUGUGAAAGUAGCUUGAGAGUGAUAUAAAUUUAUUUUUGACAAUAAAAUUUAAUAAUCAAAUAAAUUAAAUUAAAUUAAACUAGUUUAUAAUCGAUUAAAAAUAUAUAAAUCAAAAUUAUUCCCGAAUUAUGAUAACAAUUAAAAUCAUUUUAAAAGUUGCAUAAAUCAAAUCCAAAUCGAACAAAUUCCCCUAACACUAAAAUGUAGUUGCUUUAUUGUAGAUAAAAACAGUAUAAUAAUAGUAUUGAUGAAAAAUCAAAUUCAUCAAAUAAGUUUAUAAAAAAUACAUGAUUUUAAUUUUAAAAAAAAAACAUGAUUUUAGUGUGUUGUAUUAGUAGUGUGUCCACGCAUUUAUAUAUUAAAAUCUAUCCUCUAAAAACUAUCGAUCUAUUUACACAACUAUUGAUCUGUCGUGCAACAAAUUCCAGGGCGAAGUUCCAAAGAGAGCUUAAAUGGCUUGCAUUGCUCAAUCUAUCUCAUAAUAGUCUUAACGACAUAUGUUCUGAAUUAUUAUUAUGAUUUCAACAAUAUUUUCAAACAUUUCUUAAUAUGUAUUUUCAAAGAAUUCUCAAGCACUUGAACAUUUGGACCGGUUCUUUCGAAGCCAGGCAAUGCACAAAAAUGUCCAAAAAUGAAUAAAUUAAGAGAGAGUAGCUCACCCUUUCAAAGCCUUCCAGGACUCAUUCCAAGUCUUCGGAGGACCACUGCCUCCCCCUUUCAAAGAUGUGAUAGUAGCUCGAGAGUGAUAUAAAUUAUUUUCCCGACAUUAAAAAUAAAAAAUCAGAUUAAAUUAAUCAAUAAUAACUUAAGGAUGAAAUCCAAAUUAAUCCUAAAUUUUGAUAAUAUAUAAAAAUUAUAAUUAUAAAUUAUAUAACCAAAUCAGAAUUGAAUUAACUUACUUGGCACUAGAAUUGCUAAAGACAGUAUAAUAAUUUAAUUGAUGAAAAGUCAAAGUCUUCUAAUAAAUCCAUAAAGAAUAUGAUAAUAUGAAAAUUAUAAUUGAAAAAUCAAAAUCAAUAGUGUAUUGGAAUAGUGUUCACACACUUAUAUAUCAAAAUUUGUGGUCCAAAAACUAUAGCACAAUAUCCUAAAUACAUCACAUUAAAUAAUAGCACAAAAAUAUUCAAUAAAUAAUUGAUUUCAUUCAUAAAUUUGUUAUUUUAAAAACUAAUAAUUUGGUUGAUGUUAACCUAUAUUUUAUAUAUAAUUUCGUCUUAUUUUAUUUUACUAGAAACAAUAUUUUUAUAAUAUUUAUUACAUUAAAUAUAUUAAAAGAUAUAAUUUUAUUAAAAAAAUUGAAUAAAAUUAAAAGGAUAAGUCUCGGCCUCUCCAAGUCUACAAGACUCAUUUCAAGUCCACCGAGGGCCUCAACCAUUGAGAGAUGUGAAAGUAGCUUGAGAGUGAUAUAAAUUAAUUAAAUUAGUUAAUAAUGAAUCAAGACUAAUCAUGAAUUAUGAUAAUAAUUAAAUAAAUUAUAAAAUUAAAUUAUACAAAUAACACUAAACCUUAGUUACUUUAUUGGUAAAUAAAUAUAAUAUAAUAAUCAAAUUGAUGAAAAAUCAAAAUCAUUUAAUAAAUUCACAAAAAAUAUAUGAUCAUUAGUAUGUUAUAUUAGUAUCCACACACUUAUAUUUCAAAAUCUAUCCUCCAAACUUAUCAUCUCUGUAAACUAGCCACAUAAAAUAAAAAUUUAAAGAUAUUAGAUAUUUAGUUAUUUUCAUUAUAUAAUUUUUCCACACGAAAUAACAAAAUAUCUUUAUCAAAUUAUUAUUUAUGAGUUAAAUAUUCAAUUUAUAAAUCCAGUAUGCAGCGUAUAAAUAGAAGUGUGCAGUAUGAUAUCAGAUUCACAUAACCCAGUUGAUGAGGAGAAACAUGGCAUACUCUGCAAAGCCUUCUCACCUUCUUCUCUUUGUUUUCUUUCUCUCAUCACUUGAAUCCAUUCUUGCAACAACACGAGAGGGAGAAGCUCUUGUGAAGUGGAAGAAUAGCCUAGCCCCUUCUUCUUUUCUCGACUCUUGGUCACUCACCAAUCUCGAUAAUCUUUGUAACUGGACUGGCAUUACUUGUAACUCUGCAGGUUCAGUCUCUGAGAUUAACCUUAGUGAGAAACAACUUGAUGGAAUGCUGUCCGAGUUUGGUUUCACUUCAUUUCCAAAUCUCAACAAUCUCACCCUCGCAUACAACUUCUUCUCGGGUCCAAUACCGCCAGCCAUUGAGAAUUUAACACAGCUUCAAUACCUUGAUUUAAGCUUUAAUUAUCUCGAUGGUCCCAUUCCGUUCCAGGUUAGCCAUCUUCAGAGGUUGCUCAUCUUAAACCUGUCACAGAAUGCAUUGCAAGCUCCAAAUUGGUCCCAUUUCUCUCCCAUGCCUUUCUUGCGCAUCCUCGACCUUAAUAGCAAUCAUCUUGCGUCGAACUUCCCAGAAUUUAUAUCCAAUUCUCAUAGCUUGGCUAUCCUUGACCUUGGAUAUAACAACUUUACAGGUGACCUUGUGCGUGAAUUUACUAAUCUACAAAAUCUUGAAACCCUCUACCUAGAUGAAAAUUCUUUUGAGGGGCCAUUUCCGCCGGAUGUAUUCAGGCUUUCCAAAUUAAAACAUCUUCGCCUGUCAGGUAACAAAUUCUCAGGUUCAAUUCCCAAUGACAUAAGGUUGCUUUGUGAUCUUGAAUCCCUAUAUUUAAGCAACAAUUCCUUUAAAGGACCCCUUCCAUCAAAUAUAUUCAAGCUUUCAAAAAUAAAACAUCUUGUUCUUUGGAGUAAUAAGUUUUCUGGUUCUGUUUCCAAUGAUAUAGGUUUACUUUCUGAGCUUGAAACCCUCGAUCUUAACUCUAAUUUUUUUGAGGGGCCGCUUCCGUCAAAUAUAUUCAAGCUCUCCAAACUAAGGUAUCUUUCCCUUUGGGGUAAUAACGUUUCAGGUUCUAUUUCCAAUGAUAUAGGUUUGCUUUCUGAGCUUGAAACCCUCGAUCUUAACUCUAAUAUUUUUGUGGGGCCGCUUCCGCCAAAUUUAUUCAAGCUCUCCAAACUAAAGAUUCUUUCCCUUUAUAAAAAUAACUUUUCAGGUUUUAUUUCUAAGGAUAUAGGUUUGCUUUUUGAACUUGAAACCCUCUAUCUUGGCUCUAAUUUUUUUGAGGGGCCGCUUCCCCCACAUGUAUUUAGGCUCUCCAAAUUAAGAGAUUUGGGUCUCAGAGACAAUAGAAAUUUAUUUCAAGGAAGUAUUCCUAUUGGACUGGGACUCUUGACUAAUCUCAGGUACUUGAGUCUAUUUUCCAAUGAUCUCAGUGGCUAUAUUCCAUCUGAGAUUGGAAACCUGAAGCUACUAAAAGUUCUUGAACUCGGUUCUAAUCAAUUGACAGGACCGCUUUUAAAGAUAGUUUCUAAUCUCAAAAAUCUUAUAUAUCUUGGUGUAAGUGGUAAUAGUCUUAGUGGAAAUAUUCAGAGUGACUUGUGGAAAUAUAACGAUCAUCCAACUUUGGAAUACAUCAAUUUAAGUGGGAACCAUUUUACGGGUAUAGUUUCUCUCUAUAGAUCUUUGUCAUAUGUAACUAAGCUAGUAAUCUGAUUAUUGCCUUUUCACCAAAGUUUCAACAAUCUUGACAGGUGAGCUUCCAACAACAAUUUGCAAUGUCACAUCCCUUUUGCUUCUUGAUUUGUCAAAUAAUGAAUUAAGUGGUGCACUUCCAAACUGUUUCGGAAAUCUUGCUGAUAGAUUGCUUUACGUUAAUCUUGCUAAUAAUCAGUUUCGAGGAACAAUACCAACUACUUUCUCCAGGAGUUGUCAGCUGAAAUAUCUAAACAUGGAUAAUAAUGAGUUUGAAGGAUUGUUGCCCCCGUCUUUGGAAAACUGUAAGCACUUGAGAAUUCUUGAUAUUGGCAAUAAUAAAAUAGGUGGUACAUUUCCGUCAUGGCUUUAUGUACUUGGAGAGCUAGAAGUCCUUGUCUUGCAAUCAAAUAAACUCUAUGGUACAAUAAGUGGAAGGAGCAUAGAAGAUCCCUUCCGCAAGUUGCGGAUUGUGGAUCUGUCCAACAACCACUUCACAGGCCAUUUGCCAAUUCAAUACUUUAAGAAUAUGAAAUCAACUGAUAAUUUGUAUAGUUAUCAGCUUUCCACAGCAGUUUUUUCUUUCCAUUAUGAAGCAGCAGUCUCAUUAAUUGUGAAGGGAACAGAGUAUGAAGUAGCAAAUAACCUUCAUAUUUACACAGCCAUUGAUCUGUCGUGCAACAAAUUUCAGGGAGAAAUUCCAAAGGUUACUGGAGAGCUUAAAUGGCUGGCAUUGCUCAACUUAUCUCAUAAUAGUCUAACAGGACCUAUCCCGUCAUUGCUGAGAAAUAUGAAAGAACUCCAAUCUUUAGAUUUGUCCUCAAAUCAACUGACGGGGGCUAUUCCACCUCAGUUAACUGCGCUGACAUUUCUAGAGGUCUUAAACCUCUCGGGAAACCAUCUUAGUGGAGAGAUUCCUCAGAAAGGACAAUUCAGCACAUUCAACAAUGAUUCGUAUCUAGGAAACUCCGCUUUAUGUGGAUCACCAUUGACGAAGAAAUGUGCAAACACAGCAUCACCUCCACAAGAAGUCGGAAAUGUUGAUGAAGAUUAUGCGGGUGAUGAAUUGACAUGGGAAGCAAUCAUGAUCGGAUAUGGAUGUCGACUGAUAUGUGGAUUGUCAUCUGCAUACAUUGUUCUCAAACUAGGAAAGCCUUGGUAGUUUGUGAGAUAUGUCGAAGUACUGCAACAGAAGUUGAUGAAAAGAUGCUUGAAGAAAGGUACUGGUCGACCAAUAAGAACUUGAAAGUUGUUGUCCUGGUAGACAUUUCUGAACCAGUAGUAUUUGGUAUUAUGUGAUAUUCUGUUUGGUCCGGACUCAUAACGAUUUCGCUUGCUUCAGGAGUAUUAAUAUUAACCUUCCUAUCUUGAUCAAUGUUAAUGCAAAUUAAAAUGAAAAGGCAAAAAAUAUGCAUCAAAUCCCCUCCUGUUGUACCAAGAUUCAUUAAUUAAGAGGCAUGGCUUUUGUCUCUCCAAGUCUUCGAGAAAUUAUUCCAAGUCUUCUUUGGAGGCCUACUGCCUCAACAACCUUUCAAAGAUGUAGCAGUUGCUCGACAGUGAUAUAUAUAUUAGAUAAAGACUAUGCAACAACCAACGUGACAGAAAAAUCAAAAUAGGACAAAAUCCGUACGAAUCAAAAUAGUUUAUUUCUAAGGGGAAUAGCUGAAUUAAAUUGUAAGAGAAGUAAAACAGAUUCUUUUAUAUUUUGGAAUAUAACUGAAAAAGAUUUUGAGAUAAUUUUCAGAAAUCAAACCAGUCAAAUAAAUAUUCGCUGAAGGAACAGAGUAAAGAUACAACGAAUAUAACAAGUUGUAAGAUGAAUAUCGCUGAAUCAAACAGGGUAGAACCCGUACAAAAACGCCAAACAGAAAGGAUCAAAACAGAGUAAUCAAAUUUACCUAACACUAAUAGAAGUAGUGCUGAAUAAAAGAGAACGAAAUCUGUACCUUAAAAAUAGCAAACGCAAACACUAACCAACCUCACAAGGGACCAUCUAAACUCCCUAACCCCGACUUUAUCUUAAACUCCAAAUAUCUCCCUGACUCCAAUAUGCCCAGAACAAUAAACGAAUGUUUUGACCUUCUAAACGAUGUUUUCUGGAAUAACGCAAAACACGAAAAUCGUAGAGAACGAAAAGACCUUUCCGAAAAGGUAAGGCUCGUCAAGAACGGAGUCAUAACGAAUCGGGAAUUAAAUAAAACGUCCGCUGAUUCAGAACUCAAAGCGAGAACAGGAUCUGAUUAAGUUUUGUAAUUUUGAGAACAGUUUGAAACAUAAUCUGAGAAAACAUUAUAAACGAAAGUAUAUGAGAUUGAAAGAGCUUUCCGAAACAUCAAGAAUCAUCAAAUUCCGAUAAGAAUUGAAUUUUCUACGAAUUUUACAAGACAGCUGAUUUGUGAGAAUAAAGCCCUACGAAUUUUUGUCAUAAAAAUGAAGAGAAGGUUGAGUAGCUCUCAAAAGUAUAUAAAAAGAAUGAGAGAACAAAUCAAUAUACUCCCUUUGUCCCUCUCGUUUAUUUACAGUGUUUGACACGCAUUUUAAAGCGCAUAUAAAACAUAGUUCUAUGAUUUAUUUUCAAAAUUUUUCUUUUUUGUAUAAAAAUUUAAACAUCAAAUUUUUAUCUAGAAAAAAAGGAAGUUCAAAAUAAUUUAUUGAACUACGUUUUACGAGAGCAUUAGAAUGCGUGCCGAGCCCCCGUCCCCCAAUGUAAACAAAUGAGAGGGACGGAAGGAGUAUAUAUACAGAGUCUUGAGACCCUAAUUCUAAACCUAUCCAUUAUCUGAAUGCAAGGCUGAUCUAUAUUUUAAGUACACUAUCCUAAUUCAAUUUUAAAUCCUAUUCAUAAUCUAAUUUUAAUCCUUUAUUAUUAUUACUAACCAAUUAAUAUUAUUUUAAAAAAAUACUGGAUAUUACAUUCCUGAUCAGACUAGUGAUCGGAUUGCAACCGCAAAGCAGCCUAUAUAUAGUGACAAUUAAAUACACAACAAAACAACUUCUUUCUUCUCUCUUGGGUUAUAAUACUCAGACGGACAAGCUAUAUCUGAGGCGAUUUUCUGGGCGAUUAAACACACAAUAAAAGCAGCUUCUUCUUCUUCAAUUAAGGUUUAUUCUACACCCAAUCACAUACACACACACACUUUAAUAUGACUAGUGAGUUCAAUUUUUGGUGGUAUUAUAUGAUUAUCAUGUUCUCUUUUUAAAUAUUAGUAACGUUAUUUUCGGAGUGGACUCUGUUGAUGUUUAAAUUUGAUAUAGAUAUUGUAAUUGAAAAUUUAUGUUGAUUUGUUGUUCAGAUUUCAAGUAUUAAUUUGUGUGUGAUCAAAAUUUUGCUUCUACAUCGAUUAUCAGGAGGAAAUAUGAGGCCGAUCUUGAUCAAAGGACACGAAAGGCCAUUAACAUAUCUAAAGUAUAACAAGGAGGGUGACCUCCUCUUCUCCUGCGCAUUAGACAGAAACCCCGCUGUUUGGUACGCUGAUAAGGGAGAGCUUUUAGGCACUUACCGUGGGCACAUUGGUUCUGUUUGGGGUUGUGAUGUUUCUAGGGAUUCAAAACUUUUAAUAACUGCAAGUGCGGAUCAAACAGCAAAGGUAUGGGAUGUUCAAACUGGGUCUGAGCUGUUCACGUUUGAAUUUAAGUCCACUGUGAAAUCAGUAGAAUUUGGUGUCGGAGACAAGCUUGCUGUCAUUGCAACAGACUCCUUUCGUGACAUGUCUUCUGCAAUUCAUGUCAAACACAUAGCCAGAGAUCCUAGUGAACAGUGCGGUGAUUCUGUGAUUGAAUUCUCACCUGGAGGAAGAAUCAAUAGAGCUGUUUGGGGACCUUUAAAUAGGACCAUAAUAAGUGGUGGUGAACAAGGCGUUGUUCGUGUGUGGGACGUUGAGACAAAGAAAGUGAUUUAUGAGUCAGACAAGGAUACUGGUCAUCAGAAGGCCAUUACAUCACUUGCAAAAUCAAGAGACGGUUCACAUUUACUUACUGCUUCCAUUGACAAAUCAGCUAAGCUUUGGGACAUCAGAUCAAUGAAACUUCUCAGGACAUACAAGGCUGAAGCCCCAGUUAAUGCAGUUGCACUCUCUCCACUACUUGAUCAUGUCGUGCUCGGAGGUGGUCAAGAUGCAUCGACUGUUACAAACGAUCCUCGUGCUGGCAAGUUUGAGGCCAAAUUUUAUUCCAAGGUCCUUGAAGAAGAAAUUGGAUCUGUGAAAGGACACUUUGGUCCGAUAAAUGCAUUGGCAUUCAACCCUGAUGGAAAAAGUUUCGCAAGUGGAGGUGAAGAUGGUUAUUUGCGAUUACAUCACUUUGAUCAUGACUACUUCAACAUGGCGAUUUAAUUCGAAUUACUUACAUUGCUACGUCUUUUUUUUUUUUUUUCCGGUUUUAUUCAAGUUAUUUUCUGGUUUUUAUGUUGAUCUUAUGUUCUUUGUUAUAAAUAGAAGUGUGGUUCCUUUUAAAACUAUUUACAUAAGUUUUUGGCUUUUCAUGUAAUUUAAUCAAAGUAAAUGCCAUGAGAUCCUGAAUAUAUCUACUUAUCUAUCUAUCUACUUAUUAAAGCAGAAUCAGGGGAAAAAUAUACCAGAAAUUGGAUGAAAAAUUUACAUACACACCCUCAAUUAUUCAUCAAUUCCGAAAUUGGCCUGUAGUUUAGCUGUUAACUUGCAGGAUUUUUGUAAAAGUAGGAAUCAGCGAUUCUUAGGUACCCCAGUGACCCCGAAUCGGUUUCUCAGAUUCUUGGAAAUCCUCGGUCAGUUGAUUUAGAUUGUGGGCAUAUAUACACCUAUAGUCAGCCUCCGGCGGUGCAAUCUUUUGGUGGUGUUUUUCAGCCUUUUCUGCUAUAGCGAUUCUUGUUAAAACAUUCAGGUGCUAGGGUUGUUUUGUUGGUAAAGGGAAUUGGAUUGUUGUAUCUGCGGUUGUGGCAAAGGUAAUUUUCUUGCCCUUGCUAUUCUUUUGGGAUGUCUGAUUAUAAAUAGCCCUUCUAACUUUGUUCACCUGUUCUGUAUGAUGUGUGUCAUUUGUGAUUGAGUCGAGCAGUAUAUCAUUUUGAUGCAUAUUGUUAAUUUCACUCUGGGAAAUUUUUAUGCUGAUGUUUGGGCAAUUAAUUCUGGUUAUUUCGUUGAUUUUGUUUGUGGUUUGUUUCCACCUGCCAUUAGAACUGUAAAGUAAAGUGUAUUUAUUGAUCAUGAUUCAAGUGUUUGUAGAUAAUCGAUGUGGGUGACAAAGAAGCUGCAAAUGAUGAUGGUUCUUCACAAAUUUUAUCUGCUUUGCUUCCUUUUGUUGUGGCUCUCACCAUGGUUGUCAAGUCGACGACUGCUGUUGCUGCUCUUGCUCAGCCCUCAACUUUCACCUGGUAACAACUUUUGUAUGUUUGGUAAAAUAUUUUGAUUUUUUUUUUUUUGUAAGGGUAAAAUAUUUUGAUUGUGAUAAGCUAAUUUAUUGUUUUUUAAUGAUUCCAACACUACAACAGAUUUAGCAUCACACAACGGUUUUUGCCCGUUGUCUGAGACCACGGAAAACCGUGGUCUAUCGAGACGCCGUCUGAUAUGCGUAUCAGACAACGGUGCGCACCGUUGUGUGAUAGUGCUAAACACGAUGGUUUACGUUAAAAAAAUUGUUGUGCAACACCCAGAACCAACAACGUUUACUCUUAAACGUGGUGUUGUUAGAAACACUCCUUAACAAUAGUCGAUUUCAAAAAUGGUGUUGUUAGAGAGACUAUCCACAACAGUUUUAUUAGCUCGCAAGACUUGUUGGAAAGAUGAUCAUACAACAGUAGUUGAAAUAGAGAAGCUCGUUCUUUCCUCUCUUGUACAACGGGUUUCGAACACCAAGCCACUUGUGUAAGGCCCCUUCUAACAAUGUUUUAAUUAGUGAGGUUGUUGUGUUUAGUUACGUCAGACAAUGGUUUUCUUUCAUAGUUGGUUGUCGUUUACAUGUUUUAACAAUUGUUUCUGUUUCAUCAUUAUUGCAAGUCAUUUGUUUGGACAAUGGUUUUGUGACAAUAAAUCAUUGUUUCCAGUUUUAUGAGACAAUGUUUUUAAUGAAUAAUGAUUAUUGUAUCAUGUUCAGUAUGACAAUGGCCCUGUAUUAUCCCAUUACCUAAAUACAUAAUAGACAAUGAUUAACAUAACUCGAUUAAACUAAGCUAGAGAAUGUAAUUAAAAAGCCAAAAAUUUGUAAACAAAAAAUUUCAUUAUGCACUAAUAACCAUUGUUACAACCAAAUCAUAUAUACCAUCCAAUAUCCAGAAAUAUUUCCCCCGAGGAUGGCAAAUCUCAAAAAUAUAAAUACCUACAAUAAAUGGUAGCAUCUAGAGAGGCAUAUGUGACUACAAGAGUCUUUUGUGAGCUUUUCAACUACCCAGCCCAGGAACAAUCCUCUGAUUGCAUUCUUUUGAUUCGGAUGGAGCCCUCCUGCUAUCUCUUUUGGAAGUGACUCUACUGCAACCACCUGUAAUACAUAAAAAAGUUCUUGAUAUGCUUUUCGUACAAAGAAAUUAAUGUGGUUGAGGAGUAUGUUUCGAGUUCAAAAUAUACCAGUGUGCCAUCUUCCAUGGUUUCACGUCAUUCAUACACAAUAAAUUGUAGCAAUUGUGAGCCCUAUCAACAUACCAGUCUUUCUGUAUUUAGAGUUGGAGCAGCUAAGCCAAAAUCAGACAAAUGGGGAUUGAGUUCAUCAAGUAAAAUAUUUGCUGACUUUAAGGUACUAUUAACAACAUAAGGAACAACAUCAGCAUCUUGCUUCUAUCAUCAGUGAAGUAUAAAAACUCUUGCAAGCUACUAUUUGCAAUAUAAUCAUGGACCAGAAGACGUACCAUGUUCAGCGGAAUAUCAUUCAAAUCUCUGGCAUGGUUGUUGUGAUGGAUAAAAAUAAGUUCCUUUAUGACCUGAAUUAAACAUUAAAAGAUACCAAAUUAACCGAAAUGCGUAGAGAUGCACAAAAAGUCCAGGCCCGAAAAUAUGGUCAUAGAGAUUUAAAAAAAGUCGAAAAUAAAGACAAACCAUGUGAGUAAAAAGCAGAGUAAGGAGGAUUGAUGGUAGUGUUUGAUAUAGAUGCCAUGUGGGUAGAUCCAUAUGAGCUGCUGGAAGCAGAGAGAUUUCUUCCAAACUCUCUUACAUUAUUGACAACAUUUGUGUUAACAUAUAUGUGUUGUAUAUGAAAUUUUAAAGAUUAGAUACAUAAAUAUAAUAUUAUUCGGAAAAUAUAACAUACCAUCUCGAGUCAUUUUCUUGCUUGGUCAUUAAAAUAACCUACAGCAAGUAAUGUACCCUCACUCUAUAAGAAGAAGAUGGACAAAAAGAAGUCAGUUGUAUGGAUGCCUCGGAAUAUAUACAAGAAUGUCCCAGGGAUAUUUAUUCAGUUGAUGAAGCAUGUAUAUCUAGAAAUUAACAAACCUCAUCAGCCAAAACAAAUAUAAAAUUAAUAAAAUCAUCUGUCUCCAAACACACAGAUUAAAAUCAAAGCACAAAUGUUAUCACACAAAACCAAGACAACACAAGAUCCAUCACUAAAACACACAACUACUACUAAAAUCAAACACACAAACAAAAAUCUCAUAUAGAUUCAAACUUUAUCCCCAAAAUCAAGUAUAAUUACACAGUAAAAAGCAUUCGUUUACCUCUUCAUAAGGUGAAUUGUUGUUAAACUAAUCAGCACGGUCAACACCGGCAUCAAAAACUUGAAUGGCCUUUGGGGUUAUCGCCGACAGAACAGAUCUGAGUAAGCUUUGUAGAAAAUGAGAUAGAGACGGGGGAGGGAGGGGAGAGUUCAGAGGAGGGUGAGGGAGAGACAGAGGGCGAGAGGGAGGGGAGGGGCGAGAUGCUUUAACAAAUCAAUUGCGGCAAGAGUGGGGAAGACACAGCCGCACCAGAAGAGGAAGAGAUAGAUUCAGAAGAAGAGAGAUUUACUCUCACUUACAAAUUUUAGGUCAAAAUAGAGGGGGGGAAAUGAAAAUUUGGAUAAACAAGUAGAGAGGGAAUUGAAAAUUUUUGUAAGGUGGAAAUCAUUCGUUCAUCCCGUGUAAAUAACAAAAUCAAUGUAUUAUAAUAUCCAUAUAGUUGAAUUAUAAAUAAAUGAAUUUUUUAAAUUAUAUUUUUGUAUUUGAUUACAAAUAUUUCAUAUUAAAUAAAUUUUAAAAACAAUUUUAAUGUAGAUGUCAAUAUCUAAUUAUUUUAGUUAUUUGUGAAAAUCUUCAAAAAAUUAAAAAUUAAUCUGGUAAAUCUUUUUGACAAAAUAUAGUUGAAAUACAACUAUUUAAUAAAAAAUUAAUAAUUCUUUAAAAGUUAAAAUUCUCAUUUUCUCGAUGUAUUCCGUUUUUGUACUCUUUGUCUAAAUAAAAUAUACACAAAUUUUUAUUAUUCAUUUGUAAUAAGAAGAUAUUUGUGUGGUUCAAAUGUCAAUAUUAGUAUAAAUUUCAUAUUUACAAUAUAGGAUGUACUUAAUAGAAGUUUUGUGAUCUAUAUGAUUAACCCCGUAUUAAUUUUGAAAUAUUUUCGAUCAUCCAAACAUAUAAAGAUCUUAAUAUCUAUCAAUAUUAGUCAUGUAUAAUAUUUUUAAAUUUUUCUAUAUUUAUUUAUAUCUUGUUGUAACAAAACUAGUGAUGAUCGUUGUUUUUAUGUCAUUUCUUAUUUUUGUACUUUUUAUCAAAAAAUUAUAUUUAUAUUAUGCAUAUGUCCAAAUUUGUAUUAUUCAUUUGUAAUUGGAAGAUAAUUUUGUUGUUCGGACCUGAGUAUUACUAUGUGUUUUAUGUUCACAAUUUAGGAAGCACUAGAUAGAAUUUUUGUUAUCUACAAAAUUUGCUCUGAAUUAAUUUAUAAAUAUUUUUUUCGAUGAUAUAACCGUACGGAUGUUAAUAACUAACAAUAUUAGUCAUGCAUAAAAAAAUUAGAUUUUUUUAUGCUUAUUUUAUAUGCUUUUUUUACAAAACUAGUCAAUUGUAAAUUUUGUCUUAUUGUAAAAAGGUAAUUUUUGUCUUGUAGUGUCCAACAGACAACGGUACUUAUAGGCACGUGUGUUGUAUGAGUUAAAAUGACACAACUGUUAUGGACAUUAUACAGUCAUAACAAAAUCUAUUGUCUAAAAUAGGCUCAAACAAUGUUUCGGGAAAAACUCGUUGUGUGUAAGUAGUGUAGACAAUGGUUUCUGGGAGGCAAACCGUUGUAUAAUAAAUUUUCAUUUUUAAGAGUUAGAAAUUCACAUUUUCUUGAUUAGUUCUUGUUUUUGUACUCUUUGUCUUAACAAAUAUACUUAUAUUAUGUAUAUAUGCAAAUAUCAAUUGUCAUUUGUACUAUGAAGAUAAUUUUGUAGUUCGAACAUGAGUAUUGGUAUGUGUUUUAUAUUUACAAUUUAGAAAGUACUGAAUAGGAUCUUUGCUAUAUAUAAGAUUAGCUCCGUAUUAUUUUAUAAAUAUUGAUUUUGAUGAUCUAACCGUACGGAUGUCGAAAACUAACAAUAUUAGUCAUGUAUAAAAAAAAUCAAUUUUUUAUGUUUAUUUUGUAUGUUUUUUUUAACAAUACUAGUCAAUUGUAAAUUUUGUCUUACUGUAAAAAGGUAUUUUUUGUCAUGUAGUGUCUAACAUACAAUGGUUUUUAUAUGCACCUAUGUUGUAUAAUUGAAAAUGAUACAACUGUUACAGAAGUAUACCGUUCUAAGAAAAUCUAUUGUCUAAAUUAGGCUCAAACAACGGUUCACGGAAAAUCCGUUGUAAAAAAGUAGUGUAGACAACAGUUUAUGGGAAGGAAACCGUUGUAUAAUAAAUUUUCAUUUUUAUGAGUUAAAAAUUCGCAUUUCCUUGAUCAAUUCUUGAUCUAAUGCAAGAAAAACAUAUGACUAUCAAGAAAUUGAUUGUUUUGUUAUAACUUUGGUUAGGACUUUGAAUCUUUGCACUCUCUUAUGUACAUCCAUUUUCUUAAAAUUCAUUCAAUCAUACAACAUUUUAUUAGUUAGUAGAGGCUUGUCUAUAAUGCCAUGCUACAAUGCUAACAAAAACACUUGUAUGUUAGCUUCCCAGUCACACAACACUAUAUAAAACCCUUGUUUGAACUCCUCGUAAACAACACAACAAAUAAAACACUUGUCUAAUUACAACGACGGUUUCUUGAACUAUUGUCUGAAGUUUCUUCACACAUCGGCUCUCAAAACAGUUGUCUAACAUGCAUCAUUACACAAUACCACAGUUAAGAAACCAUUGUCUAAUUGAAUUUACUAGACAACAAUUUUUUAACCGUUGUAGGUCGUAGAUGUUAGACAAUAGUUUUUCGAGGCCGAAAAGAAAGUGUUGUGUCUUUUUUCCAAACAACGCUUUUUUCACCGUGCGUUGUCUGAUCAGUGUUGUCUAAUGGUGUUAUUGUUGUAGUGCAAGUUGGAUUUAUUUAAUGCUAAUAGGUACUUGUUCAAGUGAGGAGAUUUAACUGAGAUUCAGGUUCUGGCAUUUGUCUUGUGUUGUUAUUUGUUUAUGUACCGGUUUUGAGAGUCAUUAGAGAUAUGUAAGGUAUUUAUUCCUAUUUUUUAUUAUUAGUAUUACAUCGUUUUCGGGUAAAAUAAUCGAUGAUUGUUUGUUUUAACUGUGUAAUAGCCUUAUGAUCUGCCAACUUAUGUAGACAUGUGAUAAACAUGUUGACUGUGGUCAAUAUUUUAGAUGAGGUAGUGUGUUUGUUGUUAUUGCAAGACUUUUUGGAAUAAUCAUUGUCAAAAAGAACUAACGAUGAAUGGAAAUGAAGUUCUGAAGAAGUGAUGAUACAAUGUUAAAGAGAUUGCUUUUUGUUGAAUUUUUCUGACUCUGGAAUUAAACUGCGUUAGUAUCUUCUUCUCUGAUUUUCCUUAUUUGGUAGACCUACUACUUUCAGAAGAUACAUGUGGUAUUUGUUUGGUUGAUUAAUUUUGGUAAGAUACAGUUUCCGUUUGGAAUCAGACUAUCCAUUGAACAAUCAGACUAUCCAUUGAAGAUUUUAUGCUCGCUCUUAAAUGGUUGAUCCACUGAUCUUAUUCUUACUUCAUAUGAGCUAAAGCCAGCUCUAGGGGUGUUUCUCGCAUACAAAAAAAUUAAAAAAAAUAUUAUGAAACUAUACUUUGCAGGAGUCUCAAAAUAAAUAAGUGUAAACGAUAAACUUAAACACCUAACUUCUUAAACACCUAGCAUAACACGGGUGAGCAUAUGGUCAAUCAUACCAAAUUGAAUAAAUCGAAAUUAAAAUUUAAAUAUUUUUAGACUGGACCAAACUGAAAUAUUUUGUCCGAUCCAGUUCAGUAUGAUCGAAAAGAAUUGAUUCUUUUGGAAAAAGUAACUUAAUAUUAUAAAUAAAAUUAAGAUUUAUAAUUUAUUUAAAAACUAUCAAUGAAUCAUCAACACUUCUUCAAAAAUAGAUACAUUUGAAUUUAUACAUUAGAUAUUAUAACUUCUAAAAAGUAUAUAAAAAUAUAUAAUAUAAAUAUAAAUUUAUAGUAUAAUUUUUUUGACUAUUUAGAAUAUAUUUUUAACCCAAAUAUUUUUUUUUAAAAUCAAAUUUUAUUUCGAUGAACUUUUCUAGAAAAUUAAGAUAGAAACGAAACUCAUUCCUACAGUAAGGUUUCAGUUUUUCGGCUGCAAUACGGUUUUGCUCAUCAUUAGCAUAAAUGGAGUAUGUAGUAAAUAUGAAUGAAUGGCAUGGGAAUUCUUGGAAUGGUAUCAAGAAUUAAGAUUAAAGCACAUUAGAAGUUUAGAACCAUGAAUGUUAUUUUUGAAAAUAGUAAUCCCUCCGUUUCUUAUCACGUUUCUCGUUUGAUAUGUCGGAACGGUUCAUAAUAUGAGACAAAUUAGUAAUUUAUGUCCAAUUUAUAAAAUUAAAUAUAGUCAUGAGUGAUCUUGUUGGAUUCGUAUCUAUGAGUACUUUAAUAAGAUGAAAUUUUUAUAUUUAAUGUUAAUACAAAAUUAAAAUAUAUUAAUUAAAAAUAUAUAUUGACAAACGUGAUAAAAACAAACAGCAAAAAUAUUAAGAAACGAAGCGAGGGAGUAAUAAAUAUGCUUUAUGCUGAACUGAAUUGAGUGCGUGGAAGCUUGGGGAGGCAGCUUACUACAGUAUCUACGUGUAUCUGUAUAUGCAAUAAAGACACAAAUACUCACAGGAGAUUAUUUUUCAAACACUUAAUUUCCCCCUUUCCUUCUCGUAAUAUUCAACUCAAUUCAUCACAUCAUCUUCUUCAGACAAACAACUAUACUCACUUCAGAUCAUCACAUCAUCUUCUUCUUGACUUCAGAUCCACAUUUCAAACCCUAAUCAUUCGCUUGGUCCCCUCCCUCUCUGUAAUAAUACAAUUCUUUCUACACACAAACAAUAACAUCAUCAUCAUCGAGUGAAGCUUCAUAUCCACAUUCCAAGACCUAAUUACUCGCCAAACCACUCUCGCUCUCAUGGAGGAGGCCUUAGAAAUGGCGAGAUCGAAUGAUACCAAGAAGCGAAGGGCGGGAGUGGAUCGGCUGCAACAGCUUCUUGAAGAUUCAAGAAAGUGCUUGUCAUCGUCGGAAGUGACGGCGCUAGUCGACACGUGUCUUGAGCUUUUGAAGGACACGUGUGUUGCUGUCGUCGGCCGCGGAGUUGUUUAAGUUGCAUUCUGAUAGAAUUAUGACGGCGGUUGUUGAUAGGUUGUGGGAUGGGGAGCAGCGGGUUCGAGACUCGGCGAGGAGGCUGUUGAUUACCCUUAUGGAGGUAAUUUAUUAAUUUUCUUGGGGAAUGCCAGUUGAUUUUAUGGAAUGUGAUAUAGUAUAGUUUCUAUCAAUCGAGUAUCUUAAAUUGAUGACUACAACAAGUAUUAUCGUUUUGCACGCAAGUGGCUAAACUUUUAUGCAUGCCAAAUUGCCAAUCGGGUUUCAAUUUCAGAUCUCUGCCUUCACUUGCAUACGAACACAUUUGAGUUUAAAAAGAUGAAUCACCUCAUAAAUAUCAUUAAUAAUUAGUUGGUGUUAAUAGUGCACUGAAAAAUGGGAGAGAAUGACAAGACUAUAGACAGUAGUAGGGCUGAGCGAGAUGUUAAUUGAGUACUUAUAUGAUGCUUCACUAUGUUCAGGGAGUUAGUUUAUUGCUUCUUUCCUACACUUUCACUUGAAUUAGUACUAAUUAAUAAUUCCUUCUCUAUCUUGUAAAAUUUCUCCUUCAUUGCUAAGCAUAUCUACUCUGAUUAAUUUUCAAACAAACUUUACUACUGAGAUAGGAUUGUUUGCUGGGUAGGAGCACCAUAGAAUGAGUAGCUCUAUUGCUAUAUACUGAAGGGUGCGGUGGCAUCCUCGGUUAUAUUUUAAGUGCUACUUCGAAUUUAGUUGUUGGCUUUUGCAAUUUAUUUUCAUUCACAAUGUUUUAAUAAUGAUACCCCAUAUUAGGUGAGAGAUAUUAGUGCCAGGCUGGAGCAGAUUCAGAUUCAACCAGCAACUUCCGUCUCUUCCAUCUCUGAAGGACUUAAUAGUAAUCUUCUCCACCAUGCACCUGAUUUAGAAGUAUAAUGUAUUAAUGUGAACUUUUUAUUUAUAUUUAUUUCCAUGUGUAGUAAAACGAUCACAUCUUUUAAGAGCUUAGUACAAUGUUAUGUACAAUGUGUAAUUAAUUAAGAGGUUUGUACAUAGUUUAGUAUGAAAUGGAAAAAGUUUGUACAGAAGUUUAUUUGUUCACAUUACAGCUGAGACGAGCAAGCAAAAACCAUCAGAGAAUUCAAAGGAUAAUGAUAAAGGAAUUGAGCCCCUACUGGAACUGCCGGAAGAUAUUAUCUUUCUACAAAUUCUGCCUAAGUUGAACAGCCUAGAUGUUCUUCCCCUGGUUUUGGUGGCUAGGAGUUGGGCCUCCUUUCUUUUGCAUGAGGGACCCAGACUGAUGUUAUUCAACCCACCUAAAAAUCCUACACCUAAACACACUUCAAUUUUAUUUGAUGUAAGCCCGAUUCCGUACUCUGUUUCAGUUUUGUUAUCCCCAGAGAGCCGCCAACUGUGUCAGUCUAGGUGUAUAAUUGUUCCAAUCUUGAAUUCUGGUAUAAAACAUGCUGUUCCAAUUUUCACUGACUACCCAGAUUUUUUAAAGCAGGGGGAAGUCCCAACUGUAGUGGGAUCUUCCAGUGGUAUUAUAUGCCUCUAUAUCACCAGUUCUCCCUCUAGAUACAUCCUGCUAAACCCCUUAACAAAACAUUAUAAAGAGGUUGGGGCCCCUUAUAUUUUUGUACCAGAUUGUGAGCAAGCUUCUGUAACUUCUGGAUUCUUUUAUGAUGAAUGGACUGAUGACUUAAAGAUCGUACAAUUGUUGAGAUGGGAUCAAAGGCUUACGAGCUUGGAUGCUCCGGGACCCAAAAAGAUACAUGCGCUUCGCGUUUGUUCUGUAAAUUCUGCAAAUUGGGAAGUUGUUGACUUGGGGCCAAUGAAAGUCUCCGAUCGUCUUGGUGGUGUGUUAUUUUUGCCGAAAGCUCUCGUCACAUUUGUAGAUGCGUUUGCUACAGAGCCGGAGAUUAACUUUUGGUUGGAUUUUCGUGAUUGCCGUCUAAAGGCAGUUCCGGAAUUAGAAGGGGCUGAACUCAGUAUGAAAUCGGUUUGGUGGAAUAACCAGGUUGGUGUUAUUGUUGGAACUGACAGCAUUUAUGUCCUUGAUGAGGAGUUUGCAGCCUGGUAUUACUGCACAGUGCUUCCGGACGUGGGAAAUUGUGUAUUCUGUUUAGAUGAGAACAAAAUUGUGGGGAUGGGGGCUGGGGAAAGCGGAAGCGUAAAUGAUUACAAUAUUCUUAAUUCCACAAGCGGCGAAAUCCAACAUAUAAUCUCGUUGCCUUCUUGCAGGGUUUUUCCGUAUGUUCCUACAUUCUACUAUAUCGAGGGAAUGGCUAAUUUUUAGACUUUUGCAAGUCACAAUGUAAUAAAAGAAUGUAAACAGUACAUAGCAGCAAUACCUCUCUAUAGCAUAUAGUUUCAGAUACAACAUGUAUUGUGAUGCCAGCUUGUAGAGUACAAGUAUUAUUCUAGGUGAUUGAUUGUUGAGAAUAAUAGAGGCAACCGGUUGCAUGAUGGUAUCCUUGAAACUUUCAUAAUUACUAAUAUCGAACUCAGAUAGCAUGCAAUUUUUCCGGAGAUCAUAUUCUUUAGCUAUCAACUAACUCUACAUUAUAUAUUAUGUCCCAGAUCAAUGAGUUUGUUUGCUAUAAUGUCCUAUUUUAUAUGUGAUUUAGGAAUAUGUUCCAUUAACUUGUUAUCACCCUCAAAUCUAAAAUCUAAGACUACCAUGUCCUUAGUUUAUUUUGUUUAAUAUUUGUGAAUAGACUCUAAUCUGAUCAUAUCAAUUAUAUUUUAGUAACAGAUGUUUAAAUGCAUAUGUUUUUGUUAUCUAGUUAUUUCAAUGAUGAUGGGAUUAAAUUUUUUUAUUCUUGUAAUAUGUACAAUGAUUGGUUUAGCUUUAAUAUUUAUUUUUAUUUUUAUUUACCAAUUUUAAUGUAGGUAAAGUUUUAUCAGCAAAUUUUAUUUUUUGUAUGCAGUAAUCUGUUCUAAUAUCAAAUUUUGAUUUAGAUCGAGUAUUAGUAUGUUGAAUUUGCAUUCAUCUAGUUAGAUGAGUGAAACUGGCUAAUUAAUGGAAAAUCAUAAGUACCUGAGUUGUUUUCAAAUUUUUUUCCCAAAUUUUAAUUGUUUGAUUGGUUUCUUCAAAUUAAUAUUAAUGGAAUCAUGAACGCACAUAAAUAAUUUAAUUAAAAAUUAUUUAUUUAUGUGUCAUUUAGAAAAAAUUGGGGACAAAAUUUGGGAUAGUAAUGGGGACGAAAUAUGUGUUAGCGUUAAUGGUUUAGCGGCAGUGGAGAACGCAAUUUAAGAGCAAAUCCAAUAGUGUCCUAAACUAGUAUCCUAAAUUAAAAAUUAAGGUAUUUAUAUAAAUGAGUGCUCCACCUAAUGAGUGCUCCACCAAUGUCCAGUGAUACCUUAAAAUACUAGGAAAUCCAUCAAGCGUCUCGUUUUUAAGACAUCACUAGGCAUGCCCUAUUUCACUUCUAUCAAUAAAAUAUAUCUUUCCCUCGUUUUUUACAGAUCUCUUCUCUCUCAUUUUUUCCAUUUAUGCCCAAUUAUAAUUCAAAUAUAAUACACCUUCAGUCCCUUUUUAGUUGUGAAAUUUACAAAAAUAAUUUGUCCUUAAAUAAUAUUCUCAUCCUUGUUCCAAUACAUAUUUAUACAUAUUUUUUCAUGUUUACCCCUUGAUUGUUGGUUCAAAUGUUUGACUGUACUACUAAUAUAUACAGUUUUGACUUAGUAUUUAAUAUAAUAAAUAAGGGCAUGCGUGGAAACAACUUACAACAUUUAAUUUUCUUUAAUAUAUGUAUUUUUGCAAAUGUGACAACUAAAAAGGAACAGAGAGAGUAUUAUUUUAAUCAUAAAACAUAUUGUUGGAGUUAAUAUAAAAAAAUCAUGUCUUAAAUCAUAAGAUUACUAUAUUUAAUUAUAUUUAUAAGGCAUCUAAUAGUACAAUAUUGGAUUUGCUCUGAUCACAGAUCAAUCAAAUGAUCGGCAACUUAAGCGAUCAAAUGAGAUGACUCGCAUAGUCCACGCUAAUCGAUAUCCUUAAGAGGAUGUUUGCCUGGGCUUAAAGCCCUUGCUUUAAGCCAUCUUUGGCUUUAAGCUGAAAAAUGUCUGUUUGUGUAAUAAGUCAGAAGCCAGCCUAAAGUCAGAAAUAAGCCAGAAGCUGACUUAAAGCCAGAAGUUAAUUUGAGGUACUUUUUUCAGUGGCUAAAUUUUUUUGAACUUUUUUUUUGAUAAAAAUUACUCCUAAAUCAUAAGUUUCUUAUAAAUCACUUUUAUUUUUAUUAUUAUAUUUUUAAUAACUCAUAAGUCAUUCAUAAGCCAAAAUUACCCAAACAGACAUUUUAAGCUAUCAGCUUAUCAGAUAAGACACGUUAAGUCACAAGUCACAUUAAGUCAUAAGCCAUAAGCUCAGCCAAACGGGCAAGUUUUCUAAGAGACAUUCCUGCUUAGUGCAUUUUUAAUAGGGUUGCCUAAAUCGUUGACGAAAUUGGACAUGUGAGACAUUAUAUAAAAUUUGUUAAACAUGUAAGUGAUUGUGUUUCAAUAAUGUUAACUACAUUGAUAGAUUAUAACUUAAAAAUAGUAUGUUAUUAAUAUUUAGAUUGUUAUAAAAAAAUAUAUGAGUUUAAUAUGAUAGGAAAUGAUGUGUAAAUUACCCCGAUUAUAUAUAUAUAUAAAUAAUAAUAUAUUUAUAUAUAUUAUACUAAAUAUAUUAUUAAAAAUAGAUAAAUUUUAUAAUAUAAUCAAAAGUAAAAAAUAAUCUUUAUUUUUAUUGAUUGAUUAUAAAUAUAUUGUAAUAUAAUAUAUUUUAUAAUUUUAAAUUGUUGUUUAUUUAUAUUAUAAAUCAAUUUUAAUAUGAUUUGAGGUUGAAAAUAUAAGAUAAUAUUAUUUUAUUAUUAUAUUAGGAGUUUGUAGUUUGUUUUUUAAUUAAAAAAAUAUAUUAUAUAUUAUAAAAUUAUUAUGUUUUUAUUAAAAAAUAAAAUUCCCCGAAACCCCGCGGGGAUCCCCGUUCCCCGUUCGGGGCGGGGAUCGGGGCGGAAAAUAAUCCCCGUUCGAGGUUCGGGGCGGGGUCGGGUAGGGCCGUAGGGGUAUUGAAUUCGGGGAUCGGGGUCGGGGAUAGCACUCCCCGCCCUCGAAGUCUCCCCGUGCCCAUCCCUAGUCGAACCUCUAGAGGUCCGUAAAAAAUCUCCAAGAAGAUUACACUAUGUAAUCUUCUUGGAGAUUUUUUACGGACCUCUAGAGGUUCGACAAAUAUAGUGGCCGGUAGGAUGUUGGUUAAAAUUAUAGAUAAGUGGUGUCUAUGGUUGAGUGUGAUUUUUUUGAAUAGAAUGGCUAUAUAUUUUAUUUUUGGGAUGCCAACUCAAUUUUUAAACUAAGGACUUCUCAUAUUUGGAGAUGCUAUAUGAUGGCAAAUCCCGCAAAUCUUCAAUUUUGACAUAUAUUAUCCUAAAUUCUCUUUCAACAAUGAUUGAUUCAAAUUUGGAUCAAGAUUGUUGGAUCCCGCUGACGUGGCAGUGACGUCAUGUUGACGUGGCGCCCUGGGGUGGACCCCGGUGCUGACGUGGCAGAUGACGCGGCGGUGACAUGGCGCCUGGUUGGGGUCCCAUUACUAACGUGGCAUUUGGGUAGAAAGUAUAAAUUACGGAAAAUUGAUGACAAACUGAGAGGUGCAUAUUAUAAGUUUUAAAAAGUAUGAGGAGAUAUUUGAUCAGUUUAAAACUAGUUUUUAGGUUUUUAGGCUAACCGUGGUUUGUAUAUUCGAGCAUCCCCGUGUAUAUUGACAUAUAGGUAAACUCCUUGCAAUACUUUGAGCUGCAAAAUCCAUCAAAAUUUUGAUUUAUCAUGUAACUGUUUGACAGAGUACUUCCAACUUUCAAGCGUAAGUAUCAAAAUCACUACCUUCAUAUGUUCCAUUAAGCGUGAAAGGUACAGAAUAAGAAGUGAAAGAAAUCCUUUAUAUUUACACGGCCAUUGAUCUUAUAGGAUCACCUAGCCCAUCAGUGCUAGGGAAUACGGAACCAUCUUAUCAAUUAACGAAGAAAUGUAUGCAUGCAGUGUCACCACCACAAGUCAGAAAUGGUGAUGAUGCUAAUGAUAAUGAACUCAAUUGGGAGUGAUCCUAAUGGGAUAUGGAUGUGGAUUGGUAUGCGGAUUCUUUGGGGUUUAUUGUUCUUACAAUGGGAAAGCCUUGGUGGUUUAUGAGAUACAUUGAAGUAAGUUGAUAAUGACAUGCACGGCUUAAUUAAGAUUAAUUAAGACAAACACCUUGACAAAAUGUUGUCUUAGAAUGAUAUGUAUUCUGAUUUUUCCUAAUUUAAAAUCAAAUUUAUUACAAUUAAAGUUAAAAUCUGCGUAGCACAUACUAUACUUUGAUUAAAUUUUUAUUGAAGUUGUCCAUAUUAACCUAGUGGCCGAAAGUGAAUAAAUUAAAUUAGUGGGGUCUAAUAUAAAAAUUGCAUUAAUUAAAAUUUGUAAUGUAUAGAUUAUGCUAAAGCUAUUCAUUAUAAAGAACAUAGGAAUGUUAAUCUCUUUAUAUGUUUGCAUGCGGAUAGUCUCUCGGGAGUGUGGUAUAUUGUCAUGGCUGGAAAAACGGCUAAUUUCUACGGUUUUUUUUUGACAGAAAUUAAUUUUGACGGAAUACUGUCGAAAUAUCGAAAGUCGAAAAUAAGCCGCAAAAUUACUUUUUUCAAUUUUCAAUUGAAAACUGUCAAAAAAGUCUCUGGCAAAAUUAUAUUUAUUUCUACAGAUAAUGUCGAAAAUAUUUUCCUGCAAAUUUCCCGCACCUUAGUUGUGAGCGGAAAUAGAUAGUUUGGACAGAAUUCCGUCGAAAUUACGCGAGUUCUUUGUAGUGUGUUUUCACACAUACGCUGAUAAUCUUUGGGGACUGGGGUAUAUUGUUUUCGCAAAGCACUGGUAGUUUGUGAGCUUGUCCAAUUUUUCCCCCCAUGCCUAUACUGGUUGGUCUCAGUCUUAGUGGUAAUAAGCUGGCGUCAAAUUUUCCAGAAUUCAUAUAUAAUUGCUAUAACAUGAUCCGAUGCCUGAAUCAGCAGCUAACAAUUUACGUAAUCUUGAAGAACUAUAUCUUGGUGCCAAUUCUUUCGAGGGCUCAUUUCCAACGAAUAUAUUCAAGCUUUCCAAAUUAAGGGUUCUUGACCUAUCUGUGAAUAAUUUUUCAGGUUCCAUUCCCAAUGGUAUAGAGAUGCUUCCCGAUCUUGGAAUAAAUCGUAUUUAUAAUAAUUCAUUUGAAGGAAUUAUUCCUUCUUCAAUUAGUCUACUUAAAGAUCUUCAACACCUAGACUUCGGUGACGACAACCUUGUGGUUUCAAGUAUAAUGUCUUACGGGUCCAAUCUAACCGAUCAUUACAGGCAACCCCAUUGGAGAUGCUCUUAAUAACAUUUUAACUAGAGAGUAUUUUCUAUCAAUUGCAUUUGUAUUAAAUUUGAUUUAGAUGAAGAGAAACAGAAUACAUAUGAUCCCGAGACAACAUUUUGUCAAUGUUUUCGUCUUGAUUGAACAGUCUUCUUCAUGCGUGUCCUUGUCAACUUCAGUUGCAGUAAUUCAAUGUAUCUCAGGAACCACCUUGGCUUUCCCAUUUUGAUAACAAGUAUCCUGAAGAUAAUCCGCAUAUCAAUCCACAUCCGCGCGUAUCCCAGUUGAUUUAUUAAUUUAUUCAUGAAGUGUUGCGAACGACAUUCCUGCAAAAGUAAAAGUCAGUGGAAUUUGUAUGAUAGCAUGAUGAAUAUUUAAAGUUUCAGUUAAAAUUUCACCAAGUAUUUUAUUUCUGGCUUAAGUCCCGGAUUGACGAAUUCUGCUGAUCACAUUUCUAAUCGACCAAUUCUGGUCGAAUAAAUUAAAUGGCACACUUCCUGAGUUGGUGGUAGGGGCGUUCUUCUUGUGUUUCUUUCUUUUCAUUAUUGACAUUGUUAUCCAGGCCCUUGCUUCUGGGCUUUUGUAAAGCACCCAUUUACGCCAUUGUCAUGAUCAUAGCUAGUCUUCCAUAUCCAAGAUACGCGCAUUAUAGUGGAUUUAUCUUUAUUAGUGAUUUCUGUGGAAAUGCAUAAUCUUAAUUAUAAGCUCCAAUAUUAUAAAAUAAACCUAACUUAUUAGAGUUAACAGGGCAUUUGUGUUGAUAAUUUGCGCAAUGUUAAUGGGGAUCGCUCCCAAGUCUUGGACGGACUCUUUCCAAGUCUUCUGAGGACCCAUCUGCACACUAAUUUGUCCGCCAACUAAAAAUUUAUAUAUAUUUUUCCAUAGAAUAUAAAUAGUUGGGGGUACUAACAGAACCUCUAGUAAAAUUAAUUAAUACCGUUAUGAUUUCGCAAACACAGCAGACAGCAGGCAUAAGGCUUAUAAAUAGAAGUGUCGUAUUUGGUUGAUGGUCAAGUUGAGUGGAAAUAUGGCACACUUUGUAAAGCCUUGUUAUCCUCUUCUCUUUGUUUUCUUUCUCUCAUUACUUCAAUCCAUUCUAACAACACAAGAGGGAGAAGCUCUUGUGAAAUGGAAGAAUAGCCUAGCCCCUUCUUCUUUUCUCGACUCUUGGUCACUCACCAAUCUCGAUAAUCUUUGCAACUGGACUGGCAUUACUUGUAACUCUGCAGGUUCAGUCUCUGAGAUUAACCUUAGUGAGAAACAACUUGAUGGAAUGCUGUCCGAGUUUGGUUUCACUUCAUUUCCAAAUCUCAACAAUCUCACCCUCGCAAUUAACUACUUCUCGGGUCCAAUACCACCAGCCAUUGAGAAUUUAACACAGCUUCAAUAUCUUGAGUUGAGCAAUAAUUAUCUAGAUGGUCCCAUUCCUUUCCAGGUUAGCAAUCUUCAGAGGUUGCUCAUCUUAAACCUGUCAGAGAAUGAACUGCAAGCUCCAAAUUGGUCCAAUUUUUCCCCCAUGCCUUUUUUGACCAUCCUCGACCUUUAUAAAAAUAAUCUUUUGUCAGAAUUUCCCGAAUUUAUAUCUAACUCGUGUAACCUUACGUACCUUGACCUCUCAUCCAACAAGUUUAGAGGGGAUCUUGCGCGAGAAUCAGUAUUAACCAAUCUAGGUGAUCUUGAAACCCUCUAUCUUAUUAGAAAUUCUUUCAAGGGGUCAUUUCCGUCAGAUUUAUUCAAGCUUUCUAAAUUAAAACGUCUUCACCUGUCGAGCAACAAAUUUUCAGGUUCAAUUCCUAAUGCCAUAAGGUUGCUUUGUGAUCUUGAAUUCCUAUAUUUAGGCAACAAUUCCUUUGAAGGACUGCUUCCACCAAAUAUAUUUAAGCUUUCAAAAUUAAAACAUCUUGUUCUUCGGAGUAAUAAGUUUUCAGGAUCUGUUUCCAAUGAUAUAAAUUUGCUUCCUGAACUUGAAUAUCUCGAUCUUAAUUCUAAUUUUUUUGACGGGCCGCUUCCUCCAGAUGUAUUCAAGCUCUCCAAACUAAGGUUUCUUUACCUCUCGGGUAAUACCUUUUCACGUUCUGUUUCCAAUGAUAUAGGUUUGCUUUCUGAGCUUGAAACCCUCGAUCUUAACUCUAAUUUUUUGAGGGUCCGCUUCCGUCAAAUAUAUUCAAGCUCAAAUUAAAAAUUCUAGACCUCUCAAACAAUAGAAAUUUAUUUCAAAGAAGUUUUCCUAUUGGACUGGAACUCUUGAGUAACCUCAGCUACUUAGGUCUAAGUUCCAGUAAUCUCAGUGGCAAUAUUCCAUCUUACAUUGGAAACCUGAAGCUACUAAUAUCUCUUGAUCUCAGUUCUAAUCAAUUGACUGGACCGCUUUCAAAGCUCGUUUCUAAUGUCACAAAUCUUAUAUUUCUUGAUUUAAGAGAUAAUAGUCUUAGUGGAAAUAUUCAGACUGACUUGUGGAAAUAUAACGAUCAUCCAACUCUGGAAUACAUCAAUUUGAGUGGGAACUAUUUUACGGGUAUAGUUUUUCUCUAUAGAUCUUUUCUUUUGUCAUAUGUAACUAAGCUAGUAAUCUGAUUAAUUGCAGUUUUACCAAAGUUUCAACAAUCUUGACAGGUGAGCUUCCAACAACAAUUUGCAAUGUCACUUCCCUUUCGGUUCUUGAUUUGUCAAAUAAUAACUUAAGUGGUGCACUUCCAAAAUGUUACGGGAAUCUUGCUGAUGGAUUGCUUUACAUUAAUCUUGCGAAUAAUCACUUUCGAGGAACAAUACCCACUACUUUCUCCAGGAGUUGUCAGCUGAUAUAUCUGAACAUGGAUGAUAAUGAGUUUGAAGGAUUGAUGCCCCCAUCUUUGGCGAACUGUAAGCACUUGAAAAUUUUUGAUAUUGGCAAUAAUAAAAUAGGUGGUACAUUUCCGUCAUGGCUUUAUGCACUUGGAGAGCUAGAAGUCCUUGUCUUGCGAUCAAAUAAACUCUAUGGUACAAUAAGUGGAAGGAGCAUAGAAGAUCCCUUCCCCAAGUUGCGGAUUGUGGAUCUGUCCAACAAUCAAUUCACAGGCCAUUUGCCAAUUCAAUACUUUAAGAAUAUGAAAUCAACUGAUAAUUUGUAUCGUUAUCAGAAUGACACAGGAGUUUUUUCUUUCCAUUAUGAAGCAUCUGUCUCAUUAACUGUGAAGGGAACAGAGUAUGAAGUGAAAAAUAUCCUUCAUAUUUACACAACCAUUGAUCUGUCCUGCAACAAGUUUCAAGGAGAAAUUCCUGACGUUAUUGGAGAGCUUAGAUGGCUUGCAUUGCUGAACUUAUCUCAUAAUAGUCUAACAGGACAUAUCCCAUCAUUGCUGAGAAAUAUGAAAGGACUCCAAUCUUUAGAUUUGUCUUCAAAUCAACUGAAAGGGGCUAUUCCACUUCAGUUAACUGCAUUGACAUUUCUAGAGGUCUUGAACCUCUCGGGAAACCAUCUUAGUGGAGAGAUUCCUCAGAAAGGGCAGUUCAGCACAUUUAACAUUGAUUCUUAUCUAGGAAACUCCGCGUUAUGUGGUUCACCUUUGAUGAAGAAAUGUGCAAACACAGCAUCACCUCCACAAGAAGCCGGAAAUGGUGAUGAAGAUGAAGCUGGUGAUGAAUUGACAUGGGAAGCAAUCGUGAUGGGAUAUGGAUGUGGACUGAUAUGUGGAUUGUCAUCUGCAUACAUUGUUCUCAAACUAGGAAAGCCUUGGUGGUUUGUGAGAUAUAUCGAAGUACUGCAACAGAAGUUGAUGAAAAGAUAUGCAUGAAGAAAGGUACUGGUAGAUCAAGAUGAACUUGAAAGUUGUUGUCGUGGUAGACAUUUGUGAACCAGUAGUGUACUAGCUGCAUAAGUAUUUGGUAUUAUGUAAUAAUCCGUUUGGUCGGGACUCAAAAUGAUUUCUCUUGCUUCAGGGGUAUUAAUAUUAACCUUGCUAUCUUGAUCAAUGUUAGGGCAAAUUAAAAAGAAUAUAAAAGCAAAAAAUUUGCAUCAAACACCUGUUGUACCAACAUGCAUCCAUUAAUUUGCUUUCAUCUAUUAAGUAACAAUUUAAGAGCGCUUCCACUCUGUUUAAGCAUGGAGAUAACACAAAGAAGGCAAGUCCAUGGACUAAUAUAUUAACACGUAGUCCACAUCUAUGGUAUGAACAAUUCAUAUUGCUCUUCUAUCUGUUCAACAGUCUCCCGAAGAUAGGCCAAAAAUGUCAUCUGUGGUUCUUAUGUUUGUCAGUGAAGGAGAAUCUCUGAUGCCUACACAACCUGGUGUUUUUACAGAAAGGAAUGUAGGUGAAACCAGGGGCGUAAAAUGAAUCAGGACUAAAAUCUGCUAAAAUGAUAAUUAUUUACUCAUCAUUCAAGAUUAGUCGGGCUCAAAGAUUUAUAUGGAUUUUAAGAACAAACUAUGACUAAAUAUGAAAAAAUCAUUAAUUUUUCCGACUCAAUAUUUUUUAGCCUCCCCCGGCCCUGGGUGAAACCAUAAGCUUCUCUGGUGCACAUCCAAAUCAUUCAGUUGGUUCUACUUUCAGCUCACCCACAGGAACAUCAUUCUGCAGGUACUCUUUUAUCUGUACUUUCUUAUAUUGUAUGCCAGUAAAUUUUAUAUCGACAAACUGCACAAUACACCUCGAUCUCAUAUUAUUGACAGGUGAGCUCCUCUCAUAAUGCUCACAGGCGAACCCCUGCAUAUAUACUUUGUGAUGUCAUUGAUGAUCGAUAGACUUGAAAAAAAAUUAUGACAAAGAUUCAUAAAAUAUCUACUUCCAUCCUAAUUCAGUAUUCAAUAUUAUUCAUUCGUAUCAUCAUCCAAUCAAUUCUAAUAGUUCUUCUUUAAAUCAGUACAAAUAUUGUUAAAUACCUGGAUGAUGGUUGUCUUUCCGCGAACCAAUCAUGAAAUUACCUCUGUAUAAAUCCAUCGGAAAUAAGACAGUUAAUAUCCCAAUCGAAUACACCCCGUCAGUUGUCAAACUCCUCGAAACGUAUUAAUCACUUUAGAAAAUUUGUUCCACUGGCGCUAGUCAGUCCCAGAGUUGGUGGUGGGUGCUUCUGGGCUUUCGAAAAGCACCCAUUUACUCCAUUGUUUAGAGAAGUAAAACCCCACCUUCCGCUCAUUUGAUUGAUCAGCUGAAUUAGGCAGAGUUUACAUGGUCAUGAUCAUAGUCUCCCAUNUUAAUAGUCUGACAGGACCUAUCCCAACAUUGCUGAGAAAUAUGAAAUAACUCCAUUACUCCAAUCUUAGAUUUGUCCUCAAAUCAACUGACAGGGGCUAUUCCACCUCUGUUAACUGCAUUGACAUUACUUUUCUCUUUAUAUUCUUUCCUUUUGUAUGUACCUAUGCUAAUUAUCUGAUUAUUAAAAUUAUAACAAAGCUUCAAGAUUUUUAACAGGUGAGCUUCCACUAAAAAUUUGCAAAGUCACUUCCCUUUCGCGUCUCAUUAUGUUAGAUAAUGGGUCAAGUGGUGCACUUCCACAGUGUUUGGGGAACCUUUCUUUGCUUGGUUUCAAUAAUCUUGCUAAUUAUCAAUUUCAAGGACCAAUACCAACGACUGUCCAAGACUUGUCUGUGCAUAUCUAAACAUCCAUAACAAUCACUUUGAAGGUUUGUUGCUCCAAUCUUUGGCAAACUGUAAACACUUACAAAUUCUUGAUAUUGGAAACAACGUUGGAGAGCUAGAUGUCCCAGUUAGGGCGGUAAUUCGACUAGAGCAAACCGAGUUUUGAGCGGAGCCAAAUUCGAGCCAAGUUUAAUCGAGUCGAGCCGAGUCGGCUCGUUUAGCUAAUCGAGCCUAAAACUUAGCCCGAACUCGACUCAUUUAAUUUCACGAGUCGAGUCGAGCCAACUCGUUUAGCUAAAUGAGCUGAUUUUAACAAGUCGAGCGAGCGAGCUCGUAUAAUUUUAACUUAGUCGAGCCUGAAUCUCUACCCAAACUAUUGGCUCGUGUAAUUUCGCGAGUCGAAUCGAGCCGGCUCGUUUUAUUAAACAAGCCGAAAUUUUUGCCCGAAUUUGCUCGUUUAACAAGCCGAUCUGAGCCUAGUUAAAUGAGUUCGAGUUAGUCGAGCUCGCGAGCUGCGAGCUCACCUGCCAGCUCUAGUCCUAGUCUUGCAAUCAAAUAGGUUUAACGGUAUAGAAAGUGGAAGGAGCACAAGGCAUCCAUUCCCCAAGGCUAUUUACCAAUUCAGUACUUUGAGGAUACAAAAUCAUUCUGCAGGUACUCUUGUAUCUGUACUUUCUUGUACUGUAUGCCACUUUGACAGUAGAGUAAAAUUUAUAUCGACAAACUGCAUAUGUUCUGAACUACUCCUCUAUCCCAAAUUAGAUGAGCUAGUUGACUUUGAGCACGUAACUUAAGGUACAUUGACCAACUAGUUCCGAUAUUUAUUUUUUUAAUUUUUCUUUUGUAAAUGAAAAUUUCAUAUUUAAAUUUUUAUUUGCAAAACUAAAAUUUAAAAAUAUGUAAUGUGGCUAUGCGGUCAAUGUCAACGAGCUCAUCUAAUUUGGGAUUGGGAUGCAGGGAGUAUUACGUACUAUGUUAUGCAAGCUGUUUACAACUUUCAUCAAAAUUUUCAAACAUUUCUGAAUAUGUAUUUUCAAAGAAUUCUCGGGCACUCUUAAGGCCUAUAAUUAUUGGAACUCUCACGUUAUGGACCAGAGGACCACUAUGUAUUUUACAAGCACGACGAAUCAUGUGGUCAUUAUGGACUCCCCAAGCCUUAGAGGACUCAUUCCAGGUUUUAGGAGGACCACUGCCUAGCUCACCCUUUCGGAGUGAUGUAAAUUAGUUUCCAGACACUAAAAAUAAGUAAUCAGAUUAAUCAUUACAAAAUUUUGAUAUAAAAUCAGAAUAAAUCCUAAACUUUGAUGAUACAAAAAAAAUUAUAAUUGUAAAUUAUACAAUCAAAUUAAGAUCGAAUUAACUUCCCUCACACUUAAAAUUUAUAGCGAUCAAAUCAAAAUCGAAUUAACUUUCCUAUUACUAAAAUUUAAUUACAAUAUUAUUAGAUAAAGAGAAUAUAUAAUAAUCAAGAGAAAAUAGAUUUUUUUUUGCCACUCAACUUAUUGUGUUUUAAGAAACUUACCACCCAACUAAAUUUUUUUCCUUUUGCUCACUAAUGUUAGGUUUGGAUUUGUUUUUAGCCACCAAAUAAGGUUCGGAUUUGAUUACCAGCAUUAUGAUAAUUUUUUUUGUCACUAAACUUAUUGCGUCUUUAGAAACUAACCACUGAACUAAAUUUUUUUUAUUUUACUCACUAAUGUUAGAUUUAGUUUUUUUUGUCACUAUAGUUAGGUUCAGAUUUGAUUAUUAGCAUUACAUUAAUUCUGUGUAGCAUUUUUAAAAUAUGGUAGUAGUCUGUGAUAUUUAGAUGAUUUGAUAUAUGUCUGUAUUUUUAUAUAUAGUAUAUUUUAUGUCCCCAAGGUCGUUUACCUUGGGUCAUAAAAAUUUUACACUCAUUUUAUGACUUUUAAAAGAUGUAGUUUCAUAAAUAAUUUUAUUUUUUUCUUUCGAAUUAAAAUUCAGCAUUUGAAUUUUACACACAAAAAAAUCGCAAGAAUAAGAUAUGAAACUAUGCUUUACAAGAGUCUUAAAAUACGUGCUAAACGGUAGAAAAAACUGUAAACUAAUGAGAGGUACAUAGGGAGUAAUAAUAACAUAAAAUGAUGCACAAUCAUCGAAUUAAGUUUUCCUCUCUCUAUAUAUUUAUUUUGUAAAUUUUAAUAAGAUAAAGUUAUUAAAAUUUAUGAUAUAAAUUUAAGAGAUAUCUUAGAUUGAGUGGCAAAAAUUUAGUUGGGUGGUAAGUUUCUAAAAACACAAUAAAUUGAGUGGGAACAAAAUCUAUUUUCCCAAUAAUGAGUGGGAAUAAAAUCUAUUUUCCCAAUAAUCAAAGUGACGAAAAAUCAAAGUCAUCUAAUAAGUCCAGAAAAAAUAUGACCAUUAGUAUAUUGAAAUAAUAUUCACGCAUUUAUAUACGAGAAUAUAUGGUCCACAAGUUAGUGCACAAUGUCCAAGAAUCUUUAUCAAAUAACACGGCAAGCAUGCAGCAUAUAAAUAAGAGUGGGCAGUAUGGUAUUGCAUUCAUAACCCACUUGAGCAGAAAUAUGGCACACUUCCUAAAGCCUUCUCACCUUCUUCUCUUUGUUUUCUUUCUCUCGUUACUUCAAUCCAUUCUACCAACAAGACCAGAGGGAGAAGCUCUUGUGAAAUGGAAGAAUAGCCUAGCCCCGUCUUCUUUUCUCGAUUCUUGGUCACUAACCAAUCUCGAUAAUCUUUGUAACUGGACUGGCAUUACUUGUAACUCUGCAGGUUCAGUCUCUGGGAUUAACCUUUAUGAGAAACAACUUGAUGGAAUGCUGUCCGAGUUUGGCUUCACUUCAUUUCCGAAUCUCAACAAUCUCACCCUCGCAUACAACUUCUUCUCGGGUCCAAUACCACCAGCCAUUGAGAAUUUAACACAGCUUCAAUAUCUUGAUUUAAGCAUCAAUAGUCUCGAUGGUCCCAUUCCUUUCCAGGUUAGCCAUCUUCAGAGGUUGCUCGUCCUAAACCUGUCACAGAAUGCAUUGCAAGCUCCAAAUUGGUCCCAUUUCUCUUCCAUGCCUUUUUUGCGCAUCCUCAAGCUCAGUAGGAAUCAUCUUGUAUCGAAAUUUCCAGAAUUUAUAUCCAAUUCUCAUAGCUUGGCUAUCCUUGACCUUGGCCAGAACAACUUUACAGGUGAUCUUGUGCGUGAAUUUACCAAUCUACAAAAUCUUGAAACCCUCUGGCUUUAUCGUAAUUCUUUUGAGGGGCCAUUUCCGCCGGAUAUAGUCCAGCUUUCCAAACUAAAAGAUCUUGCCCUGUCAAGUAACAAAUUUUCAGGUUCAGUUCCCAAUAACAUAAGGUUGCUUUGUGAUCUUGAAUACCUAUAUUUAGGCAACAAUUCCUUUAAGGGGCCACUUCCACCAAAUAUAUUUAAGCUUUCAAAAUUAAAACAUCUUGUUCUUUGGAGUAAUAAGUUUUCAGGUUCUGUUUCCAAUGAUAUAGGUUUGCUUCAUGAGCUUGUAACCCUCAAUCUUAACUCUAAUUUUUUUGAGGGGCCGCUUCCGCCAAAUGUAUUCAAGCUCUCCAAACUAAAGUUUUUUGCCCUUCAUGAGAAUAACUUUUCAGGUUUUAUUUCUAAGGAUAUAGGUUUGCUUUCCGAACUUGAAAUCCUCUAUUUUGGCUCUAAUUUUUUUGAGGGGCCGCUUCCUCCACAUGUAUUUAGGCUCUCCAAAUUAAGAGGUCUGGACCUCUCACACAAUAGAAAUUUAUUUGAAGGAAGUAUUCCUAUUGGACUGGGACUCUUGACUAACCUCAGGUACUUAGAUCUACAUUCCAAUAAUCUCGGUGGCUAUAUUCCAUCUGACAUUGGAAACCUGAAGCUACUAGUACUUCUUGAUCUCGGUUCUAAUCAAUUGACUGGACCGCUUUCAAAGAUCGUUUCUAAUCUCACAAAUCUUAUAUGUCUUGAUGUAAGUCAUAAUAGUCUUAGUGGAAAUAUUCAGAGUGACUUGUGGAAAUAUAACGAUCAUCCAACUUUGGAAUACAUCAAUUUAAGUGGGAACCAUUUUACGGGUAUAGUUUUUCUCUAUAGAUCUUUUCCUUUUCUCAUAUGUAACUAAGCUAGUAAUCUGAUUAUUGCAGUUUCACCAAAGUUUCAACAAUCUUGACAGGUGAGCUUCCAACAACAAUUUGCAAUGUCACUUCCCUUUCGGUUCUUGAUUUGUCAAAUAAUGAAUUAAGUGGUGCACUUCCAAACUCUUUGGGGAAUCUUGCUGAUGGAAUGCUUUACCUUAAUCUUGCUAAUAAUCAGUUUCGAGGAACAAUACCAACUACUUUCUCCAGGAGUUGUCGGUUGACAUAUCUAAACAUGGAUAAUAAUGAGUUUGAAGGAUUGUUGCCCCCAUCUUUGGCGAACUGUAAGCACUUGAAAAUUCUUGAUAUAGGCAAUAAUAAAAUAGGUGGUACAUUUCCGUCAUGGCUUUAUGCACUUGGAGAGCUAGAAGUUCUUGUCUUGCGAUCAAAUAAACUCUAUGGUACAAUAAGUGGAAGGAGCAUAGAAGAUCCCUUCCCCAAGUUGCGGAUUGUGGAUCUGUCCCACAAUCAAUUGACAGGCUAUUUGCCAAUUCAAUACUUUAAGAAUAUGAAAUCAACUGAUAAUUUGUAUCGUUAUCAGAAUGACACAGGAGUUUUUUCUUUCCAUUAUGAAGCAUCUGUCUCAUUAACUGUGAAGGGAACAGAGUAUGAAGUGAAAAAUAUCCUUCAUAUUUACACAACCAUUGAUCUGUCCUGCAACAAGUUUCAAGGAGAAAUUCCUGACGUUAUUGGAGAGCUUAGAUGGCUUGCAUUGCUGAACUUAUCUCAUAAUAGUCUAACAGGACAUAUCCCAUCAUUGCUGAGAAAUAUGAAAGGACUCCAAUCUUUAGAUUUGUCUUCAAAUCAACUGAAAGGGGCUAUUCCACUUCAGUUAACUGCAUUGACAUUUCUAGAGGUCUUGAACCUCUCGGGAAACCAUCUUAGUGGAGAGAUUCCUCAGAAAGGGCAGUUCAGCACAUUUAACAUUGAUUCUUAUCUAGGAAACUCCGCGUUAUGUGGUUCACCUUUGAUGAAGAAAUGUGCAAACACAGCAUCACCUCCACAAGAAGCCGGAAAUGGUGAUGAAGAUGAAGCUGGUGAUGAAUUGACAUGGGAAGCAAUCGUGAUGGGAUAUGGAUGUGGACUGAUAUGUGGAUUGUCAUCUGCAUACAUUGUUCUCAAACUAGGAAAGCCUUGGUGGUUUGUGAGAUAUAUCGAAGUACUGCAACAGAAGUUGAUGAAAAGAUAUGCAUGAAGAAAGGUACUGGUAGAUCAAGAUGAACUUGAAAGUUGUUGUCGUGGUAGACAUUUGUGAACCAGUAGUGUACUAGCUGCAUAAGUAUUUGGUAUUAUGUAAUAAUCCGUUUGGUCGGGACUCAAAAUGAUUUCUCUUGCUUCAGGGGUAUUAAUAUUAACCUUGCUAUCUUGAUCAAUGUUAGGGCAAAUUAAAAAGAAUAUAAAAGCAAAAAAUUUGCAUCAAACACCUGUUGUACCAACAUGCAUCCAUUAAUUUGCUUUCAUCUAUUAAGUAACAAUUUAAGAGCGCUUCCACUCUGUUUAAGCAUGGAGAUAACACAAAGAAGGCAAGUCCAUGGACUAAUAUAUUAACACGUAGUCCACAUCUAUGGUAUGAACAAUUCAUAUUGCUCUUCUAUCUGUUCAACAGUCUCCCGAAGAUAGGCCAAAAAUGUCAUCUGUGGUUCUUAUGUUUGUCAGUGAAGGAGAAUCUCUGAUGCCUACACAACCUGGUGUUUUUACAGAAAGGAAUGUAGGUGAAACCAGGGGCGUAAAAUGAAUCAGGACUAAAAUCUGCUAAAAUGAUAAUUAUUUACUCAUCAUUCAAGAUUAGUCGGGCUCAAAGAUUUAUAUGGAUUUUAAGAACAAACUAUGACUAAAUAUGAAAAAAUCAUUAAUUUUUCCGACUCAAUAUUUUUUAGCCUCCCCCGGCCCUGGGUGAAACCAUAAGCUUCUCUGGUGCACAUCCAAAUCAUUCAGUUGGUUCUACUUUCAGCUCACCCACAGGAACAUCAUUCUGCAGGUACUCUUUUAUCUGUACUUUCUUAUAUUGUAUGCCAGUAAAUUUUAUAUCGACAAACUGCACAAUACACCUCGAUCUCAUAUUAUUGACAGGUGAGCUCCUCUCAUAAUGCUCACAGGCGAACCCCUGCAUAUAUACUUUGUGAUGUCAUUGAUGAUCGAUAGACUUGAAAAAAAAUUAUGACAAAGAUUCAUAAAAUAUCUACUUCCAUCCUAAUUCAGUAUUCAAUAUUAUUCAUUCGUAUCAUCAUCCAAUCAAUUCUAAUAGUUCUUCUUUAAAUCAGUACAAAUAUUGUUAAAUACCUGGAUGAUGGUUGUCUUUCCGCGAACCAAUCAUGAAAUUACCUCUGUAUAAAUCCAUCGGAAAUAAGACAGUUAAUAUCCCAAUCGAAUACACCCCGUCAGUUGUCAAACUCCUCGAAACGUAUUAAUCACUUUAGAAAAUUUGUUCCACUGGCGCUAGUCAGUCCCAGAGUUGGUGGUGGGUGCUUCUGGGCUUUCGAAAAGCACCCAUUUACUCCAUUGUUUAGAGAAGUAAAACCCCACCUUCCGCUCAUUUGAUUGAUCAGCUGAAUUAGGCAGAGUUUACAUGGUCAUGAUCAUAGUCUCCCAUAUAUCCCUGAUACGCACAUUAUAGUGGAUUUAUCUUUAUCAGUGAUUUCUGUGGAGAUGCAUAAUCAUUAUAAGCUCCAAUAUAAAAUUUUAAAGUUAGUAUGGGAAUUUGUGUUGAUAAUUUGCGCAAUGUUAACAGGAUUGCUCCCAAGUCUUGGACGGACUCUUUCAAAGUCUUCUCAGGACCCAUCUGCACACUAAUUUGUCUGCCAACUAAAAAAUCAACAAUAUGUUACUCCCUCCGUUUUUCUUAAACUGAGGUUAAAAUUUUUGACACAAGAUGGGUUGACAGUAUAAAAUUAAAAUAUUUGUGAAUAAAAAUUUUGGUUAUAUUUUUUAUUUAAAAAGAAAAUCUUGAAAAUAAUAUUAUUAACUACCAGUCAGAUCACUUAAGUGUAUGUCCAAAAUUAAAGCGGCAUAUAAAAAAAAGGGAGGAAGCAUGUACUAACUGUUUCCAUAACAGUUUACAAGUAUAAGCUAUACCCCCUCUCUAUUUUUUUCUAUGACAGCUUUGAUUUUGGGCACACAUUCUUAAGUGUUUUGACCGGAUAGUUAAAAAUUUAUCUUCUAAAAUUUUUAAAAAAAGUAAAAUCGCAAAAAAAAUUAGAAAGCUGGUAUUUUUGAUAAAUUUCCAAAUAUGUAAUCAAGAAAAAUAACUUUUACUAUCCAAUCAACUCAUUUAAAGAUGUGUGUCAAAAAUCAAAAUAUCAUACAAAAAAUAGGUAUACAUUUUUUUAAUAGAUUAUACUCCCUCUGUUCCAAAAUAAGUGUCAGCUGGGGGUAAUAACAAGACCUUAGUCAACCCAAGCACAGCAGACAGCAGGCAUAAGGCAUCAGGAAUUUCACAGGACCAUUAUCUUUCUCUUAUUAACUGUGAAGGGAACAGCGUAUGAAGUAGCAAGAACCUUCAUAUUUACACAGCCAUUGAUCUGUCGUGCAACAAAUUUCAGGGAGAAAUUCCAAAGGUUACCGGAGAGCUUAGAUGGCUUGCAUUGCUCAAUUUAUCGCAUAAUUAAUAGUCUGACAGGACCUAUCCCAACAUUGCUGAGAAAUAUGAAAUAACUCCAUUACUCCAAUCUUAGAUUUGUCCUCAAAUCAACUGACAGGGGCUAUUCCACCUCUGUUAACUGCAUUGACAUUACUUUUCUCUUUAUAUUCUUUCCUUUUGUAUGUACCUAUGCUAAUUAUCUGAUUAUUAAAAUUAUAACAAAGCUUCAAGAUUUUUAACAGGUGAGCUUCCACUAAAAAUUUGCAAAGUCACUUCCCUUUCGCGUCUCAUUAUGUUAGAUAAUGGGUCAAGUGGUGCACUUCCACAGUGUUUGGGGAACCUUUCUUUGCUUGGUUUCAAUAAUCUUGCUAAUUAUCAAUUUCAAGGACCAAUACCAACGACUGUCCAAGACUUGUCUGUGCAUAUCUAAACAUCCAUAACAAUCACUUUGAAGGUUUGUUGCUCCAAUCUUUGGCAAACUGUAAACACUUACAAAUUCUUGAUAUUGGAAACAACGUUGGAGAGCUAGAUGUCCCAGUUAGGGCGGUAAUUCGACUAGAGCAAACCGAGUUUUGAGCGGAGCCAAAUUCGAGCCAAGUUUAAUCGAGUCGAGCCGAGUCGGCUCGUUUAGCUAAUCGAGCCUAAAACUUAGCCCGAACUCGACUCAUUUAAUUUCACGAGUCGAGUCGAGCCAACUCGUUUAGCUAAAUGAGCUGAUUUUAACAAGUCGAGCGAGCGAGCUCGUAUAAUUUUAACUUAGUCGAGCCUGAAUCUCUACCCAAACUAUUGGCUCGUGUAAUUUCGCGAGUCGAAUCGAGCCGGCUCGUUUUAUUAAACAAGCCGAAAUUUUUGCCCGAAUUUGCUCGUUUAACAAGCCGAUCUGAGCCUAGUUAAAUGAGUUCGAGUUAGUCGAGCUCGCGAGCUGCGAGCUCACCUGCCAGCUCUAGUCCUAGUCUUGCAAUCAAAUAGGUUUAACGGUAUAGAAAGUGGAAGGAGCACAAGGCAUCCAUUCCCCAAGGCUAUUUACCAAUUCAGUACUUUGAGGAUACAAAAUCAUUCUGCAGGUACUCUUGUAUCUGUACUUUCUUGUACUGUAUGCCACUUUGACAGUAGAGUAAAAUUUAUAUCGACAAACUGCAUAUGUUCUGAACUACUCCUCUAUCCCAAAUUAGAUGAGCUAGUUGACUUUGAGCACGUAACUUAAGGUACAUUGACCAACUAGUUCCGAUAUUUAUUUUUUUAAUUUUUCUUUUGUAAAUGAAAAUUUCAUAUUUAAAUUUUUAUUUGCAAAACUAAAAUUUAAAAAUAUGUAAUGUGGCUAUGCGGUCAAUGUCAACGAGCUCAUCUAAUUUGGGAUUGGGAUGCAGGGAGUAUUACGUACUAUGUUAUGCAAGCUGUUUACAACUUUCAUCAAAAUUUUCAAACAUUUCUGAAUAUGUAUUUUCAAAGAAUUCUCGGGCACUCUUAAGGCCUAUAAUUAUUGGAACUCUCACGUUAUGGACCAGAGGACCACUAUGUAUUUUACAAGCACGACGAAUCAUGUGGUCAUUAUGGACUCCCCAAGCCUUAGAGGACUCAUUCCAGGUUUUAGGAGGACCACUGCCUAGCUCACCCUUUCGGAGUGAUGUAAAUUAGUUUCCAGACACUAAAAAUAAGUAAUCAGAUUAAUCAUUACAAAAUUUUGAUAUAAAAUCAGAAUAAAUCCUAAACUUUGAUGAUACAAAAAAAAUUAUAAUUGUAAAUUAUACAAUCAAAUUAAGAUCGAAUUAACUUCCCUCACACUUAAAAUUUAUAGCGAUCAAAUCAAAAUCGAAUUAACUUUCCUAUUACUAAAAUUUAAUUACAAUAUUAUUAGAUAAAGAGAAUAUAUAAUAAUCAAGAGAAAAUAGAUUUUUUUUUGCCACUCAACUUAUUGUGUUUUAAGAAACUUACCACCCAACUAAAUUUUUUUCCUUUUGCUCACUAAUGUUAGGUUUGGAUUUGUUUUUAGCCACCAAAUAAGGUUCGGAUUUGAUUACCAGCAUUAUGAUAAUUUUUUUUGUCACUAAACUUAUUGCGUCUUUAGAAACUAACCACUGAACUAAAUUUUUUUUAUUUUACUCACUAAUGUUAGAUUUAGUUUUUUUUGUCACUAUAGUUAGGUUCAGAUUUGAUUAUUAGCAUUACAUUAAUUCUGUGUAGCAUUUUUAAAAUAUGGUAGUAGUCUGUGAUAUUUAGAUGAUUUGAUAUAUGUCUGUAUUUUUAUAUAUAGUAUAUUUUAUGUCCCCAAGGUCGUUUACCUUGGGUCAUAAAAAUUUUACACUCAUUUUAUGACUUUUAAAAGAUGUAGUUUCAUAAAUAAUUUUAUUUUUUUCUUUCGAAUUAAAAUUCAGCAUUUGAAUUUUACACACAAAAAAAUCGCAAGAAUAAGAUAUGAAACUAUGCUUUACAAGAGUCUUAAAAUACGUGCUAAACGGUAGAAAAAACUGUAAACUAAUGAGAGGUACAUAGGGAGUAAUAAUAACAUAAAAUGAUGCACAAUCAUCGAAUUAAGUUUUCCUCUCUCUAUAUAUUUAUUUUGUAAAUUUUAAUAAGAUAAAGUUAUUAAAAUUUAUGAUAUAAAUUUAAGAGAUAUCUUAGAUUGAGUGGCAAAAAUUUAGUUGGGUGGUAAGUUUCUAAAAACACAAUAAAUUGAGUGGGAACAAAAUCUAUUUUCCCAAUAAUGAGUGGGAAUAAAAUCUAUUUUCCCAAUAAUCAAAGUGACGAAAAAUCAAAGUCAUCUAAUAAGUCCAGAAAAAAUAUGACCAUUAGUAUAUUGAAAUAAUAUUCACGCAUUUAUAUACGAGAAUAUAUGGUCCACAAGUUAGUGCACAAUGUCCAAGAAUCUUUAUCAAAUAACACGGCAAGCAUGCAGCAUAUAAAUAAGAGUGGGCAGUAUGGUAUUGCAUUCAUAACCCACUUGAGCAGAAAUAUGGCACACUUCCUAAAGCCUUCUCACCUUCUUCUCUUUGUUUUCUUUCUCUCGUUACUUCAAUCCAUUCUACCAACAAGACCAGAGGGAGAAGCUCUUGUGAAAUGGAAGAAUAGCCUAGCCCCGUCUUCUUUUCUCGAUUCUUGGUCACUAACCAAUCUCGAUAAUCUUUGUAACUGGACUGGCAUUACUUGUAACUCUGCAGGUUCAGUCUCUGGGAUUAACCUUUAUGAGAAACAACUUGAUGGAAUGCUGUCCGAGUUUGGCUUCACUUCAUUUCCGAAUCUCAACAAUCUCACCCUCGCAUACAACUUCUUCUCGGGUCCAAUACCACCAGCCAUUGAGAAUUUAACACAGCUUCAAUAUCUUGAUUUAAGCAUCAAUAGUCUCGAUGGUCCCAUUCCUUUCCAGGUUAGCCAUCUUCAGAGGUUGCUCGUCCUAAACCUGUCACAGAAUGCAUUGCAAGCUCCAAAUUGGUCCCAUUUCUCUUCCAUGCCUUUUUUGCGCAUCCUCAAGCUCAGUAGGAAUCAUCUUGUAUCNUUUUUAUUUAAAAAGAAAAUCUUGAAAAUAAUAUUAUUAACUACCAGUCAGAUCACUUAAGUGUAUGUCCAAAAUUAAAGCGGCAUAUAAAAAAAAGGGAGGAAGCAUGUACUAACUGUUUCCAUAACAGUUUACAAGUAUAAGCUAUACCCCCUCUCUAUUUUUUUCUAUGACAGCUUUGAUUUUGGGCACACAUUCUUAAGUGUUUUGACCGGAUAGUUAAAAAUUUAUCUUCUAAAAUUUUUAAAAAAAGUAAAAUCGCAAAAAAAAUUAGAAAGCUGGUAUUUUUGAUAAAUUUCCAAAUAUGUAAUCAAGAAAAAUAACUUUUACUAUCCAAUCAACUCAUUUAAAGAUGUGUGUCAAAAAUCAAAAUAUCAUACAAAAAAUAGGUAUACAUUUUUUUAAUAGAUUAUACUCCCUCUGUUCCAAAAUAAGUGUCAGCUGGGGGUAAUAACAAGACCUUAGUCAACCCAAGCACAGCAGACAGCAGGCAUAAGGCAUCAGGAAUUUCACAGGACCAUUAUCUUUCUCUUAUUAACUGUGAAGGGAACAGCGUAUGAAGUAGCAAGAACCUUCAUAUUUACACAGCCAUUGAUCUGUCGUGCAACAAAUUUCAGGGAGAAAUUCCAAAGGUUACCGGAGAGCUUAGAUGGCUUGCAUUGCUCAAUUUAUCGCAUAAUUAAUAGUCUGACAGGACCUAUCCCAACAUUGCUGAGAAAUAUGAAAUAACUCCAUUACUCCAAUCUUAGAUUUGUCCUCAAAUCAACUGACAGGGGCUAUUCCACCUCUGUUAACUGCAUUGACAUUACUUUUCUCUUUAUAUUCUUUCCUUUUGUAUGUACCUAUGCUAAUUAUCUGAUUAUUAAAAUUAUAACAAAGCUUCAAGAUUUUUAACAGGUGAGCUUCCACUAAAAAUUUGCAAAGUCACUUCCCUUUCGCGUCUCAUUAUGUUAGAUAAUGGGUCAAGUGGUGCACUUCCACAGUGUUUGGGGAACCUUUCUUUGCUUGGUUUCAAUAAUCUUGCUAAUUAUCAAUUUCAAGGACCAAUACCAACGACUGUCCAAGACUUGUCUGUGCAUAUCUAAACAUCCAUAACAAUCACUUUGAAGGUUUGUUGCUCCAAUCUUUGGCAAACUGUAAACACUUACAAAUUCUUGAUAUUGGAAACAACGUUGGAGAGCUAGAUGUCCCAGUUAGGGCGGUAAUUCGACUAGAGCAAACCGAGUUUUGAGCGGAGCCAAAUUCGAGCCAAGUUUAAUCGAGUCGAGCCGAGUCGGCUCGUUUAGCUAAUCGAGCCUAAAACUUAGCCCGAACUCGACUCAUUUAAUUUCACGAGUCGAGUCGAGCCAACUCGUUUAGCUAAAUGAGCUGAUUUUAACAAGUCGAGCGAGCGAGCUCGUAUAAUUUUAACUUAGUCGAGCCUGAAUCUCUACCCAAACUAUUGGCUCGUGUAAUUUCGCGAGUCGAAUCGAGCCGGCUCGUUUUAUUAAACAAGCCGAAAUUUUUGCCCGAAUUUGCUCGUUUAACAAGCCGAUCUGAGCCUAGUUAAAUGAGUUCGAGUUAGUCGAGCUCGCGAGCUGCGAGCUCACCUGCCAGCUCUAGUCCUAGUCUUGCAAUCAAAUAGGUUUAACGGUAUAGAAAGUGGAAGGAGCACAAGGCAUCCAUUCCCCAAGGCUAUUUACCAAUUCAGUACUUUGAGGAUACAAAAUCAUUCUGCAGGUACUCUUGUAUCUGUACUUUCUUGUACUGUAUGCCACUUUGACAGUAGAGUAAAAUUUAUAUCGACAAACUGCAUAUGUUCUGAACUACUCCUCUAUCCCAAAUUAGAUGAGCUAGUUGACUUUGAGCACGUAACUUAAGGUACAUUGACCAACUAGUUCCGAUAUUUAUUUUUUUAAUUUUUCUUUUGUAAAUGAAAAUUUCAUAUUUAAAUUUUUAUUUGCAAAACUAAAAUUUAAAAAUAUGUAAUGUGGCUAUGCGGUCAAUGUCAACGAGCUCAUCUAAUUUGGGAUUGGGAUGCAGGGAGUAUUACGUACUAUGUUAUGCAAGCUGUUUACAACUUUCAUCAAAAUUUUCAAACAUUUCUGAAUAUGUAUUUUCAAAGAAUUCUCGGGCACUCUUAAGGCCUAUAAUUAUUGGAACUCUCACGUUAUGGACCAGAGGACCACUAUGUAUUUUACAAGCACGACGAAUCAUGUGGUCAUUAUGGACUCCCCAAGCCUUAGAGGACUCAUUCCAGGUUUUAGGAGGACCACUGCCUAGCUCACCCUUUCGGAGUGAUGUAAAUUAGUUUCCAGACACUAAAAAUAAGUAAUCAGAUUAAUCAUUACAAAAUUUUGAUAUAAAAUCAGAAUAAAUCCUAAACUUUGAUGAUACAAAAAAAAUUAUAAUUGUAAAUUAUACAAUCAAAUUAAGAUCGAAUUAACUUCCCUCACACUUAAAAUUUAUAGCGAUCAAAUCAAAAUCGAAUUAACUUUCCUAUUACUAAAAUUUAAUUACAAUAUUAUUAGAUAAAGAGAAUAUAUAAUAAUCAAGAGAAAAUAGAUUUUUUUUUGCCACUCAACUUAUUGUGUUUUAAGAAACUUACCACCCAACUAAAUUUUUUUCCUUUUGCUCACUAAUGUUAGGUUUGGAUUUGUUUUUAGCCACCAAAUAAGGUUCGGAUUUGAUUACCAGCAUUAUGAUAAUUUUUUUUGUCACUAAACUUAUUGCGUCUUUAGAAACUAACCACUGAACUAAAUUUUUUUUAUUUUACUCACUAAUGUUAGAUUUAGUUUUUUUUGUCACUAUAGUUAGGUUCAGAUUUGAUUAUUAGCAUUACAUUAAUUCUGUGUAGCAUUUUUAAAAUAUGGUAGUAGUCUGUGAUAUUUAGAUGAUUUGAUAUAUGUCUGUAUUUUUAUAUAUAGUAUAUUUUAUGUCCCCAAGGUCGUUUACCUUGGGUCAUAAAAAUUUUACACUCAUUUUAUGACUUUUAAAAGAUGUAGUUUCAUAAAUAAUUUUAUUUUUUUCUUUCGAAUUAAAAUUCAGCAUUUGAAUUUUACACACAAAAAAAUCGCAAGAAUAAGAUAUGAAACUAUGCUUUACAAGAGUCUUAAAAUACGUGCUAAACGGUAGAAAAAACUGUAAACUAAUGAGAGGUACAUAGGGAGUAAUAAUAACAUAAAAUGAUGCACAAUCAUCGAAUUAAGUUUUCCUCUCUCUAUAUAUUUAUUUUGUAAAUUUUAAUAAGAUAAAGUUAUUAAAAUUUAUGAUAUAAAUUUAAGAGAUAUCUUAGAUUGAGUGGCAAAAAUUUAGUUGGGUGGUAAGUUUCUAAAAACACAAUAAAUUGAGUGGGAACAAAAUCUAUUUUCCCAAUAAUGAGUGGGAAUAAAAUCUAUUUUCCCAAUAAUCAAAGUGACGAAAAAUCAAAGUCAUCUAAUAAGUCCAGAAAAAAUAUGACCAUUAGUAUAUUGAAAUAAUAUUCACGCAUUUAUAUACGAGAAUAUAUGGUCCACAAGUUAGUGCACAAUGUCCAAGAAUCUUUAUCAAAUAACACGGCAAGCAUGCAGCAUAUAAAUAAGAGUGGGCAGUAUGGUAUUGCAUUCAUAACCCACUUGAGCAGAAAUAUGGCACACUUCCUAAAGCCUUCUCACCUUCUUCUCUUUGUUUUCUUUCUCUCGUUACUUCAAUCCAUUCUACCAACAAGACCAGAGGGAGAAGCUCUUGUGAAAUGGAAGAAUAGCCUAGCCCCGUCUUCUUUUCUCGAUUCUUGGUCACUAACCAAUCUCGAUAAUCUUUGUAACUGGACUGGCAUUACUUGUAACUCUGCAGGUUCAGUCUCUGGGAUUAACCUUUAUGAGAAACAACUUGAUGGAAUGCUGUCCGAGUUUGGCUUCACUUCAUUUCCGAAUCUCAACAAUCUCACCCUCGCAUACAACUUCUUCUCGGGUCCAAUACCACCAGCCAUUGAGAAUUUAACACAGCUUCAAUAUCUUGAUUUAAGCAUCAAUAGUCUCGAUGGUCCCAUUCCUUUCCAGGUUAGCCAUCUUCAGAGGUUGCUCGUCCUAAACCUGUCACAGAAUGCAUUGCAAGCUCCAAAUUGGUCCCAUUUCUCUUCCAUGCCUUUUUUGCGCAUCCUCAAGCUCAGUAGGAAUCAUCUUGUAUCGAAAUUUCCAGAAUUUAUAUCCAAUUCUCAUAGCUUGGCUAUCCUUGACCUUGGCCAGAACAACUUUACAGGUGAUCUUGUGCGUGAAUUUACCAAUCUACAAAAUCUUGAAACCCUCUGGCUUUAUCGUAAUUCUUUUGAGGGGCCAUUUCCGCCGGAUAUAGUCCAGCUUUCCAAACUAAAAGAUCUUGCCCUGUCAAGUAACAAAUUUUCAGGUUCAGUUCCCAAUAACAUAAGGUUGCUUUGUGAUCUUGAAUACCUAUAUUUAGGCAACAAUUCCUUUAAGGGGCCACUUCCACCAAAUAUAUUUAAGCUUUCAAAAUUAAAACAUCUUGUUCUUUGGAGUAAUAAGUUUUCAGGUUCUGUUUCCAAUGAUAUAGGUUUGCUUCAUGAGCUUGUAACCCUCAAUCUUAACUCUAAUUUUUUUGAGGGGCCGCUUCCGCCAAAUGUAUUCAAGCUCUCCAAACUAAAGUUUUUUGCCCUUCAUGAGAAUAACUUUUCAGGUUUUAUUUCUAAGGAUAUAGGUUUGCUUUCCGAACUUGAAAUCCUCUAUUUUGGCUCUAAUUUUUUUGAGGGGCCGCUUCCUCCACAUGUAUUUAGGCUCUCCAAAUUAAGAGGUCUGGACCUCUCACACAAUAGAAAUUUAUUUGAAGGAAGUAUUCCUAUUGGACUGGGACUCUUGACUAACCUCAGGUACUUAGAUCUACAUUCCAAUAAUCUCGGUGGCUAUAUUCCAUCUGACAUUGGAAACCUGAAGCUACUAGUACUUCUUGAUCUCGGUUCUAAUCAAUUGACUGGACCGCUUUCAAAGAUCGUUUCUAAUCUCACAAAUCUUAUAUGUCUUGAUGUAAGUCAUAAUAGUCUUAGUGGAAAUAUUCAGAGUGACUUGUGGAAAUAUAACGAUCAUCCAACUUUGGAAUACAUCAAUUUAAGUGGGAACCAUUUUACGGGUAUAGUUUUUCUCUAUAGAUCUUUUCCUUUUCUCAUAUGUAACUAAGCUAGUAAUCUGAUUAUUGCAGUUUCACCAAAGUUUCAACAAUCUUGACAGGUGAGCUUCCAACAACAAUUUGCAAUGUCACUUCCCUUUCGGUUCUUGAUUUGUCAAAUAAUGAAUUAAGUGGUGCACUUCCAAACUCUUUGGGGAAUCUUGCUGAUGGAAUGCUUUACCUUAAUCUUGCUAAUAAUCAGUUUCGAGGAACAAUACCAACUACUUUCUCCAGGAGUUGUCGGUUGACAUAUCUAAACAUGGAUAAUAAUGAGUUUGAAGGAUUGUUGCCCCCAUCUUUGGCGAACUGUAAGCACUUGAAAAUUCUUGAUAUAGGCAAUAAUAAAAUAGGUGGUACAUUUCCGUCAUGGCUUUAUGCACUUGGAGAGCUAGAAGUUCUUGUCUUGCGAUCAAAUAAACUCUAUGGUACGAUAAGUGGAAGGAGCAUAGAAGAUCCCUUCCCCAAGUUGCGGAUUGUGGAUCUGUCCCACAAUCAAUUGACAGGCUAUUUGCCAAUUCAAUACUUUAAGAAUAUGAAAUCAACUGAUAAUUUGUAUCGUUAUCGGAAUUCCACAGGACCAUUAUCUUUCUCUUAUGAAGCAGCAGUCUCAUUAACUGUGAAGGGAACAGAGUACGAGGUAGCAAAGAACCUUCAUAUUUACACAGCCAUUGACCUGUCGUGCAACAAAUUUCAGGGAGAAAUUCCAAAGGUUACUGGAGAGCUUAGAUGGCUUGCAUUGCUGAAUUUAUCUCAUAAUAGUCUGACAGGACCUAUCCCAUCCUUGCUGAAAAAUAUGAAAGAACUCCAAUCUUUAGAUUUGUCCUCAAAUCAACUGACAGGGGCUAUUCCACCUCAGUUAACUGCAUUGACAUUUCUGGAGGUCUUCAACCUCUCGGGAAACCAUCUUAGUGGAGAGAUUCCUCAGAAAGGGCAGUUCAGCACAUUUAACAAUGAUUCUUAUCUAGGAAACUCCGCGUUAUGUGGAUCACCUUUGACAAAGAAAUGUGCAAACACAGCAUCACCUCCACAAGAAGUCGGAAAUGGUGAUGAAGAUGAUGCUGGUGAUGAAUGGACAUGGGAAGCAAUCGUGAUGGGAUAUGGAUGUGGACUGAUAUGUGGAUUGUCAUCUGCGUACAUUGUUCUCAAACUAGGAAAGCCUUGGUGGUUUGUGAGAUAUAUCGAAGUGCUGCAACUGAAGUUGAUGAAAAGAUAUGCUUGAAAAAUUGUACUGGCCGAUCAAGACGAACUUGAAAGUUGUUGUCCUUGUGGACAUUUCUGAACCAGUAGUGUACUAGCUGCAUAAGUAUUUGGUAUUAUGUAAUAAUCCGUUUGGUCAGGACUCAUAAUGAUUUCUCUUGCUUCAGGGGUAUUAAUAUUAACCUUGCUAGUUAAUUCAAAUUAAAACAAAUAUAAAAUCAAAAAAUUUGCAUCAAACACCUGUUAUACCAACAUCCAUUAAUUUGCUUUCAUCUCUUACGUAACAAUUUAACAGCGAUUCCACACUGUUUUAGGCAUGGAGAUUACACAAAGAAGGCAAGUCCAUGAACUAAUAUAUUAACCCGUAGUCCACAUCUAUGCUACGAACAAUUCAUAUUGGUCUUCCAUCUAUUCAACCGUCUCCCGAAGAUAGGCCAAAAAUGUCAUCUGUGGUUCUUAUCUUUGUCAGUAAAGGAGAAUCUCUGAUGCCUAUACAACCUGGUUUUCUUACAGAAAGGAAUGUAGGUGAAACCAGGGGCAUAAAAUGAAUCGGGACUAAAAUCUGCUAAAAUGAUAAUUAUUUACUCAUCAUUCGAGAUUAGUCGGGCUCAAAUGAAGAUUUAUAUGGAUUUUAAGAACAAACUAUGACUAAAUAUGAAAACUAGACAACCUGGUUUUCUUACAGAAAGGAAUGUAGGUGAAACCAGGGGCGUAAAAUGAAUCGGGACUAAAAUCUGCUAAAAUGAUAGUAAUUAUUUACUCAUCAUUCAAGAUUAGUCGGGCUCAAAUGAAGAUUUAUAUGGAUUUUUAAGAACAAACUAUGACUAAAUAUGAAAAAAAUCAUUAAUUUUUCCGACUCAAUAUUUUUUAGCCUCCCCCGGCCCUGGGUGAAACCAUAAGCUUCUCUGGUGCACAUCCAAAUCAUUCAGCUGGUUCUGCAGGUACUCUUCUAUCUGUACUUUCUUAUAUUGUUUGCCAGUACAUUUUAUAUCGACAAACUGCACAAUACACCUCGAUCUCAUACACAGGUGAACUCCUGCAUAUGCUUUGUGAUGUCAUUGAUGAUCGAUAGACUUGAAAAAAAAUUAUGACAAAGAUUCAUAAAAUAUCUACUUCCAUCCUAAUUCAGUAUUCAAUAUUAUUCAUCCCGUAUCAUCAUCCAAUCAAUUCUAAUAGUUCUUCUUUAAAUCAGUACAAAUAUUGUUAAAUACCUCGAUGAUGGUUGUCUUCCCGUGAACCAAUCAUAAAAUUACCUCUGUAUAAAUCCAUCGGAAAUAAGACAGUUAAUAUCCCAAUCGAAUACACCCCGUCAGUUGUCAAACUCCUCGAAACGUAUUAAUCACUUUAGAAAAUUUGUUCCACUGGCGCUAGUCAGUCCCAGAGUUGGUGGUGGGUGCUUCUGGGCUUUCGAAAAACACCCAUUUACUCCAUUGUUUAGAGAAGUAAAACCCCACCUUCCGCUCAUUUGAUUGAUCAGCUGAAUUAGGCAGAGUUUACAUGGUCAUGAUCAUAGUCUCCCAUUUCCCAGAUACGCGAAUUAUAGUGGAUUUAUCUUUAUCAGUAAUUUCUGUGGAGAUGCAUAAUCAUUAUAAGCUCCAAUAUAAAAAUUUAAAGUUAGUAUGGGCAUUUGUGUUGAUAAUUUGCGCAAUGUUAACAGGAUUGCUCCCAAGUCUUGGACGGACUCUUUCAAAGUCUUCUCAGGACCCAUCUGCACACUGAUUUGUCUGCCAACUAAAAAAUCAACAAUAUGUUACUCACUCCGUUUUUCUUAAACGAGGUUAAAAUUUUUGACACAAGAUGGGUUGACAGUAUAAUAAAAUUAACAUUUUUGUGAAUAAAAAUUUUGGUUGUAUUAUUUUAUUUAGAAAAAGAAAAUCUUGAAAAUAAUAUUAUUAACUACCCAGUCAAAUCACUUAAAAGUAUAUGUCCAAAAUUAAAGCGGCAUAUAAAAAAACCGAGAGAGAGUAUGUACUAACCUGUUUCCAUAACAGUUUACAAGUAUAAGUUAUACUCCCUCUCUAUUUUUUUAUAUGACGCUUUGAUUUUGGGCACAUAUUUUUAAGUGUUUUGACCGGAUAAUUAAAAAUAUUAUUUUCUAAAAUUUUUAAAAGAAAGUAAAAUUGAAAAAAAAAUAGAAAGCUGGUAUUUUUGAUAAAUUUCCAAACAUAAUCAAGAACAAUAAUUUUUACUAUCCAAUCAACUCAUUUACAGAUGUGUGUCAAAAAUCAAAAUAUCAUAUAAAAAACAACAAUAUGUUACUCCCUCCGUUUUUCUUAAACUGAGGUUAAAAUUUUUGACACAAGAUGGGUUGACAGUAUAAAAUUAAAAUUUUUGUGAAUAAAAAUUUUGGUUAUAUUUUUUAUUUAAAAAGAAAAUCUUGAAAAUAAUAUUAUUAACUACCAGUCAGAUCACUUAAGUGUAUGUCCAAAAUUAAAGCGGCAUAUAAAAAAAAGGGAGGAAGCAUGUACUAACUGUUUCCAUAACAGUUUACAAGUACAAGUUAUACUCCCUCUCUAUUUUUUCUAUGACGCUUUGAUUUUGGGCACACAUUCUUAAGUGUUUUGACCGGAUAGUUAAAAAUUUAUCUUCUAAAAUUUUUAAAAAGAAGUAAAAUCGCAAAAAAAAUUAGAAAGCUGGUAUUUUUGAUAAAUUUCCAAAUAUGUAAUCAAGAACAAUAACUUUUACUAUCCAAUCAACUCAUUUAAAGAUGUGUGUCAAAAAUCAAAAUAUCAUACAAAAAAUAGGUAUACAUUUUUUUUAAUAGAUUAUACUCCCUCUGUUCCAAAAUAAUUGUCAGCUGUGACAUUUUGCAAAAGUAGCUGGGGGGUAAUAACAAGACCUUAGUCAACCCAAGCACAGCAGACAGCAGGCAUAAGGCAUCAGGAAUUUCACAGCACCAUUAUCUUUCUCUUAUUAACUGUGAAGGGAACAGAGUAUGAAGUAGCAAGAACCUUCAUAUUUACACAGCCAUUGAUCUGUCGUGCAACGAAUUUCAGGGAGAAAUUUCAAAGGUUACUGGAGAGCUUAGAUGGCUUGCAUUGCUCAAUUUAUCUCAUAAUAGUCUCACAGGACCUAUCCCAUCAUUGCUGAGAAAAAUGAAAGAACUCCAAUCUUUAGAUUUGUCCUCAAAUCAACUGACAGGGGCUAUUCCACCUCAGUUAACUGCAUUGACAUUACUUUUCUCUUUAUAUCCUUUCCUUUUGUAUGUACCUAUGCUAAUUAUCUGAUUAUCAAAAUUAUAACAAAGCUUCAAGAUUUUUAACAGGUGAGCUUCCACUAAAAAUUUGCAAAGUCACUUCCCUUUCGCGUCUCAUUAUGUCAGAUAAUGGGUCAAGUGGUGCACAUCCACAGUGUUUGGGGAACCUUUCUUUGCUUGGUUUCAAUAAUCUUGCUAAUUAUCAAUUUCAAGGACCAAUACCAACGACUGUCCAAGACUUGUCUGUGCAUAUCUAAACAUCCAUAACAAUCACUUUGAAGGUUUGUUGCUGCAAUCUUUGACAAACUGUAAACACUUACAAAUUCUUGAUAUUGGAAACAACAAAAUAGGUGGUACAUUUCGGUCAUGGCUAUUUAUUUUGGAGAGCUAGAUGUCCUAGUUAGGGCGGUAAUUCAACUAGAGCAAACCGAGUUUUGAGCGGAGCCAAAUUCGAGCCAAGUUUAAUCGAGUCAAGCCGAGUCGGCUCGUUUAGCUAAUCGAGCCUAAAACUCUGCCCGAACUCGACUCGUUUAAUUUCACGAACGAGUCAAGCGAGUGAGCUCGUAUAAUUUUAACUUAAUCGAGCCUAAAUCUCUACCCGAACUAUUGGCUCGUGUAAUUUCGCGAGUAGAAUCGAGCCGGCUCGUUUUAUUAUAGAAGCCGAAAUUUUUGCCCGAAUUUGGCUUGUUUAACAAGCCGAUCUUUCAUCAAAAAUUUCAAACAUUUCUGAAUAUGUAUUUUCAGAGAAUUUCUCCAGCACUCUUAAGGCCUAUAAUUAUUGCAACUCUCACGUUAUGGACCACUGUGUAUUUUACAAGCACGACGAAUCAUGUUGUCAUUAUGGACUCCCCAAGCCUUAGAGGACUCAUUCCAGGUCUUAGGAGGACCACUGCCUAGCUCACCCUUUCGGAGUGAUGUAAAUUAUUUUCCAAACAUUAAAAAUAAAUAAUCAGAUUAAUCAAUACAAAAUUAAAGAUAUAAAAUCAGAAUAAAUCCUAAACUUUGAAUAUACAAAAAAAAUUAUAAUUGUAAAUUAUACAAUCAAAUUAAAAUUGAAUUAACUUCCCUCACACUUAAAAUUUAUAGCGAUCAAAUCAAAAUCGAAUUAACUUUCCUAUUACUAAAAUUUAGUUACAAUAUUAUUAGAUAAAGAGAAUAUAUAAUAAUCAAGGGAAAAUAGAUUUUUUUUUUUUGCCACUCAACUUAUUGUUUUUUAAGAAACUUACCACCCAACUAAUUAUUUUUUCCUUUUGCUCACUAAUGUUAGGUUUGGAUUUGUUUUUAGCCACCAACUAAGGUUCGGAUUUGAUUACUAGCAUUAUGAUAAUUUUUUUUGUCACUAAACUUAUUGUGUCUUUAGAAACUAACCACUCAACUAAUUUUUUUUUAAUUUACUCACUAAUGUUAGGUUCAGUUUUUUUUUGUCACUGAAGUUAGGUUCGGAUUUGAUUAUUAGCAUUACAUUAAUUCUGUGUAGCAUUUUUAAAAUAUGGCUCAUAAGAAUUUUACACGCAUUUUAUGACUUUUAAAAGAUGUAGUUUCAUUAAUAAUUUUAUUUUUUUCUUCCGAAUUAAAAUUUAGCGUUUGAAUUUUACACACAAAAAAUCGAAAGAAUAAGUUAUGAAAGUAUGCUUUAUAAGAGUCUUAAAAUACGUGCUAAACGGUAGAAAAAACUGUACACUAAUGACAGGUAAAUAGGGAGUAAUAAUAACAUAAAAUGAUGCACAAUCAUCGAAUUAAGUUUUCCUCUCUCUAUAUAUUUAUUUUGAAAAUUUUAAUAAGAUAAAGUUAUUAAAAUUUAUGAUAUAAAUUUAAGAGAUAUCUUAGAUUGAGUGGCAAAAAUUUAGUUGGGUGAUAAAUUUCUAAAAACACAAUAAAUUGAAUGGGAACAAAAUCUAUUUUCCCGAUAAUCAAAGUGACGAAAAAUCAAAGUCAUCUAAUAAGUCCAGAAAAAAUAUGACCAUUAGUAUAUCGGAAUAAUAUUCACACAUUUAUAUACGAGAAUAUAUGGUCCACAAGUUAGUGCACAAUGUCCAAGAAUCUUUAUUAAAGUAACACGGCAAGCAUGCAGCAUAUAAAUAAGAGUGGGCACUGGGCAGUAUGGUAUUGCAUUCAUAACCCACUUGAGGAGAAAUAUGGCACACUUCCUAAAGCCUUCUCACCUUCUUCUCUUUGUUUUCUUUCUCUCGUUACUUCAAUCCAUUCUACUAACAAGACCAGAGGGAGAAGCUCUUGUGAAAUGGAAGAAUAGCCUUGCCCCUUCUUCUUUUCUCGAUUCUUGGUCACUCACCAAUCUCGAUGAUCUUUGUAACUGGACUGGCAUUACUUGUAACUCUGCAGGUUCAGUCUCUGAGAUUAACCUUUAUGAGAAACAACUUGAUGGAAUGCUGUCCGAGUUUAGUUUCACUUCAUUUCCAAAUCUUAACAGUCUCACUCUCGCAUACAACUUCUUCUCGGGUCCAAUACCACCAGCCAUUGAGAAUUUAACACAGCUUCAAUAUCUUGAUUUAAGCAUCAAUAGUCUCGAUGGUCUCAUUCCGUUCCAGGUUAGCCAUCUUCAGAGGUUGCUCGUCUUAAACCUGUCACAGAAUGCAUUGCAAGCUCCAAAUUGGUCCCAAUUCUCUCCCAUGCCCUUUUUGUGCAGCCUCAACCUCAGUAGCAAUCCUCUUGCGUCGAAAUUCCCAAAUUUCAUAUCCAAUUCUCAUGGCCUGACUCACCUUAGCCUUGAUCAAAACGAGUUUACAGGUGAUUUAGCGCGUGAAUCAAUAUUUGCCAAUCUGCAUAAUCUUGAAGUCCUCAGUCUUGUUGGCAAUUCUUUUGAGGGGCCAUUUCUGCCAAAUAUAUUCAAGCUUUCCAAAUUAAAACGUCUCACCCUGUCAAGUAACAAAUUUUUAGGAUCAAUUCCCAAUGACAUAAGGUUGCUUUGUGAUCUUGAAUUCCUGUAUUUAGGAAACAAUUCUUUUGAAGGACCGCUUCCACCAAAUAUAUUCAAGCUUUCAAAAUUAAAACAUCUUGUUCUUUGGAGUAAUAAGUUUUCAGGUUCUGUUUCCAAUGAUAUAGGUUUGCUUUCUGCGCUUGAACUUUUGAAUCUUCACUCUAAUUUUUUUGAGGGGCCGCUUCCGCCAAAUGUAUUCAAGCUCUCUAAACUAAGGUUUCUUAACCUCUGGGGUAACAACUUUUCAGGUUCUGUUUCCAAUGAUAUAGGUUUGCUUCCGGAGCUAGAAAUCCUCAAUCUUCACUCUAAUUUUUUUGAGGGCCGCUUCCGCCAAAUAUAUUCAAGCUCUCUAAACUAAGGUUUCUUAACCUUUGGGGUAAUAACUUUUCAGGUUCUGUUUCCAAUGAUAUAGGUUUGCUUCCUGAGCUAGAAUUCCUCAAUCUUCACUCUAAUUUUUUUGAGGGUCCGCUUCCGCCAAAUGUAUUCAAGCUCUCUAAACUAAAGUUUCUUCAUCUUCGAGGUAAUAAGUUUUCAGGUUCUGUUUCCAAUGAUAUAGGUUUGCUUCCUGAGCUUGAAAUCCUCAAUCUUCGCUCUAAUUUUUUUGAGGGGCCGCUUCCGCCAAAUGUAUUCAAGCUCUCCAAACUAAGGUUUCUUUCCCUUAAGGAAAAUAAAUUUUCAGGUUCUGUUUCCAAUGAUAUAGGUUUCCUUUCUGAGCUUGAAUACCUAUAUCUUGACUAUAAUUUAUUUGAAGGAAGUAUUCCUAUUGGACUGGGACUCUUGACUAACCUCAGCUACUUAGAUCUAAGUUCCAAUAAUCUCAGUGGCUAUAUUCCAUCUGACAUUGGAAACCUGAAGCUACUAGUAUUUCUUGAUCUCAGUUCUAACCAAUUGACUGGACCGCUUUUAAAGAUCGUUUCUAAUCUCACAAAUCUUAUGAAUCUUGAUGUAAGUGAUAAUAGUCUUAGUGGAAAUAUUCAGAGUGACUUGUGGAAGAACUCUAUAUCCUUACGUUACAUUAAUUUUGCAAAUAAUUAUUUGUCUGGGAACAUUCCUAAGGAAUACAACGAUCAUCCAACUUUGGAAUACAUCAAUUUAAGUGGGAACCAUUUUACAGGUAUAUUUUUCUCUAUAUAUCUUUUCCUUUUCUCAUAUGUAACUAAGCUGGUAAUCUGAUUAUUGCAGUUUUACCAAAGUUUCAACAAUCUUGACAGGUGAGCUUCCAACAACAAUUUGCAAUGUCACUUCCCUUGCGGUUCUUGUUUUGUCAAAUAAUGGAUUAAGUGGAGCACUUCCAAAUUGUUUCGGGAAACUUGCUGAUAGAUUGCUUUCCAUUAAUCUUGCUAAUAAUCAGUUUCGAGGAACAAUACCAACUACUUUCUCCAGGAGUUGUCAGGUGAAAUAUCUAAACAUGGAUAAUAAUGAGUUUGAAGGAUUCUUGCCCCCAUCUUUGGCGAACUGUAAGCACUUGAAAAUUCUUGAUAUUGGCAAUAACAAAAUAGGUGGUCCAUUUCCGUCAUGGCUUUAUGUACUUGGAGAGAUAGAAGUCCUUGUCUUGCGAUUAAAUAAACUCUAUGGUACAAUAAGUGGAAGGAGCGUAAAAGAUCCCUUCCCCAAGUUGCGGAUUGUGGAUCAAUAGACAUCGGCUAAAAAGCGAUGUCUAUGUAAAAUCAGACCGAUGUCUUCGUGGGUGAUGAGAAAAGUAAGUGCAUUACACAUCGCUUUCUAGCCGAUGUCUAUAACCUAUUUACACAUCGUUUAAUAUGACAAUCUGAUGUAUUUUUUAACAGUAGAUACCUUCACUAUAAUUUCAGUUCCUCAUUCCUAUGCCCUCUAUAUCAUUUUAAACUUGUCACAUGCUUAAUAAAAUGAUACUUUAACAUCUUAAAACUUGUAAAAUAGAUGUAUAUGAUAACCUUUUACAUCAUGCUUUUAUAGGAAGUGAUGUGGUACCCUUCUUUUCUUUAAGAAAGCGAUGUCUUUGUUCUUGUUUUACAUCAGUGAUUUUUAUACUCUGAUAUCUAUUAUAUAGUUUAACAUCAGGCUUUUUCUUGUUAACUGAUAUGUAUUCAUUCUUAUGACAUCGCUUACUAAGUGAUGUAAAUGUUAGUUUUAAAUUGCCAUGAAUCCUCCUGUUUCUUAUGAAUCCCCCUGUUUCAUUUAAAUUUCCAACAAAUUCCAAAACAACACCAAAGCUAUACUAAUUAAACAACCAAUUACCAAUGUCUAGCCUACCAUAACAGAACUAAAACAAAACUAGCUAGCAAAACAAUACUUCCGCAAAAGCCAAAUAUAUUACCAUCAAUCAUUACCAAUCAAAUUACAUCCCACAAUCAAAGAAACUGCACAAAUCCUAAAUAUUAACCAAGCAACCAUAAUUUACAAGCAGUUCACCACGUACUCCAGCAACCAUAAUUUACCAACUACAUUUCCCUCCAUUUAUCAACAAAAUCUACUUAGCUAGCUAGUGUCACUGUCUUACAUAAACUGAACUAAUUAAAGGAAACCAAAGUUCUCCAAUAAACCAAAGGCCUGUUUAUAAGAAGGACUCGAUAUGGCUAAGUGUCUCAAACCGAACCUCGUCAAGCUCAGCCUUGGAACAAAUCACUUUUCGAUUCUUGGAUGCCCACUGAAAAAUGUAAAACAAUAACAUUGAAUUAUACCUAAAUUUAUAUGUACACCAUUUAAUUAUAUCAACAAUGGAUUAGGCAAAGAAAAAUACCCUUUUAAAAAAUGUCAUUUCAUUGUCCAUGACAAUCUCUUUCAUAUACCGCAUAAUAACAUAGCCGCAUUCAGUUCCACCGGGCUGUUUAGGACAUCCCUAUUUAACCAAAAAAAACUCAAAAUAGUAAGUAAAGUAAUGCCCCUGGUUCUAAGCAUCAGUAGCACAAAUUGUUAAAAAUAAAUACGAAAGCUUACUGUAAUAUAUUUGAAGCUUGGGGCUUUAUUUCCCCUUCCGGCCUGAACAUUGAAAGUAAUCACAGCCCUGUCAUCUUGGCAGUGUUAAUAAUGCACAUGCAUUUAUAUCUCCAUAAGAAAGAUAAUCAAUAAAAAAAUAAAUGAAAAUACCUUGAUAUUGCUUUUUCCAAGUUGGGGAAACUAGUUGAACGAGGCAGAGGAUUAAGUAUGAAAACCUCGCCACCCCAAAACAGAACCAAUACCCAAUGGAAACUAUUUUUAACAAAUAUUUAUGAAAAACACAAUUACUAUCAAAAUCAUAUAAAUUUUAUUUUCAGUCAUGUAAAAAACUAAAUAAAAGAGAUUUAUAAUAAAUAAGAAAACACUUAAGCUACUUACUUGCUAUUAUGCGGCAUCAAAAAGAGACGAUCAGGAUUACCCUCUUUAAAUCGAUUAACCAAGUUAUCUUCAAAAGAAUUGUUCAUCAAGUUCAGCGAGGCUCCAGGAUCACAAAAAGCAAAUUGAUCCUUAGUGCCAUUUUCACGAACCACGCAAUGCAAGUAUCUACAUUGUAAAUGAAAUGAAAUUAUAUAAAAUUACACGAAUAUGAAUUAUAACUAAACAACAGUCAUGAUCUAGAAGACAGUAAUUAAAAAAAGUUUACUCACGCCAUGUAUGCAGCAAUUGCUGCUUGGCCAAUCAUAUUAAACUCCAGCAAGGCGACUAUGUUUUCAUACAAGAUGAAGAUUCUUUUCUCGAUACCAAACACCUCAGCAUCACACGGGAUUUGAAUUGAGUCUCCGGAGGAUUGCAUAAAUGUUGUUGCAUGUUUAUACAACAACCGAAAGCGUUUUGGAACAUUUUUAUUGAUCUCCAUGUUAUGAAACAAGGACUGGACUUUAUCUAAAUCGGUUUUAGGUUCCUUUACUUUCCGUUUACCUUUCUGAAAAAUGAACAAAAUUAAUUUAAAACAAAAUAUAACAAAAUAUAGGGGUAACAUAUAAUAGUACAAUCCAGUACAACAAUUAUGUUAAAGUACACACCAUAGUAGGAAUAGUAGGAGGGGCAUUUGGGAAUAUGAUCAAGUCGCGGGGCCAUGAGACGUACGAGCCAACAGCUUGCUCUACUGUUUCAAUCUCACCUGGUACCGGUUUAGGAAUCUUGGCUUGUCCUUGAAUUGGGCCAUCCACUGAGACGCGAACACAUCCAGGCUCUAUCGGCACUCCAUGUAUAGAUUUGUUCAUGUUAUCAUCAUCAAACAACAAACCAAAUGCCACUUUAUUUUCUAUUGUGCCUACAGCCAACUCACAUUUUCGUGGACCGGCCUACACACAUAUAUUUAAACAAUUAUGACGAAUGCUUGAAAUAUGUUGAGCUAAAUUGAAUAAAUGUGCUAGUUAUUUUACCUUAUUCUCUGGUGGAUUAGGUUCCAAGUCAACUUCAAUCAUCUCUGGUUCCAGUUUUUUCACCACCUCUGUCUUAGCUUCUUUGACAGUGUUUGCCUCACAACUUGCUUUAUCAGAAGCAAUAGGAGAUGAAAUAUUUGCUUUGCUGAGCAAGGCCUUCAUUUCAGCCAUCUCCUGCCUUGUCUUCUCCAUUUCCAUGGCCAUCUCUUUCUUGGCUUUCUCCAGCUCCGCGUCCCUCUCUCGAUCCCUCUCCAACAACUCAGCUUUGGUGAUUCUAUUUCUUCUUCCUGGUGGUAUAUUAAAAAAAAUUGACGGGCUCACAAAGCCUCCAACUCCUCGAACCCUCCCCGAAUGUUCAGGAGUUUGUAGGGCCGUAGUCAACACAUCUCGACUCCCAGAAGGAGUGAAUUCCCCCUUACUUUGCUGCUCUAGUAAAAUAUUCUGACAUGAAAAAUAUGAACAUACAAAUCAUCAUCUAGUGAACCUCAUCAUCAAUAUUAACUUUAAUUUUACGAGCCUUUUAAUUAUAAAUACUCACAAUUCUUUUUCCUAUUUCAGCUAGGUCUGAAUCCUCAUCAUCAGCAUCAUCAGCCUCAUCAUCAUCAUCAACAUUAUCAUUAUCAUCAUCAAUUUUAAUUUUACGAGCCUUUUGCCACAUGAGAGCCCGAUCAGGUUCUUCAUCGGCAGCCAAAGUUCCUUUCUUGAUCUGAUUAAAAUCAAAAAAAAAUUAAAAAGGCCAAGAUAUGUAAAAUACAAUUAUUUAGGUUCAAUGCUUAAAAUACAACUAUUUUUAUACCUCUUCUUCCAAUAAUCCAAUGUAACCCUUUCUUGAUGUCCGGUGAGGAUAUUUUCGAUUACUCACCCUCAGCUUUUGUUUUUCACUAAAAGACUUCAAAUAUUUUAAAUAAUAUUAGAAUACUAUUUUUCAGAAUAUAAAAAGACAUUUAUAUCACAAUAAAGCAGAACAUAAAAUAUAUUUCAUACCAGAAAUUUCGAGGUAGUCCUCUCAGCAACAAAAUUUUUCCAAGCCUCCUUUCCAACAAAAGCAUACUUCUUUGGAGGCUUUCGUAAUUUCUUCUUCUGCCCAAGAUACGGCCUCACAUAAUCUCUUGUUAAAUUUGCUUUAAAAUUCCUCCACUUUGCUCCUGCAGACCUGAUCAACCCCUUCUCAAGUUGCUUAGGAACUUUAAAUGUCUCCUGCAACCAAUGUUAAUUGACAAAAUUUACAAAAUUAUACUCUAAAUGAGUAGAAGAAAAUGCAAAAUUUACAAAAUGCAUAGGAGAUUACUUAUUUUUAUACCUUCACAUCAAUCCAUAUUUUCUCCUUUAGUUCAUCAGGUACCUUUGACCAGUUAGGAUAAUCAAUCGGAAUCAUUGUCCUAGCCAACAUUCCAGUGUAGGAUUGUAGACUGUGCCUUGCAUCCCCUGUAGGAACUCCAUGUGCAUUACAUGAAACCUUUGUUUUCUUGCCCUGCGCCUUCCUCACCACCACUUUAUACAUAGCAGAAACCCCUCGGGCACCCCCACGCUUUUUCUUUGCUGUUUCAGAUGUUGUAACUGUUGCAUCCGUUUCCUCCACAGAAUUCACAUUUUCUCCCUGAGGUUCUGUUGUCAGCUCCAACCUUUUAUCUGAUGCCUCAUCCGACUUUUUGGAGUCUUCAUGGAAUUGUACUUUGGUUUUUUGCUUUUUAUUUGCCAUUUAUCUUCUUCAAUCUGAAAAUGAAACAUAUAUAAUCCAUUAGUCACAGGCAUAUAUACGAGCAAUUACAGGAUAAGCAGUUAUAAAGUUACAUAAGCCUACAUAAGCCGUUACAAAAUUGUAAAAAUGCAUAACUAAACAUUUACACAGAGUGAAAAUUACAGGAGUCUAAUUACACAGAGUAAAUUACAAAGUUGCAUCACAUAUAUUACAUGACUUGAAAUAAUGUUAUCACAGAGUAAAUUACAAAGUCUCAUCACAAAAUUAACUAUUACAUGACUUGAAAUAAUGUUAUCACUUCUUAACCCAAGUGCCCUUAAUAUUUUCUCUAAUACUUUUCUCAACAUCAUCACCGACAUCACAUGUAGGAAUUUGGCAGCAGAAUGGAGGAUUUUCCAUGGUUGUGUCUCCUAAAUCAUCAUCGUUAUACACCUCUUGGUAGUCUCGAGUUGUAGAGGUUAAUACGACGGACCACUUGGCAUCCACCGGAUCUUCAAUAUAAUAAACUUGCUUUACUUGAUCUAUAGACACGUAUUUAUCUCUCUUGUGGCCUUGUCGACUUAGAUCGACAAGUGUGAACCCAAGAUCAUCCACCUUAAUUCCCUUGUCAUUGUCCGCCCAAUUACAUAAAAACAGUGGGGCUUUGAAUGCAUGAUAAUCCAGCUCCCAUAUAUCUAGGAUAACACCAUAAAAUGUCAAGUCACUUUCUACGGGGUUUAAAUCUUUAGCGCUAGACACUUGGACAGUUUUAGCAACUAAAGACACUCCGCUGUUUUGAACUACCCUCACAUUGUCUCGCUGUUUUGUAAAGUAUCGGACCCCGUCUACUAGAUAAGCUUCGUAAGUCAUAACUGAAAAUGAUGGUUUUCCAGCUAUCCAUCUUACUGUCUCUGAAACUCCUCCAGGAUUCUCCACCAUUUCACUACUGACCUACACAUUUCAUAAACAGAAAUUAUCCUAAAUUACUAUAGAGAAAAUAAAUUAGGCACAAAUGAAACUAUAAAAAUACUAACUUUUUCUAGAAACCAAUCAGCAAAACUGUUAUUGUGCUCUCUCAAGAGCCAAUGAACGCUUUUCUUUUUCCCACGAUGGAUUUCCUCUAGAUACUCCUUAUGCAUUCUGCCAAAAAUUAUAUAUUCAUUAAAGAAGUAGUUUAUACAGAAUGUAUAUAUUAAUUGAACAGCCACAAAAUUAAAAAAAUCUUACAAGAUAUAUGGCUGUACUUCAAGGUUGUUUAGAAGAACGUGUAAAUGAGCUUCAUCCCUCUCUUUUUCUUCGAUUGAUUUCAUUACCGCAACAGAUAAUGGACCACUUAACUUGCCUUCAUCUUUGCGAAGACCAGCAGUGGUGCAAGUUUGCUUGACAAACUCUUGGCAGAAUUCAAUCGAUUCUUCUCCAAGAUAACAUUCUGCUAUACAACCUUCGGGGUAGUAACGAUUGCGUACGUAACUCUUCAACACCUUAUUAAACCUCUCAAAUGCAUACAUCCAUCUAUAGAAGACUGGCCCACAUAACCGUAAUUCCCGAACCAAGUGCACUAUGAGAUGUAUCAUUACAUCAAAAAAUGAUGCAGGAAAAAUUUUUUCUAGCUCGCACAAAGUUACUAUUACAUCUGAUUGCAAUUUAUCUAGUUUAGAUACGUCGACAACUUUGCUGCAUAAAGCAUUAAAGAAGAAACACAAUCUAAUUAUUGUGACCCUGACUUUUUUUGGAAGUACCGCGCGAAUUGCAAUAGGAAGUAAUUGUUGAAGUAGGAUGUGGCAAUCGUGGGACUUCAACCCAAACAUUUUUAAUUCUUCCAUGGAAACACAGUUUUUAAUGUUUGACGCGUGUCCAUAAGGAAGUUUCAUGUGCAUUAACGAUGACAACAUCUUCUUCUUUUCUGCCUUGGACAAAUUAAAAAUCGAAGGAGGUAAAUAGGUCUUUCUUUCUCCUUUUUGUGGAGCUAGAUCAGCCCUAACCCCCAUGUCAAUCAUGUCAAGACGAGAAGCUUCACUAUCUUUAGACUUAUGUUUCAUAUUCAGUAGUGUGCCAAUCAAGCUAUCACACACGUUUUUCUCCACGUGCAUAACAUCUAGACAAUGACGGACAUGGUGAAAUUUCCAAUACUCUAACUCGAAGAAAAUUGACUUUUUCUUCCAUGGACAGUCAACCUUCUUUGACUUCCUUACUUCUUUCCCAAACUGAAAUUCAAUUUUUUCUUGCUGCAAUAAAACCUCUUCUCCCGAAAGAGGUUGACGUGCCUGCCCUAAUUCUUGUUGUCCAUUAAAAGCAGCUUUUUGCUUCCUAUAUGGAUGAUUUCUAGCCAAGUAACGUCGAUGACCUUGGUAACACAUCUUCCUACUAUGGCUUAAAUACUUUGCAACAGUAUCAUCACCACAUAUUGGACAAGACAUAUAACCUUUAUUAACACAUCCGGACAGAUUUCCAUAUGCGGGAAAGUCGUUUAUUGUCCACAAUAAAAUUGCUUUUAAAGUGAAAUACGACUUAGUGUGUGCAUCAUAGACAUUUGGUUCACCUUCCUCCCACAACUUCUUUAAAUCAUCGAUUAGAGGCUGUAAAUAUACAUCAAGGUCAUUACCAGGCUCAUGAGGACCGGGAACUAAAACUGUUAGCAUCAUAAACUUCCUCUUCAUGCAUAACCACGGAGGAAGAUUAUAAGUCACUAGUACUACUGGCCAACAAGUGUAUCUAUUGGUUAGACCGUUAUUAUGCGGGUUUAUACCAUCUGCAGACAACGCCAAGCGAAUAUUUCUUGCCUCACUACCGAAGGCAGGCCACCUAUAGUCGAUAUUUCUCCAAGAAGGAGAGUCGGCUGGAUGCCGCAUCUUUCCAUCUUCUAUUCGCUGCUUUGCGUGCCAGGUAAUCAGUUCAGAUGUAGAAGGAGAUUUAAACAUUCGCUUCAAUCUCGGAAUAAUUGGAAAAUACCACAUUAUUUUAGCAGGAACAUUAAUCCUUACUUUACCAUCCUUUCCUAACUUCCAGCGAGAUAGACUACACUUAGGACACUUAGAAGCAUCAACAUAUACCCCCCGAUAUAGUAUGCAAUCGUUUGGACAUGAGUGGUACUUUAUGUAUUCUAGGCCUAAGUUGGAUAAUGUUUUCUUGGCUUCAUAUGCAUUAGGUGGCAUCACAUUUUCCUUAGGAAGGAGAGAGCCAACAGUAGACAAUAAAUCUGUAAAGGCGCUAUCACUAAUUCCAAACCUUGCUUUCCAAUUAUGCAGUUUUAGCAUCGACUCCAAUUUGGUACAUUCACUACCCUCAUACAAAGGCUGUUGAGCAUCAGCCACAAAUCUCCUAAACUGAUACGACUCAUUAUUGUACUCACUCGAAUUAUACGCAGCAUCACAAACAUUGACUGUUUGUGAUGCAUGACCAGGGGAAUGCAUCGAUGCAGGGUCAAGCGUAGGUGCAGGGCUAGGGGCAUUGUCAUGAACUGUUGAUCCAGUGAUUCCACACCCUUGUGUGUGCCAAAUCCAAUCAAGGUAUCCCAAACUAAAACCGUAUUCAUAUAAAUGUCCCCUAAUAAUCUUAACUGCAAAUUUUUUAAAGUUAACACAUCUUUUGCAGGGGCAUGGGAUUUUUUUAGUAUCACUAGCAUUUUCCUCGGCAAAUAUUAAAAACUCUUCAACCCCGAUUUCAUAGUCAAGUGUAUCCCUAUCUUUGAAAAUCCAAGACUUGUCCAUGUUAUUCUCAAACUACCUGAUUGUCAAAUAUGAUAUCAAAUUACAUGGUAACAAAGAUCCAAACACAAUAUACAAUUACAUUUACAAACUAAACAAACACAAAUAUAUUUACACAGCUGUGCAUAAAACAUAAAAAACAAAUCCCAAGCUCUAAACAUAUAUAACACAGUACAUAAAAAAGAAACCCCAAGCUCCAAACAUAUAUAAAACAUAUAUACAACUACACGUUUAAUUUUCACAUGCAUACAUAUAACUACAAAAAGUUAUACUUGCAACCGAAACAUUUAUAUAAAUAUAAAGAAGAAUAUAGAAGAAUAUAUAUACCUAAAACCCAGCAGCUUCGAAACCCAGCACCUCCAAAAUCCAGCAGCUAUCCAGCAGCUUCGAAAACCCAGCAACUACCCUAAUCUCCAAGCUUCAAAUCUCCAAGCUUCAAAGAACCCUAAUCUCCAAGCUCCACUCGACCCUAAGCUUGAAGAUCGAACCUUAAGCUUGAACACAGCAGCUUCGAAUCGCGCACAAAUCGCACCUAGGGUUUAGAAGAGAGGGAAUCAGUUAAUAGAACAUUUGAAAGGGGGUUUAGAAGAGAGGGAAUCAGUUAUUAAACCAAGAACGAGGAUUGAAGGACUGAAGGAUUGAAGAAAAUCGCAUACCUAGGUUUAGCUGUCGAGAGAAAGGGGGAAGAGCUGCUGUCUGAAAGAAAUAUGUAUAUAUGUCCCGAUUGUUUUCUUUUGAAUGCUUUUGUUUUAAUUUUGAUUUAUUUUUAAUGUUUUUUUAUUGUUUUAUACUGAGGCGGGAGUGAAUGAUAUGUUAAAGGGGGGGAAAACAGUAGGGGGAACUAAUUAAAAAAUUGACUAAGGGCGGGGGAGCGGAGGGCGCGGGCUUUAAUAUUUUUAAAAUUGAGAUUAGACAUCGCUUAAUAAACAAUGUGAUGUGAAAAAAUUUUAAAGUGAGAGCUUAGACAUCACUUAUGUUAAGGACUGAUGUAAAGAUACCAGAAAGACAUCACAUAUAAAACGAGCGAUGUAAAAAAGGCAUUUUACAUCGGUGACACUUCCGACUGAUGUCUAAUGUGCGAUGUCUAUUGACGAAUUUCUAGUAGUCUCCAAAGGAUAUUUAUCUUUCCAUCAUGAUGCAGCAGUCUCCUUAACUGUGAAGGGAACGGAGUAUGAGGUAGCAAAGAACCUUCAUAUUUACACAGCCAUUGAUCUGUCGGGCACCUAAUUUCAGGGUCGAAUUCCAAACGUCACUGGAGAGCUUAGAUGGCUUGCAUUGCUCAAUUUAUCGCAUAAUAGUUUAACAGGACCUAUCCCAUCAUUGCUGAGAAAUAUGAAAGAACUCCAAUCUUUAGAUUUGUCCUCAAAUCGACUGACAGGGGCUAUUCCACCUCAGCUAACUGCAUUGACAUUUCUAGAGGUCUUGAACCUCUCGAAAAACCAUCUUAGUGGAGAGAUUCCUCAGAAAGGACAGUUCAGCACAUUCAACAAUGAUUCUUAUCUAGGAAACUCCGCGUUAUGUGGAUCACCUUUGACGAAGAAAUGUGCAAACACAGCAUCACCUCCACAAGAAGUCGGAAAUGGUGAUGAAGAUGAUGCUGGAGAUGAAUUGACAUGGGAAGCAAUCGUGAUGGGAUAUGGAUGUGGACUGAUAUGUGGAUUGUCAUCUGCGUACAUUGUUCUCAAACUAGGAAAGCCUUGGUGGUUUGUGAGAUAUAUCGAAGUACUGCAACUGAAGUUGAUGAAAAGAUAUGCAUGAAGAAUGGUACUGCACUACAACAAAAACAGCAUCACACAACGGUUUUUGCCCGUUGUCUGAUACCCAAGAAAACCGUGGUCUAUUGCGAUGCCGUCUGAUACGCGCCUCAGACAACGUUUUAUUAGUUAAAGGCUUGUCUAUAAGGCCAUGCUACGAUGGUAACAAAAACACUUGUAUGUUAGCUUCCUGGUCACACAACACUGUAUGGAACCCUUGUUUAAACGGCUCGUAAACAACACAACAAAUAAAACACUUGUCUAAUUACAACAACGGUUUCUUGAAAUAUUGUCUGAAGUUUCUUCACACAUCGGCUCUAAAAACAGUUGUCUAACGUGCAUCAUUACACAAUAUCACAGUUAAGAUACCGUUGUCUGAUUGAAUUUACUAGACAACACUUUUUAAACCGUUGUAGGUUGUAGGUGUUGGACAAUAGUUUUUCGAGGACGAAAAUAAAGUGUUGUGUCUUUGUUUCGGCCAACACUUUUUCCAGCGUCCGUUGUCUGACUAGUGUCGUGUGAUGCCAGUUUUGUUGUAGUGCUGGUUGAUCCAGACGAACUAGAAAGUUGUUGUCCUGGUAGACAUUUCUGAACCAUUUGUGUCCUGGCUGAAUAAGUAUUUGGUAUUAUGUAAUAAUCCGUUUGGUUGGGACUCAAAAUGAUUUCUCUUGCUUCAGGGGUAUUAAUAUUAACCUUCCUAUCUUGAUCAAUGUUAAAUCAAAUUAAAUGAAUGAAAAAACAAAAAGUAUGCAUCAAAUCCGCUCCUGCUGUACCUAACAAUUUAACAGCACCCUUCCACACUGUUCAUACCUAAUUUGCGUGUAAUAUGAAAACUAAGAGGCAUGGCUUUUGUCUUUGAGAGAACUUAUUCCAAGUCUUCUUCGGAGGCCUACUGCCUCAACAACCUUUCAAAGACUAUGCAAUAAUCCACGUGACAGAAAAACCAAAGUCCAAUUAGUAUUAUAAGUUCAUAAAAAAUACUAUAGGAUCAUUAGCAUUAGCAUUACAUUAGCAUACAGCAUAUAUAUAAAUAGAAGAAUGCAGUGUGGUAUUGGAUUCAUAAUCCAAUUGAGCAGAAACAUGGCACACUUUGUAAAGCCUUAUGACCUUCUUCUCUGUGUUUUCUUUCUCUCAUCACUUGAAUCCAUUCUUGCAACAAGACGAGAAGGAGAAGCUCUUGUGAAAUGGAAGAACAGCCUAGCCCCGUCUUCUUCUCUUGAUUCUUGGUCACUCACUCAUCUCGAUAAUCUUUGUAACUGGACUGGCAUUACUUGUAACUCUGCAGGUUCAGUCUCUGACAUUAACCUUUUCAACAAACAACUCACUGGAAAGCUUUUCGAGUUUGGUUUCACUUCAUUUCCGAAUCUCAACAAUCUCACCCUCGCAGAUAACUUCUUCUCUGGUCCAAUACCAUCAGCCAUUGGGAAUUUAACACAGCUUCAAUAUCUUGAUUUGAGCAAUAAUUAUCUCAAUGGUUCCAUUCCGUACCAGGUUAGCCAUCUUUCAAAAUUACACGUCUUAAACCUGUCAGAGAAUGAACUGCAAGCUCCAAAUUGGUCCAAUUUCUCCCCCAUGCCUUAUUUGACCAUCCUCGACCUUUAUCAGAAUAAUCUUAUGUUGGAAUUUCCAGAAUUUAUAUCUAACUCGCGUAACCUGACAUACCUUGACCUUUCAUAUAACAAGUUCACAGGCGAUCUUGUGCGCGAAUCAGUAUUAGCCAAUCCAGGUGAUCUCGAAACCCUCUAUCUUAAUGAAAAUUCUUUUGGGGGGCCAUUUCCACCAGACAUAUUCAAACUUUCCAAGUUGAGAGUUCUUGCCCUGUUCAAUAAUCUUUUUGAGGGGCCGCUUCCGUCAAAUAUAUUCAAGCUCUCUAAACUAAGAUUCCUUUUACUUUGGAGUAAUAAUUUUUCAGGUACUCUUUCGAAUGAAAUAGGUUUGCUUUCUGAGCUUGAAGACCUAGAUCUUCACUCCAAUUUUUUUGUGGGGCCGCUUCCGCCAAAUAUAUUCAAGCUCUCUAAACUAAGAACCCUUUUCCUCUUGGGUAAUAACUUCUCAGGUUCUAUUUCCAACGACAUAGGUUUGCUUUCUGAGCUUGAACACCUAUAUCUCGACUCCAAUUCUUUUGAGGGACCUUUUCCAACAAAUAUUUUCAAGCUUUCCAAAUUAAUACAACUUGGUCUCGCAAACAAUACAAAUUUAUUUGAAGGAAGUAUUCCUCCAGGACUGGGGCUCUUGACUAACCUAGAGGACUUGUCUCUUGCUUACAAUAAUCUUGGUGGCUAUAUUCCGUCUUCCUUUGGAAACCUAACACUACUAGUAUAUCUUAAUCUCGCUCGUAAUCAAUUGGUUGGAACACUAUCAAAGACCAUUUCUAAUCUCACAAAUCUAUGGUUUCUUGAUGUACAUCAUAAUAGUCUCUCUGGGAAUAUUCAGAGUGACUUCUGGAAAAACUCUACAUCACUGCGUUACAUUAAUUUGGCAGACAAUAAUUUUUCUGGGAACAUUCCUAAGGAAUAUAAUGUUCUUCCAAUCCUGGAUCACAUCAAUUUUAGGGGGAACAAUUUUACAGGUAUUUUUCUUUCCAUAUUUUUUCCUUCUGUUGUAUUCAAUUAUGCUAGAAACUACAGCCUCUGUUUUUUCAAAUACAUAUCGUUUAACUUUUUGGCACAAAACUUUAUAAUAAUUCUAACUAAAAGGUCAAUGAACUCAAAAAUGUGUGUCAAAAAGUCAAACGUCAUUUAUCUGAAAUCAGAGGGAGUAUAUAUUACUGUUUUACCAAAGUUUCAACAAUCAUGACAGGUGAGCUUCCACCAACAAUUUGCGAUGCCACUUCCCUUUCGAUUCUUGAUCUGUCAAAUAAUGGAUUUAGUGGUGCAGUUCCACAUUGUUUGGGGAAUCUUGCGGAUAAAUUGAUUUCGAUUAAUCUUGCUAAUAAUCAGUUUCAAGGACCAAUACCAACAAAUUUCUCCGAGAGUUGUCGUCUGACGUAUCUUAACAUCUAUAACAAUCACUUCAAAGGUUUGGUUCCCCAAUCUUUGGCAAACUGUAAGCACUUGCAAAUUCUUGAUUUUGGAAAAAAUGAAAUAGGUGGAACACUUCCGUCAUGGUUUUUUACUCUUGGAGAGCUAGAAGUCCUGAUCCUGCGAUCAAACAGAUUUUUCGGGAGAAUAACUAGAAGGAGCAUACCACGCCCCUUUCCCAAGUUGCGGAUUUUGGAUCUAUCCAACAAUCAGUUCACCGGCUAUCUGCCAAUUUUAUACUUCAAGAAUAUGAAACCAAAUGAUAAUAAUUAUGAUUAUUUCAACAACACAAACGAAGCCUAUUACGUUUAUCAAGUUUCUAUCACAUUAAAUGUGAAAGGAAGCGAGCAUGAAGUGACAAAUAUUCUUCAUAUUUACACGGCCAUUGAUCUGUCGUGCAACAAAUUUGAAGGAAAAGUUCCAGACAUUACCGGAGAGCUUAGAUGGCUUGCAUUGCUAAAUUUAUCUCAUAAUAGUCUUUCGGGGCCUAUUCCAUCACAACUGGGAAAAAUGAAAGAGCUCCAGUCUCUAGAUUUGUCGUCAAAUCAAUUGACAGGUGUUAUUCCGGAUCAACUUACUAGUAUGACAUUUCUUGCUAGUUUGAACCUCUCAGAAAACCAUCUUUCUGGGAAAAUCCCUCGGAAAGGACAGUUCAGCACUUUUGGCGAAGAAUCUUACUUAGGUAAAUCGGCCUUGUGUGGAGUUCCUUUGACAAAGAACUGUAUAGACGAUGUGCCACCUUCACAAGUUGGAAAUGGCAAUGAUGAAAAUGUUGAUGAAGAUGAUACCGUUGAUGAAUUCAAUUGGAAAGUGAUCCUGAUGGGAUAUGCAUGUGGAUUAAUAGGCGGAUUGUCUGCAGGAUACAUUGUCUUCACAGUCGGAAAGCCUUGGUGGUUUUUGAGAUACAUUGAGACACUGCAGCAGAAGUUGAUCUGAUGCGCAACUAGAAACAACGUUAUAAUCUUAGAAUGACUUGUGUCUUUAAACAGAGUUAGGAACUUAGGAUGACUUGUGGUGCUAUAUUUUUUUUUUGAAAAAAAAAAACAUAUUUUUGUAAUUUUUUAGAUACAGAUGUUAAGAAGGUGUUGUAUAUUCAUUUUUUACCCAAAAAAAAAAAGAGGGCUUAUUUCAUGAAAAUUAGAGUUUUAUGUAUUUUCUCCAGAAAUUAGUCCUUAUUUCUGAAAAUAAGGUUAGUCAAAACGGUCACUACACGAUUGGUAGCCUUUCAGUUCUUCCUAGUGUCCACUACAGUUUCAUUCCUUACCAGUUAUUUUAUGCUCUGCACUGCAUUAUGCAGCUUUCAUAUUACUGACAGCUAAUCUCCUUCCAACACUUUGCGAUGCGAAGCAGGGACGCAUAAGUAUUUUUAUAUGUGUAUUAGUUUUGAAGAUUAAAGUUGCAUGGACAAUUGUGUUGAUAAUUUGAGCAAUGUUAACCGGGAUAGGUCUUCUUCUCUCUCCCAAGUCUUCUGAGGACUCAUCGGCUCAGAUUAGUCUAUCCAAAAAUUAUGAUCUGACGGCUAUUGGCACACUAACGAUUUACAUAUCACUUGAAUAUUACUGGAUACCCGCAUCUUGUUUUAAAUGGCGUAUAUCGGCUAAUAGUUCAACGAUGGUGACAAAUCCCGGUGAUCCAAAUAAUUGAUUGUCGCAAAAUUUUCCGCUUACAUCCAACUAACACGUAUUAGGAAAAAAAAUUAUAUAAUUAAACACGCUCAUGUAUCUAUAUCUUUUACAAGAUUGUAAGUCCCCAAUUCUAUGUGAUAUUAGCUAUAUGUGACUAGAAGGUUUAGAAAUACUAGAUUAUCAAGAUUUCUUUUUAUUCUAGCUAGUGUUGAGUUAUAUUUAUUUUCUUCAAACAAUCAAUACUUAUUUUUUAUUAAUAUGUGAAACUCCAAUAUAUAUUAUUAUACGAUAUAUUAUGAAAACACUAUAUUUUGUAAUGUUCAUCUUAUCCUACCAGCAAAAUUACAUCGCUAACAAAAUUAUAUCAAUUUUAUUUUAUAAACUCAAAUAAUUUAAUUUAUGAAACAACUCUAUGAGAUUCUUAUCAUGAGUUAGAAUUCAAAUAAAUAAAGAGUUCAUAUUGAUAAGUGGAAUUGAUGUGCAAGUAAGGGGUAUAAAAAAAUCUCAAAAUAACUCCAAAAAGCACAUGACAUGUUUGAUUUAAUAGAACUGGUACAUAAACAGGGGGACCAUUAUAUUUAUAAGCAAGUGACCAACAAUAGUUUACUACUGAUAUUUUGUGAUAUUUUUUGUGAUAUUUUUUGAGACCUUUAACAUUAUUCUGUGAAGUGGUAUACUACUGUUACUAGUUCUGAAACUUCAAACAAAGUAGGCGCAACAUUGUAAGAGUGAUUAAUAAAGUUGAGAAACAGUGUGUACAUUGAGCAGUAUGACAAUCAGGUUCAGCAUAUAAUACAAUCAGAUUCACAAUCAGGUUCACGAGAAACAUGCUGCAUUCCAAAAAGCCUUAUUAUCUUCUUCACUAAAUAACAAGGCAAAUACAGCAUAUAAAUACAAGUUAUAAGUACAAGUGUGGUAUUAGAUUCAUAACCCAGUUGAGGAGAAACAUGGCACACUUUGUAAGGCCUUCUCACCUUCUUCUCUUUGUUUUCUUUCUCUCAUCACUAGAAUCCAUUCUUGCAACAAGACGAGAGGGGGAAGCUCUUGUGAAGUGGAAGAAUAGCCUAGCCCCUUCUUCUUUUCUCCACUCUUGGUCACUCUCCAAUCUCGAAAAUCUUUGCAACUGGACUGGCAUUACUUGUAACUCUGCAGGUUCAGUCUCUGAGAUUGACCUUUGUGAGAAACAACUUGAUGGAAUGCUGUCCGAGUUUGGUCUCACUUCAUUUCCAAAUCUCAACAAUCUCACCCUCGCAGACAACUUCUUCUCAGGUCCAAUACCACCAGCCAUUGAGAAUUUAACACAGCUUCAAUAUCUUGAUUUAAGCAUGAAAAGUCUUAAUGGUCCCAUUCCGUUCCAGGUUAGCCAUCGUCAGAGCUUGCUCAUCUUAGACCUGUCACAGAAUGCAUUGCAAGCUUCAAAUUGGUCCAAUUUCUCUCCCAUGCCUCAGUUGCGCUUCCUCAAGCUCAGUAGCAAUCAUCUUGUGUCGAAAUUCCCAAAUUUUAUAUCCAGUUCUCAUAGCCUGACUUACCUCAACCUCUCAUAUAACAUUGGAAACCUCAAAAAAUAUAUAUUUAUAUAUUUAUAAUUAAAAAAUUGAAUUACUUAAUAUAUUAAAAAAUUGAAUAAAAUUUUAUAUAUUUUAUUAAAAAAUUGAAUAAAAAUUGAAUAAAAUUGAAUAAAAUUGAAGUACACGAAAAGGUACACGACACGAAAUACACGACUGAGAAGUCGUGUCGGUUUUGUGUUUACCCUUCGGGUACACGACACGAGGUACACGAAAUAAAUAAAUAAAUAUAUAUAUAUAUAUUUACCCUUCGGAUUAAGAGUUGGUCGCGGACAAAUUCAAAGUUUCCCAAUUAUCCUUUAUUUUAUGUAACUUUGCUUAUGUUUAAGCCUAAAUUUGGACAAUAUUUGUAAAAUAUUAAUAUUUCGUGUACUAAUUCGUUACCAGUUUCGUGUAUUUUUUCGUGUAUAUUUCGUGUUUUCGUGUUUUCAUGUACUAUUUCGUAUCGUGUCGUUUUCGUGUACAUGAAAAAAUUCGUGUACUACAGUUCGUGUCGUUUUUACCUGUUUCUAAAUCGUGUCGUGUUCGUGUUUACAAUCGUGUACACGAAUUGAAUUCGUGUCGUGUUCGUGUAUACCCACCAGAUACACGAAACACGAAAGUACACGACACGUUUAUACACGACACGAACGAUUUGCCAGGUCUANGAAACACGAAAGUACACGACACGUUUAUACAUGACACGAACGAUUUGCCAGGUCUAUUCAAACCUAGCAAGUAACCAAGAGGGGGCAAACUCCACCAGAGACAAAUCAAAGACCAUACCUGAGUAUUGCCAACAUAACAUUACAAACUGGCAGGUGAAAAAUAUGUGAAUAAGGUCUUCGUCACCAGAGUUACACAUGGGACAGUCAAGAGAAAGAUUUACUCCCUUAGAUUGUAAUCGACUUUUCACAGGCACAUUAUUCCUGCAAAAACGCCAUAAAAACACUUUGAUCUUAAGAGGAACCUCCAACUGCCAGAGUUUCUUCCACCCACUAGAUUGUGUAACAGUGCCAGUGCCAAUAUUUUGGGCAUGCCAAAACUGGUAACCUGUUUUCACAGAAUUUUGGCCGUUAGUAGUCUUUGACCAAGCUAGAUGAUCCACGGUCGACCUAUAGGGAACAGAAGUUUUUAAAAAUUAUGUAAUUCAUUCAAUUCCGUAUCAGACAAUACAUCUUAUCAUCGGUGAUAAUGGAAAUAGUGUAGAUGUUUGACCUAGUCCAUGUUUGACAACCAAUAUAAUAAGAAAUAAAUUCUUAUUUUUCUAAAAAAUAUAUUUUUGUAUAUAAAUGUUAAAGAGAUAUUUCUUAUUUGUUGUUUGAAAAAAGUAAAGACUUAUUUCAGAAUAAAUAAAAAUUAUUGUACAUUCUCUUUAUUUUUAAAAAUAAGUUUGGUCAAAUCGCCCAUAAUUCUCGUAAUUCAAAAGCCCAUUAUUUUUUUUUUUCUUGCUAAUUGAUCAGCACACGCACACGUUUCCAACUUCCCGCAAAGGGUACCGGAGUACCACCACACCGACGCUUUGUUGGGCCCAAUAAUUGGCUGAAGUUGAACGGGGCUUUCUGCCUCCGCUGGACCCCAGUUGGGAGGACUCUUUCCAAGUCUUUCGGAGACUCUUUCCCAUUGACUCCAACUUUCCAGGGUGUAUACAAAUUUUUUGAAAGAGGGUGUAUACAAAUUAUUCACGGCCAUCAAAUUAACCAGCGUAGCUGGUGAACAAAUAUUAUUGUUUAUUAUAAUUUUAUUUAAUUUAAAUGUGAUUAUAAAGAACAUAAGAGGACGUUUGAAAGUGUGGGUCUUAUUUCAAACAGUAGAUUUCAAAAAAUAUGAUUUCAAUUGUUAUUUAAAAUUCUUAAAUUUAUAUUAUAUUAAAAUGUUCUUAUCUAUACUAUACUAUUAAAACCGAAACAUUAAAAGUUUGGUCGGUCGGUACUUGGGCCGAUAUAUGGGCCUAUCUAUAUAACUAAUUAUUUUUUUUUAAUUUUGGGCCGAAAUACAGGCCUGUCUAUAUAAUCAAUUAUUCUUUUUAACUAAAAUAUGUUAUCUUUUUUACUAUUAAAGCCAAAACAUUAAAAAUUUGAUCGGUCGGUACUUGGGCCGAAAUAUGAGCGUAUCUAUAUAACUAAUUAUUUUUAUUUUUUUUUAUUUUUGGCCGAAAUACAGGCCUAUCUAUAAAAUCAAUUAUUCUUUUUAACUAAAAUAUGUUAAUUUUUUUUACUAUUAAAGCCGAAAUAUUGAAAGUUUGGUCGGUCGGUACUUGGGCUUCUAGGCCGAAAUAUAGGCCUAUCUAUAUCAUCAAUUAUUCUUUUAAACUAAAAUAUGUUAUCUUUUUUACUAUUAAAAUCGAAACAUUGAAAGUUUGAUCGGUCGGUACUUGAGUCGAAAUACGGGCCUAUCUAUAUAACUACUUAUUAUUUUUAACUUGGGCCGAAAUACAGGCCAAUCUAUGUAAUCAAUUACGCGGUAUUCUUUUUAACUAAAAUAUGUUAUUUUUUUAACUAUUAAAGUUGAAAUAUUGAAAGUUUAGUCGCUCGAUACUUGAGCCGAAAUACGGAUCUAUCUAAAUAACUAAUUAAUUUUUUUUAACUUUGGAUGGAAAUACAGCCCUAUCUAUAUAAACAAAUAUCUUUUUAACUAAAAUAUGUUAUCUUCUUUAUACUUUCUAACUAAAAACUCAAUCUUCUAAAUGAACAUGGAAGAAUAUAGUAAUUAUCUUUUUAACUAAAACAAAUUAUCGUCUAUUAAAUCAAAUUAUAACAAACUAUCCAUAAACAUCCUUAAUUUAUAACAAAUUAUUAAAUAUUUUUUAUCAUCUACUAAAUCAAAACAUUAAAAAUUAGAUUACCAUUAUGGAUCAGUAUUUGAAUUACGCUUCUCUUUAACUUAUAAUAUGUUUUAUACUAUAUUAUUAACUAUUAAUAACUAAAUAUUAAAACGCUGAUUGGGUUGUUUCUAUCUGGGUUUACGGGUCUCCUCAAAUUAUAAUCCCUCCGUUCUUAAAUAUCUGCCUUUUGACUUUUUGGCACGCAUGUUAAAGUGUUUUGAAUUUAUAGUAAAAAUAUUAUUUUUAAAUUUCUUUUUCUGAAUAAAAAUUUUAUAUCAAUACUUUUAUUCAUAAAAAGAAAUAUUUGAAAAUAACAUUUCUAGCUAUGUGGUCAAAAUAUCUUAAAAUGUGUGCGAAAAAGUCAAAAGGCAUAUAUUCAAGAACGGAGGGAGUAACAUGUAAAAAAAAUUAUUUUAACAUUAUCAUUAAAAAAUUAUAUAUUUGACCUAAUUAUAAAUUAACUAUUUGAAGGAAUAAACUAUUAAGAAUUUAUUUAGCUGCUAAAUAAAAGUUUUUUUAAUAACAUUAUUCUAUCACAAUUUUACUUUCAAUAAAAUUCGUUAAAUCUAAAAUAUAUGCGAUGAAAUAACAAAUAUUAAAACCGCCCGUGCAUUGCACGGGUUUUAAGCUAGUUCUAAUUAAUGAGUCACUAUUCGUAUUCUCAAGCAUGUUAGUUUGUUAAAAUUUAAAAUUUCAAAUGAAAUUAGGCUAAAAGACCAUAAUAUCAAAUCAAAAUCUCAUUAUCCAAUAUAUUGGUGGGCAAAAAUAUUAAACCUGGCUAUUCAUUAAUAUUGGUUCUUUAUUCAAAUUAUGUCAAAUUUAUAUAAAAUUUCGAAAAUUAUUUAUGAAUAAGAGUCGGCAUUCAUAUAUUUAUUAAGGAUACAAGUGAGAAAAUGUUAUUAAAUUAAUAUUUUUUAAUAUACGUAAGUUUUUUAAAAUAAAUUUGUAGCGUGGGACGGGAGUAUUAGACUGAUUCUGGCUUGGAGUGAAUCAGCCCAUAAAGUUUACAGGGUAGAUGACCAUUCUUAAAUCUUAAAGAAUCUUACGGUGACAGCUAACUGAACGACUCGGUUUCAGAAGUGCUGAAAAGUUUCGACGUAAACUACAAUUUGCCUAGCAUGUAAUUUCCAUGCAUUUUCUCGUUACGAGUAGGUUUGUCCGGAAGUACAAUUCAAAAUAGAGUGCUGUUAAAAAAAAUUGAGUUACUUAUUCAAUAACUUUUUUGAUAUUUAUAUAUUUUUAAUUAUAAUAAAGAUACUAGUGAUUAUGGUUAGCUUUUGGAGUACUUUUGGAGUACUUGGAAAUUUUCUUUUCGAGAAAAACGAGAGUACCUAUUUCAAUUUUUUACCAAAAAUUAUAAUUGAAAACAACGGACUUUUAUACUUAUCAUAACAAUUUUUAACAUCUUGUUUAGAAAUAACCUGUUGUUGUAUUAUGCAAAAGUAAUAUCACUAGUUUCUAUAUCCGUAUUCUAAUGAUAAUAAAAACAUCUCUAAUUCAUUAAAACUCUUACAUAGAAAUUGAUAAAAAAAGAAGAUAUAAAAUAAUUUAUUAAAAAUAUAUCAAAGUUUUUGCACUCGGUUAUAAUUAUUGUGUAAUUUUUUUUUUCAAUUCCAAGAUAUUGUUAUAAGAAAAUUUUACAUCAUAUAUAUAUUACAAAAAAAAUUAAUGUAUUAUAUAUAUAUAGGGUCCUACUCUGGUACAAACCUUUUUAGCGUACAAACUACAAACCAAAAUUAAAAAGUCUCUAAAUCAAAUCAGAAUAUAGCACAUAUGGUAUGGAAAUUGAUCGUUGCGAGAUGAACAAAAAUAAUGAUUAUAAAGUUUGUAUUUGAGCCAUUAUAUAUAUACUUACAAUAAAAGUAAUAAUAUAUUAUAUUCUAAAUAUAGUUAACCACUGCAGUUGGUCGCUUAUAAAUAGAAGUGUGCAUUAUAGGAUGAAACGUACAUCAAGCUGAGGAGAAACAUGGUACACUCUGCAAAGCUAUAUCAUCUUCUUUUACUUGUUUUCUUUUCCUCCUUACUUCCAUCCAUUCUAUUGGCAACAAGACGAGAAGGAGAAGCUCUUGUGAAAUGGAAGAAUAGCCUAGCCCCGUCUUCUUUUCUUGAUUCUUGGUCACUCUCCGAUCUCGAUAAUCUUUGCAACUGGACUGGCAUUACUUGUAACUCUGCAAGUUCAGUGUCUCAGAUAAAUCUUUCCCAAAAACAGCUCGAUGGAACGCUGUCCGAAUUUGGUUUCACUUCAUUUCCGAAUCUCGAAAAUUUGACUAUAAGAGACAACAGCUUCUCCGGGCUAAUACCACCAGGCAUUGCGAAUUUAACACAGCUUCAAUACCUUGAUUUAAGCUACAAUUAUUUCAGUGGUUCCAUUCCGUACGAGGUUAGCCAUCUUCAGAGAUUACGUGUUUUAGACUUGUCGUAUAAUGAAAUGCAGGCUCCAAAGUGGUCUGACUUCUCUCCCAUGCCUUUUAUGAGCAUCCUCAACCUACGGGCCAAUCAUCUUGUGUCGAAAUUCCCAGAAUUUAUAUCCAAUUCUUUUAGCCUGACUUUCCUUGACCUUGGAGACAACAAGUUCACCGCUGAUCAUCUUGUGCUCGAAUCAGAAUUUACCAAUUUGCAAAAUCUUGAAACGCUGUUUCUUGAUGGUAAUUCUUUUGAGGGGACGUUUCCACCGAAUAUAUUCAGGCUUUCUAAAUUAAAAUACCUUUCCCUAUCUGCUAAUAAGUUUUCAGGUUCUGUGCCGGAUGACAUAGGGAUGCUUCGUGAUCUUGAAUCCCUUUAUCUUGGUAACAAUUCUUUCAAAGGGAUGCUUCCACAAAAUAUUUUCAGACUUCCCAAAUUACGGGAUCUUUCCCUCUGGGGUAACAAUUUUUCAGGUCUUAUUUCAGAUGAUAUAAGGAUGCUUUCUAACCUGGAAUCUCUUGAUCUUAAUGGUAAUUCUUUUCAGGGUCCGCUUCCACCAAAUUUCUUCAAGCUUUCCAAAUUAAGACAUCUCGCCCUCUCAAAUAAUAAAAGAGUAUUUAAAGGAAGUAUUCCUCUUGGGUUGGGGCUUUUGACUAACCUUGACUACUUAUGUCUUAAUUCCAAUUAUCUCACUGGCUACAUUCCAUCUGACAUUGGAAAUCUAAAGCUACUAGAACAUCUUGAUCUCAGUUUUAAUCAAUUGACCGGACCGCUCCCAAAGAUCAUUUCUAACCUCACUAAUCUAACGCGUCUUGGUCUGAAUGAUAAUUGGUUUUCCGGCAGUAUUCCAAGUGACUUCUUGGAAAACUCUACAUUAUUAUUUUACAUUGAUCUUUCAAACAAUGAUCUGUCUGGAAGCAUUCCUAAGGAAUUCAACGUUCAUCCGACAUUGGAUUAUAUCAAUUUAAGUGGAAACCGUUUUAGAGGUCUACUUCUCUCUUUAAAUUUUUAUGUUCGUUUUGUAUAUGCUAGUAACCUGAUUAUUACACUUUUACUGAAGCUUCAACAAUUCUAACUGCAGGCAAGCUUCCAGCAACGAUUUGCAAUGCUACAUCCCUUUCGACUCUUGUUCUGUCAAAUAAUGAAUUCAGCAAUGCACUUCCACAUUGUUUGGGGAAUCUUGCUGAUCAACUUCUUUCCAUUAAUCUUGCUAAUAAUUUGUUUCGAGGACCAAUACCAACAACUUUCUCUAAGAGUUGUCGGCUGACAUAUCUAAACAUGUACAACAAUCACUUUGAAGGGUUGUUGCCGCAAUCUCUGGCAAACUGUAAGCACCUACAAAUUCUUGAUAUUGGAAACAAUGAAAUAGGUGGUAAAUUCCCGUCAUGGCUGUUUACUCUUGGAGAGCUGGAAGUCCUAGUCUUGCGAUCAAAUAGAUUCCACGGUCCAGUCAAUGGAACAAGCUCAGCAAAUUUAUUCCCCAAGUUGCGGAUUGUUGAUCUCUCCAACAAUCAAUUUACAGGCGAUUUACCAAUUCAGUAUUUUAAGAAUAUGAAACCAACAGAUAACCACUAUAGUUAUUUUUAUACAGAAAGUGGUUUUUACUAUCAUCAAGCAUCGAUCUCAUUAACUGUGAAAGGAAGAGAGUAUGAAGUGAAAAAGAUCCUUCAUAUUUAUACAGCCAUAGAUGUGUCAUGCAACAAAUUUCAGGGAGAAAUUCCCGAGGUUAUUGGAGAACUUAAAUGGCUUGCAUUGCUCAAUCUAUCACAUAAUAGUCUUAUUGGACCUAUCCCAUCACAGCUCGGAAAUAUGGAAUCACUUUUAUCUCUAGAUUUGUCUUCAAAUCAUUUGACAGGGGGUAUUCCCGAUCAGUUGAUUAGGUUGACAUUUCUAGAGGUCUUGAACCUCUCGGAAAAUCAUCUGACAGGGCCUAUCCCCCAAAAAGGACAGUUCAGCACAUUCAACAAGGAUUCUUACCUAGGUAACUUUGCCUUGUGUGGAUUACCUUUAACUAAUAACUGUACACACACUGUGUCACCACCACAAGAAGGCGGAACUGGUGACAAUGAUGCCUAUGAUGAACCCGAUUGGGAAGUGAUCCUCAUGGGAUAUGGAUGUGGACUAAUAUGCGGAUUGUCCACAGGGUACGUUGUCUUCACAUUCAGAAAGCCUCAGUGGUUUAUGAGAUACACUGAAAGCGUGCAACAGAAGUUGAUGAGAUGAUGCAUGUUGAGUACCGUUCAAUCAUGAAGCACAACUGGAAACAAUGUUAUCUUAGGAAAACAUGUGUUCUGAACCAGUAGUGUUUGCACAAAAUUUGUGGUGCUAUGUAAUACUUAUAUAAUUGUACGUAUGAUUAUUGAUUAGUCGUUGAGAAAAUGCAUUUUAUUUCAGUGUCAAUGAUAAUCUACAUGUUUUGGAUACUUCCAGCUUCUCAUACUAAUAUAGGAACCACUUGAAAAAUUUUGGACAGGCUCUGAGGAUGCUAAUGCUGCUGUUUAGUUUCUACCGCGGAAUUGACUUUAGCAUAUACUCGUAUGACAUAUUACUAGAUAUAUGGUUGUUAAAUAAAAUUAUCUUUUUGUGGAAUAAAUAGGAAAGCAAAAUCAUAGAAUAAUGUAUGUUAUAUAGGAAGGUAUUGUCCUCUUAGAUAGGUAUCAUUUAUGCCUCAUUGGCAUGUCUCAGAAAACUUUUGGGUUAACACAAUGUUUACUUAGAGCAUUGCCAUUCCUUAAAUAUAAUAUAAAAUAUUGGAUCUUAGUGACUUAAGAUGAUAAUAGCUAUUCGCACCUCCAACAAUAUUCCUUAUAUUCAUUCCUUAUAUACUAUUUUAUUAUUAAAAGUUACCAUUAUUGCAAUAGGUGAAAAGAGAGAACAUGUUUGUAUUCAAAAUUUAUUGUAAAAUAAUAUUUAGGAGAGGAGAGAGGUUACCUAAAGAUAAGGCAUGGCUAGUUAUUUAGAGAAUCACUAGGAUACUGUUGGAGUGGAUUAUUUUCCCAUAUUACUCAUAUUUUGGUUUAAGAUUCCUAAUAGGGAAGCUGCUGGAGUUGCUCUUAGAGCAUCUCCAAGAGAUUCUUCAUUUAAGCUCCUAACUUGAGAUUUGAGUAGGGAGAGGAAAAAUGUUGCUCCAAGAGACUCUUAAGUGGCUCUUAAAUCACUAAGAGCCUCUUGUUUCUCUCUCCUCUCUCCUCAAAGUUAAGAGCCACCACAUUGCUCCUAACUUAUUUUUUCACAAUAAAAAAAUCUUUUCCUCCAAUUCAGCUCCAUCUUUCCAUCUCUUUUGUUAUAGUGGAGCCCAAUAUAUGAAUAAAAUAUGAAAUAGAGAAGAGAUGUAGAGAGUAUUGUUGGAGUUUACACUCUUAACUUUGUCUUAAAUUGCUAAGAGCUAUUUUUUUAUAUUAUAUUUAGGAGCCAAUAAGGAGGCUCUUGGAGAUGCUUUUAGUACUAAUUGUUAGAAUAUGAAAAUGCAGUUAUGAACUAUUAUGCUAGAGAGAGAAAAAUUCAACAAACUUCAUUUCUGUAAACUACAACUAUUAGUCUGUUACAUUGCUGAAAGCUACAUUUAUACAUUUACAGUUUACAACAAACUAUGAAACUGAUUUUCCCGCGUCCUCCUCACUUGUCCACGUGGCCUGACUGGCUUGGUGUCCUUGACACUCUUUAUUAUUGCUAAUAUAUACUUAACACUAAUACCUCAAAGCAGGGUAUAAAUUCAAUAGCACAGCUUCUGGAUAAUGGAAAUUUAGUUAUCCAGAGGUCUUGGUUUUACAUAUCACUUGUAUAUUAUGUCUCGGUCUCAUUGAAGCAUACCAAACGAGAUUUUGGGUUUGUUAAUAUUUUUUUAGUCCAAAUUUGAAUAAUACUGUUAUGCUUAUUCACACGGUAGACGUGUUUUUAUUAAAAUACUGCAACUGAAAUUGAUGAAAACAUGCACAAAGCAUAGCAGACGAAAGACUUGAGGAGAUAUUGUCUUAGGCGAUGCAAUACGUUCUAAUAUAAUGCUAUAUUAUGCAAUCUCGUUUAAUACUUUCAUCAUUAUUCUCCAAGAUGUCUGAACAUGUAUUUUCAAAGAAUUCUCAGUUCACCUUUAGUCUUAUAGCGACAUUUUGAAGGCACUCUCAACUUACACCCUAUAUAUACACGUACGGUUCACUUCAGUACAAAGAUUUUAUGAUACAACUCUCAUAUUAUGAACUAGUUCUGUCGAAUACAUGAAUAUUGAUCAAUCAUUUGAACUCGAGUUUCCCAGCUGGCCAGAUACCCAGAUUAUUAGCCAUGCAAAACAUGCAGAACCACUAGUAAUGCAGAAAAACAAUAUAUUAGUUUUCUCCGGUGUUACAGAAAUCAGGAAUCGGACCUAAUCGGUUUAGCUACCGAUUUAGGGAUUAAUAGGAAAUAGGGGAUUAAUCGGAGUGAAAAUCGGAUUUAUUUUAAUAUUAAAAUAUUAUUUAAUAUUUAGUUAUUAUUAUAUUAGCUAUUUAGUAACUAAUAUAUUUACUAUAUUCAUAAACUCUAUAAUUAUUCGUAUUGAAAGUAAUAUAGUAUUUUAAUUUUAAUAAUUUACUAUAUAUACUUCGAUUAAGAAAUAUAUAUAUAAGGAUUAAUCGGAUUUCAAAAAUCGAAUCGGUGGCCAACCUUGCAGAGGAUUAAUCGGGGAUUAAUUGGUUGAAUCGGGGAUGUUUAGAACACUGGUUUUCUCCAAAUAUCACUACAACAAAACUGCCAUUUUACGACGGAAAUCUAAUAUUCUAAAGGGUUACGACCAAACUAUGUCGGUGGACUUUAUUUUAAUUUACCGUUUAACAGUAGUUAAUUUUGGAUAUCUACACUUGCGAUGGAAAACAUACGACAGUCUACUUCGUGAGAGAAAAUCAUUUUAUUUUAUUUUUUAGCGCCAGAAUUUUAAUACUGAAAUAUUAUAUAUAUGAAGGAAACUGAUCUCUAAUGUUUUCAGCUUGCUCAUCCAUCGUAAGUAAUCCGUCGAAAAAGUUAGUUUGUUGUGGUGGUGUCUUAUCAUGAGAGAAAAUGAUAAUAUCGCAAAAUAUUUGCAACUGAAAGAUAAAUUAUAAUUCUAGAAACCAUUUAGGUAACGAUGCACGAAGUUAUUUUCACUCACUUAGAAUUAAUGNUGAAAACAUGCACAAAGCAUAGCAGACGAAAGACUUGAGGAGAUAUUGUCUUAGGCGAUGCAAUACGUUCUAAUAUAAUGCUAUAUUAUGCAAUCUCGUUUAAUACUUUCAUCAUUAUUCUCCAAGAUGUCUGAACAUGUAUUUUCAAAGAAUUCUCAGUUCACCUUUAGUCUUAUAGCGACAUUUUGAAGGCACUCUCAACUUACACCCUAUAUAUACACGUACGGUUCACUUCAGUACAAAGAUUUUAUGAUACAACUCUCAUAUUAUGAACUAGUUCUGUCGAAUACAUGAAUAUUGAUCAAUCAUUUGAACUCGAGUUUCCCAGCUGGCCAGAUACCCAGAUUAUUAGCCAUGCAAAACAUGCAGAACCACUAGUAAUGCAGAAAAACAAUAUAUUAGUUUUCUCCGGUGUUACAGAAAUCAGGAAUCGGACCUAAUCGGUUUAGCUACCGAUUUAGGGAUUAAUAGGAAAUAGGGGAUUAAUCGGAGUGAAAAUCGGAUUUAUUUUAAUAUUAAAAUAUUAUUUAAUAUUUAGUUAUUAUUAUAUUAGCUAUUUAGUAACUAAUAUAUUUACUAUAUUCAUAAACUCUAUAAUUAUUCGUAUUGAAAGUAAUAUAGUAUUUUAAUUUUAAUAAUUUACUAUAUAUACUUCGAUUAAGAAAUAUAUAUAUAAGGAUUAAUCGGAUUUCAAAAAUCGAAUCGGUGGCCAACCUUGCAGAGGAUUAAUCGGGGAUUAAUUGGUUGAAUCGGGGAUGUUUAGAACACUGGUUUUCUCCAAAUAUCACUACAACAAAACUGCCAUUUUACGACGGAAAUCUAAUAUUCUAAAGGGUUACGACCAAACUAUGUCGGUGGACUUUAUUUUAAUUUACCGUUUAACAGUAGUUAAUUUUGGAUAUCUACACUUGCGAUGGAAAACAUACGACAGUCUACUUCGUGAGAGAAAAUCAUUUUAUUUUAUUUUUUAGCGCCAGAAUUUUAAUACUGAAAUAUUAUAUAUAUGAAGGAAACUGAUCUCUAAUGUUUUCAGUUUGCUCAUCCAUCGUAAGUAAUCCGUCGAAAAAGUUAGUUUGUUGUGGUGGUGUCUUAUCAUGAGAGAAAAUGAUAAUAUCGCAAAAUAUUUGCAACUGAAAGAUAAAUUAUAAUUCUAGAAACCAUUUUGGUAACGAUGCACGAAGUUAUUUUCACUCACUUAGAAUUAAUGCUAAAUAUUUGCAACUGAAAGAUAAAUUAUAAUUCUAGAAACCAUUUAGGUAACGAUGAGCGGAGUUAUUUUCACUCACUUAGAAUUAAUGAUAAAUAUUUGCAACUGAAAGAUACAUCAUAGUUCUAGAAAAGGAUCCACGAAGUUAUUUUCACUCACUUAGAAUUAAUUGUAAGUUAUUGUGAGUUUUUGAAUAUGAAUUAUCUCAAAUUUUAUUAAAACACAUGUUGAUUCUUAUAUACAAAUUUGCCUAUCUAAUAUUAUAAUAUUUAUGGAGAAGGUGUAUGAACAAUUGUGUAGAUAAUUAUACUUUACAAAGCAUACUUCUGCUAGCUGAAUUUUGAUUAAAAAAAUCGAAAGGGAUAGGUCUGGGUCUCUCCAAGUCUUUGAGGACUCAUUCCAAGUCUUCUGAUGAGGACAAAAUAUAUUGCUGGAAGUCUUUCAGUCCUUCCUAGAGUAUUUUGUGCUCUGCACUGCAUUAUGCAGCUCUCAUAUAACUGACCGCUAACCUCCUUCCAACACUUUGCGAUGCAAAACAGUGGCAUGUUAUAAGUAUUUCCGUAUGUGUAUUUAUUUGGAUAUUAAAGUUGCGUAACAUUUGUGUUGAUAAUUUGCGCAAUGUUGAUGAGGAUUGCUCCCAAGUCUUGGCGGACUCUUUCCAAAUCUUCUGAGGACCUAUGGGUUCAAAUUAGUCCAUUAAAAUGAAUACCAUUGUUUUGUGAUUAAGUUGUAUGGUUAAGAGCUUAUCCUCUGUCGUCCCAGGUCCUGGGUUCGACCCUGGCUCACCCCGAGAGUUUCGUAGAACAGAUACUCAUUAUAAGGCUAUAAGCCAUAUUUGUCAAAAAAAAAGUUGUAUAGGCAAUAUGCAUUGCAAAAUCAGCAACAGAAUAUAUACUAAUUAAUUACCUGAUAUCGGUUUGAACAAAUACUUUCUAUGUAGUUGUAAUAUUAGUCUUCUUUAAAAGUUAUCAUGAGGGAAGAUAUAUAUUGUGAUGCGGGGGAAAUAUUGUAACCGAAAAUAAUUAUAAUUCUAAAAAUUUCCAUUAUACACUUUUUUUAGUGUUCGUACGUGGUAAGUACUUCAGACGACAUUUCUCGCGUAUGCCUCCAAUUAAGAAUUUGAUGUUCAGCCUAGUCCUAAACUAAAAUUAUUAUAAAUGUGUAAUUCAAAAUUAUAUUGCUGGUAGGCUCUGAGAUUAACCUUAAACAAAAACAACUCAGUGGAACGCUUUCCGAGUUUGGUUUCACUUCAUUUCCAAAUCUCAACAAUCUCAACAUAGCACGAAACAACUUUUACGGUCCAAUACCACCAGCCAUUAAGAAUUCUAUUUUAAUAUGUAACAUUCUAUUUUCUAAAAUAAUAAAUAUUUUUUUUAAUAGUUGGUCAAAAAUUAGUCAAUUUGACUUCUCAAAAAGCAGAAAGGACAUGUAAAUUGAGACGGGGGAGUAUUUAACGGAAUUCAACGAAAGGUGUGCGUAUCGUUCUUGAAAUGUAAAAAUAGGUGGUGCAAUUCGAGUUUCCAAACCUAUGGGUACAAUAUCGUUUUUAAACGUAAGCUAGGGGGUCCAAAUUACAAUUACAUGUAUAUAUAGUGACUUAACGGAGUGCAUAUAGUUAACGGAAGUUAACGGCAGGGAGUGCAUCUCGGGCUUGAAUAGUAAAGAUAAAAGGUGCGAGUUGAGUUUCUCAAAGUAUGAGUACAAUAUCGUUUUUGAAUGAUAGUUAAGGGGUGCGAUAUGCAAUUACCUCAAAAAAAUAUGAUCAUUAGUAUAUUAUAUUAGUAUCCACACACUUAUAUCUCAAAAUCUAUCCUCCAAAAUUAUCAUCUAUAUAGGCUAGCCACAUAAAAUAAAAAUUUAAAGAUAUUAGAUAUUUAGUUAUUUCAAUUAUAUAAUUUUUCCACGCAAAAUAACAAAAUAUCUUUAUCAACUUAUUAUUUAUGAGUUAAAUAUUCAACUUAUAUAAUUCGGGCAUGCUGGGUAUAAAUAGAAGUGUAACGCCUAAUUUCCGGGGUCUGGGAGUAGUUAGCGGGGUAUGAGAGAGCAGGCUAUUUAGAAGUCUUGGUCAUGAAAACUUCCAAGCUAACUUCGACAACGGAAUCUUCUGAGGCUACUAUUCUAAAGCACGCAUAAUCAUUGUAUUCAUUUUCCUCUAACACUGGCAAAAAGUCUAUUUAAGCAAAUGAAAUACAAACAACUGAGUGGAAUGCUGACCGAAAGUCUUUUUGGCUGAGCUUAUGAUUUAUUAGUACAUGAUUAAUAUGAUAAGCUAAGCUGAGAGCAUAAGAUAUCGUGUGUAUAAUUUUGUGUUUAUUAAUGACUUAUAAAUUAUUAAAAAUAUAAUAAGAAAAAUAAAAAUGAUUUAUAACUAAUUUAUGUUUUAUGAGUAAUUUUUAUUAGAAAAAAGUUUUAAAAAAUUAUUUCACUGAAAAAAAAUCCUCCAACUAACUUUUGGCUCUAAGUCAGUUUUUGAUUUAUUUAUGAUUUUAAGUCGGAUUCUGAUUUUUACACAAACAGAAAAUUUCCAGCUUAAAGUUAAAAACAACUUUAAGCUCCGGUUUUAAACCUCUGAGUUUGGUUUCACUUCAUUUACAAAUCUCAACAAUUUCACCAUCAAACACAAUGACUUCUCCAAUCUCCGGUCCAGUUCACCAGCCAUUGAGAAUUUGGCACAACUUCAAUUCCAUACCAGGUUAGUCGGCUUCGGAGGUUACACGCCUUAGACCUGUCAAAUACAAAUUUCAAUCUCCAAACUGGUCCGAUUUAUCUUCUAUGCAUUUUGUUGAGUCCGGCUCAUCUAAAACCUGAAGGUGUUAGAAGAAACCCGAAUGAAUCUUAUAUAUGAAUCUUAUAUAUGCUAUAUUUAAACAAUUCUGAGCACACUCAACCUUGGUAUUAAUAAUAUCGUGUCGAUAAUUCCAGAAUUUAUAUCUAAUUCUCAUAGCCUAACUUUCCUUGACCUUUCCAUAUAACAAAUUUACAGUUAAUCCUGUGCUUGAAUCAGUAUUUGCAACCAAAAUUAUGCAAUUAUAGUGCAGGUAGUCUUCCAGUUCUUCCUACUCUAUGCUAUAAUUUCAUUUGAUACCAAUAAUUUUACGCUCUACACUCCAGGAUGAGCUCGCAUAUUAUUGACAGCAAUAAUCCUUCCAACACUUUGUGAUGCAAAGCAGGGGGGCGCCUGUAUUUUCAUAUGUCUAUAUUAUUGGAGAUUAAAGUUGUGUGGACAAUUGUGUUGAUAAUUUGCCCAAUGUUAACAGGGAUAGGUUGGCUUAAAAAUAUAUAAGGUCACUUGUGCAUCGCUGUUCACACACUUAGACCCUGUUUGUGUAAGCUUUAAGUCCGGGCUCAAGCAAUUUCGACUUAAUCACUUCCGAGGACCAAUACCAACAGCCUUCUCAAAGAGUUGCCAGCUAAGAUAUCUAAACAUGUAUGACAAUCAGUUAGAAGGACUAUUGCCCCGAUCUUUGUCAAACUGUAAGCACUUAAAAAUUCUUGACAUCGGGAACAAUAAAAUGGGUGGUACAUUCCCUUCAUGGCUAUUUAAUCUCGGAGAGCUAGAAAUCCUAGUCUUGCGAUCAAAUAGACUGUACGGUCCUGUAAGUGGAAGGAGCACAUCACAUCCAUUCCCCAAGUUGCGGAUUCUAGAUCUCUCCAACAAACAAUUCGCGGGCUAUUUGCCAAUUCUAAACUUUAAGAAUAUGAAACCAGCUGCUGAUGAUAACGCGUAUAGUUAUAAAAAUAAGUCACAAGGACUAAUUAAUUACAUCUAUGAAGCAUCUAUCUCCUUAAAUGUGAAAGGAACAGAGUAUGAAGUGAAGAACAUUCUUCAUAUUUACACAGCCAUUGAUCUAUCGUGCAACAAAUUUCACGGAGAAGUUCCAAAGAGAGCUUAAAUGGCUUGCAUUGCUCAAUCUAUCUCAUAAUAGUCUUGCCGGACAUAUGUUCUGAAUUAUUAUUAUGCUUUCAUCAAUAUUUUCAAACAUUUCUCAAUAUGUAUUUCAAAGAAUUCUCAAGCCCUGGAACAUUUGGACCGGUCCUUUCGAAGCCAAGAUGCCCAGGUUAUCAUGGCCAUGCACAAAAAUGAAUAAAUUAUUCCAAGUCUUCCAUGACUCAUUCCAAGUCUUCGGAGGAGACCCUGAGCACAAAGAUGCUCAGGGUCUCCCCAAGCCUUCCAGGACUCAUUCCAAGUCUUCGGAGCACGGCCUCGACUCGCCCUUUCAAAGAUGUGAUAGUAGCUCGAGAGUGAUAUAAAUUAUUUUCCGGACACUAAAAAUAAAUAAUCAGAUCAAAUUAAUCAAUAAUAAAUUAAGGAUGAAAUCCAAAUUAAUCCUAAAUUUUGAUAAUAUAUAAAAAUUAUAAUUAUAAAUUAUAUAACCAAAUCAGAAUUGAAUUAACUUCCUUGGCACUAAAUUGAUAAGGAAAGUAUAAUAAUUUAAAUUUAAUUGAUGAAAAGUCAAAGUCUUCUAAUAAAUCCAUAAAGAAUAUGAUAAUCAAAAUAACGAAAAUUAUAAUUGAAAAAUCAAAAUCAUUAGUGUAUUGGAAUAGUGUUCACACACUUAUAUAUCAAAAUUUGUGGUCCAAAAACUAUAGCACAAUAUCCUAAAUACACCACAUUAAAUAUUAGUUCAAAAAUAUUCUGUAAAUAAUUGUUUUCAUUCAUCAUUUUGUUAUUUAAAAAACUAAUAAUUUGGGUUGAUGUUAACCUAUAUUUUAAUAUAUAAUUAUAUUAUUUUCGUAUUAUUUUAUUUAACUAGAAACAAUAUUUUUAUCAGACAUCAAUUAUAUUAAAAGAUAUAAUUUUAUUAAAAAAAAUUGAAUUAAAUUAAUAGGAUAACUCUACGCCUCACCAAGUCUACAAGACUCAUUUCAAGUCUACCAAGGACCACUACCUCGGUCCUCAACCAUUGGGAGAUGUGAAAGUAGCUUGAGAGUGACAAAAAUUAUUUUCCUCACAAUAAAAUUUAAUAUCUGAUAUAAAUUAAUUAAAUUAGUUAAUAAUAAAUUAAAACUAAUCAUGAAUUAUGAUAAUAAUUAAAUAAAUUAUAAUUAAAUUAUAUAAAUCAACUCCAAAUGAUACAAAUGACACUAAACCUUAGUUACUUUAUUGGUAAAUAAAUAUAAUAUAAUAAUCAAAUUGAUGAAAAAUCAAAAUCAUCUAAUAAAUUCAUAAAAAAUAUAUGAUCAUUAAUAUAUAUUAUAUUAGUAUCCACACACUUAUAUUUCAAAAUCUAUCCUCCAAACUUAUCAUCUCUGUAAACUAGCCACAUAAAAUAAAAAUUUAAAGAUAUUAGAUAUUUAGUUAUUUUCAUUAUAUAAUUUUUCCACACUAAACAACAAAAUAUCUUUAUCAAAUUAGUAUUUAUGAGUUAAAUAUUCAAGUUAUAAAUCCAGCAUGCAGCGUAUAAAUAGGAGAAACAUGGCACACUCUGCAAAGCCUUCUCACCUUCUUCUCUUUGUUUUCUUUCUCUCAUCACUUGAAUCCAUUCUUGCAACAACACGAGAAGGAGAAGCUCUUGUGAAAUGGAAGAAUAGCCUAGCCCCGUCUUCUUUUCUUGAUUCUUGGUCACUCACUCAUCUCGAUAAUCUUUGUAACUGGACUGGCAUUACUUGUAACUCUGCAGGUUCAGUCUCUGAGAUUUACCUUUAUGAGAAACAACUUGAUGGAAUGUUGUCGGAGUUUGGUUUCACUUCAUUUCCAAAUCUCAACAAUCUCACCCUCGCAUACAACUUCUUCUCCGGUCCAAUACCACCAGCCAUUGAGAAUUUAACACAGCUUCAAUAUCUUGAUUUGAGAAAUAAUUAUCUAGAUGGUCCCAUUCCUUUCCAGGUUAGCCAUCUUCAGAGCUUGCUCAUCUUAAACCUGUCAGAGAAUGCAUUGCAAGCUCCAAAUUGGUCCCAUUUCUCUCCCAUGCCUUUUUUGCGCAUCCUCAACCUCAGUCACAAUCCUCUUGCGUCGAAAUUCCCAGAUUUUAUAUCCAAUUCUCAUAGCCUGACUCACCUUAGCCUUAAUUAUAACGAGUUUACUGGUGAUUUAGCACGUGAAUCAAUAUUUGCCAAUCUGCAUAAUCUUGAAGUCCUCAGUCUUAAUGGCAAUUCUUUUGAGGGGCCAUUUCCACCAGAUAUAUUCAAGCUUUCAAGAUUAAAACGUCUCUUCCUGGCAGUUAACAAAUUUUCAGGUUCAAUUCCCAAUGACAUAAGGUUACUUUGUGAUCUUGAAUACCUAUAUUUAGGCAACAAUUCUUUUGAAGGACCGCUUCCACCAAAUUUAUUCAAGCUUUCGAAAUUAAAGCGUCUUUUUCUUUGGAGUAAUAAGUUUACAGGUUCUAUUUCCAAUGAUAUAGGUUUGCUUUCUGAACUUGAAACCCUCAAUCUUCAAUUUAAUUUUUUUGAGGGGCCGCUUCCCCCACAUAUAUUUAGGCUCUCUAAGUUAACAGGUCUAGAACUCGGAGACAAUAGAAAUUUAUUUGAAGGAAGUAAUAUUCCUAUCGGACUGGGACUCUUGACUAACCUCAGGUACUUAGAUUUACAUUUCAGUAAUCUCAGUGGCUAUAUUCCAUCUGACAUUGGAAACCUGAAGCUACUAGUACUUCUUAGUCUCGGUUCUAAUCAAUUGACUGGACCGCUUUCAAAGAUCGUUUCUAAUCUCACAAAUCUUAUAUUCCUUGAUGUAAGUGAUAAUAGUCUUAGUGGAAAUAUUCAGAGUGACUUGUGGAAAUAUAACCAUCAUCCUACUUUGGAAUACAUCGAUUUUAGUGGGAACCAUUUUACAGGUAUAUUUUUUCUCUAUAGAUCUUUUCCUUUUGUCAUAUGUAACUAAGCUAGUAAUCUGAUUAUUGCAGUUUUACCGAAGUUUCAACAAUCUUGACAGGUGAGCUUCCAACAACAAUUUGCAAUGUCACUUCCCUUUCGGUUCUUGAUUUGUCAAAUAAUGAAUUAAGUGGUGCACUUCCAAACUGUUUCGGGAAUCUUGCUGAUGGAUUGCUUUACAUUAAUCUUGCUAAUAAUCAGUUUCGAGGAACAAUACCAACUACUUUCUCCAGGAGUUGUCAGCUGACAUAUCUAAACAUGGAUAAUAAUGAGUUUGAAGGAUUGUUGCCCCCAUCUUUGGCGAACUGUAAGCACUUGAAAAUUCUUGAUAUAGGCAAUAAUAAAAUAGGUGGUACAUUUCCGUCAUGGCUUUAUGCACUUGGAGAGCUAGAAGUUCUUGUCUUGCGAUCAAAUAAACUCUAUGGUACAAUAAGUGGAAGGAGCAUAGAAGAUCCCUUCCCCAAGUUGCGGAUUGUGGAUCUGUCCAACAAUCAAUUCACAGGCCAUUUGCCAAUUCAAUACUUUAAGAAUAUGAAAUCAACUGAUAAUUUGUAUCGUUAUCAGAAUUCCACAAAAGUUUUUUCUUUCCAUUAUGAAGCAUCUGUCUCAUUAACUGUGAAGGGAACAGAGUAUGAAGUGAAAAAUAUCCUUCAUAUUUACACAGCCAUUGAUCUGUCCUGCAACAAGUUUCAAGGAGAAAUUCCUGACGUUAUUGGAGAGCUUAGAUGGCUUGCAUUGCUCAACUUAUCUCAUAAUAGUCUAACAGGACCUAUCCCAUCAUUGCUGAGAAAUAUGAAAGGACUCCAAUCUUUAGAUUUGUCUUCAAAUCAACUGACAGGGGCUAUUCCACCUCAGUUAACUGCACUGACAUUUCUAGAGGUCUUAAACCUCUCGGGAAACCAUCUUAGUGGAGGGAUUCCUCAGAAAGGACAGUUCAGCACAUUCAACAAUGAUUCUUAUCUAGGAAACUCAGCGUUAUGUGGAUCACCAUUGACGAAGAAAUGUGCAAACACAGCAUCACCUCCACAAGAAGUCGGAAAUGUUGAUGAAGAUGAUGCGGGUGAUGAAUUGACAUGGGAAGCAAUCUUGAUGGGAUAUGGAUGUGGACUGAUAUGUGGAUUGUCAUCUGCGUACAUUGUUCUCAAACUAGGAAAGCCUUGGUGGUUUGUGAGAUAUAUCGAAGUACUGCAAUUGAAGUUGAUGAAAAGAUAUGCAUGAAGAAUGGUACUAGCCGAUCAAGAUGAACUCGAAAGUUGUGGUCCUUGUGGACAUUUCUGAACCAGUAGUGUUCUAUUCUCUUUGUGGCUGCAUAAGUAUUUGGUAUUGUGUAAUGUUCUGUUUGGUCUUGAAUCAUAAUAAUUUUUCUUUCUUCAGGGGUAUUUAUAAUAUAAACCUUGGUAUUGUGUACUAGCUGUAAUAUUCUGUUUGAUCAAUGUUUAUACCAGUAAUUUUAUGCUCCGCACUGCAUCAUGCAGCUCUCAUAUUAUCUUCAUAUGUGUAUUUAUUUGGAUAUUAAAAACAUAUGGGAUAUGUGUUAACAGGGACAGCUCCCAAGUCUUGGAUAGACUCUUUCCAAGUCUUCCGAGGUCCUAUAGGUUUAAAUUAGUCCAUUAUCUGCAUACUAAUUUGUCCAACUGAAAAAUCAAGGAUAUUAUGUAUUAACUGUUUUAAUAACAAUUUACAAGUAUAAAUUUCAUAUAUUUUUUCAUAGAAUAUAAAUUAGUUGACGUACUAAAAUCACUAGUCAAAUUAAUUUAAAUAAAUAUAUUGAAAAGAUGAUAAUAAAAUUAUGGUAAUUUAUCACUACAACAAUUCUGGACAUUAAUUAUAUGUAUACUUAAAUAUAUUGAAAAGAUGAUAAUAUAGUAGAAUACAAAUGGUUAUGAUUCCGUAGUAACUACACCGUCGUAAGUUCACAUAAUUAUAUAAUUAUAGUUAUUUGAAAACGAAAAAUAAAUGAGAAAAUAUAUAGUGACCAAAUAUGAAUCAAUCUAAAAUUUUCAUUAUGGAGAUCGUAAGAAACGUGAUGAAGAACUGGAAUGAGAAUUCCUUACAAAACAUUUGGGUUAUAUUAUCAAUGAUGAAUGUUGUAUAUUAUACCUAUGAUUUCAAGUCUCAUACAAAAUUAUAUUGCUCAUAGUCUUUCGAUCAGUUCUUACUAGUGUAUGCAAUAGUUUCUCAUUCCAUACCAGUUAUUUUAUGCUCUGCACUGCCUUAUGCGCGCAGCUAUCAUAUUACUGACAGCUAACCUCCUUCCAACACUUUGCCAUGCGAAGCCUGAAGAUUAAAGUUAACAGGGAUAGGUCUUCUUCUCUCCCAAGUCUUGGACGGACUCUUUCCAAGUCUUCUGAGGACCCAUCGGCUCAGAUCCGUCCAUUAAAAAUUUAUUAUUGAUUACUUAUUAUUAUUGAUUGAUCUAAGAUUCCAAAGACAUGUUCCCGUAAUUUUCAGACUUAGCCAGUUGGUGUGGGCAGAAGUUUUAGAAAUAGUAGAUUAUGGGGAUUUUAUUUAUUCUAACCAAUUUUGAGUUAUUUAUUUUCUUCAAAAAAAUCAAUACUUAUUUUUUAUUGUUAUGCGGAAUUCCAAUAAAUAUUAAAAUAUAUAAUUUUGAUUAUUAUCAUAAAUUUAUUUAUUCAAUAAAUAUUAUUAUACUAUUAUGGAAACAUUUUAUUUUGUAAUGUAUAGUACACCCUUAUCCCACCAACAAAACUACAUCACAAACAAAUUAUAUCAUAUUUAAUUUAAUAAACUCAAAUAAUUUAAUUUAUGUAACAACUCUAUAAAAUUAGAGUGAUUGAUACUUUGCACCCCUUAUGUUUAAGCGUUUUUUCAAUUUGGUUUCAAACAAUUUUUUUGGCAGUAUGCACCCCAAAAUUUGAAAAUUGCUUCGCUUUGCACCCUUUUAAUCGCUCUCCGUUUAAUUGAUAUUGACCGUUAAAGACUUAAAGUUGACAGAUAUGGGUUUACAUUUUCAACACCACAAUUUUAAUUUUUUUUCAUGGGUAUUUUGAAAUAUUCAGACGACUGGGAUGAUUCAAGUGUCUUCAUGUUAGACAGUGCGAUAGGUCGGUCGAGGGGUUUUCAGAAACUGGGACCAAAGAUUGGCGCCAUCAGAUUGGAUUUAUAUCAUUGGAAACUCUCUGUACACCUCUAUAGAAACUGGGACCAAAGACAAGAGGGAGAAGCUCUUGUGAAAUGGAAGAAUAGCCUAGCCCCGUCUUCUUCUCUCGACUCUUGGUCCCUCACCAAUCUCGAUAAUCUUUGUAACUGGACUGGCAUUAAUUGUAACUCUGCAGGUUCAGUCUCUGAGAUUAACCUUUGUGAGAAACAACUUGAUGUAAUGCUGUCUGAGUUUGGUUUCACUUCAUUUCCAAAUCUCAACAAUCUCACCCUCGCAGCUAACUACUUCUCCGGUCCAAUACCACCAGCCAUUGAGAAUUUAACACAGCUUCAAUAUCUUGAUUUGAGAAAUAAUUAUCUAGAUGGUCCAUUCCGUUCCAGGUUAGCCAUCUUCAGAGCUUGCUCAUCUUAAACCUGUCACAGAAUGCAUUGCAAGCUCCAAAUUGGUCCGAUUUCUCUCCCAUGCCUUUCUUGCGCAUCCUCAACCUCAGUAGCAAACCUCCUGCGUCGAAAUUCCCAGAUUUUAUAUCCAGUUCUAAUAGCCUGACUCACCUUAGCCUUAAUUAUAACGAGUUUACUGGUGAUUUGGUACGUGAAUCAGUAUUUGCCGAUCUGCAUAAUCUUGAAAAGCUCAGUCUUGUUGGCAAUUCUUUCGAGGGGCCAUUUCCGCCAGAUAUAUUCAGGCUUUCCAAAUUAAAACAUCUUAGCCUGUCAGAUAACAAACUUUCAGGUUCAAUUCCCAAUGACAUAGGGUUGCUUUUUGAUCUUGAAUACCUAUAUUUAGCCAACAAUUCCUUUGAAGGACCGCUUCCACCAAAAAUAUUCAAGCUUUCAAAAUUAAAAAAUCUUGUUAUUUGGGGUAAUAAGUUUUCAGGUUCUGUUUCCAACGAUAUAGGUUUGCUUUCUGAGCUUGAAAGCCUCUAUCUUGACUCCAAUUUUUUUGAGGGGCCGCUUCCGUCAAAUAUAUUCAAGCUCUCCAAAUUAAGGAUUCUUUUCCUUUGGCAUAAUAACUUUUCAGGUUCUAUUUCUAAGGAUAUAGGUUUGCUUUCUGGACUUGAAACCCUCUAUCUUGACUCUACUUUUUUUGAGGGUCCGCUUCCCCCACAUAUAUUCAAGCUUUCCAAAUUAACAAGUCUUGACCUCGCAUACAAUAGAAAUUUAUUUGAAGGAAGUAUUCCUAUUGGACUGGGACUCUUGACUAACCUCAGAUACUUGAGUCUAUCUUCCACUAAUCUCGGUGGCUAUAUUCCAUCUGAAAUUGGAAACCUGAAGCUACUAGAAGUUCUUGAACUCAGUUCUAAUCAAUUGA